ensembl:lncRNA XACT X active specific transcript
AACAUUUGAGUCAGUGUGCUAAGGAAGGCAGAUCCACCCUUAAUCUUGCGGGCACAAUCUAAUCCGCUGCCAGUGAAUAUGAAGCAGGCAGAAAAACGUGAAAAGGAGAGACUGGCCUAGGCUCCCAGCCUACAUCUUUCUCCCGUGCUGGAUCCUUCCUGCCCUCGAACAUCGGACUCGAAGUUCUUCAGUUUUGGGACUUGGACUGGCUCUCCUUGCUCCUCAGCUUGCAGACAGCCUACUAUGGGACCUUGUGAUCAUAUGGUGUCCGGAAUUUCAAAUAAUACUGAGUUAUGGGAAUUGCCACAGUAAGUAAAGAUCUACAGUCGGGGAAAAGGAUUUAUAAGGCGUAUGUUUUAUAGCUCCUGUAUGAGUAGGCUUUUGAUGCAUCAUAUACAUGCUUUGAAGGUAGUAUUAUGCAGGGUACUAAAUUGAGUUAUACUUACAGUCAAUGAAUAUCAUUUGACCAAUGACAUUUUAGAAAAAUAUCUAUAUAAUUUUCCAAGGCCAUGUCUUAGAAAUUUUGCUCUGAGUCUUAUAUCUGAACAUCUCAGAGAAUUUUUAGAGAAAACAAUUUCACAGAUAAUGAUAAUUAGAUACCUUCACUUUGCAAAUAUAUGAACUGCCUUUUGAAUGGCCCUUUUAGUAAAAUGAGAUUGAUUACGUCCUCUUCAUAGCAGAGAUUUUACCACAAAACAUCAAUCUAUUAUGAAAAGUACAUACGUGUAACCUGGUAUCCUUGCUUGGCAGGGUGAUGUUACAUUUAGGUACAUGAACUACCUACUGUGAUAAGCUCCCUAUCUCUUCAAAUAUUAACUCUCCUGCUCAUUCCUGUCUGAUGCCUGAAAUUCCUUUAAUAUUACAAAAAGCUUAAUCAAUUUAUUAAUAAUCCUACAUUUUCUUGCAUUAUUGCUGCCCAGUGAUCUGGAUUGUUUGUGGUUGUUGAUUGGAAAACUAAAAAGUCUUAGAAAAUAUCAUUCUAAUGUUAUUGUAUCACAGUGAAUUACCCACAUACAAGCACAAAGUAAAGCUGUAAAGCAAUUAAUUCAGUUCUUCAAAUAAACCAAAAAAAGAAGACAGUGAAUGAUAACUAUCAGUUUCUUUCUUAAUUUGAUGGAUGAAUUUAUUCACUCUCCAUUUUUCUCUCCCAGCCUAUUUGUGGUUUUGUAGCAAAAAGAUUUCUACAUGGCUUUUUCUGUAAUUAUUUUGUGAAAACCCACAAUAUAAAAGAAACUGACUUAUUUUAAGAAUAAUGGAACUUCCUCUUUUCAGAAGGGUCUGAAGCAAUUUUUCUCUUUAAGCAAAACCUCUGUUCUAUGGUUCACGUUCAGAUGUGGCCUUCAUUCAAACAUACUUCCCUUCUUAGCUGCUGAUGAAAGCAUGUGGCAACAUUUCUGCCUUGGCAAAUUUAAAUCAUCUCCCUUAAGGUGAGGGUAGGUAAAUACCUUAGCAAGUUAUCUCUUUUAUACAAACAGACUUAUUUUGGCACAGUGUAUAAUUGUAUACAUACAAUUGUAUAAAUACUAUUUUAAAAUGCUAGAUUUUUUUCCCCAUGCACACUGAAUUGAAUUCAUUGUAACGUGAAAAUGACUGACAUGUAAUUCUUUUCUCAGAGCAACAUUAACCAUAAAAAUGGAGACAGAGCAACAAACUCCUGGGUGACUACAAGUCAGGAAAGGGAAAAACACCGUAGGGGUAGAAUUUACAGAAGUCUUAUUUUAAAUACAAUUUUGCCUCAAAAGAUGGGCCAUAGAAGGGAGGUGUGUAUUCCACUCUCCUUGUAAAAUAUGAGUUUUUAAAUCUAUAAGUAGGAAGAGAUGUACAACACAUACUAAUGAAGAAAUCUGUUGCCACGUUUUAAGUAUUAAAAAAAAGGCAUGUCUAUAUCUGGUGGGAUUUUUUUUUAAUGACUUAAUUUAUUCCUACUGCAAUAAAUUAGGCUAUUCAAGCAAUCCAGGGUCCAUCCAUCUAUUAAUAGUAUCAAGCUUUUAAAAUGUAAAGCUUUUAGUUUUGCUGCUUCUAAAAUCAUAUAGUGCUUUCAUUCUAAUUUAUGUUGAUUCAGUUCAAAUAAUAGAAAUUUUGAAUGACAUCAUGGCUAUUUUGACACGUAUACAGACUAUAGUAAAGUGGUUUUGGACGUGUGUUCAGAAUUCUAUAAGCAGGGGAAAAAUAAAAAUAAUGGAUUCCUAAUUUACAAUGGUUGCUCUUUGCAAUAAAUAAUGUUAUAAGCAAUUAUUUUAUAAGAUCCUUAUGUAAUCAGUAAAAUAUGCAAUAAAAUUAUAAAGAUGCUGAACCUCCUAUCAAGUUUAGUUAUCAUAUCAAAAUUCUUGCAAAAAGAUGCUACAUUUCAUUUAUUUAGAAAAAAAAGAACAAUGAUAUUGUCAAGAUAGAUAAUUUUGAAUUCUGAUUUACAAACAUUCAGUGAGUUCCUAAAGCUAUGUAUUCCAAUAGGGUACAGAUAUUUGAACUGAAAGUGAAUAUUUCUCUUGAUCCCAAAAAGCGUGGGGUGUCUUAACCACCCUGAGAGUUUUCUACAUAGUACUCAAAUUGAUUGACAGGUUUGUAGAUCAACAAUGUCUUUCUUUCUUUUUUUUUUUUUUUUUUUUUUUUUGACAUGGAGUCUCGCUCUGUCGCCCAGGCUGGAGUGCAGUGGCACGAUCUUGGCUGACUGCAGGCUCCACCUCCCGGGUUCACGCCAUUCUCCUGCCUCAGCCUCCCGAGUAGCUGGGACCACAGGCGUCUGCCACCACGCCCGGCUAAUUCUUUUGUAUUUUUUAGUAGAGAUGGGGUUUCACCGUGUUAGCCAGGAUGGUCUCGAUCUCCUGACCUCGUGAUCCACCAGCCUCGGCCUCCCAAAGUGCCGGGAUUACAGGCGUGAGCCCCCGCGCCCGGCUGAUGUUUUUCUUUUAGCUUUACGUUAUUUCUCUUCGAAGGUUAUCUCAGCCCCAGAGAUUCACUGACACUUGGGGGAAUGGUAGUUUUAAUUAUUGAUUUUUGAACAGUUUAACUUUGUGAUCACUACCUCUUGAUACGUGCUCAAGGUGGGGUUGGCCUUAGACUCCAAUAUAAUAGCUAGUUGGGAUAUGAAGAUCAGAGUCUCCUAAUCUCUGUCUGCAUCCCUUCCUUCCCUGAGACUCUUUAUGGUGCAAUGCCCACCAAUAAGGAUUUCUCCUUUAUAAGCAGUGUCUUUCAAAGUUUCUCUCAGAGAGGUAACAAAUUAGGAUCUGACACAUUAUUGUGAAAUAAUUUAUCAAAUCUCUUUCCUUCAUUGCUGGGAGGGAAGAUCCCAACCAUCAAGAAUACACUGGACACCUUAGGCUGAGGCAUUACACAGGGGCCAAAGAACACUCAAAGGGAGGCAGGGGAACUCAAAGGAUCAACACUGCAUCCUUCAUAGUUUGGCUAAGGGCUGACUCACCUCUGAACAAAAGUAACCUCCCAAAUCAACAGCUGCAUCCGUAGGGUGCAUAUCUGAAGGACAAUUGUUUCAGGCUGGAAUGUACAACACUAAAUAGCUUAUUUUCCCUUCCUCUUUUUCCAUUGAGGUUAUAAAAUCCUAAAUCCAAAUUCCAAGACAAAGGUCCUUAAUAAGAGGAAAUUCCUCUGGCAUUGAAUAGGGAAGAUUAGCAAUGGCUGUUAUCCCGUUUUAUAAUCAUGUAGCUACUUAUAACAAAAUGAAAGAAGACCCCCUGCCUUGCUCACUUUGUAAACACAUGGGAAAGAAUGGGAUCACAUGCCCAGGCAGGUCUGCGUGUGCUUGAAGGGUAUUGCAAGGUCCUGCACCCCCACCACUGAUUUGGCUUGGCAUUUGCACCAUUCAAGUCACUCUAGAUCUCUUUUAACAAAUGGAAGAAAAGACUGAGGACCUAGGAGCCCCCAGGGUUAUUCACUCCCGGUUCCAAGGUAGCUCUAUGACAUCAAUGAAUGCUUUACUAAAAGGAAUAACAGAAAGAUAUUAUUUAUUGAAUGUUCAUUAUAUGCCUGGCACUUUACAUUUAUCUGAGUUAAUUUUGGCCACAAUUCUGGUAGUUAUGCUUAUUAUCUUCAUUUUGCAGAUGCAGAAAUAGGCAAGGAAAAGCUAUAUAACUCCCUUAAGGUAACACAGCUAGUAAGCAGCUGAAAAGGGAUUUGGACUCUAGCAGUGUACCCACAUUGUCCACACUUUUUGCCAUUAUAGUAAGUUGUCAGUAGAUGAACACAACUCAGUGAAGUGGAGGUGGCUAUUGAUGCAAUUGAGCAGUUUAUUGAGAAGUAAAACUUCUAAUUGGAUACAGCACUUGCAUCGCCAGUGUCAAAACAUUGUAAAGGAAAGAUGAAAAAUGUCAUCAAUAGUUCAGCACUUUGGAAGCAUUUGUAUAUUUGGCAUCACAGAGACAAAAUAUCCAGAUGGGAGAUUGAAUAUUUUAUUUUGCAUCUGGGUGUUCUGGCAAAAUAGAAAGCAAGAAAAGUGAUUUCUAUUUGGUUAUUUUUAAUUUGUGGUGAUAUCAGCACCCUACAAACUGAAGGAGAGAAACUCAAUGGUAGUGGUCCUACUAUAUCUGUUUUGUGCUGAAAUGCACUUGCAACUGGAAUUGUUUGCUUUAAUAUAUUUCAGUGGGGUGUCACCAGGGGCAGCCUCAGCAAAAUUGUAAGAGUUAGACUCAUCUUUGAUGUUCUUCUGCAUCUUCAGGGAUGCACUACCCUUUUGUCCCUACCAGGUGAAAACUGACUUCAUGCUUUAUAUAUUCCCCAUUCCCAGCAUGCUCUUAUAAAUAAGCCAUUUGUAAUAACAUAUAAAAGGCGUCAAAAUUUUAAGUAACUGUGGGACAGAAGUGAUGGUAGAAUUUUAGGUACCUGUCAUAGGUGACAAAUUUGUGAGGAGAGAGGACUUCUGAGCCCCUUACAUGCCCUCUAAAUUACCACCAAAUUAUAUGAUUUCCAGACUUAUAAGUCUUAAAACCCUUGUACAGGAAAAUCACAGUGAUAAAAUAAAAUCAAAGACUGAUUAAUUACUAAUUAUGUAACUUACAAGAAUGGGGACACAAAGACUACACAUGGUAAUGGUUUAGAUUAGAAGUAUUUCUUUGAGAAUAAUCAGAAAGCUAAAUACUUUAACUAUGCCACUUUCUUCCAAAGGCAGUAAUUCAAGACCCUCUGUAAAGGCUAUGGCAAUGCCAGUUACUAUAAAGCAUAAUCUGUUUCUCUCUCUUGUUCUCUUUCAAUUGUCCUAGAAAUACAACUACUCAACCCUGUCAUAGCAUGGAAACUCUUAUAGACGAUAUGCAAACAAAUGAGUAGAGUUGUUUUUCAAAAAAACUUUAUUUACAAAAACAGAAAGUCAGUCUACUGCCAUAGACUGCUGUCCCUUUCUCUACAAGUGUUAUUUUAGAUUGUAUAUUUGAGUCCAGUGACCCGUUUUGAAUUAAAUUUUAUAUAUGGCGCAAGGUAUGUAUCACAGUUUAUUUUCUUGCAUAUUGAUAUCACAUUGUGCAGUAACAUUUGUUGAAAAGACUAUCCUUUUCCCAUUGACUUGCCUGUGUACCUUUGUCAAAAAUCAGUUGUCCAUGCACUUGUGGAUCUCUUUCUGAACUUGCUACUCUGUUCUGUUGAUUUACUUGCCUAUUUUUAGGCUACAAUUACACUGCUCUGUAAGUAUAUAAUGAAUCUCAAAAUAAGAUAGUGUUAGCUCUCCAAGUUUGUUCAUUAACUCCUGGCUACUUUUAAGAUUUUUCUCUUCAUUGCUGGUUUUAAGCAAUUUGAUUUUGAUGUGCUUUGUUAUACUUUUCUCAUGUUGUCGUGCUUGAGGUUCAUUGAACUUUUACAGGACUAACAAUAAUGUUCAACUCAGUGGUGCCCCAUUAACCUCAGUAUCUGAAUGGUAUUAUGAGUACAGGCUCGCCUUGCCACAGUGGACAGGUAGUAUGAGCAAGCCAUAAAUCUUUGUUGCUUCAGCAAUUGAGAUUUGGGGGUUGCUUGUUAUAAUAACACAAAUUAGACUAUCCUGACUGAUACUGGGGAAUUAUGGAAGAUUUCGCUUUUCUUAUUUAUAUAUUUAUAUAUUUCCGUCCAAAAUUUACACAAUGAGCUUUACUCUUAUGAUAUAAACACUAAUUAAUAUUAACAUAUUUCAUUGAAUGAAAGGUGACAUCAAUUGUAAGACACACCAUUAUUUUAUGUAUCCCUAAGAAAGAACAAAUAUUUUAAAUUAUACUAUGACUCAGAUAGUUCUAUGUGUUAUUUGAAUUGGUCCACCAGUCUCUUGUUGCUUUGAGAUUUCUUUUAUCAGAUCCCAAAGACUUGGCGAUUUCUUCUGUCUUCUGCCUUUAGUUGCGCUACUAGUUGUAUGGUAAAUAAUCAUUUUCCACAUAUAUGUGUAAGAAUUUAAUGGUAUAUAAUGCAGGUUCAAGUACAUGUAGGUAUCUUUUACUUUUUAGUUUUUAUAAAAUAUUUGGUUUAUUCUUUGCCAGAAAAUCAGAAAUUAGAGUCUUUUCUCCACUAAUCACUAAUAUAAUUGUAUUACCGUUCUAUUGCUGCUGUAACAAAUUACUACCAAAUCAGUGCCCUGAAACAACACAAACUUCACUGUCUUAUAGUUAUGGAAGUCAGAAGUCCUAAAUGUGUCCCAAAGGUCUAAAAUAAAGUUGUCAGCAGAGCCGCAUUCCUUCGCGAGGCUCUAUGAUAGAAUCCGUUUCCCUGCCUUUUCCGGCUUCUAGAGGCUGUCCACAUUCCUUGGCUCAUUCAAAACCAGCAAUGGAACCAGCUGGUUCCAUUCAAAACCAGCAAUGUCAGGCCAUGUAUUCACACUGCCAUCUCUCUGAUUCUCUCUUUUGUAGUCACAUCUCCCUCGACUCUGACUCCUCCCCUGCUUCCCUCUCCCACUUUUAAAGACUCUGGUGAUGUGAUUGCAUUGGACCCACCCAAACAAUCCAGGAAAAUCUCCCUAUUUUAAAGCCAUUUGAUUAGCAAUUUUAAUUCUCCUUCCCCAGGUAAGGUAACAUAUUCACAGGUUCCCAGGAUGGCUAUGUGGACAUCUUUGAGGGAAGAGGGAUAUUAUGCUGUUUACCACAAUCACUAACAUCAAACUCAUGUACCUGCUCUUUUUCUGCACCGUCCUGUAUGUAUAACAACUUUUGUUUCAAUGAGGAAUCACAUUAUAGUUUCUCUGGAGACAUUUUAAACUCAAUGCAUGUAAUAUAGUACCUAGAAAGCAUAUAACACAUUGCUGUGAUGAUCAUAUAAACAGCGAUGAACAAAUCUCGCUGUGUAGAAAAUGACAAACAAGUCACUCUUAAUUGAUGAAAAGAUGCCAUAGAAUUUCAGGAUGCAGCCCUAUUUCAGAGACAUUAGCAUGUAGAAAAACAAUGUAAUCUUAAAAUAGAUGAAAUACAGUAUAUGCAAAAAACUAAUCUACAGAUCUGCCAGUUAAUCAUCUAAUAGGUGUCUAAAGAAUGGAACACAUACAUGAUUCACUUUGAUGGGAAAAGGAGAAGAACAAGGGCAUGUUCCAUGUCAGACAGUGAAAAACAGGCAUGAGGACACUAUAUGUCUAUGUCAUGAGAUACUGAAAUGAGCUCUGAGAUGACCAGCAUAUGCAUUGACUAGAAUAUAAGUAAUCCCAAGCUUUUUAAAAAAAAAAAACAAAAAAAAAAAAACAAAAACAAAACAGAAGAGUCCAACAAAUAUUCAGGGAAGUUUUCCAUUUUUAUAAAUAAGAUUUUCUACACGUGUAUUUAUUUUGACAUUUUGAGUUGCACAGGAAUGAAUGUGCUUUGGAGGGUGGCUAAUUUUUUAAAAAUCAUGUGCCAUAAAUCAGAUAAUGGUUAUAAAAUGAUUUCACAAUCUAAAAAGUCUUGAAGUACACUUUUCAACAAAUCAUUUUUCUUUCUUUUUUUUUUUUCUUUUUGAGACGGAGUUUCGCUCUUGUUACCCAGGCUGGAGUGCAAUGGUGUGAUCUCGGCUCACCGCAACCUCUGCCUCCUAGGUUCAAGCGAUUCUCCUGCCUCAGCCUUCCUGAGUAGCUGGGAUUACAGGCAUGCUACACUACGCCCGACUAAUUCUGUAUUUUUGGUAGAGACAGAGUUUCCCCAUUUUGGUCAGGCUGGUCUCGAACUCCUGACCUCAGAUAAUCCACCCGUCUUGGCCUCCCAAAGUGCUGGGAUUACAGGCGUGAGCCACCACACCCGGCCUACAAAUCAUUUUUCUUAGCUAAAUUUCCUUUUUCUUUAUAUCCAUGGCAUGGACUCUAUGAAACUAUCUUGGGAUGAUAAAAAUACCAGGACAGCAAAUAUAAACAAAACUUUACCAUUAUGUCCUAAAUUUCUGCUUUGAAAAAUAGCAAAGCUUUAAGAUGCAACUACAGCUAAAACUUCAGUAACUAAGAAUAAUUUGGAAGAAGGCAAUUCUGAUAUAGUGAAAAGUCUAAAUCAUAUAAUUUUGAAAAGAAACGUAGCUGGGUUGCGUUUAAGCAGUGUAGUAAGAUGCAGUUUUUAAAAAGAGAUAACCAAUUAUUGGCAAUCGGCGGGCCUGCUUUAGUAAAAAUAAGGUUGUGAUUAAGUUAUAUUAUUAUUAUAUAUUAUUUUGUCUCAUCUAGACUUGUUUUUUCUCAAUAGUGAUAAUUGCUAGAAAUAGAAAUCAUAGGGUCAGACUUAAUUUUAGGGGAAUGGGGUCAGGGUGGGUGAGUUGGGAGGGAAACAAAAUAAAAGGAAGGGGUACAGUGAAAAUAAAUUGGAUAAGGAAGGCAAGGAAGGGGUUCUGGAAAAGUUUAUAGUGGCACAAAUGUAGAGUGGGAUGUAAGUCACAUACACACAUACACCAAAAAGAAGGAAGGAAGAGUGGAAAUACCCAAUGGACUGGUGACAUGACACAUACGCCCUGCUCCCAGAUCUGGCACUAGAAAUGUUUUCAGUGUUCUCAUCUAUAAAAUGAAUGGAUUAGAAUAGAUUAUAUCUGAGAUUUCUUGAAGAUCUACUACGCCUUAAGUAUUUAUCAGUAAAUGGAAGUUGCUAAAGUGGUUUUAGAAGAGCUUGAAUCAGUGAUUUAGGCAUUCUUCCUAUAGUCCUCAUUAAAAUAUUAAUUUGUUUAUCAUUCCUCUUUUCUAGAGAUAGUUAAAAAAUAAAACAAUAUCUCUGGCAUGAUUUUUUGUUUUUGUUCUUUUGCUUUUGAGAUUAUUUCUGUGGUAUUCUCACAGUUUAUUGGAAUUUGUAAUGACAGAUAAACAUCAAUUGAAGCAAUUAAAACUAACACUAUUGGGAAACACGACAAAGAAAGACAUGAGAAUUUCAACCUGCUUUCAUUAUGGCAAAGCAUUAAAAUUACUCUAUCUAAAAAUGAUGCAAUGCAGUCAUUUCGCUGUCAGUCAAAAUUUGAUCUAUGCUUUAAACUGAAUGACAGCUAGCAUUAAAGGGACAGACAUGCUCUGAAAUGUGUGUGUGGUAAGGACUUGGAAUGGUGGUAAGAAGGAGGAGUAAACUCACAAGAAUGAAGUUCAAGUUAUUUUUGGUGUGUGCGUGUAUGUGACUUACAUCCCACUUUUCUACAUUUGUGCAACUACAAACUUAUGCAGAACUCCUUCCUUGCCUUCCUCACCCAACUUAUUUUCAUUGUACCCCUUCCUUUUAUUUUGUUUCCCUCCCAACUCACCCACCCUGACCCCAUUCCCCUAAAAUUAAGUCUGACCUUAUGAUUUCUAUUUCUAGCAAUUAUCACUAUUGAGAAAAAACAAGUCUAGAUGAGAUGAAAUAAUGCCUAUUUUGCCUAAAACUUGCUAAAAUUUCAAUGAGAAUAUAAAAAUGAGACUAAUCUGCCCGUGGCUUUCUCCUAAUUUUUUAGGACCACUUUUAAUAAAAGCAGCCCACAAACUUUAUUUUAUGGUUUUACAUUUGGAUCUUUAUUUCUAAUAGAGAAUUCAUUUAAAUUGAAGGAAAAACUAAGUCGUUUGCAUGCAAAUAUAGCAAUAAGAGGAGAUUGCACAAGUAAUGAAUGUGGUAUAUUAACCAAUCUUUUCGCAAUGAGUGACCAGGAAUAUAUUCAUUCUGAAUGCGUCUCUAAUUCAUUCUAGUUGUUACCAUAAAAGUGCACUAAGAUGUGUAUAUCACUUUAGAUUAAAUGCAACAAUUCACAGUAUAUUUUUCUCACAAUAUCAUGAAUUUUAAGGACUAAAAGGACUGUAUCUGCACUGGAUAUGCUUAAAAACAGUCAUAUCAUGAAAUUAUAAAUUGCUCGUGUGGACCUGGAUCUGAAAGCAUUCAGAAAAUGAAAAUUAAUGUUCAUUAAUGAUCGAUGGUUGUUUUUCUUCAUAGAGUUGUCCUUUCUAAAAUUGAAAUAUUACUUACUAGCAAUGACUAAAAAAGGUUUGUAUUUCUUUGACUUUGAGAACAAUGAAAUACAUCCAGAUUAUUUUAUCAAAAGAUGAAUGAGCUGCUAACAACAAGAUGACAAGUUUGCUGCCAGCCACAAUAAUCAUCUCUUUUUUGGAUCAGGCUUUCUGGAACAGAAAGGGUCUUGAUAUCUACUGUUUCAUUUGAUUCCCAGCACAUCUGGCAAGGAGGUAAAACCUGUGUGUUUAUCCUGUUUUACAGCAGGUGACUGAGACUAUAUAACUUGCCUAAGUUCACUCAGCACACAUUGUCCUGUUUGCUAAAUCAGUGUUUCUGAAAUGCUGGAAGAAUACGUGGAAAGUGUUUGCAGUUCGAAAAUAUAGCCACUUUUUUCAAUAUUCAUUUGUUUUCAGUCUUUAUGUUUAAUUUAUCUUGAAAUUACAAAUAACAUUAAAGGCAAUUUAAAAUGUUUAAACAUCUAUCAAAGGGGCAUGGCUUAUAAAAGGUAGGGAAAUAAUAUGCUAGAUAGAUAUUCCGAUAAACUUCAAUAUUUAAAAAUGCUCAGGGAAAAGUACUGUUAUAUGAAAUUGGCAAGGAGAUUUUAGUUUUACUUUUUUGGUGCCAUUCAUUUGUAAACCCUUGUAGGCAGUAUUUUUUUUAAAUGAGUUACUCUGUUUAAAAUACAAACAGCCUCUCAUUAUUGACGGCAGUCAACUGUAUGACAUAGUAAAAAUACUAACAAUAGCUGUCAUUUAUUUAGUACUUUCUUUGUGUCAAGGAUUAUUUUAAACACUUUACAUAUUUACUCAUUUAACUCAUUAAUUCUUCUUAACAACCCUAUGUGGUAAGCAUUAUUAUUAUUUCAUUUUACAGGUAUGGAAAUUGAGGCACAGAGAAUUAACACACUUACUUAUGGUCACACAACUAGUAAAUGAAACAGUUGAAAUUAGGGGAUUCGAACCCAGGCAGUCUGGCUCUAGAGCUACAGCUCUUAACCAUUAUGGAUGCUGUCUAAAAAAGGGAGGAGUUUCUAGAGUCUGACUAUCUGGACUUCAAUCUUGGAUUCACCCCUUUCUAGCAAUAGUCAAGUUAUUUAGGAUCUCUAAGCCUCAAUUUCCACAUCUGUAAUAUGUCAUAAUGAUAUCAACUUAAUAGGAUUAAUGUAAAGAGGAAAUUUUUAAAAAAUUAAUAAAGCAUAGCAAGGUACCUGGAAACUAGUUGUUAGUGAAUGUUAAUUUUCCUUCUUUAUUAAUGACAAUUUGAGUACUGCCUCAUCAUAAUUCUUUUUCUGAACUUUAAGGUUUUCAUAGGCUUGUAUUUUUAACACUGUUUUACCUAUGCCUCUUGUCCCCCCAAAAGCUGCAUUCACACCACACCAUCUAAAAGUAUCUGUGUAGGUGGCAAGACAAAAAGAAAAAAAAAAUAACCAAAUGAUUGAUUCUCGAAGCAGCUAUUUAUUUGCCAGAUUAUUUGUUUUACCUUGAGUAACUUGAAUUUGGACUAAAAUUGAAAUUGGCCCAAUUGUCCCAUAGAACUGACGUUUAUGGUCUCUUUUGAAUAAACAUAGAAAUUGUCCUCACAUUCUUAAAACUUGAGAAAGUUACAUUUGUCUUAUCUGAGUUCCUUUCUCAGGAAACCAACCAUCAGGCCUCCCAGAUAGUAUCAAAGAAUUGAAAUUCACCGAAUCACCACAUCUGGACAAUGAGAUGCCAGACCCCUAACCCAUCAUGAUUGCCAGCUGACCACCUGUUUCCUGUUGACCAACUCCUCUUCCUCACCCCUCCCUAAUUCCUUCUUUCCUGCAUGUAGUUACAUUUCUUCACUGCUAUAUAAAUUCAUGAUUUUAGUCGGUCAGGGAGAUGGAUUUGAGACUGAUCUCCCUCCCAUCACCUCAGCUGCCCACCCAAUUAAGGGCUUCUUCCUUGGCAAUACUCAUUGUCUCAGUGAUUGGUUUUCUUUGUAGCAAGCAGCAGGACCGAGACAGAACUCUUGGCAUUUCAGUAAAAAAAUUCCUCAAGGGACUGCUAGUUUUGAUUUUGCGUGUAGACUAAACUAACACUGUUAAAAGGCACUAUGAUUAGUGUCCACCUCUGAGAAAUAAAUGUGUGCACCAAAAUUAAGGUUUGCUUAGCAGAUUAAAAACAUGUAUGCAGAUUAGAAAAACUUUUAAAUUCUAAACCUCUAUUCCGUUGACCACUUUGGCUGAACAUAAUUUCUUGGCAUCCAACCACUGACCAACAAAUACUACAUUUUCAAGAGUAAAAAAGAAAUACACGAAAUGAUUAUUAAGCCCCUAUUAUAGACAAAAAAUUACAGAGGCUCCCAAAAGAUUCCAGGAGUUUUGUGAUUGUUGAGUCAGUUUUCUGAAGUCUGACCAUGGUGUGCACUCCAGUAAGCCUAAUUUGGAAGAAUGACCCAGCAGGAUGUUUCUGAUUGAUUCUGGAAAUCUUAUCUAAAAUCCAAUGCUGAGCUAGCUAAAAAUCAAAAUAAACUCAUGUUUAGAGCUCCAGCGAAGUUCAGCUUUGAUUAACCUAUCCAGAUUUGUUAUUUAAAAAUACCAGAGAGAUACCAUAUUAAUUGUAACACAUAUUCAAGUUUUUACUGUUUUAAAAAAUUAAUUAAAAAAUUAUGUAGCAGUGUAUAGGUCACUGUAAUCAUUUGAGAUUUAGGACCUUAAUCUAAUCUUGCCUCCAAUUUUUUUUUUUUUUAAUUGGUAACACUACUGUGUGACUAAUCACUGAAUGAUGUGUGUUCUGGAAAAGGGUCUUGAAGCAAAGUUACCUUUAAUGGGAAUGUACCAUUCAAAUUUAUUUGUUUGUUUUUAUGAAAUGUGCCAGUGAGAAAAUGGAUGGGUUAGUUCUAAGUAACCUUGCCAAGGCUAACCUUUGAGUUAUUAUAAAAACUAUUCAAUUUCUAACUUCCAAAUUCCCACUCAUUUUUAAACGAUUAGAUCCUGAAACAGGAUAGGAACCCUAGGAAGGCCAGUUGGUUGAUUGCUGAUUGAUUGUUUCGGGGGGCUGUUCUGCAGAGCCUUUAGAAGAGCUGCCUGCUUCUUGAUCCUAUGCUGUUAGUACAACUCAGGCACCUGACAAAUUCCCUUGCCAAGGGAGAAUGGCCAUUGUUCAGGGAAGGAAUUCCCUUCAAGUGUCCUUGAAAGGGCUUUUCUUUUUGGAAAGAGCACCUUGUAAGCCUUCACAGUUUUAUGUCUCCUUGGAUACUAAUUGGUGUGUAAGCCCGAUAGGUUUACAAAAGUUAGCUAAAAUUUCAAGUUGCUUUUGACAUGUUCAAGUACCCAAAUGGAUAGACAUCUCUAGCUGAUUUUCUCUUUAUAUGAUUUAGGCUUUGUCUGUAUAAUCCCAGUUUUAUAAUGUUGAGCCGAGGUUGAAUAUAGCCAUUUUUGAAAUGGACGUUAAUCAAAUGUUAAAAGAGUUCAGUCACUAGGAAAUAAAAGGCCAUUUGUUUUGUUUUGUUUUGUUUUUUGAACUGGAGAAAGAGUGAACACAGUUCACCACCACCAUAAAUUAUGCAAUCAAGUUUCCCACAUUUGGUGAAAUCUCAGGGGGUCAGCACAUCUGGAAUGGAAUAGAUGAGCCUUGGCGCUGGGAGAACCACCUUCAUGAUCAUGGCACUACCCCUGACAUAUAAGAAUUCAUCAUUUUUAUUUAAGGGUUUCUCUUUAGGGGACAGAAAACAGUUUAAACUUACAAAAGACAAAAACAGGGUUUUUACCUACUCACUACAUUGAUUAGCACUCCUGUGUACCUAUGUGGGCAUAGGCCUUUUGGGGAUAAUGUAAAGAAAUUGUACAAUUGCUCAAAAUAGUGACACUACCUGUGGUGAUCUCAGACUCAACUAGAAUUAGAACUCAGGAACUAAAAUUAGUUCCCAGAAAUCUUCCACCACACAUCAAAGAGUCACAGCACACGCACAAACACAAACUCACACUUCAGUUGUGAAAACCAACUCAUUUCAAAAUAUAACCUCCAUAUCUAUUUGAAUUUUGGUUGAAACAACUUAUUUUAUUGUUAACUCUCUCCUGCUGGAUAGCUUCCCUUCAAGCUUGUCCAUCCUUCUCCAAGAUGCUGAUGGCUUUAAUGAUUUAGGUUGGUAUGCUUGGCUAGAUAUGUACAUGCAUAGGAAAAGUUUGUAGAAGUACCCAUAUACUUUUUCUCUCAUCUCAAUCUAGAAAUACAAAGAUUUCUUUGGAAGGAUAAUUCCCAGAAUUACUCAGGAGUAUGGAGAAAUGUUAGAAAUUGCAUUAAUUUUAUAACCACCAGUUAAAGCAACGUUCAUAGGUUUCCAUAGAUUGACAAUAUUACUAAAAAGCUCAAGUCAUAGCAUACUCUUCUAAAAAGUAAGAGUCCAAAAAUAGGUUAACAUUCAUUUCAUAAAAAUAAUGAAAAGUAAAAUAAAAAAUAGAUGUUUUAAAAGUAAGAAAUAGAAGACUAAUAGGUUUAUACUAAAAAAAAGCUUCUUAUGAGGAAAAUAAUUUUCUAUUAAUGUGACUGUCUACUUAAGUUGGACAAGUCUUAUUUAUUUAUUUUUAUUAUUAUUAUUUUUUUGAGACGGGGUCUCGCUCUGUUGCCCAGGCUGUAGUGCAGUGGAGUGAUCUCAGCUCACUGCAUCCUCCGCCUCCUGGGUUUAAGCAAUUCUCUGCCUCAGCCUCCCAAGUAGCUGGGAUUACAGGUGCCCACCACCGCGCCUGGCUAAUUUUUUGGUAUUUUUUAGUAGAGACGGGGUUUUACCACCUUGGCCAGGCUGGUCUUGAACUCCUGACCUCAUGAUCCACCCGCCUCAGCCUCCCAAAGUGCUGGGAUUACAGAUGUGAGCCACCGCGCCUGGCUCGAGUCUUUUUUAUUAGUGGUGCUAUGUAUGUGUUUUAAUAGUUAUGUUUAUUCAUUUGGGCAAAUUCACUCAUAACUAACAGACAUUAAAAAAGUUUGAAAGCUUUUGAAGCUGUGAACCUUCUUUACUGGAUCUUCUUGAUGGUAUACUAUAAAACACAUCAGAAUGGUCACAUGUGAACUUAUCAAGUGGAAAUGUGAAGAUUAGGGUAAUAGUUCAUUUGCUGUUCAUGUUACACUUGAUGGAAAAAUCUUCAAAUGACAAGAACAACAGCAAUGUCUUGAUUCCUUAUCAAGAAAUCACAAUUCAAAUCCUUAUGAAUAUAUUCACAAUGCUGCUUGGAAAAAGAAAAAGAAAAACACCUAUAGCCCUCAAUAUUGAAGACUUGUCACAGAGUUUUGGUCAGGUUUUUAAGGUAGAGAAUAUUUGAAGUUUGGCCCCUCUGAUUAUGGUUCAGUUAUAUAUUUUAAAAAUAUAGCACAUAAUGAUAGGGAUUUUAAGUAUAUUUUGGGGUUGGAGCAGGUCCUCUAUAUAAUUAAUGUAAUUAAUGAAUAAGCCUAACUAAAGACUGGAAAAGGACUGACAAAAAUGCAGGAAGAUAAUAGUUACACGUUGGUUAAUGAAAUCAAGUUAUUGGAGCUCUAAGAUGAGCCUUAACAGGACUUACACAUUUCAAGUCUUAUUGGGAAACACUCUUAGAAUCCAUGUUUGCUAACAUCAGUAAUUUAUGAAAUAAUGAUUAUACAGUUUUAAAAUGUCUAUUUCUAGAAUGUAAUUUUCAAAUUGUUUUUCAUAAAUCAGAAUUAUUUUCUUUACUUGUUUUUACAUAGUAAGCUAUGUAUCCCCAAAUGCCUAAAAAUAAAGCAUCUGACUCCCACUUCAGAAGUAGAUGGUGAUUUUAAAAAUCAUGUUUUAGGAGGGAGCUUCCAAGAUCAGAAGUUUAUUUUCUCCUGAAUUCUUUGACUUCAAUUAAAGGUUAACUGCCACCAGGUGGACAGUGGUAGUUUCACAACAGCUAGGAUAGCCUUAUGUCUCAGCUUGCCUACAAUAGAUCUAAAUUAUGCCUGCUGGUCCACCUUAACUGGUAAUAGCACCUACUUUUCACUCUUGAAAGCUUCCAAGUUUGGACAAUUAAUUUUUUGGUCACUCUAUUAACUUCACGGUCAGAGGGCAUUGCCAACUCUGGAUGAAUGAGUUCUUGUUUUUGCUAAAAUGGUAACUGAAAGAAAAACCAUAACAAUCGUCUUAGUCUGCUUGGGCUGCUAUAACAAAAUACUGUAGAUUUGAUGGCUUAUAAAUAAAGUAAAUUUAUUUCUCACAGUUCUGAAGGCUGGGAAGCCCAAGAUCAGGGAUCUGGAAGAUUGGGUGUAUGGAGAUGGCCUGCUUUCUGGCUCCUAGAUGACAUCUUCUAGCUCUGUCCUCACAUGGAUGGAAGACCAGGGCUAUGUUCUGUUCAGCCCCUAUUAGAGCGCUAAUCCCAUUCAUAAGAGCGCCACACAGCACAUGAAUUUUGGGGGAGACACAUACAUUCAGACCAUAGCAGCACUCCUGGUUACAUUUUCUUUCACAUAUAGCAUUUUUUCCCUCUGACUUAAUAAUUGUUAUUUUUUGUCUAUUAAAAAAAAAUCUAUGCCUAAGUUUUUCAUCAUCUCCAACAUUUUUAAACCAGUUUAGUAAUCUGCAGGUUACAAGUUUUUCUGGAGCCUUUCAUCUUGUAGUCUAUUCUGGACUUGUUGCACUUUAGCUCUGCUGAGUAACUGCUGAUAUAGUUUGGAUAUUUGUCCCUGCCCAAAUCUCAUGUCGAAUUGUAAUUCCCAAUGUCGAAGGUAAGGCCUGGUGGGAGGUGUUUGGGUCAUGAGGGCUGAUCCUUCAUGUAUUGGUGCUGCUCUCACCAUAGUGAGUGAGUUCUCAUGAGAGACGGUUGUUUAAAAGUGUGUAGCACCUCCCCCAAACAACUCUCCCUCUCUCUUGCUUUGGCUUCUGCUAUGUGAAACGCCUGCUCCCCUUUCGCCUUCUGCCAUGAUUGGAAGCUUCCUGAGGCCUCCCCAGAAACAGAUGCUGCUAUGCUUCCUAUAUAGUCUGCAGAACCAUGAGCCAAUUAAACUUCUUUAUGAAUUACCCAGUCUCAGGUAUUUCUUUAUAGCAAUGCAAAAAUGGACUAACACAGACAUCCUGGAAUUUCAGUUGGUCAUCAUUAAUGGAAUUCCCUUUUUCUCUUUAUCUCUCCUUCUCUUUCUAACAUUGAAUCAAUUGCUUUUUAUAUACUACUUUAUUGUUUUUUUCUAGUUUAGGUAGAGUAUGUUCUCCAGAAGCUUCCUAGGAAAGGCUAUAUGAAAGAUAAAAUACUUGAAGUUUUUAGUGUGUAAAAAUAUAUCUCAAUUGAUAAUUGGAUUGCAUAUGGCAUUUUAGAUUGCAAUCAUUAGUCUCAGAAUCUUGAGCAUUGCCUUCUAGCUUCUAGUGUUGUUAUUGAGAAGUCAGAAGCUAUUGUAAUUCUUCAUUCUUUGCAUGUUCAUGUAACCUAUCUAUUUUUCUCUUUGGAAACUUUUCUUUGUCUCCAGAGUCCUAAAUUUUAUAAUCAUUUGCCUGGGUGUGGAUUUUUUUUUUUUUUAACUUUCUUAUGUUGUUGUACUAGACAAUAGGUCCUUUCAAUCAAUGGAUUGACAGCCUUCUAUUCUAGGAAAUAUUUUUAGAUUUUUAUUUGAUGAUUUCCUAAUAUUUAUUCUAAUCUAUUCUCUUUAUUAGUUAAAUUGAGCCAUUACAGUAGUGAAAUAUACCUCACCCUCAGUGCAAAUAUCUUUCAGGGCCCUAUUACAAAUAAUUUCAGAGAGUGAACAGUGCCUGACGUGUAUUUAAAGAGUAUAUCAAAGUGUGUUGAAUAAAUGACAAUUCUCAUUACCUAAUAGAAAGUAUUAAAAUGCAGUCUUUGCUUACAGUUAAUAUUUUCUUCAUAUGAUUUUUCUUUUUACCAUGGAACCAUCUGUUUCAAAGGAGAUGUGACUGGCAUACUCCGAUAAUGUAAUUUUAUUCUCCCCUCACAAAGUCCCAUUCCACCCUACAGCUAUUUACUGGAAAUUCUUCCUAACAUUUAGAUUUUCAGGGGUCACUUUUUCACUUCUUUGACUUUUAGGUACUACUGUAUUCAAUGAUGAUCUCUCUAGUGGGCCAUAACUUUCUGGAAGGCAUCCAAUUAGUGCUUCUGAAAACAGUCUUAAAGGCUCAGUUUGGAUGGCACGCUAAGUGAUUACUCUGUCACCUAGAGCUAUCUGCCUAGAAAAGGUGAUCCAUAUCUAAGCAGGGCAUGAAGGUGAGAGCAGCUAUAAUCCCCAAAAGGUUAGCUUAUUUUUCAGGUUUCUUUUGCUUUUACCUAAAAAAGUUUAGUACCACCAAAUAACAUUUAAGAAAUUCAGAAACUGGAUGAAUUGCAGUAGAGCUUGAUGAAAGUUUCUGAGAGAAUCUAAAAGCUAAUUACUAAAUUCCAGCUGCCUGAUAAACUCUCAACAUAAGUAGAAUUGGCAACUUCCUGUCAAGAAUUUUGUGAAUGUGAGAACACUCCCCUUACAAACAAGUACCAGACUCUUCUACAUCUACAGCAGGACAAUUCUUACCACGAGAGUACUUUUGGCUUUAACAUGGAAAUUCUGAACUGAAUAAUUCAGGGGUGGCAUUAACUGCCUAUCCUCUUCUGUGGCAGGCUAUUUAUUUAGAAGCUCUACUUAUUAUUAAGCUCUACUUAUUAUUGGAGAAGCUCUACUCCAUAACUUUCUGGGAGAACCAAAGGACCAAUUCUCUUUAGCCACUAGUAACCACCCCCGCCCCCCCCCGCCCCACUUUUAGAUAUACAAGAUUCUCAGGUGAUUUCUAAGAAUCAGGGAAACAAAGAAUACCUUUUACACGGCUCUGUACUCUACAGAAAUGACUAAAAAAUACUAAUCUACAGAUUCUUGAAUGCAGUGACACCUAAGUAUGGUACACAAAUUAUAUAUAAAAAUAAAUCUACACUAGGACAAGUGACAGUGAAACUGCAGAACAUCAAAGGCAAAGAGAUUUUAUAAAUAGUCACAGUUAAAAUAAUAGUUGACUUCUCAAGAGCUACAAUGGAAGUCAGAAGACAGUAGGAUCAUAGUUUUCAAAGCACUGAAUGGAAAUAACUGCCAACCUAGAAUUCCAUACUCAUUGAAAUAUGCCCAUUUUCUGAUGAUUAGUUUGAAAUAGUGACAUUUUCAGAUAACCAAUAGACCCUCACUAAAGGAAAUUCUAAAGGAUGGAGUUUAGGCUAAAGGAAAGUGAUCCAGGUACAAUAAUAAUCAUAUAAGAAAUUGUGAAGACUAUUUUCAAGGUUCAUUUCUAUAGUUCACUACUGGAGAAGUUUCUCUGAACAUGUGGAACACCAGGAAACAUGAGGAAGAAGCACAGCAUUCUCUCCUAAAUGUGAAGCCAGCUGUUGGUGUUGCUUUGCUAUAACUGCUAUUUGCCAUUGAUGAUUAUUUUCCUCUUCUUCCCAGAGAGUAAGAGGGAGAGGAUGCAGUCUGUGUGGUUCCCAUUAAAAAGAAAGAAAAAGAAAGGAAGGAAGGAAGGAAGAAAGAAAAAAUUUUUGGAUAGAAUAACAAAGCGAUAACAAAGAAAGAUAAAUAAAAAAAAGAAUUGCUCUUCUUUGUGAAAAUGUGAUGCUCUCUGAGUUAAAACGUUACCUCUAAAGUCUCUGUAAAAUGCAAACAUGCUAUAAAAAAGGGAUGACGUAUGACGUCAUUAACAUUUCUGAUAUAGUGUGUAUUCUAAUAUAGAAAGUGUGUUCUCGACCAGGCGCGGUGGCUCACUCCUGUAAUCCCAGCACAUUGGGAGGCCGAGGCAGGUGGAUCACCUGAGGUCAGGAGUUCGAGACCAACCUGGCCAACUUGGCAAAACCCCGUCUCUACUAAAAAUACAAAAAAAAAAUUAGCUGGGCAUGGUGGCGGGCACCUGUAAUCCUAGCUACUUGGGAGGCUGAGGCAGGAGAAUAGCUUGAACCGGGGAGGCAGAGGUUGCAGUGAACCAAGAUCCCUCCAGUGCACUCCAGCAUGGGCAACAAGAGUUAAACUCCGUCUCAAACAAACAAAUAGAAAACGUGUUCUCUGUAAGAUUACUGCUCCAAGUGCCUUGAAAAUAAGGUUCAAAUAAGUGUGGGAAAUGUGGUGUUAAACAAAGGGAAACCAGAUUCUUAACUGUUGGACUUCGUAGCAUCUUUAAGUAUGCUAAUGUACAUUUUGAGUUUCCAAGAGAGUGAUAGAGUAUAUAUUUCCCAAUUUUAUUUAACCGCAGAUUUUAUUUUUUUCAAAACAAUUUAAUAGAUUGGCAUUCCUAUAGAUCACAUUUAAAGCCCCUCUGUCCCUAGCAUGGUCCCUGAAAUUCUUCAUCAAAUUAGAUGAUAUUCCUGGAACAUGGAGGCAUGGGAUGGGUAAAUCCUUACAGAAACAUGAGAAAACAACAAGAUUAAGAGUAUAAAGUGGCUCAUGGGAUGGAAGAUCCAGAUUGGGGAGCUCCCUUGUGAGAAUGAGAAUUGCAAAAGCACAAGGGGUAAAAUGGCAAACGGAAACAUCAUGUGCCCUUGUGCUGAUGCUUCCAUUGCUCAACUACAUGGGUCAUCCAUGAGUAUUUGCAAUCUUUUGGCAGUAUAAAUAAAAAUGGUUUAGAUGGGAAAUAAACAGAGGCCUCAAAAACAUGCAACUGGGGCUAUUUCUGAUUUAUCUGAUUUGGAAGCAGUGUCCACUGACCAUUUUUAGAAUCAUAUCUGAAAUUUCAUCUCAGUGGUAACUUUUUGCCUUAUUAGUAGAUACAAAAUAACAAAAUCGGGUGGGUUUCCAUUAUACAAGAUUGAUAUGACUUUAUAUACCAUGACCAAAUAUUUGCUACAUAAAACAAUCUUCAUCAGGCUGGGCACAGUGGCUCAUGCCUGUAAUCCUAGCACUUUGGGAGGCUGAGGUGGGCGGAUCUUCUGAGGUCAGGAGUUCGAGACCAGCCUGACCAAGAUGGAGAAACCCUGUCUCUACUAAAUACAAAAAAGUUAACCGGGCAUGGUGGUGCAUGCCUGCAGUCCCAGCUACUUGAGAGGCUGAGGCAGGAGAAUCACUUGAACUCGGGAGAUGGAGGCUGCAGUGAGCCGAGAUUGCACCGUUGCACUCCAGCCUGGGCAACAAGAGCAAAACUCCAUCUCAAAAUAAAUAAAUAAUAAUAAUCUUCAUUAGAUACCUAUAGAUUAGUUCUCACUCAUCAGCAACAUUCAUGUCUAUGUUAGCACUGAAAGCAGUGAUAUAUUCCCAAGCAAUAAGUAUUUAUCCAAGUAAGUUUAGAAUUAAAAAAUUAAAUUAAUAGAUUAGUACCAAAAUUAUGAAAUCUCAUUAAAAUAACAAAUUUUAAAAAGUAUUUUUAUGGAAGGGAAUAAGAAUUUUACAUACAACUCAAUGUAAAUCUAGUGUAUUUUUAAUUUUUUAAUUCAUAUAUUUUCUAAUGACUCAUAUACAGAAUAUAUACAUCAUUUUCACAAAACACUAAGGAAAAGGCAAUCCAAUUAAUGGUUAGAAUGUUUAAUAGAUAUUUCAUAAAAGAGAAUAUUCAAAUAACAUAGAUGUCUCUAAUGAAUUAACUUUAAAAGUUUGACCUCUUUGAUCAUUCUUUCCUUUUAAUUUUUAAUUUUCAAAUUUAAUUUUUUUUAAGAAGACCUAGCAUGAGAUUUACCCUUUUAUCAGAUUUUAAACUAUAUAAUACAGUAUGGUCAUCUGUAGUCACAAUGUUUUACAGUGGCUCUCUAGAACUUAUUCAUUUUGCAUAAUAAAUUUUAUACCCAUCAGCACCUCCCUUUUUCCCUCUCUUCCUAGCCCCUGGAAACCACAAUUCUAUUCUUCGUUUCCAUUAGUUUGACUAAUUUUGAUAUCUCAUGUGAAUGAAAUCAUGCAGUAUUUUCCCUUCUGUGACUGGUUUAUCUUGCUUAGCAUAGUGUUUUCCAGGUUCAUUCAUAUUGUCACAUAUGGUAGAAUUUCUUUUUUAAGGCUGAAUAAUAUUCCAUUGUAUAUAUACAUACAAAAUUCCAUUCAUUUGUAAAUGGGCGUUUAGGUUUUCAUUUAUUUUGGCUUUUGCAAAUAGUGCUACAAUGAAUAUUGGAGUGCUAAUAUCUCUUUAAGAUUCUGAUUCAAAUUUUUUGGAUAAAUACCCAGAAGUGGGGUUGCUGGAUCAUAUGGUAAUUCUAUUUCUAAUUUUCUGAGGAAUCUCCAUAUUGAUUUUCACAAUGGCUGCACCAUUUUGUAUUCCUGCCAACAGUACAUAAGGGUUCCAAUUUCUCCACAACCAGCCAACACUUACUGCCCUUAAAAAAAAAAUACAAAUUGAGUAUCCCUAAUCCAAAUAUCUGAAAUCUGAAAUGCUCCAAAAUCUGAAUCUUUUUGAGCACUGACAUGAUACCACGAAUGGAAAAUUCCAUACCUGACUUUAUGUGGUAGGUUGCAGUCAAAACUUCAUUUUAUGCACAAAACUAUUUAAAAUAUUGUAUAAAAUUACCUUCAGGCUAUGGUAUAAAGUAUAUAAGGUGUAAAUGAAACAUAAGUGAACUUUCUGUUUAGACUUACAUUGCAUAUCCAACAUAUAUCAUUAUGUAUAUGUAAAUAUUCCAAAAUCUGAAAACAUCUGAAAUGUGAAACAGUUCUGGCCUCAAGCAUUUUGGUAAGGGAUAGUCAGUAAGUGUGAGUGAUAUCUCAUUGUCGUUGUGAUUGCAUUUCCCUGAUGAUUAGUGACAUUGAAUAUCUCUUCAUAUACCUGUUGACUCUUCAUAUGUCUUCAAAGAAAUGUCCAUUCAAGUCCUUAGCCCAUUUUAAAAUCAAGUUAUUAGGGUUUUGUGGGUUUUUUUUUGUUGCUGUUGUUGCUAUCAAGUCAUAGCAGUUUCGUAUAUAUUUUGGAGAUUAGCCCCUUAUCAGAUGUAUGGUUUGCAAAUAUUUCUGUCUUUCCAUAGGUUGUCUUCUUACUCUGUUUCCUUCACUGUGCAGAAGCUUUUUUAGUUUGAUGUAGCCCCCUUGUCCAUUUUUACUUUUGUUGCCUGAGCUUUUGAUGUCAUUUCUGUGAAAUCACUGGAUAUACUGAUGUCAUAAAGCUUUUCCCUUAUGUUUUCUUCUAUGGGUUUUACAACUUUUCAGGUCUUAUAGUGAAGUCUUCAAUCGAUUUUUAGUUGAUUGUCAUUACUCUGUGCACUUUAUUAUAAAAUAUUUUGGCUUUAGAGUUCUUAUAUGACAAGCCCUGGACUAAAUAAUCUCUAAGCACCCUUCCAGCUCUAUUCUUCUGUGAUUCAUAAUUUUACAAAAAAAGAUGCAGAAUUCUCACUUCUCUUUACUCCACAAUACAGUCACUAUACAAGCAUUGUUUUUGGCAGGCUGUUCAACUGAAAGAACUAAAUUACUAGCAGGCAGACCACAUCACCUGGGAAUUGUUUCUUACUAUCUUACCACAGAAACUCAAUUAAUCUUAGGACUCUUGCUUUUGACUUUUCCCAAGAAACUUUUAAAUCUGCCAUUCUGUCAACUAGCAUUUAUUGGAUUCCUACUAUAUGUAUGGACGCAGGGUUAGGCGUGUGGGAUAGAAAGAUGAAUACAACACAUUGAUGGUUUUAAAGGCAAUCACAGUGUAGUGGGGGAGAUAGAGAUGUAUGCUAUAUGGGCAAUACCAUGAAAGAGAUAUGUGCAGGAUAUUAUGGGCAUAGGAGAAAAGAGGAUAUAACUCAACUUGUAAGGGGUGAUAAUGGAAGGUUUCCAAGUAGAGGUUUUACCUUAUAUUGUUCCUCAAGCUGAGGUGUAUACUUGUGGGAGAAUGUUAGGCAGAGCAUGCUAAACAAUGAGAACAGUAUGAGCAGAUGAGCAGAUGUGAGAAAUAGCAUUAUGGAAAAGGUAGUUCAAUCGUUGUUGUCUGCCCUAUACCCCUUGUUUCUUUUUUGUUUUCUUUGUCCUUUAAAAUGUUUUUUUGAGGCAGGAUCUCACUCUGUCACCCAGGCUGGAAUGCAAUCACAUGAUCCAGGCUCACUGCAACCUCUGCCUCCUGGGUUUAAGCAAUCUUCCUGCCUCAGCCUCCCGAGUAGCUGGAACUAUAGGCGCAGGCCACUGCACCCAGCUAAUUUUUGUAUUUUUUUGUAGAGACUGGAUUUUGCCAUGUUGCACAGGCUGGUCUCAAACUCCUGAGCUCAGGUGAUCCACCCACUUCAGCCUCCUAAAGUGCUGGGAUUACAGGCAUGAGCCACUGCCCCAGCCCUCUUUCUUGUUUUAGCAGUAUACUUUUCCCUCACUCCAACUAUGUGGUAGAACUGUUAAGCAUAUUACACAGCCCAGUUAACUAUAGGGGUGGGUAUAUGACCCAGACUAAGCCAAUCAUUACAUAGCAUUCUCCUGGCUGGAGCAGUUCAUCCAAGGGAUGGCAUAUGACCCAAGCCAGAUCAAUCAGAUUCUUUUCCUAGGGUUUUAUUAUACUAAAGUAGCAAUUGAAAAAUGGUGUCACAAAGUUUAGGACCAUGUACUCUGGAGUGAAACUUCCUGGGUUCAAAUAUAAUUUCCACUACUUAAUGGCUGUGUAAGCUUAGAUAAGCUAUUAAACUUUUCUGUACCUCAGUUUUCUUAUUUGUAAAACAGGGAGAUCACAAUAAUACCUACAUCAUAGUACUGUUGUGAGGACGAAUGUGUUAAUACAUGGAAGGACUUAUAAUAUUUCCUGUCACAUAGUAAAUACUUAUUAAAUAUUGUUGGUAUUAUUGUUGUGUUAUAUAUGCUACUGUCAUAUUUGUUAUACACUAGUGAUUAUUAUGGGAUUCUUACGCUGGAAUGACGUAAGAUUUGAAUCACCCCUAGAGCAAGGAUUCACAACAUUGGAACUCUUAAAAUUCAGGUCAAGAUAAUUCUUUGUUGCAGGCGGUUGUCCCAAACAUCGUAGGAUAUUUAGCAGCAUUCUGUCUCUAUCCAUUAGAUGCCAGUAGCAUCUUCCCAGUUAUGACAACUGAAAAUGUCUCCAGACACGUUCAAAUGUUUUCCGAGAGUCAAAAUUGCCUUUGGUUGAGAACCACUGUGGCCAUUUUACCUUCCAACUGGAAAGAGACCAUUUACUACAGGAAGGAAUGAAGUCAGCGUGUAAAGAACAACUGAAAAAAGAGAUGGGGAAGAUGGAGAGAGAAUGAGUCCUUAGGGCAACUACAUCUUUAGUUCCAGUUUCUGAAUCUUCUAAACUCUUCUUGUUCUUGCAGCUUACCUUUUGGUUUUCUUUAUCCUUCUAUUAAAAAUCUUUUUUUUGUGUGUGCUAAAUUAAUUUGCUUGGGAUUCUAUUACUUGCAAUCAAAAGAAAUCUGACUAUUGGUGUAUACAGCUUAUCCUCACUAUAUAUAUAUAUAUAUAUAUUCUGUGUCCCCUUAGGAAUGUAAACACCAUGAGAACACAGGCUUUGUCUGCCACAUUUAUUGCUGCAUUUGCAGCAUGUAGAAUGGUGACUGACAUAUAAGAAGUACCAAUUAAACAUUUGUGGAUGAGUCAAUGAAGAAACUGUAAGUAGUUGGAUGUUUUUAUAGCUGAAAAUUAUGAAAGUGGGUAUGUUGUAUGUUAUACGGGCAAUUAAAUAGUGUUAGAAGUCUUUUGAUUGCAAUCAUCAUUCCAGUGAUGGUCGAAUAACAUGGAAUACCAUAAUCAGGAAUUAUCACCUUAAAGAUUGAUUACUUAACAUUGAUCAUGUGGCUGGGCAAGGUGGCUCAUGCCUGUAAUUCCGGUGCUUUUGGAAAGCUAAGGCAAGAGAAUGGCUUGAGGCUAGGAGUUCGAGACCAGCCUAGGCAACAUAGUGAGACUCUGUCUCUGUCAAAAAAUUAAAACAAAUUAGCUGGGAAUGGUGGUGUGUGCCUGUGUCUCAGCUGCUCAGGAGGCUGAGGCAGGAGGUUCGCUUGAGCCCAGGAGUUCAAGGCUACAGUGAUCUACGACCACAUGACUGCACUCCAGCCUGGGUGACAAAGUGAGAUACUGUAUCUAAAAAAUAAAUAAGUACAUAAAAAUAACUUAAAAAUAAAUAAAAGCAUGUUAUUUAAUGGGUGUAUAAUAUUCUACCUUAUGCAUCUAUCUUAACACUUCCAUUAUUGGAUAUUUGCAGUGUUUUUCAUUUCUGCAAUUAAAAACAAUAUUCUGGAGAAUAUCAAUAUCAAUUAAUAAUAAUAAUACUGUCGAAUAAUUGCUUUCAGUACCUUAAGCUAUGAAAUAAGCAAAAUAAGGAUUGUAGUAGCUAUGGCAUACCAAGUAAGUACUAUAAAACUCAGUUCUUUGGAUGCCAUCUAAAUGAGUUUACACAAAGUAGAGCUAGAAAGUCUGGGUCACUGAUUGACACCAUGGCAAGAAGGAUGUCUUCUUAUAUUUAAAUGUAAGGUUGAAUAGGUUGAAAAUGCCACUUUCAGCAAAGGUGGGAAGAUCGCUUGUGCCCAGGAGUUUGAGGUUAUAGUGAGCUAUGAUCUCGCCACUGCAUUCUAGCCUGGGUUGAGAGAGUAAGACCUUGUCUCUUAAAAAAAAACAAAAAAACGGCCGGGCACAGUGGCUCACGCCUGUAAUCCCAGCACUUUGGGAGGCCGAGGUGGGUGGAUCACGAAGGUCAGGAGAUCAAGACCAUCCUGGCUAACAUGGUGAAACCCCAUCUCUACUAAAAAUACAAAAAAAUUGUCCGGGCGUGGUGGCGGGUGCCUGUAGUCCCAGCUACUGGGGAGGCUGAGGCAGGAGAAUGGCGUGAACCCGGGAGGCGGAGCUUGCAGUGAGCUGAGAUCGCGCCACUGCGCUCCAGCCUGGGCGACAGAGCGAGACUCCGUCUCAAAAAAAAAAAAACAGAAAAGAAAAAGAAAACAUUGGUCAUCUUUAACAAAAGCUACACCACAGGGUCUACUUGUCUUCAGGAACAUAAGAAAUAAAUUUUUGUUAUUGAAAUGAAUGGUGUUUAAGGUAGGCAAUUGUUAGAAAUGAUGUAUAAGACCCACUUGCUCCUGCAUGAAGGAGGUUUUAGAGUUCAGCAAAAGCUAGGAGUCUAGAGCCACGUUGGUCUUAUGUACCUAAAUUUCUCAGUCUUCUGCUGCCCAGUCUGACUGUAGAGCACCCUAGUCCUACCAGUGACUCCUACAUUGCGCCUUCUUGAAAAUGUGCUUUUCAUGUAAAGUACUAGUCUUUGGGUUUAGGUCAGAGAGUGGGAUCUCCCAGAGCUAUCGAAUAGAUUAUAUAGUUUUUUUUUUUUUUUGCCUCCUUUCUAAUGAACAUUUGUGCAUUGUAUGUAAUUUAACUUGAUACUUUAUUUUGUUGUAACUACUAUCUAAUAGCCAAGAUUUGGGAGAGAGAACAUGUAGUUUUCACAUAUCUUUUACCACCAGAUGCUACAAUAUUUACAAAAACAAAACAAAACAAAACACAACUUGGCAUUUGCUGUAUUAUCCAAAUUGUUUUCACUCAUCUGCAACACAUAGAAAUGGCUUAAAAAGAAAGGUAGAAUAGCUUUAGCUUUAUUCUGAGUUGGUGAAGAGCCACUAAAGAGUUUAAAAGAUGUGAGUGAGUGACAUCAUAAGUUUUGAAUUUUAGAUGUCAUUCUUGUAACCGUGUGGACAAAGGACCUAAGGAGGAGAAGAGACCGAAGGCUGGGAGAUUAGUUAGAAAGGUUUUAAUUUGGGUAAGAAACAAAACAGGCAGUGAUUGCAGGAGAGAAAAGGAGGGGACAGAUUAUAAAAGUAUACACAGUAUUUAGAAUAGGUAAGUGAUUAAAUAGGUUAAAGAAGGUACAGAAAAAGGAGAAAUCAUAGAUGCCUCCUAGGUUUCUAGCUUGUAUAAUGGGGCAUGAUGGUGGGAUCAAAUGCAAUAAAUAGGGAAUAGAAGAGGAAGUGCAGGCAUUUGUAUUUAUUUCUUGAGUUUUUGUUUGUUUUGUUUUCUCUUAUUUGCUUCCUUAUUCUGUCAGCUUCCUUUAUUUGCCAAAUUCCAUUUUAACACCCUGACUUCCUGACUGGCUUCUCUGUAGCUAUGGUAAAUGUUUACUUUUCAGUCCCCUUUGAGCUAUGUCUACUCAUACAUCAUUUUGACAAUAAACAAAAUAAAACAAUAGUUAAAUUCAACUAAAAGUGGCUGUUGAAAAGAACAACAUUGAAAUAAAACAACGUUGAAUUGCAACAAUUUGUCGGUGACUCAUUAGCACCAUCAACAUUAAAGUCAACAAAUAUUUGAAUGCCAACUCAAUGCCAAGCACUGUCCUGGGCUCUUUAGAAACAAAGACCCAAAGCAGUUCAAUAAAGUGGAGAGAGUGGUGAUUUUGGAGUUAUAACUGGAUUGGAUUUCUCCUUCCAUUACCUACUGGGUUUGUGACCUUGAGCUAGUGGUUAGCUCCUCAGGGUCUCAUUUAUUUCCAUUUGUAAAAUGAGGAAGAAUGCAUAAUAGAGAUAUCGUUCAGCUGUCAUCUUAAGUGAGAUAAAAAAUCCAACUUAGCCCAGUAGCUGACAUGUUGUAAGCACCUGAUAAAUGUUAGCUGCUAUGGAAAUAUACUCAUAACUGUACUCUCAAGAAGCUUACAGUCUAUUACAUAUGUUUUUUUAUAUAAGCCUCUUACAUCAUUUUUAUGAUUAAUUCAGAGAAUAGCAUAGCAUUGGAUCAUAUUCUUAUCACAGAGAGGGCAUAAUGAUUCAAAAUGGUAGUACCUCAUAGUCUUAGAGCAGCAUGUUUUUCAAAACUCUGAAUAUAAUCAAGUAUAACAUUUCAAGUCUUUGAGACUUACUUGAAUGAUCUAAUGAAGAAAAUGAAAAAACACAAACUCCUUUAGAAUAGUAAUAAAAACAUGAUAUAUUACAAACAGUUAAAGUAUGUUAAUUGGCUAUAAUGUAACACCAAGGGUGUGGUGGGGUUUGGAUGAGAGGGGAAAGAAAAGAACUUUAAAAAGCAGAAUUACAUGAGGUAAUACAAACCCAGAGUAAUGAGAGUUUCUGCCAGAUUGGGUUAUAAUGAACACACUGUGUUUUAAUGAAGCUAGUAACUGAGUAUCUUAUUAGAUUUCACUAGAAUCCAUUGCAGGCCAUUUUAUGGUAGCCCAGUUAAGAUCUUUUAUGAGUUUAGAAUUCUGCCAGAUAUUUUGAAAAAGAAAACCUAACUUUAUUACUCUACUUCCAGCAUAUAAUUUGCUUGAGAUGUUUGUCAGUAGUUAAUAAACCAUAUUUUUCCUCAACUCAAUAUUUUUAUUAUAAUAAAUGAGGAAAAAUGUUGAAAAAUAAAAAUAUGCACCUAAAAUAUUCUUGCUUUCACAAAAUCAGAAGGACUAAAUUUUAAGUGAAGCAUAUGUUUUUGUAAAGUUUUAAGUUAAAAGAAUAAAAAUAAAAAGGCUUUUGGCUUAGAUUUUCAAAACUCAGUAGGAUUUUGCAAAGUACAAAUUUAUAUAUUUCAUGCAAACUUGGGUAAACUCUGCAGAAUAGCAAAUUCCAGUAAAACAGAUGGCAGUGACUCCUGGGUUGAUUUGUCCAAGUGAUGCUUUUCAACAUUCAGCAAUAGAUUCUUUGACCAUCCACAUGGAAGGCCAGUGCUUGGUGAUGCUAUCCAGCUGGCAAGUUCUUUCUUUGUUGUCUACUAUUCCUGGUUUUGUAGUCUUUCCCAGACUUUCAGCUACCUCUCAUUUAUUGACAGUCAUAAGUUCUGGCUAUGCUGCUAUCCACAUAUCUUCUCAGUAGAGAGUAACUCACAUGAAUAAUAUGUUAUUUUCUCAAGGGUAUUUUAUUUCACAAGUUAAUGCUUCAAGAACAUUUACUGAGCACAAAACAAAAAUGUACACAUUUAGUUUCAGACUUGGACAGUUUUAAUGGAGCAUUGGAUAUCUGUAUAUAUCCUAAUCUGAUUUUUUUUUUUUUUUUUUUUUUGAUGGAGUCUUGCUCUGUCUCCCAGGCUGGAGUGCAGUGGCUCAAUCUUGGCUCACUGCAACUUCCCCUUCCCGGGUUCCAGCGAUUCUCCUGCCUCAGCCUCCCAAGUAGCUGGGAUUACAGGUGUGCACCACCACACCCGGCUAAUUUUUGUAUUUUUAGUAGAGGUGGGGUUUCACCAUGUUGGUCAGGCUGGUCUCAAACUCCUGAGCUCAAGUGAUCUUUCCACUUCAGCCUCCCAAAGUGCUGAGAUUACAGGCGUGAGCCACCAUGCCCAGCCCUCUAAUCUGAUAUUUUAUCAUCAGUGGCCAAUUCAAGGCUCUAACCAUGUCCAGAAUUAAUAUUAUUCUUCUUCACAUGCCUUCUCAAUCACCAUCCAAGGUAGAGUCACAGUCACUUCUCUGCAUCAUUCAGGAAUGCUUUGUCUAAUGGCCUUUAAAUUGGACAUUUCCUGCUUAGGGUGGAAAUGGAAGGAUGGGAAAGAGGUGGUAUUUGUAUGAGCCAAGUGAACCCCUAAACAGACAAUUCCAUUAUUUAUAAAGCCAUGCCCAAAUUUUAAAUCAAGAUGAAGAUAUGAAUUUGUCAAUGUUAUUGAUACUGUCAAGAAGUAGAGUUAGUGGACUUAAUGAUAGUGUUUUAUAUAAUGGAGGUCCAAGUCAGACAGGAAAAUAAGUGAAAACAUUUCAUCUAUUUUUGAUGUAUUGUAGGGGGAAGAAGAGGAAGAGAGACAGAGAAAGGUGGUCCGAUGUUUGUCCAAUCACCCUUCUCUGGGUAAAAGUCCUGGAGGGAGAGGUUUAUUAGAUAAGCUGAAGGGAAUAAAAAGGACAUGAAACUUCUGUUCCACUUCCUACUUGGAACUCUUCAAAGAAGCAGUUUUACCACCUACCUCUGGCCCCUGCCUAAUUAUACCAGCUUUGAGAGUCAGAGGAUCAACGGCCUACUACUCAUAUCAACUUUUUCUUUCCCUGGGAAAAUAGACCUCACGGGUAGGUUUAAGAAGUGGAAUACUUCAACAGAACAUGAUUAAAGAUGGGCAAAUGAAUACAAAUACCCCCUACCAGAAAUUAGCAAGUGUUGGCAAGGAUGCGGAGAAAUUGGAGCCUUUGUGCACUGUGGAUAGGAUUGUAAAAUAGUGUAGCCACUAUGGAAAACAGCAUAAACAAAGCUGUAGUAAUCAAGACAGUGUGUUACUGUCAUAAAGGCAGACAUAUAGACCAGUGGAAUAGAAUAGAGAGCUCAGAAAUAAAUUCUCACAUACAGGGUCAAAUGAUUUUUGACAAGAUUACUGAGACAUUCAGUGGGGAAAGUAUAGUCCUUUUGACAAACGAUGCUGGGAAAACUGGAUAGGUAAAUACAAAAGAAUAAAGUCGGACUAGUAUCUUACACUAUAUCCAAAAAACCUCAAAAUUGAUCAAACACCUAAAUGUAGUAGAUAAAACUAUAAAACUCUUAGAAGAAAACAUAAGAAGAAAAGAAAAAACUGGGAAGUUGGACUUUAUCAAAAUGUAAAACUUCCAUGUUUCAAACGACACUAUCAGCAGAGUGAAAGAGCAGUCUGUGAAAUGGAAGAAAAUGUUUGCAAAUCAUAUAUUUAAUAAGGGAUUAACAUCCAACAUAUAAAAAAAAAAAACUCGUACAACUCAACAACAAAAACAACCAGAUCGAAAAGUGGGUAAAGGACUUGAAUAAACAUUCAACAUCUGUACAUCUUAUACAGAUGGCCAAUAAACACAAGAAAAGAUUCGCAACAUCACUGAUCAUUAGGGAAAUGCAAAUCCAAACCACAAUAAGAUUCCAUUUCAUACCCAUUAGUAUAGUUAUUAUAAAAAUAAAUGAAUAAAAAUACCCAAAAAACCCAUUGGAAAUUGGCAAAUGUUGGCAAGGAUGUGGAGAAAUUGGAGCCCUCGUGCACUGUGGAUAGGAUUGUAAAAUAAUGUAGCCACUAUGGUAAACAGCAUGGUGGUUCCUCAUAAACGAAACAUACAAUUACUGUAUGAUCCAGCAAUUCUCCUUCUGGGUUUAUACCCCAAAUAAUUGAAAGCCCGGAUUCAAAAAGAUCUAUAUCUAUAGAUAUAGGUAUUGAUAUAGCUCUAUCUAUCUAUCUAUCUAUCUAUCUAUCUAUCUAUCUAUAUAUCUGUGCAACCAUCACCACUAUCCAUCUUCACAACUUUUAUGUUCCCAAAAUAAAACUUUGUACUGGUUAAACAGUAAGCCCCCAUUCCCUCCUUCCUCCAGUCCCUGGUAACCACUAAUCCACUUUCUGUCUCUACGGUACAUACAAAAGAAUAGGUACAUACAAAAGAAUAAAGUCGGACCACUAUCUGACUACUAUCUGAUUGGUCAGGCUACAGUGUGUGUGUGUGUGUGUGUGUGUGUGUGUGUAUACACGUAUACACAUAUGUGUAUACGUGUAUAUACACGUAUACAUAUAUGUGUAUACGUGUAUAUACACGUAUACACAUAUGUGCACACGUGUGUACACGUGUAUAUACAUAUAUACAUGUGUGCACACGUGUAUACAUAUAUGUGUAUGUAUGUGUAUACGUGUAUACAUAUAUGUGUAUGUAUGUGUAUACGUGUAUACAUAUAUGUGUAUGUAUGUGUAUACGUGUAUACGUAUAUAAUGUAUAUGUGUAUACGUGUAUACAUAUAUGUGUAUGUAUGUGUAUAUGUGUAUACAUAUAUACAUAUAUGUGUAUGUGUGUGUAUAUGUGUAUACAUAUAUACAUAUAUGUGUAUGUGUGUGUAUAUGUGUAUACACAUGUAAUAUAUGUGUAUGUAUGCGUAUAUGUGUAUACAUAUAUACAUAUAUGUGUAUGUAUAUGUAUGAAUAUGUGUAUUUGCAUAUAUACAUAUAUGCAUACACAUAUAUACACAGUGACAUUCAUAUAUACAUAUAUGUAUGCAUAUAUACACACACAUUCAUAGUAACAUUAUUCACAACAGCCAAAAGAUGAAAAUAAUUCAAAUGUUCAUUAACAGAUGAAUAGAUAAACAAAAAAUGUGGUAUGUACGUACUAGACUGUUCCUCAGCUUUAAAAUGGAAUAAUAUUCUGGCACAUGCUGCAACAUAGAUGAACCUUGAAGGCAUUAUGUUGAGUGAAAUAAGCUAGUAACAAAAGGAGAAAUAAUUUAUGAUCCCUCUUCUAUGAAGCACCUAGUGAAGACAAAUUCGUAAAGACAGAAAGUGGAGUAGUGGUUACGGGGGCUGGAGGAAGGAGGGAAUGGGGACUUAUUGUUUAAUGAAUAGAAAGUUUUAGUUUGGGAACAUAAAGGUUGUGAAGAUGCAUAGUGGUGAUGGUGGCACAAUAAUAUGAAUAUACUUAAUACUACUGAAUUGUACACUUAAAAAUGGCUAAAGUAGUAAAUUUUAUAUAUAUGUACGUUUAUAUAUAUAUAUAUAAACACAAUAAAAAAGAACAUUAAAACUAAUCAGUUACACACACAGACACACACACACACAUAUAUAUUUUUUAAAUCCUUGUAGAUAAAAGGAGGAGGCAGAGCAAGAUGGCCAGAUAGAAACCCCCAGCAAUUGUCCCCCCUACAAGAACACCAAAUUGAACAACUGUCCAUGAAAGAAGUCACCUUUAUAAGAACCAAAAAAAUCAGGUGAGCAAUAAUAGUACCUGGUUUUAACAUAAUAGCAAGGAAAUAUGCUUUGGAGAGAGUAAAAAGGACAGGCUUGCAUUGCUCACACCACCCUCCCCGAAGCCCAGGUGGUGCAAGAUAGAGAAUCUGUAUGCUUGGGGAGGGGACAGCAAAGUGAGUGUGGGAUAUUGCAUUAGCACUCAGUGCUGCCCUGGUCAUAACAGAACACAAUACAAGGGAGAAUUCUGCCAGUGCCCGUGGAGGGAACAUCUGGACAAGCCCUAAGCCAGAGGGGAAUCUUCUGCUCCACUGAGAGGAAUCCAGGUCCCGGCCAUGGCCACCUUCACUACCAGCUGACUAAAGUGGUUUGGGGCUAUCAGCAAAUUUGACUAGCAGUCAAGACACAAGGAUAGCAGUCCUUGGGCAAGCUCUGGUGCUGAGCUGGUCUAGGAAGCAGUGGACUUGGGAUGGGACCCUGUGCAACACCAGUUGCGGCAGACAUGGGAGUGCCUGUGUCAACCGUCUCUCAACUCCAGGCAGUGCAGCUUGGGGACAGACUCCUUCCACUUGGGAGAAGGAGAGGGAAGAGUACUUUAUCUUGCAACUUGGGAACCAACUCAACCACAGUAAACAAAGUACCAAGGAGAUUUCUUAAGACCCUGAUUUCAGACCUUUGCUCCUUAAUGGCAUUUCUAGACAUACCCUGGGCCAGAAAGUAAUGUGCUCCCAUUCCUGGCAGAAUUCACCACCUGAUGACUAAAGUGGCUUUGGGCUUUGAUUAAAUAUCACCAGCAGCCAGGCAAUAGUGACCAUGAGCCUUGGAAAAACCCCAAUAAUUUGCAGGUCUGGAAGAUGACAUGAAGUGGUGCCCCCGGUAGGGGCCAUGAGUGCCCACAUCAGCCCUCCCUCAAGUGCAGGCAUCCCAGUGCAGAGAGGGGAUCAUUCUGAUUGGAAGAAAGAGAGGGAAGAGAGUACAAGAUGUUGCCUGGUAAGCCAGGGAAUGCUUUAUCUUCCCCAAGUCCACUAAGGCUGUUUAUCAGGAGCGUGCAAGAGUUUCAGCGUUCCUGGGCUUAGGGUUCCCCCUAGUGCUGAAACAGAUGCAGUGUCCACAGGCUUAGGUCACUGCACUAAAUCCCCUAAGAAUUCUUGGAAUGCUCUCUCAAGAAUGGGUACAAACAAGCCCAGACUACAAAGAUUAGAAUAAAUACCAAACUCCUCAAAACCCAGAUAUUGACAAAUGUUCAAAAACAUCAUGAACAUCCAGCAAAUCAUGACUACACCAAAUAGAGUUAAAUAAGGCACCAGUAUCCAAUCCUGGAGUAACAGAGAUAUGUGAUCUCUCAGACAGGGAAUUCAAAAUAGCCAUCUUGAAGAACCUGAAUGAACCUCAGGAUAUCGCAGAGAAGAAAUUCAGAAUUCUAUCAGAGAAAUUUAACAAAGAGAUUGAAAUAAUUUUUAAAAAUUAAGCAGAAAUUCUGGAGCUAAGAAAUUCAGUGGACAAACUGAAAAAUGCAUCAGUCUGCCAACACCAGAACUGAUCAAGCAGAAGAAAGAACUAGUGAGCUUGAAGACAGAUUAUAUGAAAAUACACAAUCAGAGAAGAAAAGGUAAUUUUAAAAAAUGAAGCAUGCCUACAAGAUCUAGAAAAUUGCCUCUAAAGGGGAAAUCUAAGAAUUAUUGGCCUUAAACAUGACAUAUAUAUAGAGAGAGAAUGAAGUAGAAAGUUUAUUCCAAGAAAUAACAGAGAACUUUCCAAACCUAAAGAAAGAUAAGAAUAUCCGGGUAUAAAAAAGUCAAAGAAUGCCAAGCAGAUUCAACGCAAAUAAGACUAGCACAAGACAUAUAAUAAUCAAACUGUCAGAAGUUAAGGAUACAGAAGGAAUCCUAAAAGCAGCAAGAGAAAAGCAAACUACAUAUGAAGGAGCUUCAAUACGUAUGGAAGCAGACUUCUCAGAAGAAAUCUUACAGGACAGGAGGGAGUGGGAGGACAUAUUCAAAGUGCUGAAGGAAAGCAACUUUCAACCUAGAAUAUUAUAUCCAGGAAAAUUACCCUUCACAAAUGAAGGAGAAAUAAAGACUUACCCAGAGAAACAUAAGCUGAAGGAAUUUGUAAACAACAGACAUGUCUUAACAAGAAAUGCUAAAGGGAGUUCUUCAAUUUGAAAGGAAAGAAAAUUAAGGACCAAAAAGAAAUCAUCUGCAGGUAUAAAAAUCACUAGUAAAAGUAAGUACACACACAAAUAUAGAAUACUCUUAACACUGUAAUUGCAGUGUGUAAACUACUCAUAUCUUUAGUAAGAAGACUAAAAGACAAACUUAUCAACAAUAAUAAUUAUAGUAAUUUUUGAAGAGAUUGACAAUAUAAAAAGAUAUAAAUAGAAACAACAAAAAGUCAAAAAGUCGAGGGAUUGUGUUAAAAUGUAGUUUUUUAGUUUUCUUUUUACUUGCUUUUCUUUUUAUCAGAGUUAAGUUUUCAUCCAUUUAAAAUAACUGGCUAUAAAAUGUUCUUUGCAGGUCUCAUGAUAAACAAAAAAUGAAAACCUAUAAUAGAUAUACAAAAAAUAAAAAGCAAUGGAUUGGCUGAGUGCAGUGGCUCAAGCCUGUAAUCCCAGCACUUUGGGAGGCUGAGGCAGGUGGACUGCUUGCGACCAGGAGUUCCAGACCAGCCUGGCCAACAUGGUGAAACCCUCUCUGUACUAAAAAUACAAAAAUUAGCCAGGUCUGGUGGUGUGUGCCUGUAGUCCCAGCUACUCCAGAGGCUGAGGCAUGUAGCUUGAACCUGGAAGGCAGAGGUUGCAGUGAGCUGAAGUUGCGCCACUGCACUCCAGCUUGGGCAACAGAGUAAGACUGUCUCAAAAAAAAAAAAAAAAAAAAGAAAGAAAGAAAAAAAAAGUCCCAGUAAAUUAAAACACACUACCAGAGAUCACUGUCAUGUUAAAAAAAAAAAAAAAAGAUAGGAAGGAAGUGAGAAAGGACGAGAGGACUCACAAAACAACCAGAAAACAGAUAACAAAAUGGCAGGAGUAUGUCCUUACCUAUCAAUAAUAACAUUGAAUGUAAAUGAACUAAAUGCUCCAAUCAAAAGACAGAGUGGCUGAAUGGAUUUAAAAAACCCAAGACCUCAUUAUAUGCUACCUACAAGAAAACCACUUCAUGUAUAAAAAUAAACACAGACUGAAAAUGAAGGAUUGGGAAAAGAUAUUCCAUGAAAAUGGGAACUAACAAAAAGCAGGAGUAGCUAUAUUUAGAUAAAAUAAAUUUUGAGAAAAAAAUCUGUAUAAAAAGAUAAAGAAGAUCAUGGAGUAAAUUCAGCAAGAGGAUAUAACAAUUGUAAAUAUGUAUGCAUCAAACACUAGAACAUCCAGAUAUAUAAAGCAAAUAUUAUUAGAGCUAAAAAGAGAGAUAGACCCCAAUACAAUAAUAGCUGGGGACUUUGACACCCCUGUUUUUGGCAUUGAACAGAUCAUCUACACAGAAAAUCAAAGAAACAUCAAACUUAACCUUCACUAUAGAGCAAAUGGACCCAAUAGACAUUUACAGAACAUUUUAUUUAACAGCUGCUGAAUACACAUUCUUCUCUUCACACAUGGUUCAUUUUCAGGGAUAAGACCAUAUGUUAUGUUACAAAGCAAGUCUCAAAAAUUCAAGAAAUUGAAAUCAUAUAAAGCGUCUUUUCUGACUGUAAUGAAAUAAAACUAGAAAUCAAUAAGAAGAAGAACUUUGGAAACUAUACAAACACAUGAAAAUUAAAUAAUAUGCUCCUGAACAAUCACUGAUCAAUGAAAAAACUGAAAAGAAAAUUUAAAAAUUUCUUGAAAUAAAUGAAAAUAGAAACACAAUAUACCAAACAUAUGAGACACAGCAAAAGCAGUAUUAAGAGAGCUCACAGCAAUAAAUACCUACAUCAAAAAAGUAGAACAACUUCAAAUAAACAACAAUGCCUCUGAAAACACUAGAAAAGCAAGAGCAAACAAAACCUAAAAUUGGUAGAAGUAAGGAAAGAAAUUCUCUCACAUCAGCGGCCCUCCUAGGGAACCCUCAAAAUAAACUAAUAUCUGGCCCUUAAAGAUAACAACAAGCUUUGUGCCAGAACUCUUGAUGAUGGCAGUUUUCUUUGAGGAAAAGGAAGAUUUUUAACACAAUUUUUAGUUUGCACAUAGGAAUUUAGAAGGAGCAAGAAGGAGAAGAGAAUACUUCCAAACUUGUUUCACAAGGCAAAUAUUACCCUGAUACCAAAAUCAGACAAAAAUCAGAUCUAAAAAAGGAGAAAUCUAUAGGCCAAUAUCUCUGAUAAAUAUAAAUGCAAAAUUCGUCAGCAAAAUGCUAGCAAACCAAAUUCAACAGCACAUUAAAAAGAUCAUUCAUCAUGAUCAAGUGAGAUUCAUCUCAGAGAUGUAAGGAUGUUUCAACAUAUGCAAAUGUAUAAAUGUGAUACAUACCAUUAACAAAAUGAAGGACAAAACUAUAUGAUCACUUGAAAAGAUGGUGAAAAAGUAUUCUAAAAAUUCAACAUCCCUUCAUGAUAAAAAAAAUCUCUCUGUAAACUGUGUAUAGAAGGAAUAUACCUCAACACAAUAAAAGCCAUAUAUGACAAACUCACAGCUAGUAUCAUACUGAAUAGGGAUAAACUGAAAGCCUUUCCUCUAAGAUCUGGAACAAGACAUGAAUGAUCACUUUCACCACUCUUAUUCAACAUAGUACUAGAAGUUACAGCCAGAGCAGUAAAACAAGAUAAAAAAUAUAAAGGGCAUCUAAAUUGGAAAGGAAAAAGUCAAACUGUCCUUAUUUGCAGAUGAUAUAAUCUCCUAUUUAGAAAAACCUAUUGACUCCACCAAAAAAACUGUAAGAACUGAUAAAAAUUUCAAUAAAUUGCAGUAUAAAAAUCAACAUACAAAAAUCAGUAGCAUAUCUAUAUGCAAACAGUGAACAAUCUGAAAAAGAAACCAAAAAAGUAAUCUCAUUUGCAAUAGCCACAAAAAAUUAAAAUACCUAAGAAUAAACUUAACCAAAGAUGUGAAAGAGCUGUACAACUAAAACUAUGAAACAUUGAUGAAAGAAAUUGAACACUAUACACAAAAAAGGAGAUAUUCCAUGUUCAUGGAUUGGAAAAAUCAUUAUUGUUAAAAUGUCCAUACUACCCAAAGCAAAAUUUAUACGGAACUAUGAAAGAUUCAGAAUGACCGAAACAAUCCUCAGCUAAAAGAACAAAACUGGAAGUAUCACAUUACCUGACUUCAAAUUAUACUACAAAGCUAUAGUAACCAAAACAUAAUGGUACUGGCAUAAAAACAGACACAUAGACCGAUGGAACAGAAUAUAGAACCCAGAAACAAAUCUAUGCAUUUAUAGUCAAUUUGUUUUUCAUAAAAGGACCAAUGACAUACAAUGGGGAAAGGACAGUGUCUUCAAUACAUGGUGUUGGGAAAAUUAGAUAUCCAUAUGCAGAAAAAUGAAAUUAGAUCCCAAUCUCUUGAUACAUAAAAAAGUCAAAUCAAAAUUGAUUAAACACUUACAUCUAAGACCUGGAGCUAUGAAACUACUAGAACAAAACAUUGGGGAAGCACUCCAGGACAUUGGGCUAGGCCAAGAUUUCUUGAGUAAGACCUCAAAAGCACAGGUAAACAAAGUAGAAAUGGACAAACAGGAUUAUAUCAAGCUAAAAAGCUUCCGCAUAAGAAAGGAAACAGUCAACCAAGUGAACGGACAACGCACAGAAUUGCAGAAAAUAUUAAUAAACUACCCAUUUGACAAGGGCUUUAUGACCAGAAUAUACAAGGAGCUCAAACAACUCAAUAGGAAAAGAAACCCAAAUAAUCCCAUUUAAAAAUGGGCAAAAUAUUUGAAUAGAUAUUCUUUGAAAGAUGACAUAUAUGAAAAAAUUCUUAACAUCAUUAAUUAUCACAGAAAUACAAAUCAAAACUAUAAUGAGUUAUCAUCACACCCCAGUUAAGAUUCCUUUUAUUAAAAAGACAAGCAAUAAUGGAUACUGAUGACAAUAUGUUGAAAGGGGAGCCCUUGGUGGGCUUCAUUUUUCUGCAUAUGGAUAUCUAGUUUUCCCAGCACCAUGUACUGAAGACACUGUCCUUUCCCCAUUGUAUGUCAUUGGUCCCUUUGGGAAAAAUAUGCUGUUGGUGGGAAUGUAAAUUAGUAUAGCCACUGUGGAAAAGAGUAUGGAGGUUACUGAAAACUAAAAAGAGAACUACCACAUGAUCCAGCAAUCCCACUGCUAGGUAUAUACCAAAACAUAAGGAAAUCAGUAUAUUAAAGAGAUAUUUGCAUGCACAUGUUUAUUAUAGCACUAGUCACAAUAGCCAAGAUAUGGAAUCAACCCAAGUAUGCAUCAGUGGAGGAAUAGACUAAAAAAAAAAAAAGCGGUACAUAUACACAAUUAAAUGAUAACUCACCCAAAAACAAGGAGUGGAAUUAUGUCAUUUGCAACAACAUGGCUGGAACUGGAGGAUAUUAUAUUAAGUGAAAUAAUCCAGGUACGGAAGGACAACUAUUGCAUGUUCUCACUCAUAUGUGGGUGCUAAAAAAAAAAUUGAAUUCAUGGGGAUAGAGGGUAGAAUGAUGGUUACCAGAGGCUGGGAGGUGUAUUGGGAAGGGGGAUUAUAAACAUGUUAAUGAAAACAAAAGUAUAGUUAGAUAGAAGGAAUAAGAUCUAGUGUUUGGCAGCACAAUAGGGUGACUAUAGUCAAUGAUACUUUAUUUUAUAUUUUAAAAUAACUAAAAGAGUAGAAUGUGAAUGUUAGAAUGGAAAUGUUCCUAACACAAAAACAUGAUAAAUGUUGCAGGUGAUAGAUAUCCCAAUUACCCUGAUUUGAUCAUUAUAUAUUGCAUGCCUAUAUCAAAACCUCACAUGUACCCAUGAAUAUGUACAACUAUUAUGUAUCCACAAUAAUUAAAAAUAGAAAAUUAAAAAAAUCACCCAUUACAAGUGUCUUGUCAGUUGCUAUACUUCCUCCUAAUGUCAGCUAUUCAUAGGGACAUGCUCCUUAACCCUACUACCCUCCUGCAUCUCCCUUUACUCUCAACAGAUUUUGCCUUCUUAGAUACCUUUAUAAGGUAACUCCCUGACAUGUUUUCCUCAUUUUGACUCCAUACCUAAAUGUGCGUCUAUCCUUAUAUUCUACUGAGAAGAAGCAAUUUCCCUCCUUCUGUCAAAGCCUGUGUUCCCUUUUGUGAUAUGGUAGUUAUGAAAUACAGGUAUUGGGGAGAGAGGAAGAGAUAAAGACAAAGUCAGAGAGAGAAGGGAGGGACAGAGAGAUGGGCAGGGAGACAGAAAAGGAUUUCCUAAAUUUCUUUUAUUUCCAAUUACCAUACCAGGAGGCAAAGACACUUUGACUAGAGCUUUACAUCAGGGAAGUCAUGGUCAGAUAGCAAGGAAAAGGGAAAUAUUUGUUCCUAUUAGCCCGAGUGGAAUAGGGGGAGUAGAAAGGGGAGGUACAAGAAGCAGGAAGGCAGAUGCAUCCCUAUCUUUGCUCUCUGGACUGAAGUUUUAGAAAAAAGAGAGGCAGUUAGGUUGAUUGAGGCAAAUUCCUGGAGGCAGGGAGGAUUCUGUCUUACUUGUUUGGGAUUCUGGAAGAUUCUGGAAGGAGAAGGCCUCAGAGGUUGCCACCUUACCGAAGUCUCCUUGAGCUCCCCUGUGUUGUGAAAGUUAUUUAUUACAAGCUACUGUAUCCUGUGAAAAGAUGUAGAAUAUAGCUGGGGGUCCUGAAUGGGGAGCUUGUCUGGGUGGGUUGUAGCAGGGAUAAAGUAGCCCUGGCUCCCAUGAACACAUGAUACUAUUCUCAAGCCCUUACUGUGUCAGGAAUUGUUCUAAACACUUACACGUUUGUACUCAUUCAUACAUCACAAUAUUCCUCUAAAGUAGAACCAUUUUUAUUAUCUCAAAGCCUUAAGUCUUACACAACUUAUUCUUGAAUAUCAUGCCUACCCAAUCAACUAAAAAUACAACAUUAAUAGGAGAACGAUAUAAAGUAUAUUUCAGAAAGUAGGUUAUUGGUGCAUUGCAGAGGUUAUGGAAAUAAAGCUUUACUGCAUUCACCUUAUACUUUAUGUCACUAAUGUAGUUCAGUAACUUUGAUUUCAUUUCCCCCUUCACUGGAUAAUUGCAGGAACCUUGGCCCUUACAUUCCAGUUCCAAGUGGUGAACAUAUCCUUUAAGUAGGUCUAAAUCCUUCAGUUGGCUGACUGUCAUUAUUUUGUUUCAGACUAAAUUUCCCAUUGAGGGAAUAUUCAUUCUCUUUUCAGACUCAUCUAUGUAUUGCCAGGUGCCAGUGCACUCAAUCUUUCAUAAUUUUGCAAGUAUGUCUCUUCUAUCUUUGGCAGGGAGCAUACUUGCAAGGUGGCUUUACUGCUUAAUGUAAAUAGAAAGGGUUUCAAUAGCACAGAUCCCUUUCUUCAACUGUUAAAUAACUAUAGACAUUCCCUAAAUAACAUUCCCUAUAAAGAUUUCACUUAAUGUCAAUUACCUGAAUGAUAUUUGGAAAACUGCCAGAGCUAUUUCUCAUUCCCAUUUUCAUUCUCAAAGAUUGAAACCAUGAAGUGUAAAAUCUCUCCCUGUGUCAAAAAAAGAGGCAGCUUCCUCAUCCCUAGAUGGUUUUGAGUAAUUACUCUUUCAUAUGAACUGAUAAUCUUUCUCUCACUGAUUGCUUAUUACACAGAUGUUACUUUUGUUCCCCAAUUUCAGUGUUAUAAUUGGGUUCCACUACAUUCUUUGCCUUGUUGUCAGAAAACCAGUAACAUUUUCUCAAUGUACCAUCCCUCUGAUUUGUAUCCAAAAUUACUCUAGUCAACCUUUGUGUGGUAUUUGAUAAAUCAUGUCCCCUUUCCAAAUCUGAACUGCUUUCAUAUACCCUCUUGAUCUUUAUUGUCAUUUCUGUAAACUAAAUCGACUGAAAAAUGUUGAUGCCUUUAUAUUUUUAAGUAACUUCUCUUUUUACUUAGCUUGUGUGAAAUUAUUAUCCUUAGCUAAAUUACUAUUUGUUAGUUUAUCCUAAUUCCUUGAAACUAGAUUUGUAUUUCUCUUUUUCCCGGAAGUAUUAUGAAAACAAACUACUCUUAUCUCAUUCUUCUAUGCCCCGAGACAACUUUAUCUGUACCUCUAUUUAGCACUAACCACAAUUUGCCUUGCAUUAUUUUCAUAUAUAAGCGUCUAGCUAAGUGACUGCCCCAUAGCUUUUUGUUUUUAUUUUCUAGAGGGUAGGGAUCACAGCUUAUUCAUUCUACAGAACUUAGCACAGUGCUGUAAAUAUAGAAAGUAGUUAAUAAAGCGGUAAGUUAUUUAUAUUGGGUGAUGUGAUUUGGCUGACAAUGAGCACAUAGCUGUAUCUGUUUCUUGAAAUAGUCAUUAUUUCCCUUUCCUUCUCCCUUGCUUUCUGAUAACAUGUGGUCAAAUGCUGGUGCUUGUUCUAGCCCAUGUUUGUUUUGAGACCAUGAGUAAGAACAAGAGGCUGAGGUAUUUAUCGGCUAGAGUGAAGGGAGUUUGUGGUUCCCUGUGUGGAUAUCAUGAGUGUUUUAUUAUGAUUGUGGUUAAUAAUAAUCAUUGUGAUAACUAAUCGUUCUGUAGACCUUCGCAAUUCUGCUUGUAAAAUGCCAAUUAUGUGUCAGGAACUUUAUAUAUUAUAUAACUAACCUUCACAUGAGAUAUAAGAAAGCUAUUGUUAUGCCAAUAACAAUAUAAACAACAAUAAUAUUUAUUGAUACCAAGCAUUGUGAUAAGUGCUUUCCAAGCAUUCUCCCACUGAACUCUCAUAAUAACCCUAGGAAGAGGUUAGUACUAUCAAUAUAUCUAGUUUAUAGGUAAGUAAACUAAAGUUCAGACUGUUUAUGUAACUUGCCCAAUAGCAAACAACUGGUAAAAGUAAACCAGAGGAAAUGGAAAAAAAUAAUGGGCAAAUAUAUACUAGAAUUAAAGUUUAAUGAGAUGAAUGAAGAAUGAAAUCUACAAGUUGAAAGGACUUAUUAUAGACCAGAAAAUAAAGAAGAUAGAUUAAACUCUAAACUAAUCUAUCUGAAAGUUUUAAAUUUUAUGAACAAUGGGAGUUCUGAAAGGAUCCAGAACCCCAGCUCCCAAAUCAGAUCACCUUAAAGCAAUAAAACUCAGACCGGCCUCAGAAUUAGCCUCAGCACAAAAAAUGCCAGAAGACGAUGCGAUCACCUAGUCAUUAAUUAAUAAUAAUUAAUGAUUAUUAUGCACCAGGCAUUGUGCUACAUAAUUAAUAUUGCCAGUCUCAUUUAAUCUUCAUUACAACCUUUUGAGGUUGGUAUUAUUUUUUAUUUCCACUUGAAGUUGAAGAAAUGAGGCACAAUGUAAAUUUCUCGGGUUCACAUAGGUAGUAAAUUGCAAAAAUAGAAUUUAUACGUGUUUGAAUCCAACACCUAUCUUCUUACCACUUUUGUGCCCUGCCUAACUUGCUUUUACAUCUCUGUUGUCAGUUGCUUAAAGCUGUGACUUAUUCUACUUCUUGCUUGAUUUAACCCAACACAUGGAUUAUUUCCUGAUAUCAAGAUUUGGAUGUUUGCUUUAACACUUAUUCUUCUAACAUGUCUCACACUCCAUGUCCAAAAUGACCUUAGGUUUCGGUUUUAAACCUAUUCUUGCUGUAUCUGGUUUCGUAUGUAAGAUACUAAUUUUGAAAUCUGACACUGACAGUGAUUUGGAAGUCUUCUGUGUUUUCUCACAUCUACCUUCACUUCUCCACAGUCUGCCUCAGCAUAAGGCUCACCAGACAUUACUUCCUGCCUGAAACACACUGUAUGGACAGGUAGAUUUGGUGACCAAAGAGGGUCUGAAUGUUAAAUUUGGCUAAAAUAUUACUCUGCGUAUUGCUUUCUUGAACGAAUGGUUUUUUUCCCCCAAUGAUUUCAGUCAUACUAAAAGUUUCUCUUUUUUACAUAAAAACAAUAUCAAAGAACAAGGACUUUAACUGAGAAUGGAACUAUGUGUUUUUCUAGCACACUGUUUGUCAAGCUUUCAGGAGACAGAGUGGGCUUAUAAACAGAACAAAGCUGGGAAUAGAAAUGAUUUGUGUCAAUAUAUGUUAUCAAUAUUUGCAUACAUGCCAAUUUGCAAAACAAAUACUUCAAAUUCAUUUCUACAACAUUGAAUAACUAACUACUCUAGGCAAAACUAUGUCUGUGUCCUCCGAGAUGAGCCAACAAACUACUUUGUAAAGAGACCUUAGUUAUUCUCCACAAAGGGGCAUGUUUCUGGAAGAAGAUAGAAUAGGCUCCGAAAGAACACAGACUUAGUUUGAAUCUUGAUUCUUAUUCUUAACACCAGUGUGACCUUAGACAAAAGAUAUUAGAGUCUGUGAAUUUCAGCUUCCUAAUCAAACAAGAUUUGGGGAUUUUACUACUUAACUCUUGGUUUGAUUGUACCAAUUAAAUGACAUAGUGCACAUGAAAAUACCAAAGGAAAUUCCUAGUAUAUGACACUAAGUACUCAAUGUUACUUACUCAGUCUCCCUUCCCACUUGGUAUCUUGAACCUGUCAGACAGUAAUGGUGACAGAUUGGUUUUAUGAAACACUUAGUAGGAACUCUAUAAAGUGCUUGAUUCAGUAUUCAAAGAAAUAUAAAUAUACAUAACAAGAAAAUUUAGCAUACACAGAAUGCUUUUAUACAUUUUAAAGUGUCUUUUCUGGCCUAGCGUGGUGACUCACACCUGUAAUCCCAGCACUUUGAGAGGCUGAGGUGGGAGGAUUGCUUGAGCUCAGGUGUUAGAGACCAUCCUGGGCAAGAUAGUGAGACAUGGUCUCUACUAAAGAUCAAAAAAGGUGGCCAGGCAUGGUGGGACACAUGUGUAGUCCUAGCUACAUGGGAGGCUGAGGUGGGAGGAUGGCUUGAGCCUGGGAAAUCGAGGCUGCAGUGAGCUAUGAUCAUGCCACUGCACUCCAGCCUGGGUGGCAGAGUGAGACUCCAACUCAAAAAUAAAAAUAAAAUAAAAUAAUUUAAAAGUGACUUUUGUUAGGUUGCCUCAUUUGUAUUUUACAAAAUUUCUGAGGCCAGGUGGAUAAAUUAUGAGAAAAUUGAGGCAAAGACAUGUUUAGUGCCACCCAAAUCAUGGGAACAAAUUAGUUAAAACUGUGUUGGUGCAGUCCAAAGAGAGAGCUCUGAAAAUUCCAAAACUGAAUCAAGGUCUGAACUUAGGAGGUUUGAGGUUUCCUACUGCCAGUGGCCCACCAAUCAAGCAUAACCUAAAUCCUGGCUAAAUCCUAAGUCAUUCCAUGCCAGAUAGAUCAUGCUAAAAUGCAAUCAUGGAUUAUAGUUGACUCUCUGAGGUAAGAGUUAUAAGAUAACAAUGAGAUUCCAACAUCAAAAACCUAAUUCGUCUCAGCUUCUCAUACUAAAACAGCUAGGGUGGAGGAGCAAAAUCGUCUUAAAGUAGCAUUACCCAUUUUCCUUGUUUUGAUAUUAUACUUAAGCAAAAUGUUACCAUUGAGGAAAACUGGAUGAAUGGUGCAUGGGAGCUCCCUGUACAUUUUUUUUUUCAACUUCCCGUAACUCAUAAUUAUCUCGAGAUAAAAAUUUUAAAAGAUAGCAUCACACAUCAAAAUCUUGUACUAUUUGGUACUUAAUUCAUUUUUCUUUUUUUAAAGUGUAGCUUUAUUGGACUGAGAUUGGAAUUUAAUAUUUAAAGACCUACGACAAUAAAUAAAUAAAUAAAGGAGUCACUUCCCAAAAUGAAAGAUAAACUUUGAAACUCAAUGAGGCUGGGCGUGGUGGCUCACACCUAUAAUCCCAGCACUUUGGGAGGCUGAGGUGGGCAGAUCGCCUGAGGUCAGGAGUUUGAGAUCAGUCUGGCCAAAAGUAGUGAAACCCUGUUUCUACUAAAAAUACAAAAAUUAGCCAGGCGUGGUGGCGUGCGCCUGUAAUCCCAGCUACUCAGGAGGCUGAGGCAAGAGAAUUGCUUGAACCUGAGAGGCGGAGGUUGCAGUGAGCCGAGAUCACCCCACCACACUCCAGUGUGGCGACAGAAUGAGACUCUGUCUCCAAAAAAUAAUAAUAAUAAUAAUAAAAUAAAAGCAACAUCAGAGUAAGGAGGCUCCCCACCACUAGGCCUAGCUGGGCACUAGUUUGCAUGCACUCAAGUCUAUAGGCACAGAUCAGAGUCCCAGUAAAAAAGUGAUGGGUGGCAUGGCAUAUUAUUACUGUGGGUUGGUAUUGUUCCUCAGGCAUUGUCUUUCUUUACCUUAUGUUUCAGGCCCAAACACUAUUUGUGCAAGAAAAUAUCAGCCAGGGUGUCCAUGGGAAACCCUUUUUCUAGUCUACUGCAAUCAAUACUCUUGUGAGUUAGGCCCUUGCAACUGAAGAGAAAGCUCCAUCGAUUAUGGUUAGCUUUAAUCUGUUCUGCAAGGGGGUUCAGAUAUUCCUGGGACCUACACAACACUGUUAAAAUAGUGCCCUAUUGAGAACAGCAUUGCUCAAGCUAUGACAAUGCUACACACUAAGUAGGCAGGACCCUUGUGACAACUCAAGUAUGAAACUGGAGUGCCCUAUUUACCUAUGCUUGGUCCUGCUGUUUUCUUCUCUUUGUUUCAUUUACCUGUAUUUAUUCAUGAUCCUCUGCCUCCAGACUGCUUUCUUGAAAAUAUAUCCUUACCAUUAUCUCCAUUAUAACUCAUCUCUUUAUUAUCAUUCUCCAUCAUAAUCUUAAGUUCCUUCACACGGGCCCCCAAAUAUCCAAAGAUCCAUACUGUGGUAUUCCACCCUGAUUAUCCUGAUGUGGACAUUAACCUCAUGGUUAGGUCCUUUCUCUCUAUUUUCAGCCCAUGAAAAUUUACCCAUUCUGUGUCUCAUACAAAUGGAGUUCAAUUACGGUAUGUUACACUGAAAGAAUCUGAUCAACUAAUAUAUUAAACUCUAAAUUAAUUUUUUGCACCAAUGAUUAUUGAGAACCUACUAUAUGCAAGGCAUAUUCUAGGCAAUGAGGUUAUAAAGAUUAAUAAAAUAAAUUCUUUGCUCUCAAGGAACUUACAUGAUAGUGGGGGAGACAGAACAUAAACAAAUAAACAAGCAUGUAAUACAAUGUCUAAUAGUGGAAUUCCCUAUGGAAAAAAUAUAAAAUAAAGCAGGAUAAAAGAAUAUAGAGGUUAUUUUAUUUUCUAAUUUGGUCUUGAGGUCUUUCUUAGGAGAGUGGCUAUAAACUCUAGCCUUGCCCUGAUGGGGUUCCAGGGGAUUUGGUCAUGGUUAUUUACAGUGUGCCUUUCACAGGAUAUUUCUUUAUCCUGACUGACAGCUAAUGCCUAAGUGUCUGACCUGUGACCGAGUGUCCCUCUCACAGAAAACUUGUUUAUACUGGCAGAUGCCCUUGUGGCUCUUGUCUGACCUGUGUCUAGUUUAUUCUUCCAAGAUAGCCACUCUCUAGGAGAGCUCUGACUGGGAGAGAAGUUAGGUGUGGGUGUGUGGGUCAGGUAAGACACAGAGGAGACAGCACAACAAAACAAUGAAAAGACAGAGGCAGUGCAUCAGUUACAGGUCCACAAGAGAAGAGAGGUAUUGAUGAAGGUCGACUGGAAGGUAAAGAGGGCACUGUGCUCAACCAGGAAAUAUGGAGCCAGUUAGAGGAGAACCCGUUGAUGCAGGAUUUUUCUUGUUGGUCACUUUGCAAGCCAGGGACCCCCAGGUGGUGAUGCCCCACCUGGGCCUCUCUCGGCCAUGCUGGCAUGCCCCAGCUCGCCUGCGUUAUAGCUUGUACUUGCAUUUGGAGUUCCUGAGCUCUUUUACCAUGCCCAAGAAGAAUGAGGAUAUGUGGGACAUUGGAGAGUGAGGAGGGCGGAGAAUUUUAUUGAGCAAUGAAAAUGGCUUUCAAUGGAGAGGGGAGGGCAGGGGAGGGGAGGGGAGGGGAGGGGAGGUGGGGAGGGCAAUGGUUCCCCCAUGUGGCUGGGUCUGGGGCCCUUUAUGGACUCAGAAUGGGGAAAGUGUGCUGAUUAGUUUUGAGUAUGCAAAAAAGGUUAAAGCGAAGACAGCACACAAAGGUGGGCAUGACAGUGUAGAAAAACCAAUAGGAAAGGGUAGGUAUAUGUAAAAUAGGCGAAAGGUGGGGACCAAUCAGAGGAAAGCAUGCCAAACAGGAAGACAAGUUCUCAAUUCAGUCUGACGAUUUAAUCUGUAGCUUGGCUUUCAGGCUAUAAACUGUCUUCGACUUGGAGAUGGUGUUUUGCUAGGGACCCGCCCCUAUCUGUCUAGGCAUUUGUCUGCCUCUAUCACUGUGGGCAGAGGCCUUUAUUGGGGUCAAGGGUAUUACCCUUGCCCUUGGUUUUCUGAAGAGAGUUCUAAUUGGUGAGUUUAAAGCAAGCAGGCACAAAUUCUGUGGGGUCACAGAGAGAUAGUGACUGAGACAUAGUCACUGUGGCAGAUCCGUGCAGUCUAUACGGGAUGUGGGAUGAGUGGGGUGAGUGCAGUAGGUUGUUAUUCUAUAUGUCCCAUAGGGAAGUGGUCACCAGGAGGCAGCUAUAUAGAACAGAUAUUUGGAUUGAUAACACUGGAACUGAGAGGAGGCGGAGAGCUGGAAAUUGUCAAGGGCGACUAAGCCCGGCUUCUGGUAUGAUAAAAUCUAACUUAUAUUCAGAAUGGAUGCCAAGGCAAUAUGAAAUUGUAAGUAUUUACUAUAAGAGAAUAAUCACAAGGAGGGGCUGAGAGGACUCGCUUGAAUUGAUAUUUGAGCAGAGACCUGAAUGAAAUGAGAGAGGGAGUCAUGGGAGGGAAAAAGUUUUAGGUAGAAGGCAUAGCAAGUACAAAGAUUGAGUGAAUAGAAGUAAAUUAUUGCAUUAGUUUUUUGGCUUUCUCUAGGGCCCAUACCAAUACUUUUGUAAAUUUCAGUUUUUAUUGUGAAUAUUCCUUGCAACCUUAAUUCCCUGGAGGCCCCACAAGAUGGUAGGCUGUAAAAGGUCAUAGUAAGAGCAAUAUUUAAUUGUUUUGAAAGUUUCCUUCCUCCCUGUGCCUGCCAGAUGCAGAUUAAUUCUGCAUCUAAUCCUUACUAUUUUCCAAAUAACCAGAAUCUACAAUGGAAUACACUAUUUUUCUCCCAAAGGGCCUGAGGAAUCUUAAAUUGACUGGUCAAAGUUCUGCUUUGUUCUGCUCCAUUGUAUAAAGACACAUUGUCUUGACUGUCAGUGACAGUCACAUUUAAUCAAUAAAGAUUAUUAAGAUUGACAAAGUGACAGUCUUGCUCCCUGUGAGUUCCUUUCAUACUAAUUGGUUUAGCUCUUAAAGAUCACAGUCUAUCCCUCCCUGCAAAAAGACCACUGCACAUGAUGUCAUUUUUCUUUUCAACUUCUUUUUCAAUGUUUUUUUGGUUUUUCUGUUUGUUUGUUUUUUUCCUCCUCUCCAUUGAUUCUGAUGCAAGGAUCACCAGCUCUAUUUUCUAUGAGAUACACUAUUAUGUUGUUAAAGUAUCUUAUUUGGUCAUUCUGUGUCAAAACAUCUCCCACAGAUUAUGAUUCUGCAAGGUUCUGCCCUUGGUUACUUGCAAUUAUGGCUGAAUAAAAUCCUGGGCAAUUACUUCUGGAUUUAAUUAUCAUAAGCACGCACAUAACACACUUGGUGCAGUCAGGUGUAAUACCCAAAUAAUUCAUAUCUAAGAUUUAGAGUUCUAUAAGGGAAACUUGGUUGUAGUAAUUAAUUUGGAUGAUCUCUUUAAGCUCCCAUAGCAUUUUAUUUUAAAACAAUUGACACCUAGGCCGGGCGUGGUGGCUCAUGCCUGUAAUCCCAGCACUUUGGGUAGGCUGAGAUAGGUGGAUCACCGGAGUUCAGGAAUUUGAGACCAGCCUGGCCAACAUGACAAAACUCCGUCUCUACUAAAAAUACAAAAAUUAGCUGGGCGUGGUGGUACGUGCCUAUAAUCCCAGCUACUUGGGAGGCUGAGGCAGGAGAAUCGCUUGAACCUGGGAGGUGGAGGUUGCAGUGAGGUGAGAUCGUGCCACUGUAAUCCAGCCUGGACGACAGAGUGAGACUCUGUCUCAAAAAAAAAAAAAAAAGAAUUGACAACUAGAAUAAUGCAUAUGGAUUUUAAUUUGUGAAGUCCAUCAUACAUUCAGCAGUAAAGAACGAGUCACAUUUAUAAUGCUUUUAUUAUACAUUUCUAGUCAAUCAAAUAGCAGUUUAUGAAGACAAACUUCUUCCUAAAUGAGUUCCAACACUAAUUUAGGAAUGAAUAUUCCAUAAUUUGUUGCAUCUGUUAUGUCUGACCCAGUGGAUGUGUGGGUCUCUACUAGAAUAUAAUUGGGUAUAUAGGUGGGAAAUGAACAGUUAAAUUAAGCUGCAUUGUUUUGAACUAAAUUUCAAUUAAUCAUGUCUUUUAUUAUGUAUAGGGCAAAGUUCCACUCUUUCCAAUUGUGAAGUCACAAUACACAUUAGAUAUUAAAACUAACAUUAUUAUGAAUCAGUCUACAUGUUGAUUGGAUAUAAUUUUAUUCUGUAAGAGUAUAGAGACCGAGGCCCUCAAAGUAUUUGUGACACUGAGAGAUGCAGUUAUACUUAGCAUUUCAAAUUUUAGAACAGAAUCUUAAUAUGACUGAUGAGAUGAAUUCCAUAUAAUAGGGAUAAUAGAGAUAAAGAACUUCUCUGUACAGCUCCAAAAGUGUACUGGAAUUCUACUUACUUUAACUUUGUUGAUACCUGGUUCCUAGAGUUAUCUCUACUUUGAUACAAGUUCUUUUUUGUUUCUGCCUCUGUGUUCCUAUAGCACUUUUUUCAUCUUCAGUAUAGUGUGUAAGAUAUUACACUCUUUCAUCUAUUAUGGUUUCUUUGUAUCCACUAUACUCUGAGAGCAAUUUUGUGUUCUCUUCAGCUUUAUUUCCCCUUGCUUAGUGCAGUGCUUAGUACCAAGUAGGUACUUAGUACCAAGUAGUACAUGUUCAUGGAAUUAAUAAAUGAAAAAAUGGAUGCAUAAAAACAGAAUAUAUGUCACUGCAGUUUUUUCUUUCAUUGUAAAUUACUUUGCAGCGAUGAUAUUUUCUGGUAAUUAAAAUAUUGAGUACCCUGGAAAACCUGAGGAAUUCUUAGUCCUUGUGCAUGAAAGACACCUAAACAAAUCAUAAAAUCUAUACUAAUUUUCUCAGUCAUAAAUCAUUAAACUGACCUUGAGGACAUGCCUACUGAUAUGAUUAGAAUUGCUAUUUCAUGCUAAUUUAUUAUUGAGCCACACAAUUAUGAACCCCAACAAAAAAAGCAGAAUAUGAUAUUGCGUACUAAUGUGAUACCUUUGAAAAUAUAAUAAAUCGUAAUACCACCCUCUUUCUGAGGUUCUGAAACUAGAAAUCACAUUCCCCUGUGAGAUUUUUGAUUUAUAUAAAAUUGUUAACUUGUCUUGGUAACUUGGAUUAAUAAAAUCAUAACUUAAAAAAUACCUACAGUGCCUUCUGUUUAGAGAAUUGCAUCUGAAAUUGGAAAUUAUAUUUUAACUACCGAUGGGAAAAGGACUGGCUGUUUUUUAACCUUUCAGAACAGUGCAAAUAUUCUUCUUGCUAAAGAAUAUAAAACUACAAUCUCAAAGUGAUAGAGCAAGGCUUUAGGACUUGGUAGAGCAAGACCAAGUCCUUUAGGACUAGCCACAGACUGGUUAUCUAGUUGGGAUGAGUCUGUAGGUCACUGCUCCAGUCUGCUGCUUGAAGAGAACACCCAAAGCCUUUGCAUUAUUGACACUAUGCAAUGCUCACACGUUGUCUACCUAUUGUGGACAAAUCAUAAUGACUCAGUUAACUUGGAAAUCAGUUACCCAUAACAACCCUGUCAUAUUUAAGAACAGUGUCAGAGAGUUAAAAUUCACCAGUAAUUUGGUUUAGGAAUUCUGGAUUAACAGAACUAAAACUUUUGAACAACCUGUUACCAUGUUAAUAUUAGUAAUAUAAAGUAGAUACAUGAAAGGUGUCUAGAACAUAAUUUUGAAAAUAGAGUGAGUUAUAUUAAGCUUACUUUUAAAUGUAAAUAUUCCUUUAAAAGUUGAAAAACAAUUAUUUCAUAACAAUUUUGCUUCGUAAACAAUAGACACUCCCUGCCUUUCCCCAGCAGUCCUCUAAGAAGGAUGCAGGUGUAGGCUAAACUUUUUUAUUUUUGAGAUGGAGUUUCGCUCUUGUUGCCCAGGCUGGAGUGCAAUGGUGCGAUCUUGGCUCACUGCAACCUCUGCCUCCUGGAUUCAAGCGAUUCUCCUGCCUCAGCCUCCUGAGUAGCUGGGAUUACAGGCAUGCACCACCACGCCCAGCUGAUUUUGUAUUUUUAGUAGAGACGGGGUUUCACCAUGUUGGUCAGGCUGGUCUCGAACUCCCGACCUCAGGUGAUCCGCCUGCGUCGGCCUCCCAACGUGCUGGGAAUACAGGCAUGAGCCACCGCGCCCGGCCAACUUUUUUCCAGAUCUGAUGUCAGGAGAAAGAGAAACUACGUCUGUUCAUCUUACUUCUUUUUGGUUUCAUUUUGUUUUUGCAAUGAAAUGGACAACAAAUUCCAACGUUUGUUUUAUAAGAGUAUGCAUUUUGCAAAAUGUUAAUAUUUGUGCUAAAGGGAGAGAGAGAGAGAGAAGAGAGAGAGAUGAAGGAAGGAAAUGAUCUGUGAUUAAGUAAAUUUGGGUUUCUCUGAGUUAAAAAGUUAAACAAGGUUCUCCUCCAUCUAAUAAUUCAAAACUUUUAAUGCCACAAAAUAUAUUGAUUAUACUAAUGAUUAUUGAGAGCAUCUGUGAUUUCAAAGAUCCAAUGCCUCAAAGAAUAUUACAAUAAAAAAUAGAUUUUAGGAAAUGCUAGAGUAGACAGUAAGCUCCUUUGAGAAUAAAAAAAAAAUUCUAAUUCACUUCUGCAUUCCUGUUGCCUAGCAUAGUGUGUCAAUUUAUUCUGGUGCAUUGUUAAGUACAUAACAUAGCUCAUAAGUUUAGAGGGAUAGACCUGUACCCCUCUGUGUGUCCAAUGACUACAAGCCAAAUUGAAGGUGUAGAAAAUAGUCACUCUUAUAAAAGCAGUGCAACAAGAAAAACAUAAACCAUACUGAACAUAAGCCUAUAAAAGAUCACGGGGUAUUCCAAUAGAAUAGUAAGAAAUUUAGAUUUUUUUUCUUUUAAACAUCUAUUUGCAUUGCUAAUAUUUUCCAAUCAAGUUGGAUCUUGCAGCUAAAUGACUAAAGUUCAUUUUUGUAUCAUGAGUACAGAUGUUUACUGGAAAAACGGGAGCAUUGUUAUUUCUUGAAAUAGACACUGAUCAGAUUAAAAAAAUAGAUGCAAACUAAGACACGUGUUACUGACGACCUACACAGCCUUCUGAGAUAAAUCUCAUCAAGGGAGCAGAAUGUGUCACUCAAGCCUCCAUUAAGGAGACAAAAAUGGAGCAACUGCUAAGAUGAGCUUUAGUUAAUUAAUUGUAACAUGUCACAAGUCAUGUUGGCAAAAUAGAAGGAGGUGUGAACACAGGGUUCAAGUAAAGAAGUGUCAAAGAGAAUUAUACAUUCAUAUGUCUAUAACAGAGUUCUUAAGCAUGCAAAGCUAGACACCAAAUCCCUGGAGCCAUCAGGACCACAUCGAUAUACACUUUAUGCAGGAUUUAAGAACAAAAACUCUGGAGUUAGGCAGAUGUUUUAGACAGCCUCUGACACACACAAAUUGUGUGACCUUGGAAAAUGUAUUUAACUGUCUAAGCCUCAAGUUUCCUCAACUUAUAAAAUGAAGAAGAAACUACUAACUGUGUAGAGUUAUAUGAAGAAUAAAUAAGAAAAUGUGUAUUAAAUGCUUCGUGCAGGGCCUGGCUCUAGUAUGGUCGAGCUAAAUUGUAAUAGUACCAUUACCUCUACUAUGGCUACUACUAUCAGAUUGUCUGUCUAGCUGUCUCUUUCUCAACUUUUAACUAUAGCUCAUGACAUCACUCCACUUUUUUUACAUGGUAGCCUAGGUUGCAGUAUUUCUUGAUUAGCCUCUGUGACCCUAAUCAUCUCUACCAUUUGGAUGAAACUAAAGAUAUCUUUGGGUACAAGUUCUAACCUCCAAGUUGUUUUUUUUUUUUUUUUUUUUUUGCAAUGUUUUAUUCCUGGAAUACCCUUUGCCCCAGCCCACUAAAUGAACUCCCUGGGAUGAGAGAUUUUGAUGUCUCUGCUUCCUGUGCUUAAAACCUCUGUUAAGAUUUGUUUAAAUGGGCUUUUAAAUAUGCUGCUUCAUUUUCAUGUCAUUUAUUUAUUAUUUAUAUAUCACUCGCUUCCAGAAAAGAUUAGAAGGGGCUAAGUAAUGUUCCAGUAAGCUUGAUUUUAGAAAUCUAAUCUCUGUAUUAAAAGUAAUUCAUUAUCCGAACAACAAAAGGAGUUCCUUGGGUGACAGUGGGGAGAGAUGUUUACAGGGAAGCAAUUCAAUGUAAAUGAGGAACCAUACAGUUGCUACUUUUAAAGCACAAAGAUUUAAAAGUUGAACUUGCCAAAUGUUAGAAACAUAAAAUUAGAGACCAAGGAGGAACUUUGGGCAUCAGCUCACAAGAAAGUCUCAUUUUAACUAUGAGGAAACGAAAGCCCCAGAAGUUAAGUGACCACUGUUACAAAGCUGGUUAGUGGCAUCAUUUUUCUAUUUUAAACAGUAAUAAUUAAGCAAAAUUAAUUGAUUAUAUUCUCCCAGUUACCUAUGAUUAUAGGAAGAAUGUUGCCCUUCCUGUAGCAUUAUCUACUGUAUGUUGUCAGCACAUCUUAUUGAUGCAAAGUACCUAGAAAUUAAACAUUUCUUGAAUGCUAGACUCGUACGCCCAAAGCAACAGAUAAUUCCAAGCCCCUAACGCCACCACUAUAAGGGGGAGGGGCAAAAAACCAACAGCCAAUGUCAUACACUUAUUUCUUCAACAGUUCUUGGGACUCCAUUUCUUUCAGGAAAAACUCAUGGUAAUCUGAUUUUCAGAAAAGAGUCUUUGGCCUCCUUUAUUUUUUUCGAAUUUGUCCUAAGUGUGAACUUAUUCUUGCCCCAUUUUUAGAAUGCAUUUACUCCUGAUCAGCAGAUGAAAUAUAUGCUUGGCUUCCAUUAAAGAGACAUACAUGCUUGGCUACUAAUACUUUAAUGUAGAAUCAUAGAAUUUUAGAAAUAGAAGUAUUGAUACUAUAUCAUUCUACUAUCUAUGCCUUAUUCCUAUACUUUUGCUUUCAUAUUAAUGAGGAGAGAUAUCUGUCUUAAACUCUAAACUCGAAUUGGAGGAACCUGUUCUUUCACUUAUUCACUCAAACAAAUAUUUAUUAAUCAACUAUUGUGUACCACCUCUUGAAUACUUAGAACUGGGUCCAGGUGAAUACACACACACACACACACACACACACACGUAUAUACAUAUAUACAUACAUAUAUAUAUAUCUAUGUGUAUGUAUAUAUGGCCCCAUAUAUGGCAGUGGUCCCAUAAGAUUAUAAUACUGUAUUUUUUGUACCAUUUGUAGGUUUAGAUAUGUUUACAUACACAAACACUUACCAUUGUAUUAGUUAUCUAAAGUAUUCAGUACAGUCACAUGCUGUACAGGUUUGUAGCCUAGGAGCAAUAGACUAUAACAUAUAGCCUAGGUGGGUAGUAGGCUAUACCAUCUAGGUUUGUGUAAGUACACUCUAUGAUGUUCACACAAUGAAAUGACCUAAUGAUGCAUUUCUGAGAAUGUAUCCCCAUCAUUAAGAAAUGCAUGACUACACACACACACACACACACACACACACACACACACACACACACACAGAGUAUGCUUUGCAAAUAGCAGAGAUUUACAAGUUUGAUAAAUGAAUGAAUGAUAUGAUGGAUGUGAUCUCAAAAACAUCUUGGAAAGACAAUCUGUGUUCUCCAACCCUGCUUCCUAAUUCAACCAAUGGAUAACUCAUCACAGAGUUUGAUGUACUAUGUAAUUGGUUAACUUUGUUGACACUGAUGUUGAUGGUUGUAAUGGUGAAUUUCAUUGUCUAUGAUUUAAAAACAAGAGAACUGCUUUUCUCUGUGUCUAUUGAACCUCUCCAUCAAAUGAAUUCAAGGAGAGGUACCCUCCCUGAGUUAAAAAUAACAGAAUUGACUCAAUAAUUUUCUUCAAAGUAGGCUUUUAUAACAUCAGGUUUAAUCAGUUGGAUAAAGCUUUAGAAUUAGCAAGACUGGUGUUAUCGCAAUACACAUUUUCUGAGUUUGCUAAUGUUUCUCUCAGUUGUUGGGGUUGGAAUCGUGGGGCCAGGAGUUUCAAAACUUAAGUACUCUAUUAUUUUUUAAAUUAGUAAAUUUUAAUCUGGGAGGCAAAGUGCAAUAUUGUUUUGUCAUGUAUUGAGCCUAACUCUAUAUGCAAAGCCACAUUCUUCCCUCAAAUAAAUAUAUGCUUAAUUUCCUCUGAAAAUAACAGUUUUGCUUGAGUGGCUAUACAAUGUGGAGCACUGAUUACUUCCUACUUGAAUAUACACUUCUUUCUUUGGUUCACAGAUUUUGAAUAUAAUCAUAUCUCUUGGGCACUACUCCUUUUCUGUAAGCUUACUGACUUACGGGGAAUAAUUAGUUAAACUUCUAGCUAAUUUACAGUAUCUACUUCAACUUGGAGUCUCAUGAAAUCCACCAUUUACCUUGUUGUGGAAAUCAGUAUUAGUACACAGGAAAAACAAAAUUCUCUAUGACUCCCAGUAUCUCCAAAUUGCUAUUUUUCUCACAUAAUAUUUAGCAGUGCCCUUUGGAGCUUUUUGUUAACUAAAGGAAUGGAUGUGACUGACAAGGACAGUUGUUCAUAGCUUUCCUAGUCCUAAGAUUUCACUUUGACUUCUUUCCUAGUUCUGCAGCCUCUUCUAUUGUGCUUCAGCUGGACUUUACAGUACUUCAGGGAGCCCUUUCAGCCCCUUGGCUAAUCUGCCCUUGACAACUCUUUUUUCUUCUAAGUCAGCAGAGAGAGGUCCAGAGAUACAGACUGACUUAUUUGGCACUGCUUAGCAGGAACAGAGGCUGCAUUUUUUUUCCCUUAGUCUGAUUAUAUCAGUAUGAAGCACAAUUUCCUGUAAUAAAUCUCAGCAUCUUCACCAAGGUUAACAUCUGGCAGCCACUGUGGCCUUGAUAGAGUGGGCUGAGUUAAAUAAGCUGUUGGUGUGCCUGUCAUUCAAGUAUUUUUUUUUUUUUUUAACAAAGUUCCACAUGAUAUGGCCCCAUUGUUACUUAAAAACUACAACUUUUAACAGUCUUUGCCUUUCCCAUUCUACUCUAGAUAGAUCACUUCAAGGCCUUUGUGCUUACUGUUCUCUGACCCUGGAAUGAUCUUUCCCCAGACCUGCCCAUGACUUGCUUCCUUGUUUUAUUCACAUCUCUGCUUACAUGUCACCUCCUCAGAUAGUCCUUCUCUGAAAACUCUGUGUAAAAUGACCUUCAACACUCAGAGUGUUCUGUCUUAGUCUGUUUUGUGUUGCUAUAAAGAAAUACCUGAGGAUGGGUAAUUUAUAAAGAAAAGAAGUUUAUUUGGCUCACAGUUCUGCUAGGUGUAAAGGAAGCAUGGCAUCAACAUCUUCUGACGAGGAACUCAGGCUUCCCCCACUCAUAGUGGAAGGGGAGCCUAAGUGUAUACAUCACAUGAUGAGAGGAAGGAAAGAAAGUAGGGAAUAAGUGGCCAGGUGCAGUGGCUCACGCCUGUAAUCCCAGCACUCUGGAAGGCUGAGACAGGCAGAUCACUUGAGUCCAGGAGUUCGAAACUAGUCUGGCCAACAUGGAGAAACUUCGUCUCUACUAAAAAUACAAAAAUUAGCAGGGCGAGGUGGUGCACACCUGUAAUGUCAGCUACUGGGGAGGCUAAGGCAUGAGAAUCGCUUGAACCUGGGAGGCGGAGGUUUCAGUGAGCCAAAAUCAUGCCACUGUACUCCAGCCUGGGCGACAGAGUAAGACCCUGUCUCAAAAAAAAAAAAAAGUGAAGAAAUGCCAGGCUCUUUUUAACAAUCAGAUCUUGUCAGAACAAAUAGAGUGAGAACUCACUCAGCACCCUCCUUCCCUUCAGGGAGGGCAUUAAUCUGUUCAUGAAGGAUCUGCCCCCAGCCCAAACACCUCCUGUUAGGCUCCACCUCCAACAUUGGGGAUCCAAUUUCAACAUAAGGUUUGAAGAAGUCAAACAUCCAAACUUCAGCAUCUUCUUUUUCCAUCUCUUGCUUUCCUUUCUUGUUAGAACGUAUCUGCUACUUGAAAAUAUGCUACAUAUUCAUGUUUAUUACUAUUACUAUUUAUAAUACCACUAGAAUGAAAGUUUCAUUUGCAUUAGAGUAGGAAUAGUGCCUAAAUUGCUUUCAUUGUUUUUCCAUUUUAUUACCUCAGUGCCUGGCACAUAGUAGGUACUCAAAAAUAUUUUUUGAAUGAAUGAAUAGGAUAGUAAUUGAAGGCAUGCUAUGUGUUUGGCAUUGUUCCAAGUUCUGAGGAUUUAUCCAUGGAUGAUACUUAUUCUUGCUUUUGUGAAACUUACAUUCAAUGAGAAUUAUUGUAAAUAACCUGGCAAAAGAUGAUGAAAACUUUACUAGAUUUGCAAUAGUAGGCAUGACAAAAAAGCAUUGAAUUGGAAAGAUGAUUAAUAAGUAGGAAAAAGUCUUUGCUGAUUUUCAGCCUUAGAAUGGUAGUUCAUCAGGGUAGGGAUGAGGUUUUGAUUAAGUCAAAGACCUUCUAACCUUCUUUCCUAUGCUUUAUUUUCUGAACUCUCUCUCCUUUUUCUCCAAGCACUCAUUGUUGUCCUUUUUUCUUUUGGCUGAUCAAAUCUCUUCACUGGGGCAACCACCUCUAGUUUCCUAAGUGUCCAAUACUCCAAAUUUCUAUCUCUUUACUCCUGAUAUAAACCUGUAAUUCUUGGGGCUUUCAGAUUCAGGCAGUCAUAUUAACAUAAAACUUCUCUACAUUUGGGAUGCAGCAAAUAGGUUUUAGCAUAGUUAUUUGCUAAGCACUAAGGAUGCUUAAUUAAACAAGACAGACAAGGUCUCUACCUUUAAGAAGCUAAUAGUGACUCAUACUGCUGUUUUAUUUAUAAAAAAAAAUUAGGCAAUGCCUACAAGCAAUAAAUACAAUGCCCAUAUAUAAUUUUACCUUACAAAAGAUGAAGUUGUGGUUCAUACCAGACAUAUAGUGUGUCUUUGAAUGUUUCGUGAUUAGAUGAGUUAUAAACAUAGGAAUAACUGGAGGACCAUUUGAACAAGACCUAAACAUUUUAAAUCAAUCUAUGAAAUACAGACAGCUGUUCCAUUCAGACGACAGGGCUAUAGGGAACAGUUAGGGAAUAGUAUGAAUAUUAUGGUUAUAAUUUUAGUAUAAUUUAAAAACUUAUCAUUACAAUCACUAGUGAAAACUAAAAUGAGGUUUUAAAAACGUAAGCUGGAAGCACCAAUUUUCUAGUCCUCUCUUGGAAUCGCAUAAAUUUCUGGUUGCAUGUGUUGUUCAUGUAAAGGUUGCAAAAGUUUUCAAAAGGGUCAGAAAAUCUAGCAACGUUAAUAUAGGCAUAUAAAUCGAUGAAAUUAAAGAGAAAAUUGUAGUUUUAAAAGUAAUUAAAAUAAUAAAAAUAUCCAGAAUGAAGAACUUUAGAAGAGCAUAAGUAAAUUUAAGUUUCUCCAUACCAAUAAAUGUGUAAUGCCAAUUUAGCAUAGGUAUUAUUAUAUUUUUAAGGAUUAAAAAAUAGUUUUUUAUGAGUCUAUGGAUUUGAUUUUUGAAAGCUUCUACAUAAAUCAUACCCAAAUCACAUUAUUAUUAAAUAUCAUAUGUUAACACUGAAAUAUAGGGAAGGCCUGAAGAAUUAGAUGACAGUGUUAAGGAACAAGAAGUUCAACUCAGAAUAAAGAAGUUGGUCGGUGGGGUUGGGGAAAGAUCAAGAGAUCUUGUUUCAACAUGCCGGUUUUGAUUGCAAAGUGGAUAUGUAAUAAACAGUUGAAAAUUCAAGUCUAGAUCUCAGGAGAAAGCCCAGGACCAAAAAUAUUAGAAUGAAGAGCAAUCAACAUAUAAAUGGUAAAUGAAACCAUAGGGAGUUAUGAGACCACCCAAGGACAGGAAGAUGAGAAAAGAUUUGGGUAAAGACCAAUAUUUAAAAGGCAGGCAGUGAAAUUGUUUCAGAUUCUUAUAUUUAAUUGCCCUCAAGACAUUUCCUUUUUGGGGGUUGCACGGGCAUCUCAAAUAAAAUAUGCAACUUCCAGUUAAGGAAAUGAUGCACUAGUUUGUUUUGCACUGAUACCCCUGCUGAGAAUACUAGAAAAAGCUAGACAAACCUAUCUGAAGGCAUUGGAAAGCUAAAAAUACAAGAAGUACUGGUGGGACUAACAUUCCAGAGAGAAGGGAAUCAGAGGCCUACCAUUUGGCGUAACUUUCCUAAGGGAGUUGUAGUUCAGAAAUAACAGCUGAAAGACCUAAAGAACGGAACCUCUGGUAGUCUCACAUGCCUGAGAAAAUGUAUUGAAGUUCAAAGCUCCAAAAGGAUGAUGGGUCCUGAUAAUCACUUCAAGCUUUUAUUUAGGAUUGGAAAAGUAUACACCUUAGGAGUACUGAGGUAAUAAAAAUAGAUUAGCUCUUAUAAGAACUGAAGCAUAGCUUUGAAUCAGUACAUUCCUUGAUUGGGGUAAGGUAAUCUGCCCAUAGUGUAAAUCACUUGUAAAAAGGUGGAUAAUAGUAAUAUUGUUCCGAUUUUAAGUAUCUAAUUUUUAUUCAUUCACAAUGUCUGACAGUCAAUGAAAACUAGCCAGUUAAAACCAACCAGACAUUGUGUGAUGGAAGAAGCCAUGACAGCUUAUGAAGUAACUUAGCAAAAACCAAAAGAAAAAAAAUCAUGAACAUGAAUGAAUCAGUUCGUGUCUCUGGAUCCAGCUAUUAAUUAAGAGUAGGAGUCUGCAUACAUCUUUUGUAGAGGAAGAAACAGAGUAAAUAUUCUAAAUUUUAUGGGCUAGAUGUGAUUACUAUUACUUUAAAAAAAUUUUCACUAUUAAAAAAAAAUGAACUCAUAGGUUAUACGAAAGCAUGUGACUGGCCAUAUUUGGUCUAAGGAUUGUAGUUUGCCAACCUCUGAUUCCGACAAAAUAUAGAGGACAGUAUAUUUUGUGGAAUAUGCUCAUCUACAUUAUACAGAAGUAUUCUGUAAAAGCCAGUCUAUGGGCCAGGCACUGUGGCUCACUCCUGUAAUCCCAGCACUUUGGGAGGCUGAGGCAGGUGGACCACCUGAGGUCAGGAAUUUAAGACCAGCCUGGUCAACGUGGUGAAACCGCAUCUCUACUAAAAAUACAAAAAUUAGCCAGGUGUGGUGGUGCACACCUAUAGUCCCAGCUACUUGGGAGGCUGAGGCAGGAGAAUCGGUUUAACCUGGAAGGUGGAGGUUGCAGUGAACGGAGAUCAUGCCACUGCCCUCCAGCCUGGGCAACAGAGUGAGACUCUGUCUCAAAAAAAAAAAAAAAAGCCAGUCUUUGGAAACUAUCCAUGACAAACAACCAAUUUUUUUUCUUGCAAUAAAUAAAUUAAAUGGAAAAACCAAGUGUGAAUCUACAGUUUAAAAAUCAUUAAAAAUACCUGUCAGUUGCAAUAUGUGGACAUUAUAUUAACCUUUAUUUUUUAAAUGUAAAAAAUAUAAUAUUUUUGGAAAAAUGAAAAUUUUGAACAUUAACUUUUAUGAUAUAAAAUUAUAGUUAAUAUUUAUGUUUAAUAAUAAUACUGUGGUUGCCAUUUUGUAAAAGUGUUCUUAUAUUCUAGAGAUAUAUUCUGAAAUAUUUAUUGAAGAAGUACUAUAAUAUCUGUGAUUGGUUCUAAAUAAUGAGAGAAGUAGAUGAACUGGAUGGGCCACAUGAUAAUGAUUGUUGGGGAUUGCUGAUGAGUAUUUUAAGAUUAAUUAUAGGCCAGGUGUGGUGGUUCAUACCUGUAAUCCCUGUGCUUUGUGGGACCAAGGUGGGAGGAUCACUUGAAGUCAGGAAUUCAAGACCAGCCUGAGCAACAUAGCGAGACCCUGUCUCUACAAAAAAACUUAAAAAAUUAGCCAGGCAUGGUGGUGUAUGCCUGUAGUCCUAGCUACUUAGGAGGUUGAGAUGGGAGGAUCAUUUGAGCCCAGAAGUUCAAGGCUACAGUGCGUCAUGAUCAUGCCACUGCACUCUAGCCUGAGCAACAGUUGAGCAAGACCCCAACCCUAAAAAAAAAAAGAUUAAUUGUAUUAUUCUGUAUGCUUUAUACUUUUAUGUAUGUUUUUAAAAAAUCUUCAUCAUAUAAAUAUCUAAAAAGUCAUUAGGAAAUAAUUGAAUGAAUCUAAGAAAAAAAGAAAAAACAUAGACAAUCGGAACAGAUCAACAAAGAGACUCAGAUUUUGAAGUUAAAAAAAUUAAAAUGGGCUGGGCGCGGUGGCUCACGCCUGUAAUCCCAGCACUUUGGGAGGCCGAGGCGGGCGGAUCACAAGGUCAGGAGAUCGAGACCAUCUUGGCUAACACGGUGAAACCCCGUCUCUACUAAAAAUACAAAAAAUUAGCCGGGCGCGGUGGCGGGCGCCUGUAGUCCCAGCUACUCGGGAGGCUGAGGCAGGAGAAUGGCGUGAACCUGGGAGGCGGAGCUUGCAGUGAGCCGAGAUUGCGCCACUGCAAUCCGGCCUGGGCUAAACAGCGGGACUCCGUCUCAAAAAAAAAAAAAAAAAAAAAAAAAAAAUUAAAAUGUGAAGUAUUAUCAGAGAACUGAUCACUAUACAAAUUAAUCAAGUAGUAAUUCUAGACCUAAAAAUUAUGAAAACUGAAAUUAAAAGUCAGAACAUUCGAGUUCUGCUUCUGUCGAAAAUUGAAUUUCAGAAACCAGAUUUACUCUCAGGCCACAUAAAAUCUUAAAAAUCGGACAAAAUAUAUAAAAAUGUUUUUCAGAUAUUGGAUAUCUGGUAGCAUAGGACAAUGCUCUGAGAGAAAUGAGAAACAAAAAUGUGAGCCCUUUGGCUGUGCUAAUUUCUUCUUGGAGAGAGUUUUCAGGCUAUAACACAGGGAGAGGAGAACUUAGGUGGAAAAGAGCUGUAAAUAUCUGCAAAGGGUUUCCCUCAAUUCUUUAGACAAGUACUAAUCAGAGCAUGUGUAGGAGGAAAAUAUCCAAGGCCAGUGAAUGGGGAUGGGGGUGGGGAAACACCUGAAAGAAUUAGAGGCAACAAUCUCUGGAGCUAACGUGGAACUGGCAAUAGUUUGUGUAUCCACUAGCUACGAUGAGAAAAAAGCCUUGUAAUUUAUGGAGAUUUGAGUAGAAGACUUAGAAGUUAUUGCCUUAGUAGGUACAAAAUUAGGCCUGGAGGCUGCACUGACCAUGUAACUGCCCAACUAAUUCACCUUGCCCACUGCCUAGACAGAACCAAUUUAUCAAGACAGAGGAAUUGCAAUAGAGAAAGAGUAACUCACAUAGGGCCAGCUAUGCGGGAUCAGAGUUUUUAAGGAUAGUUUGGUGGGUGCAAGGGGAGGCCAGUGAGUCGGGAGUGCUAAUUGGUUGGGUCAGAGAUGAAGUCAUAGGGAGUGGAAGCUGUCUUCUUGCACUGAGUCAGUUCUUGGGUAGGGGCCACAAGAUCAGUUGAGCCAGUUUAUCAGUCUGGGUGGUACCAGCUGUACCAUCAAGGGCAGCAUCUGCAAAAUGUCUCAAGCACUGUUCUGUUAUAAUCAGAGAUAUCCCCAGGAAGCAAUUUGGAGAGGGUCAGAAUCUUGCAGCCUCCAGCUGCAUGACUCCUAAACCAUAAUUUCUAAUCUUUUGAAUAAUUUGUUAAUCCUACAAAGGCAGUAUGGUCCCCAGGCAAGAAAAGGGUUUGUUUUGGGAAAAGGCUGUUAUCAUCUUUUUUUUCAAACUAUAAACUAAGUUCCUUAUAAAGUUAGUUCAGCCUAUGCCCAAGAAUGAACAAGUACAGCUUGGAGGUCAGAAGCAAGAUGGAGUUGGUUAGAUCAGAUCUCUUUCACUGUCUCAGUUAUAAUUUUACAAUGGUGGCUUCAAUCAUACCUAAUAAAACUUAAAAGGAAACCCCAAUAAAAUCAAAUUAUUUCCAAGUAAACUAACUGCAUCAUGGAAAAAAACUGUCAUGGAUAUUCAUAGGAAUACAAAAAUAAUCAGCAAGACAUAAUCCACAAUGUGUAGCAUUGACGACUAAAUUCUGACUUUUUUUCUUCUCUUGCCCAAGUUCCUAUCUAAGGGGCCUGAGGAGUCAUGCCCUAUAAAUCAUAAAAUCUCAUCAGAGGGUUUUUAUUUAACCCUAUAUUAUGUGGCUUACUUUCCAAUCUGACUCUGGAAUAACAUAAUGAUACUGGAGUCAAGAAGAAAUUACUUAGACAGAUAGUAAGGGUAUUGGAGUCCUCAGUAAGGCUUUUCUUUUUAAUGAAAAGCAGCCCCAAAUUAUUUUCCUUUCUAACGAAGAGCAGCCUGUAAAAUUGAGCUGCUGACCUAGAUACUGGCAGUUGUGCCAAUCAUGUUCAAGAUGGUGGCUUCAUCUUCCCUUCUCUUUGUCAGCUACGCAUACAGUAAAAAGCAGACAAAAUGGCGCCAAUCAACUGGAAAGCCCGUUUGCAUAAUAAGAUUAGGGUGGGGUGACCAGCUUUCCCACGUACUAUGUAGCUGUCAUACCUGAUUGAAACAAUCUGUGAGCCCUAUGUAAAUCAGAUACCACCUUCUCUAGCCUGCCUAUAAAAUCUGCUGUGGUCCGCCGCCUCCCUCCUUUUUUUCAGACCUUUCUCUCUUCUCUCUCUCUCUCUCUCUCUCUCUCUCUCUGUCUCUUGCAAGGAGCUGCUCUCCUCUUUUUUCUUCUGUCUAUUAAACUUUCCACUCCUUAACACACCCACAUGUGUCCAUGUCCCGAAUUUUUUCUCAGCGUGUGACAAUGAACCCCAGGGUAUAUACCCCAGACAGCAUAGCCAUUUCAACAGCAUGACAGAUAAGAAAGGAAAUAAAAAUAUUUUAACCCCCAAAACAUUUUUUUACCAUAUCUUGAAGUAGCCCUACAAAGUUGUUUCUUGUAGGGGGGAAAAAAAAUCUACAUUCUGUAGAGAAUCCCCUUUCCCUUUUCCAGGCCUUUUUCCUGAUCCAGGAAAGAACUAAGAGUGUGACACCUUUUUAGGCCUGAUAAACAUUUGCAAUCUAUUCUCUCUGAAGCCUGCUACCUAGAGCUUCAUCUGAAUAAUAAGAACCUUGGUCUCCAUAAUCUUUUAUCUUAACCCAGACAUUUUCUUUCUAUUGAUUCCAGGUCUUUAGAUAAACUCUUUCAACCAAUUGCCAACCAGAAAAAUUUUUGAAUGCCUAUAACCUGGAAGCCCCCCGCCCCCCAACCCCGUUCCAUUUUCAGUAAAUUGUUCUGCCUUUCCAGAUCAAACCAAUGUACCUCUUACAGGUAUCUCAAAUGUAUAAAACCUAGUUGUGACCCAAUCACCUUGGGCACAUGUUCUCAGGGUCUCCUGAGGGCUGUGUCAUGAGCCAUGGUCACUCAUAUUUGGCUCAGAAUAAAUUUCUUCGACUAUUUUACAGACUUUGAGUCUUUUCAUUGAUAGUGAGAGACAGGACUAACUGGAUUUCCUAGGCCGACUAAGAAUCCCUAAGCCUACCUGGGAAGGUGACCGCAUCCAUCUUUAAACACGGGGCUUGAAACUUAGCUCACACCUAACCAGUCAGAGAGCUCACUAAAAUGCUAAUUAGGCAAAAAACAGGAGGUAAAGAAAUAGCCAAUCAUCUAUUGCCUGAGAGCACAGCGGGAGGGACAAGGAUCGGGAUAUAAACCCAGGCAUUCGAGCCAGCAAUGGCAACCCCCUUUGGGUCCCCUUCCCUUGUAUGGGAGCUCUGUUUUCACUCUAUUUCACUCUAUUAAAUCUUGCAACUGCACUCUUCUGGUCCAUGUUUGUUACGGCUCGAGCUGAGCUUUGGCUCGCCAUCCACCACUGCUGUUUGCCGCCGUCGCACACCUGCUGCUGACUCCCAUCCCUCCGGAUCCAGCAGGGUGUGUCCGCUGUGCUCCUGAUCCAGCGAGGUGCCCAUUGCCGCUCCUGAUUGGACUAAAGGCUUGCCAUUGUUCCUGCACGGCUAAGUGCCCGGGUUCGUCCUAAUCCAGCUGAACACUAGUCACUGGGUUCCACGGUUCUCUUCCUUGACCCACGGCUUCUAAUAGAGCUAUAACACUCACCGCAUGGCCCAAGAUUCCAUUCCUUGGAAUCUGUGAGGCCAAGAACCCCAGGUCAGAGAACACGAGGCUUGCCACCAUCUUGGAAGCGGCCUGCCAACAUCUUGGAAGUGGCUUGCCACCAUCUUGGGAGCUCUGUGAGCAAGGACCCCUGGUAACAAUAGCAUUCAGCCAAAAAUUAUCAAGCAUGUAACGAAGCAGGAAAAUAGGACUCAGAACGAGGAAAAAAACCGGAUAGACCCACAAAUAAAACAAAUAAUAGAACUAGGACACUAAAACAGUUAUAACUUUGAGGACACUAAAACAGUUAUUAUAAUAAUUUUUUAUAUAUUCAAAAAGACAAGUAGAGUCAUGGAAGAUAUUAGAAUACCCAAAAAAAACUUUUAAAGAAGAAAACUACAAUAUUUGAGACGAAAAUACACUGGGUAGGAUUCGCAGCAGACUCAAAGCUAGAAAAGAAAAUGUUAGUGAACUUAAAGACAUAGAAUAGAAAGUAUCCAAAAUAAAACAUAGAAGAGAAAAAGCUUAAAAAAUGAAAACAGCAUCAGUGAGUGCUGAUAAAAUAUACAAAUAAUUGUAGUCUCCAAAGAAAAGAAGGGGAAGCAAAAUUAUCUGAAGAAAUGAAAGCCAAAAAUUUUCCAAAAUUGAUGAAAAUUUUAAAUCUUGAAUCAAAAUUUAAUUUAAAAUUUAAUUUUAAAUUUUAAAUCAAAAUUGAUGAAAAUUAAAUCUAAGAUACCCACAGAGUCCCCUAGUGAAUCUACCAGUCACCUCUUAUUUGCUUUUCUCCAUAACCGCCAUUGUUUCUGACAAUGUCUUCAGGCCUGAAGUUCCUGACACUCUAUUGCAAACAGUCAGUUCUUUUGAAAAGAGAUUUGGAACUAGCUCUGUAUUAAGACUUGACUUUCCCCAAGGGCAAAAUCUCUGAGCUGUCUCUAGACCUGGAAACAGGAAAAGAGGUGUUCUUUUUUCCAUGUGACACGCCUCCUUUAAGAGCUAAGUGCCCUGGGGGUAGGGGACAGUUAGUAGUCUCAGGUCUUUUUGGAUUGCUUCUCUUGGUAUGAAACCUAGGCCUUAUGAGCUGGGUAGAGGUGAUCUGGUAUACCCGAGGUAGAGUCUUUAUCCUCUGACAGGGGACUCAGUAGAAGAAGGGAGCCCUACCUUUUGCCAACACUCACCCAAAACAUACAUUCUGCAACAGGUAGCUGGGGAUAGAAUGAGAAAUGCUGAUGUCCUACCUCUCCUGGGAAGAUACUAUAGCCCUCCGACGGGUUGCUGGGGACACAGCAAACCCUAUGUACUUGACUGCAGCAGCCUGGAGUGGAAUUUCUAUCAUGCUGUCUGGUUGCAGUUCAGAUACCACAGUCUCUUGCUGUCGUUGCCAAAUUUUAGUAAAUUUUCUCGAAUACAUUUCUUAAUUCACAGUAUGUCCUUUGAUAUUCCUUUUUAAGAAGAAUAUAAAAGACCAAUCCCAAACAUCACAAAAACUAUCCCUACAAAGAACUAUAAAUGUAAUUGUAUAAGUUUGUAAAGUAAUUUAUUCCACAGUGCAUUGUUGUAAGCAAUAGAGCAAUCAGCCAGCAAGUAGUGGAGUUUAACAGCUGGGUGUGAUCAGGGAAAGAGAUGAUCAAAGAGAGACCUACAAAAAUUACUGUCAUCACAGAAAGAGUGACUAUGGACAUACCCAAGGGUAUAUCCUCUUAGGAACAACAACAGAGGUUUCACACUGCUUGAGGGAUUGGAUAGAGGGAGGACAGAAGGGGAGAGGGAUAGAUUUCACUAAUAUAGCCAGUCCAUAAAUAAAUAAAGAAGUAAACAAUAAAAAGCCCUAGAGUGGGUGGAGCGGUACUCAGAGUUGUUACAAUAUAUUAUCUGAAGUGUUAAAUUUCCAACCAAAAAUUAUGAGACAUGCAAAGAAACAGUAAAGCCUGAUCUACACAGAGAAAAAAAAGCAGGCAAUAGAAACUGCCUAUGAGAGCAACCAAAUAUCAGAUUUAAUUGGCACUUCAAAGUAGUAAUUCUUAAUGUGUUCAAAGAACUAGAAGAAACCAUUAUUAAGGAGGGAAAGUAUGAUGAAAAUGUCUCAUCAAACAGAAAAUAUCAGUAAAGAGAAGUUAUUAAAAAGAACCAAAUGAAAAUUCUUGAGUUGAAAAGUACAAUAACUAAAAUAAAAAUUUCACUAGAGGGACUCGAGUAGAUUUGAACUGGCAGAAGAAAGAAUUAAUGAACUUGAAGACAGAUUGAUAGAGAUUAUUUAAUCCAAAGAACAGAGAGAAAAAAUAUAAUGAAAAAUAAAGAAUAGAGCUUCAGAGAAAUGUGGGACACCAUUAAGCAAACCGGCCAAUACUUCAAACCAGCCAAUAGUUCAAGACAGAAAAGAGCAGAAAAAAUAUUUAAAGAAUCCAUGGGAAUAAAUGAAGACAACCAAAAAAUGGUAAAUUACAACUCAAUAUAACGAAAACUAUAAAUACACCUUGUUUUGUCUUUCUUCUCUCAGAUUUAGUAGAAAACAUAAAAAUGUUAUGUCACCAUAAGUAUAAUAAAGCAUUGUUGCAUUCAUAAUAGAUAUCACAUAAUAUGUAUGACAAUACCACGAAAAGAGGGAAAGGGGUUAUAUAGGAGUAACAUUUCUGUAUUUCACUGGAAUUAAGUUAGUUUUGUUAGCACUAAGGGAAUGUAUCUGAGUCACGUGGCACCAAAGUAUGCUAGCAGCAGCAAAUCUGUAUGUAUGUACGGGUCUGCAGCAACCUCAAUUCUUACUUCCUCAGAAGAAAGAAUUUGACUGAGGAGCAUAAGGCAGAGUGAGAGACCAAAGCAAAUUUUAGAGCAGGCGUGAAAAUUUACUAAAAAGUUUUAGGGUAGGAAUCAAAGGAGGUAAAGUAUACUUCAAAAAGGGCCAAGUGGGCAACUUGAGAGAGUCAAGUGCACAGUUUGAUCUUUGACUUGGGGUUUUAUAUGUUGGAGUUCUUCCAGGAUCUGCAUCUCUUCUCCCCUGAUUCUUCCACUGGAGUGAACUGUCCACAAGUGCAGUGGCCCGUCAGCACUUGGGAGGGGCCGCAUGCACAGUGUGUUUACUGGAGUUGUACAUAUGCUCACUUGAGGUGUUCUUCCCCUACCAGUUGAAUGUUCCUAGAAGGUCAUACACCAGUUAAACACCACAAUUUUGUCUCUUAGUGCACAUGAGUGAGCCCAUUCACCCAACUCCUGAGAUGUUAUCAGGAAGCUGCUCAUCAUCAGUUUCAGGCUUUUUCUAUCUAUUGGGAGACUGCCUUUCCCUGGUGCUGGCUGCAACCAAUUAUUUUAGAGAGACAGUUAACAACUGCCUGACCAUCACCUGAUGGUCAUCUGACAUUCCUGGUGAGGGGGUGAGGGGGACUCUCCUACCCUGCUCAUGUCUGCCUGACUACUAUAACAGUAUCAGUUAACUUAUCAGAAGUAGAUUAUGACAAGUUAAGAUUCACAACUCAAAAAUAUGUAGUAAAAAUAAUAAAAUAAAAUAUUAUAUUAGAAAACAUUUAAUGUCAAAGGAUGCAGUAAAGCAGGAGGAGGAAAAAAAAAGACAUGAUAGAGCAAAAGAGCACACUUAGCACCUAAUACCUUUCUCCAACAAAAGAAACCAGGACUCCUUGAAGAAAGUGCUGGUUCUAGGACUGGGAAAGGAAAUAUACAAGAUGAGCCUAUAGCACUAUUAGAAGAAAAUCCUUAGCCAAAUUAAAUUUAAAGGAGUUUAAUUGAGCACAGUUUUUGAACACAGUAUUUGAACGCAGUUUGAACAGUUGGUCCCAUUUGAUUGGCCAAAACUCGGUGAUUGGCAGAAGAGUAGGUUAUAGUUGGCUUACACCUCCAUUUAGGUUAUAGUUCACUAUACACAGAGAAACCUUUAGGCUGAAUUUAAAAUAUGUAAGGAGGCAGCUUUAAGCUAAAGUUGAUUUAACAGCACCCUGUACUGCCAAAAUGUAAGGAAGUGCUGGAAAAAAAUGAAAGCAAACUAAUCCAUGGGGGAAAAUGUCAUAGUAGAGGCUCAAAAACUAUGGAAUUAAAUUUUAAAUUGCUGAAAGAUAAUAACUUCCAACGUAGAAUUUUACACCGAGUAAAAAAAUAUCUUAAAUGUCAGGAGCUCAACUGAGCUGUAGACAGCUGAACUGUCAGGUGUAGGAGUAAUCAAAGAAACAAGCCAAAAAUGAAAGUGUUACUCAAGGCGUUAUCAUUUCCUGAUGAUAUAAGCAAGAAGCUAAACCAAAAAAAAAAAAACAAGAAAAAAGAAAAAAACCCUAACUUCCCUCAGCUCCAUUUUCCCUCAUGAAACAAUACGCUCGUUGAGGGUUGGAUGGAUCAGUACAGAUGUUGGACUUGUCUCACUGCUGCUGAAGGAACCUCAAAGAAAAAAAUGGUUCUUGGGAUUUUACAGACUCAAGAGGUUGGAGGACAGGAGUGGGAAGGGGUAGGAGUAGAUAAGUUCUGAGUACUGAGUUAGAGUGGAGAAAGGUGUCUUCAAGCUUUCUUGAAGCUGAAUUUAAAAGAGUUCCUGAGAAAGGCUCUGGACAAAGGUCUCAAAUAAAGAAAACUCUGAGUAAAGGCACCUGGGUUAGGAAUGCAAAUAUAUUAAUACAUAAAAGCAUGGCUGGCCAGAGAGGUCUGAGUCAUUGAUUGCAACUCCCUUCAGUGACUGCCAUGCACUGGCUGUACACCAAGAUUAGUCAGGACAGGGCAGCUUUCUCUCAUAAGACCUGCCAGGUAAAUCCUUGGAAGUUGGCUAUGAAAAAAUCACACAUGAUUUUGAUGGGCCAGAAGCAGGACGCUUUAAAAAGAUGUACAAGAGAAAAAAUAAAAACCAUCAAAGUUGGCAAAAAAUUAGUUAAAUUAUCCCUAUUUAUUGAUGAUCUGAUCUUUUAUCUAGAAAACCCUAAAGACUCCACCAAAAAACUCUUAGAUUUCAUGAAUGAAUUCAGUAAUUUUAAGAUACAAAAUUAACGUAGAGAAAUCAGUAGAGUUUCUUUACACUAAUAAUGAUCUAGCUGAGGACCAAAUCAAGAAGGCACUCUCAUUUACAAUGGCUCCAAAAAUAAUAAUAAAAUACACAGAAAUAUAUUUAACCAAAGAGGUGAAGGAUCUCUAUAGGAGAACUACAAAACACUGAUAAAAGAAAUCAUAGAUGACACAAACAAAUGAAAAACAUCUCAUGCUCAUGGAUUAGAAGAAUCAAUAUUGUUAAAAUGAUUAUACUGCCAAAAGCAAUCAACCAAUUCAAUGCAAUCCCUAUCAAAUUACCAAUAUUGUUAUUCACAGAAUUAGAAAAUAAUCCUAAAAUUCAUAUGGAACCAAAAAAAGAGCCCGAAUAGCCAAAAUAAUCCUAAGCAAAAGGAACAAAGCUGGAAGCAUCUCAUUACCUGUGUUCAAAUUAUACUACAAGCCUAUAGUAACCAAAACAGCAUUUUACUGGUAUAAAAAUGGGCACAUUUUAAAUGUGCGUCAUUAAAGCAGACAACAAACGUGAAAAAAUGCUCAGCAUCAGCAAUCAUCAGAGAAGUACAAAUUAAAACCACAAUAAGAUACCAUCUUACACCAGUCAGAAUGGGUUUUAUUAAAAAGUCAAAAAAUAGCAGAAGUUGGUGAGGAUGCAUAGAGAAAGGAAUGCUUAUAGAAUUUCGGUGGAAAUGUGUAGUAUGACCUUUAUGGAAAACAGUAUGGAGAUUUCUCAAAUAACUGAAAAUAGAACUACCAUUCGAUCCAACAGUCUCACUACUGGGUAUAUACCGAAAGGGAAAGAAAUAAUUAUAUCAAAAAGAUACCUGCACUCAUAUUGUUACUUCAGUACUAUUCACAAUAGCAAAGAUAUGGAAUCAGUCUGAGUUUCCAUCAACAGAGGAUUGAAUAAAGAAAAUGUGGGGUGUGUGUAAGUGUGUAUAUAUAUAUAUAUAUAUAUAUAUAUAUAUUUUUAUAAUAUAUAUAUAUUUUAUAUAUAUAUUAUAAUAUAUAUUUAUAUAUAUUUUAUAUAUAUUUAUAUAUAUAAAAUAUAUAAAUAUAUAUAUAUAUAUAUAAAAUAUAUAAAUAUAUAUAUAUAUAUAACAAUACUACUCAGCCAUAAAAAAGAAUAAAAUCAUGUCUUUUUAGUAACAUGGAUGGAACCGGAGGCCAUUAUUCUAACUAAAAUAACUUAAAUACAGGAAGUCAAAUACUACAUGUUCUCACUUAUAAGUGGGAGCUAAACAAUAAGUACACAUGGACAUACAGAGUGAAAUAGUAGAUGUUAAAGACUAUAAAAGUAGCGGGGAGGGGAGAGUUGAAAAACUACCUACUGGGUACAAUGUAAACUAUUCAGGUGAUGGGUGCAUUAAAAGCCCAGACUUCACCACUACACAAUAUAUGCAUGUAUGAAAUCUGCCCUUUUACCCUCUAAAGACAUACAAAUAAAGAGAAUAAAGUAUAAACAAGGAAUUCUCAGAAAAACAGAAACUAGAAAACUUUGUCAUCAGCAGCCUUGUACUAAAAUAAAUACCAAAAGAGUGUUCUUUGGGUAGAAAAAUAUGUAUAUGAGUCCAAAUGGAAGCAUGAAGAAAAGAAGGAGAAUGAAAACAGUACAUAAGUUAUGCAUAUACAUACUACACAAUAAUGUCAUGAUGAAUUACUAAUAUAAAGAACAAAAGAAUGUAUAACUGAUAUGCUAAUACAGGAAAAAAUGGAAUAAUAAAAAUAUUUGAUUACUCUAAAAAUAGGCUAUAAAAGACAAAAAAAAAUCAUUGGACAAAUUCACAUAUAGAGAUCAAAGAGUAAGUGCCAAACUUCGUAAAAUCACAAAAAACUCUCCAAAUGAAAAAUGUUUGCAAAUGCAUUUUAAAACUAUUUCUAAUAAAAGAUACAACUUAAACAUAAAAAUUCAGAAAGCUCGAAAGCAAUAGGAUAAAAAAUAUAUCAUGCAAAUAUUAAGUAGAUAUAGCUCAGGGAGUAAUGCUAAUACUGGACAAAGCAGAUUUUAAGGUAAGAAGGUUUACUAGAGAUAAAAGGGAUAUUUUUAAAUAAAGGGUCAAUAUAGUAGAAGAAUACAACAAUUCUAUAUUUGUAUGCCCCUUACAACAUAGCCUCUCUCUCUCUCUCUAUAUAUAUAUAUGUAUAUACAUAUGUAUAUAAAAUAAAAACUGUCAGAUUAAAAGGAGAGAUAAAAAAGAUAAAUUCAGUCAUAACCAUAGAUAUUGACAUUCCAUUCUAAAUAAUGCAUUAAACAGAUAAAAAUAAUUAAGAUUAUAGAUAAUUGUAACAACAUGGUUAAUAAGAUUAAUCUAAUUUCUGUUUAUGGAAACAACUGCAUAAUGUAAAUUCUUGGAGCAUUCAACCAAAUUAACCAUAUGCGGAGCAAUAAUGGAAGUCUCAGCUAAUUUUAGGAACCAAAAUUCUAUAAGUUAUACUAUCUGGCCACAGUGGGAAUAAUCUUGAAUAUACUAACAAAAGAGAUAAUGAGGAACUCAGUCCCUUAAAUGUUUGGAAAUUUGGCAAUAUUCUUCUAAAUAACCUAUAGAUAAAGGAAAAUAAGUAGAAAUGAGAAUGAAUAUUUAUUCAACUGAAUGAUAAUGAAAGUAUAAUAUAUCAAAGUAACUUGGAGUCACGUAAAGCCACACUAAAGUGUAAUGUAUAGCCUGAAAUACAUUUAUUAGAAAAGAAUAAAGAGGGGUCAUCUGAGGGGUCAAGAAGAAUGUGCCUGAGAAUUAUAGGCUCAAGCGAAGAGAGAUGGGAGCAUUUCCCCUCUUGCCAUUAUCCUCCAUUGGCCGACUUACUCCAUGGACUGUUAAUCCCUUCACACUUCUAUGAUGUGUAUGCAUCGUGAAGGGAAGAUUUGCAUGUAUAUGUGGGGUUGCAGAACGAAAGAAAAGACCCAGUGAGGUGAAGUGCUAUGAAGUGAGGUAAGAUGAGAUACUGAAGUUAUACCUUUGUGAAGUUUGUUGCCACAGCAAUGUCUGGGUGAAAAGGUAUGCCUACAGCAUGUCAGGUGAGGCUCAAUAUAUUCCCAAUGCAACAUUUAUUUGAAGUCAAAAAAGAAACAACAAAUAAAGGGAAGCAAAAAGAAUGCAAUAGCAAAAAGAGCAGAAAAUAAUGACAUAAAAACAUGCAACAGAAAACAUCAACAAGCUAAAAAUUCGUUUCUUUGAAAAAGUAUCAUAAAAUUGAAAAAUCCCUGGAAAGACUGAGAAAGAAAGAACCAAAAGAUAGAGAAAAGGCGCAUAUUGUGAAUAAUAAGAAUAAUGGAAGGGAGCAAGAUGGCAGAAUAAGUCUCAGUCGUUGUUCCUCCACAGAAAUACUGAUUUAACAAUAAGGAUUUAUGGGCCAAAUAACUUUAUAAGAAGUCCAGAAUCUAGUGGAUAAGUUGCAAAGAAGCAUAAAACCCAGGGACAGCUGCAUUGAAAUGGGGGUUGGAGAGGGGAAGAUGGGGAGUUGAUGUUUAAUGGGUGUAAAGUUUCAGUUAUACAAGAUAAAUAAGUUCUAAAUACCUGCAUACAACAUUGUUUCUAUGGUUAAAAAUAUUGUAUCAUGCAGUCAACUAUGUUAAGAGGGUGGAUCUUUGGUUAAGUGUUCUCGCCACAGUAAUAAAAAAAGUUUUAUUGAACCUACCAAUAUUAAACAUCAUAACAGAAUAUUUUAAGCAACUUCAAUUUGAAAAUUCAACAAAGUGGACACAUGCCUAGAAAACUACAACUUAUACAAUGUACACAAGAAAAAAUGUAUCGAAUUAUUCAACUCUUUAAGAAAGACAACUAAAUCUACUUUAAAAGAAGAUCGCUUUACCAGUGAAUUCUCCUCCGUAUUUAGAAACAUCACCAAUCUUACAAACUCUUCUAGAGAAUUAAAAAAAAAACCCAAUAGUUGCCAACUCAUUUUGUGAGGCCAGCAUAAGUUUAACAUCAAAACCUGACAAGGCCAAUGCAUUAAAAAAUAUAUACAGGUUCAUUUGUAUUAUAAAUGUAGUUGCAAAAGUAACAUACUGAAACCAGCAAUAUAUAAUUAAUAUAAUACAUCAUGAAGUUGGAUAGUUUCAGGAACACAAGAUGAGUUUAACAUUUGGAAAACAUUCAUUGAAAUUCACUACAAUUACAGAAUAAAGGAUACAUCUCAUAUGAUGAUCUCAAAAGAUACAAUAAAAACAUUUGAUAAAAUUCAAGAUCCUUUAAUUAUAAAGGAGAAAACCCUUAACAAAUUAGAAAUAGAAUGAGACUUCCAAAAUCUCAGAAAGUGUACAUAAAAACCCUGGAACAAUUACCUUACUUACUAGCAAAAUAUCAAUAGUCUUUCCUUUGAUGCUUGAGGCAACUACUAUUCAAUAUUGAGUUGGAGGUCCUAGUUAAUGCAAUGAUAGAAGAAAAAAAUAGUUGUAAAGGUAUAAAAAGUGAAAGGAAAGAAAUAAAACUCAUCUGUUUCAGAAGAUAUGAUUGUUUACACAGGAGAUUCAAAAGAAUCUACAGCCAACUAUUAGAAUCAAACAAUUGAACUCAUGAGUAUAGACAGUAGAAGGAUGGUUACCAGAGGCUGGGAAAGAUAGUGGGGGACUGUGGAGAAGGUGGGGAUACUUAAUGGGUACGAAAAACUAGAAAGAAUGAAUAAAACCUAUUAUUUGAUGGCACAGCAGGGUGACUAUAGUCAAUAAUAACUUAAUUGUACAAUUUAAAAUAACUUACAGUGUAAUUGGAUUGUUUGUAACUCAAAGAAUAAAUGCUUGAGGGGAUGGAUACUCCAUUCUUCAUGAUGUGCUUAUUACACAUUCCAUGCCUAUAUCAAAACGUCUCAUGUACCCCAUAAAUAUAUACACCUACUGUGUACCCACAAAAAUAAAAAAAUAAGAACAAGUGAACUUUACUUAACAACGUAGUUGGAUGUAAAGUCAAUAUUCAAAAUUAAAUCAUGUUAUAAUUUUCCUAUCUUAAAAAAUAGAAAAUAAAAUUUAAAAAUAGAUACUGUGACAAUAACAUCAAAGUAUAAUCUCAUAUAUAGAAAUGAAUCUAGUAAAACCUCUUCAAAACAGCUACAUAAAAAUAUAAUAUAUAUCUUUAAAUUUUAAAAAAUACCUUAAAAAUGUAAAGAUACAUCUUGUUUAUUGAUGGGAAGACCUAUAGAUUCUGUGCACUUCACAAAAAAAUAGAUAUCCCAAUGUCCAACAAGCUCAUGAAAAAUGCUUUACUCCACUAAUCAUCAGAAAAUGCAAAUUUAAAUCACAAUAAGAUAUAAUCCAACCAGAAUGGCUAAAAUUAAAAAUACUAACCAAAUCAUUGUCAACAAGUAUUCAGAUAAAUUGGAACUCUUAUGUACUGCUCACUUUGCAAGGCUGUCAGUGUCUACUAAAGUGAAACUUAUGCAUACCAUAUGCUAUGGUCUGAAUGUGUCCCCCAAAAUUCAUAUGUUGAAGCAUAAUAGCCAAGGUGAUAAUAUUAAUAGGGGGGGCCUUUUAGGAGGUAAUUAAGUGAUGAGGUCAGAGCCCCCAUCAAAUGAGAUUAGCAACCAUAUAGAAGAGGUUGAAGGGGGCAUCCUUUUUGCUCUUCUAUCCUUCUUCCAUGUGAGGACACAGCAUUCAUCCUCUCUGGAGAACACAGAGUUUAAGGCACCAUCUUUAAAGGAGAGAGCAGCCCUUUCCAAACACUGGAUCUGCUGGCACCUUGACAUUUGGACAUCCAGACUCCAGAACUGUGAGAAAUAAGUUUCUGUUCUUUAUAAAUUACUCAGUCUCAGAUAUUUUAUUACAACAUCAGGAACAAGCUAAAACACCCUAUGACCCAGAAAUACAUCUCCCAGCUGUGCACUUAACAGAAAUUCAUAUAUAUAUAUAUAUGCACCAGAAGGCAUAUACAAGAAUGCACAUAGUAACCUAUUUGUGAUAAUCUUAUGUUGGAAAGAAUGCAAUUACUAAGAGUAGAAAUCCUUAAUAAAUUGUGUGAAAAUGAAACCACUAUAACUACCAAUAAAAAGUAUGAAUUUCAUUGAGCCAAAGAAGCCAGACACCAGAAACACAAAACAUAUAAUUUUUUAUUGAAUUAAAACUGGGCAACACUCAGCUUUGAUAUUACCAGUCAAGUACUAUUUUACUUUGGGUAAAUGGGUCAGGGUAAUUAUUGGUAAGAGGGCUUAAGGGGGUUUUUAGAGUGCUAGUAAUGUUUUAUUUUUUGACCCUUGGUGAUUGUAAUAUAAGUGUGUUUACUUUGUGAUAAUUUACCAAACUCUAUACUUAUGAUAUGCAUUAUUUUCUAUGUUCAAUUAUUAAUAAUAUUUUUAAAGUUAAAUUUCUCAAAGCUGAAAUUAUCUUCUUUCCCUUAAAUUUGCAUCUAUCUCUUCCCGGGUCUGCCAGCUCAAGCUAAGCAGCCAUUCUUGAUUGUUCAAUCCUUCCAAUCAGCCACUUUAUGCUGUAUCUAAAAACUAAAUAUCUCUGGAAUCCAACUACUUUUCUCUAUCCUACUUCAUUACUUAUCUUAAGCCAUCAUUAUCUCUUGCCUGGAUUACUGCAAUGGCUUUCUCCCAACUCAUACCCUUGCCUUCAUUUUUUACCCUUCCAAAACUCCUACUCUUAUGGCACAGUCCAAAAUGAUUUUCUAAAGCACAAAUUACAAAACUGGCCAUGUAACUCCCCUAAUAAAAGGCUUAAUUUUUCCUCCAUUUCUUUCAGGAUAAAGUCCAUUGACUAUAAUGUAACUCAUAAAAUGCUGAAUGAUCAGCCUUCUGCUUAUUUCUCCAGCCUCAUAUCUUGCCUUCACUGUUUAUCCCCUCUUCUUACUAAAUGAUUACAGAAUGUACUCCAUCUCUAGUAAAUAAUUUGCAUCUAUUGAAAUAUAUUGUGGUCUUUCUUCAAGACUCCAGAGUCCCUAUGUUGAAACACUUUAGGGGCAGCAAUAUUGUUAGAAAAUGGUGCUAAAGUGUUGUCUUGAAGCUACAUUUCCAUAAUAAAUGAAACUUUGCGUGUGUGUGUGUGUACACGUGCGCGUGUGUGUGUUUUGUAGUUUGGUGAUGGUACCGAUAGAGAUUAUAAAGGAUAAAUAGCUCCUCUUGCCACCAGUUUGCUUUAGACCUUUGCACUUGUAUUUCUUCAUUUCUAGAGCAUUUUUUUCUCUCCCUCCUUCCAUAUGAUCAUCAGAUCAUUCUUCCAAUUCAGUUGUUGGUUCUUCCAGAAAGUCUUCCUUAAUUCUACAAAGCCAUAUUAAGUGUCCCUCUUCAGUGUAACUCACUGUAAUCUUGAUUCUAUCAUACCACUAUAACAUACAGGAGUCACAUGUUAGGGGAUAGAUUCUAAAAAUCAUUCUUUCCUUCUCUGGUUGGCAAUGCAAUGGUUAUAGGAUGAUUGCAGGAGUCAGAUCACUAAAGAAUGCAUAAUGCCUAGUAGCUGAGAAUGCAGAGAAAGGCAUAGUGCCUCAGGUUUGUGUAUACUCGGUAAUUUUAAAUGAACAAUAGAAAGAUGACUGGAAGAAAAGUGUGGGUAGAGUACAGAGAGAAAUGAGGCGUAAAUUGCAACAUGAGUCUGGGAACAAGACUGUCCAAGAUCAUGAAGAGCCUUUUUGGCUUUAUUAAAAAGCUUGGUCUUUAUAUUUAGUGCAAUAAAAUGUUGUUGGAAGAUUUUUUUUAAUCAUAAGAAAAUCUCUAUGAUAUAUUAAGUAAAAAAAUCAAAAUGCAAAACAUAGUGGACAGAGACUAAUGUUUAUUAGAAAUAAAAUGCAUAUAGGUAUAAAUAGAAAAUGUCUGAAAAAUAUAUAAUAAACUGACAAACAGCCUUUAUUGGCUGUGGGAAUGGGGAUUUAUAGCCUAGCAUUUAGGUUAUACCCUUUUAUAUUGUUUGUGUUUUCAUUCUAGUGUAUGAUUGCUUUUUCGAAUAACCAAAAACUUGAUAACCAUGAAUUUUGUUAUCAAAGACAGAUUGGAAUCCUGAUCUGCUUACUCACUGUGUGAUAUUGGACAAGUGACUUCAUUUCCUUGGACCUCAGUUUCCUCAUGUAAAUAGGGAUGAUAAUCAUGCGUACAUAUGGUUGUGAAGAUUAAAUAAAUAAAGAAAUGCUAACAGAGCCUGACACAUAAUAAGCACCCACUAUAUCUUACCAAUUACCAUUAUUGUUUUUGCCUUUAUCAAAAUUCACACAGGUCAGCAGAGCAUAACAGUUAAGAACUUGAGCUUUGUAGUAAGAACUGAGUUCAAAAUCUGUUUCUGCUACACGCUCAUGGUGUGAAUUUUAUCAUGCCACUUCCUUUCUGUAUGCCUCUGAUGACUUAUUGUAAAUGUGAACAACUAGAAUACUUAUUCCUAGAGUGGUUGUGAGACCUGUGCCAGAACAAUAAUGAUAGCUCCCAAUUUUGGGGCACUUUCUAUAUGCCAAGUUAUAUUAAGUGAUUACAGAUAAUGAUUGAUUUCAUAACUAUUCUUUUUCUUAUUACUAAUGCAUAUGUGGAGAGAGAGAGAGCAAUAUUAGUAAGAGUCACUUGCAUACUAGCCGUUGGGUGAUUACCAGUUGUUUCUCCAAGAAAGUGGAGAUACAACAAAUUUAUUUAAAAAUAUUUCAAUAUAUUCUAACUGCUCUGGCUAAGUCUCCCUACCAUCAAGCCAUAACCCCCACGAAGUCAGUCACACAAUCUGGAGUGAUGACCACAGAUGCCAAGAUACUUGUGGUCCAGGUAGGAUAGUAGGUAGGGGCUCUGUACACUGUGUCUGGCACCAACUCAGAAAAGUGUUUCUUCAUGAUGCUUAUCCACAUGGUACUCAUCAGCUGCAGUUGAUAGUACACAAGAAUGGUGAGAUGGUAUAGGACCACCCUGUUACCACCACCCAAAAUGACAUACAGAAAAGGUUUUCCUGUGAUAUUGGCAGAUGGGAUAAAUAUAUUCUAGGUUGAUCAGAUCAAUAUCUUUCUAUUGCUUUUUCUUCAGUUAGAGGUUACUGUUGGAGACCAGGUACAAGCUAAAAUACACAGUCUUCUUGGGCAAAGAUAUCAUCCACCACAUCAGGUAUCACAGCUUAUCUUUGAACAACUUGAAUGUGCUCAAAACCAUUAUCUUCUAGAAGUGGUUCUUGAUCUUGUUUUUGCUCAAGCUUCCAAUGAUUAAGGCUGAUACAGCCUUCUUGAUCAUCCCUUCCAGGGUCUACAGAUCCCUGUCUGGUCCUUCAUAGAUAAUGAUAAAAAGGUUACUUUUGUCUGAUUGCCAAAUGGCUGCAUUGCACCAGUUAGUCAAUGGCUCUACCUGUACACGUCCUCCUAAAAUAUGUGGUCCCAUCACCAUGGUGCUGACAAUUUCAUUCAUAUAUAUGAAGAUACAUUAGCCCAGUGCAUUAUGAAUUCACACUGCCCUCUCUGAAUUCAAGAAGAUCUUGAUAACAAAAUAGGUGCUAGACGCUACCACUUUCUCUCAGCAGAUCAUGCAUCCAAUUUAUGAAGCUGUGGGGACUGUGGGUUUUUUGAAUCAACGCUGGGCCGAGUCUCAAGCCCAGAUGGUAUUGUCUAAGCAAAUGAAGCAACACAAUGUGUCCAGCUGCUCUGCCAUUAUACCACUCAUGAUAGAUGUGAACUGAGUAUGAAGAAAAAUGUGACCACAGGGCCAAAGUAACAGCUGAAGCUCAUCUAGACUCUGGAAUGGCUGCACUCAGCUACCAGCCUCAGGAUGCUGAUCUAGCCACUCCUAUAGUGAUAGUGGUGAAGGUCAUCCUGACUUCCAGAAAAUAUGUGGUCAAAGAAAACCUUGGACAUUACCAUGUGGGUCACAUGGCUAGUAACGCUCAAUGAUUUUAAAACAGGGCUAUUCCAUUAUCCAACUUGUUUUUUUACAAAGGGGAUAAAGAUCACUGUGUGCAUUGUGAAUGGAAGCAGGAGAGCCUGGGAGAAGCAAAACCAAUUAGAAGGAUGUGAUAUUGUGAUGUAACAAGAAAUAUAUAUUUAGUUUUUGUUCCUGUUCUUGGCAGGGAGUUCCUAAAACACUUGGAAUUUCCUGAGUAAUAAUGAUGAGAGGAACAACUCUUGUUAUACAUAAUAUGCCCCUUGCAACCAUAUCUUAGUUUAUACUAAUAAAGUAACUCUUGGAGGAUGAGGGCUGAUUGCCAGAGGAACCAACCACGUGAUUAGAAGGUUGAAACUUUCAGCCCCACCCCAUGACCUUUGAGAAGGGAAAGGCGCUGGAAAUUGGCUGAAUCACCAAUGGCCAAUGAUUUAAUCAAUCAUGCCUACAUAAUAGAGCCUUCAUAAAAACCCUAAACUAGGGGGUUCAGAGAGCUUCCCGGUUGGUGAACACACUGAGGUGCCAGAAGGGUGGCAUGCUUGGAGAGAGCACGGAAGCUCUGUGCCCUUCCCCCAUGCCUUGCCUUAUGCAUCUCUUCUAUUUGACUGUUCCUCAGCUAUAUAUCCUUUAUAAUAAACUGGUAAUAGAAAUUAAAGCAUUCCCCUAAGUUCUGUGAGCUAUUUCAACAAAUUAUUGAACACGAGGAGGGAGGCAUGGGAGCCCCUGAUUUGUAGCCAGGUUGGGCAGGAGUGUGGGUAAUCUGGGGAUCCACUACUUGCAAUUGACUUCUGAAGUGAGAGAGCAGUCUUGCGGGACUGAACCCUUAACCCAUGGGGUCUGAGCUACGUCCAGAUUAGUUAGUUUAGUGUCAGAUUUAAUUAAAUGGUAGGACACUCAGUUGGUGUCUGCAGGGAGUUGGAGAAUUGCUUGGUGUGGAAAAUCCACACAUUUGGUGGCAAAAGUGUUGUGUACAGAGAAAGAAUUUUCUUCUUCAGAGGAUAUUACAGGAAUCUAGGCAUAAAGUAGUUGUGGCUUGGAUAGUUCUAUGGCAAAGGGAGAGUGGUUAUUAUUUUUGCAUGUAAAAAAUUAUUUUAAUGAAGACUUAUUUUAAUUUGAUGCUUGAAAAAGCAUCAAAUUUGAUAUUCCAAGUGAGAAGUGCAUUAAAUGCAUUUCAUUAAGGAGGGAGCAGUGGCAGGCAUAGCUUCAUGUCAAGUAUUUGAUUUGGGUCAUAAAGAAUGAAAAAGUCUAAUGGAUAGAGAAGAGGAAGGAGACAGUGGAAGAAUGAACAAAUGCAUGGAGAUACAGAAUUUUUAAAGACUGCUUGGGAAGCAGUAAAUGGAAGAAUUUAACUGAAGUGGACAGGAUUUUUAAGGGCAGAGUGGAAGAUAAUGCUGGUAAAAUAGAUUGGUGUCAGAUUAUGAAAGUCCUUGCACACGUGGCUUUGAGAAAUGGACAAUGCUACGAUAGUGGCCCAAUUAACAAAGAUAAAGAAUCAGGAAAGGGGGUACUUUGAGGAAGAUAAUUAAGAGUCUUUCCUAGAUGUACUGGUUGAAGUCUGGUUACUAGAUAAGGUUAUCAAAGAGGAGAUUAAUAGAAGAGGUCAGAGAAAAAUUUAUGCUCCUGACCAGUUGAAAAACUUUUCCUAACAAUUUCUAAAUUUCUAUAAGUUAGGAUAUAUGCUACCAUAAGAAGUUCUAUCCACCCAUCUCUUUCCAUAUACUAAAUAAGUACAAAUUCAUCAUAUACAAUUGGAUACAAUUCCAAAACUUCUUUGUAAAUUGAAAGAUCUGGAAAGUAAAUAUAAAGGAAAGUUACAAAAUUAGCAAUGUAUUGCUAAUAAUGCUACUAAUAUGUAUUGCAGUAGUUUGUAUGAAUGUUUUGUCCUUUUACUAAAGUGUAUUGGAGUAUCAGAGGCUCAGGCAAUACCAGAGCUAGGGCUCAAGUAUAUUUGAACUUUUAUAAAUUUUUAAGUGUACUUUGUUUUGUGAAUCAGAAUGAUAGCAUAUACAAAAAUAAAACUAGUUCAACUAAAAAGGAUCCAAACGUAUUAUCAGGAGCUGUAUUUUCUCUGGUUAUGAUGUCCAUCCUUCCUUGUAGCCAGGUGUGAUUUUCUCUACCUAUCUGAAUUCUUGCCUACCUGAAAUCUGGCACCAGCAUCGGCAUUGAGUAGAACAAUCCAGAAACAGAACAUUUGUUACUGUUGUGCCUUAGUGUUCCCUGAGUUUUAGGUUAUUUCCUAUUUAAAUUAUCUGCCUGUAUUUUCUUCAUACAUCAUUGUGGUACCUGAAAUUUGAAUUAUAGAAUGUUUGUUUGUUCCUUCCUGCUUUAAUUCACUUACCUGGACUUGUCAUUUAUCUUUUUGCCUGAUUCUUACUUUGGUGGCAUCUCCUUUGAAGUCAAAGUUGUAGUAGUAUUCACCUUAUUUUAGACUUUUCCUCUUUUCCUGCCACACAAGUCCUAGCCCAAUGUUUGUGAAUUUUGUUAUCAGAUAUCCACAGAUGCUUUCACGUGAAUAUAUAUAUAUAUAUAUAUAAGCAAUCCACUGUCUCUUUCUUAGCAUUCUUUAUACACAAAAUGUCUAAAUUCCUUAGAUCUCCUUCCCAAACUCAUAGCAUAUUCCACUCAGCCCCAAAAUCUUGUGUCAUGACCUCCAGACAUUUCCUGUUAUCUGCCUCCAUCAAAACUUAUCUGUACUUCAAUCCAUUUUCUCAGGACCCAGACCUCUAGUAAGGUGCUAUGGUCUGAAAGUUGGUGGUCCUCCCAAAAUUUAUAUGUUGGAACCUAAUACUUAAUGUGAUAGUAUUAAGAGGUAGUGCCUUUGGCAAGUGAUAAAAUCAUGUGAGCUCCACUCUCAUAAAUGAGAUUAAUGCUCUUAUAAAAGACACUUAAGUGGAUUCCCUUGGCAGAAGGGUCUGCCAUGUGAAGACAGUGUUCUACCCUUCUGCUAUGUGAUGAUGCAGCAACAAAGCAUCAAGGAAGCAGAGCGUGAACUCUUACCAGACAUGAAAUCUUCUAGUCUCUUGAUCUUGGAUUUCCCAGUUUCCAGAACUGUGAGCAAUAAAAUUCUGUUGUUUACAAAUUACACAGUCUAAGGUAAUUUGUUACAGCAGCACAAAUGAACUAAGGUUAAUCUUUGUGUUAUAGCAGCAAAAAUGAACUAAGGUUAAUCCAAAAAAUUAAACCUGGUUUAGAUAUUAAUGAUUGAUUGUAAGCUUACAUACAAUUCCUACUAAGAAAUCAAGUUUUACUUUCCCUUGGCUUAUUAUGCUUUAACUGCAAAUAAAUGUAGCUGCCAAUGGAGCUACACUGAGGGUUGGGAUUAUUUCUGAAACACUCUUCAAAACAGAUUGUGUAGUUAAUACACAGUCUGCAGCAGCCAUCACAUUUCUGUAUUGUUUCUGAAGAAUUAUCUCCUGAGAAUGUGUUUUUAUACAGUUAAAUACUCUGACAUGCAUUUACUCUUUUUCUAGGAAUAUGAUUUAUAUUUGACAUUGAACAUAUAUUGGAUAUAAUUUUCUCUGUACAGUUCAGUUAUAUUUCCCAAAUGCAAUAAUCACAUUUGAAUAUAGUAUAUUCCCCAAAGAUGGAAACUUCUUAUAUUUUGAAAGGAAAUCAAUGCAAUAUGAAAUUGAACAAAAAGAUAAAGAGGAUUGAGGACCUUAUUACAGAUAGGGAGUAAAAAAAGUAAGUCUUCAUCAAAGCUAAACUAACAUAGACCAUAAAGCAACCUGGAAAAUUAGAACAAAAAUGUCUUGAAGCAAUUAACAACUUUAGCAGCUUAAAAAUACGCAAAACAUCACCAUGUCCUCUACUCAUACCCUCUGGCCUUCAUGUCAGACUCUAAGCCCUCUCAAUACUCUUCAUAAAGAUGGUAGAACCAGGGUUCUGUUUGCAGCAAAUACACCUUAGUAACAAAUUCACAUUAAAUCCAAACAAAUUAUAAUAGAAUCCUUUAAAGUGAGUUAAUUGCUACAUUCUCUAUGAAACCUUUACCAGACAGCUGUAUCUAGAAGUAAGUUCUUCCCUCCCUGAACUCUUUUUCUACUACUCUUCUGGAACAUUUAGCACAGUCUAAUAUGCAUUGCAGUAGUUUGUAUGCAUGUUUUGUCCUUUGACUAAAGUGUGAAUUCCUUGAAGAAAGAGUUCAUGUUCUGUCUUUGAAUCUCCAGUGCCCACUGGAAUAUAGUUUAUUAAAAGGCAUUAUCAAGUCUAAAAAAAAAUCUACUUUUAUUCAUUAGUUCAUCAUUAAUGCACUUGCUCAACAAAUAUUUAAACACCUAUAAUGUGCAAAGUACUCUCCUAGUUAGAAGGCAUAUCGUGAUGUACAAGAUACAUGGUUCCUACCUUCAUGGAGCUUAUAUUCACAUAGGAGAGACAAAUAACAGCAAUUGAUUAACAAAUUACUUUAUUAAAAUAUCAUAUGUGGGAGAAAAACAGAGUAGUCAUUGUCAGUGGUUGUAAGAGUGAUUGACUACAAAGAGGAUGCACAGGGGAACUUUUAGGGUGAAACAAUUGUUCCUUACUUUUAGAGUGAAAUACCUGUGCUAUAUUGGGGUGGUCAAAAACUAUUUACAUGCAUUUGUCCAAACCCAUAGAAUUGUACAUUACAAAGAGUGAAUUUUAAUGCACGCAAACUAAAAAAUAAAAUCAGUCAGGAUGUAGGGUAUCUCACAAUGGAAUACAGACUGUGAAAAAUGAAUCUAUCUCUUUUACAAAUGUAUAAUAUGGCCUCACUAAAGGGAGUGGGGAAAGUGGUCUGACCUAAGUAACAUUGGAAAAUAAUGUUCUGACUGAAAACUGUAAAACUAAAAACAAAAGAUAUUAUGUAAGCACAGUACUCUAGUUGGUAAAUUUAUUUCUCAUGGAGGUACAAGUUAAUAAUUCUAACCCUGUUGUCUAUGUAUCCUGGGUUAAAUAAAUAAGUAAAUGGAUGGUGCGCAGUGGUAGCCAGGUUUCUUAAUGUUGGAGUGGUAAGUUACAAAUAAGCAAGUUUGGGGGGAAGGCAAGAAUAUACCAUGUGAUACUGGAUUGGAGUUGGAGACAUCUGUAUGAAAUCAUGCUUAGCUUAAUAUAGGUAUUAAUCAAUACACAGAAAUAUUUAUUGAUAUGUUUAUAUAGAUGGUUUAGUAUACACAGAUGUAUUUUCUUGCUGUGUCCACCAAAAGGGCCUAAAAACAAUGACAGUUCGGUAGCAAAAAGCACAGCCAGCACAUAGAUCGUGGUCUCUAAACACCAUUUUUCAAUAAAAGGAAAGAGGGCUCCAUGGAGAAAUGGCUGAUUGUAGGGCUGGAGUGGGGAAUAUAUGACAUGAGCCUGGAGCAUCUUGUAAUGGCAGAAAGUAAGGAAGUGCCCUCCUUGACAAAGAAAAACUAGCAAUGAUAAGACUAUGCUAGAGGGACACUGGAGCCAACUAUAGGCCCAAACUGGAAAAAUCUGAGCAACAAAAUCAGUAAAGUAGUUCUGAAUUAAAACCCAAAGUGUAAAAUAAAUAUACAUUAGCCUAUAGUGAUAUUAAUAAAUUAUUAAAUAAAUAAAUAAGUAGAGGUAAGGAGAAACAUCCUUUUUAACAAAGAAACUCCAAAUAAUAUAUGCAGAUACUUCCCCCUUCAAGGAGGUAGAGUUUAAUCAUCCCUCAUCCUCCCACUUACUGCCCGCCCCAUCUCCACUUAGCAUGUGCCAGAUUUAGUGACUUGCUUCCAGAGAUUAGAGUAGGGAAAGGGAAAAAUAAGAACUUUAUAAUAAAAGUAAUAAAUAUAAUAUAAUAAAAUGUGGCAAACAGUACAUUAACCAAGUGGUGAAGGUUAACAUCAGUGAUGUCAUAUGGAUAUGUAAACUCUCAUAGAUAUGAUGAGCAAGGCACUUCAUCUCUGUGAUAUUCUUCCCUUAAAUCCAUAACUUUGGUCUAAUCAUGAGAAAAACAGCAGACAAAUUCAGAUUGUGAAACAUUCUACAAGACACCUACAAUAUCCCUCCAGACUUUCAAGGCCAUGAAAAACACAGAAAGACUAAGAAAAUAUCACAAAGCAAAGGAAACUGGGAAGACAUCAUAUCUAAAUGCAUGGUGGCACCCUGCAUUGGACCCUGGAACAGAAGGAGGACCUUAAUGGAAAAACUGGUGAAAUCCAAAUAAAGUCUGGAAUUUAGUUGGUGGCAAUGUAUGAAUAUUGGUUCCAUAGUGUUGACAAAUAUGCUGCAGAAAUGUAAAAUGUUAACCAUGGGGAAAAUUAGCUGAGGAGUGUAAAGUCUUAUUAUCUUUGCAACUUUUCUGUGAAACUAAAAUUAUUUCUAAAUAAUUUUACAUACAAAGUUUAUGAAAUGCAAUAAGUGAUUCAAAUACUUAUUUGAAUGGCUCUGUGAUUUUAAAAUAUUUUAAAGUAUACAAAUAGAUACAUAUAAAUCCAUUAAACAGUUUGAAGUUCUUGCUAAGAUCUAUUUUACUGCUAUGUCUUUACCUUCUUAGAAACCCUCUCCAUCCUUCUGUCCUGUUGCACCACAUCUAGAAUCAUCUCCCUACAGAGAUGCUUCCAUUAUUCCACUUUUCCACUCAAAAAAUCUAUUGUGGCUCCCUGUUUCUGUAGGAGAAAUCCCAAACUCCUCAGGUAGAUAUGCAAGUUUUCUUCAUCAACUUAUCAUUACCUUAUCUUUCCAAACUUUCGUAUGGUUUAAUUGAAUAGGUGAACAAAUAACAAAUGUUUAUUAAUCACCAACUAUGAGUCAAACAUUCUGCUGAUAGCUUGGUAGGAUAGAGAGAUUUAAGAUGUUGUACCUGCUCUGCACUUGCAAACAGAAACAUAAACAAAGAGAUCUAAAUGUUCUAAGUGCUAAAGUGUAGGAUGGAGAAGAUAAGACAUGGAUAAAUAACUCACAGAGGAGGGAAUGGGAGAGCUGAGUCUUGAAUGUAAGUCAGUGUUUACCAAGCAGAGAAGGGUAUUUCAUUCAAAGAGAAACAAUUAUAAACUCAGGAAGUCAUAAAAUACAUGUGUAGGGAUCAAUGACUAGAGUGGAUGGUUCUUUUGAUAGAUAGAGGCAAAUGAGACUAAUGAAAGUUAAAGUCAGAUUUUGAAAGGUCUUGGAUUCUUGGUUAAGAAAUUUUGUUUUCUUCAUGGAAGCUGUAAGUAAUCCAUUUGCUGAAAUGCUAAGUCAUCAAACAUAGCAUUCUGUAUCAUUUCACACUGUUCUCUAGUAGUUGUUUUUGUAUGAAAGAGUCUUUAACAAAUUCUGCUUUUCUACCUGGGUUGCAAACCAAGUCUUCCAUUCCUGGAUCCCAAAAUUACAUAGCAGAGUAAUAGGUUCAAUAAGUAACAGUUCUUGCAAACUUUUUGCUUAGCUUACCAUUGUUUAUUUAUGCCAGGCAUUCUUGCUCAUUUUAAGACAAAAUGAAUGGAAAAAUAUUCUUAAUUUUCAGGGCCACAUAAGUGAACAUUUUCAUUCCAGUAUUUGCAUUUCUAAGUUCACUAGAUAUACAACUUCACUUUUUCCUUGAGUUUCAGUAUCAGUCAGUGUUAUACUAUGCACGAAAUAUUGUUUGGUUAUUUGCCUAGUAGCCUCGAAUUAUUACUUAUAGAAAUUUAGUACUUUUCAAAUCCAUAAGGAAGAAGCCAGUUGCCCAUGGAAACUUUGCUCAAAUACCUGGAAUCAUGGGGAUUUUCUCAGCUUGUUAUAUGGUGACAGUCAAGCAUGAAUAAAAUUGGGUUAUGAGCUCUGUUCUUGUUCCUCUCAAAAUCCCUAAUGUUACUACUGAACAAUACAUUAUCAUCCAUCACAAUCUUGAGAGACAAAGGAAGAGCUACUGAACAAGGUGCAAGUCAGUCUAUUUUUUUCUUCAUUCUCUCUCUUUCAGGGAAAUAGAUUGCAUGAGACACUUUUACCCUGCCGAAGAAAAUCAAUUAUAGUUUUAAGACCAACAAAUGUGUGAGACACUUUUAUCUCUAUAGUUCAGAUGAGAAAACAAACACAGAGAGGCUAAGUGAAUACUAUUUAAUCACAAAGCCAAUUAAUAGUGGUUCCAAGAGCAGUCCAGGUCUCUUGAUGCAGUAAUUUACAAAAACUAUAAAGUUCAUCAGUAACCUAGCUAACAUAAAUACAGGUUACUAGAACACUAAAAAAAAAAAAAUCAAAUGGCGUGAUGCAGAAUAUUCUGUCCAAAUUUUUAUCAUAGAAAGAUGCUCUUCUGUGGGUUGCAGUUUUGAAGGCAGAUGUUGCUGAAAGCAACCACAGCAAUUACAAAAGUGACAAAAUCAGGUUUGUCGUGAAAUUCAUUCACAGACGAGAAAAGCAAUAUUCUGUAUAAUAUCAACCACUGCACAUAAGAAUAUUUUAUACAAUUGACAGAAUCAUAACAAUAUGAAAAAUAGCACACUUAAUUGGAUGAAAACCAAACAGACAAGACCGUGUGUGUAAAUCCAAGCUUCUAUAAUGGUCACCGAAGGUGAUCCAGAUAGUCACAACUCCAAAAUGAACCUCCUGAUUACUUCAAGCUGGGAAUUAGGCUGUGUGAUCUGUGUGACAGCUGUGACAGAUAAUAAAAGAGAAGUUCCAAUAAAGAGACAUGAUGCUGCAUAAUAAUGUCACAAGAAGCAACAGAUAAGAUCAAGAUUCAUUGGAAUUGGAACUUAUGGUUAGCAAAGAUAGUUUUAUUCUAUGGAGAUUUACGAAUAGGGAAAGUUCUCUUUUUCCUAAAUUAACAGGAGAUAUGGUUAGCCCCAAGGUAAGAUGAUAUCUGUAUAUUCUGACCUACCUAAGCUGGCUGGAAGCAGUCUUCAUGUUUUCUCAGUCUUAUUGUUCUAUGAAGCUUACUUUGCUAUUCUAAUUCCCAGGAAGUGAAAGAUACAAUCAAUUUCCUUUGCACUCCUCAGUUUCCUUCUAUGGGGAUCUUCUUUUAAUCAGCCCUAUGACUACCCAAUUUAUUCUUACCACAAGUGGAAGAAAAUUAAUACAAUAAGUUCAAAGCAUAUAAGGGGUAAAUAGUACCCACAGAUGUGAAAAUAUAAUUUUCCUUAAAUUUUAUAAGAACAGUGAAUAUUUAGUCUUGGGUAUAAUUGGACCACAGUCCUGAUGAUAUAAUUUAUUUUCCAAAUUCUAGAAUAUCAGUAGAAAAAUCUUUCUUACAAACUAGCCCUGAUCAUUUCUUCCUAUGCCUAGGUAAGAAAAGCAUAAAAUAGAGAGAGGAGAAAAGGAUGGCAUAGAUACUUGAGAUAUUUUCUCUUGUUAAAUAGGAUAUGGUUAUACGUAACUUAACUAUAGGAAAACUUUCUGAGAAAUGUGCUGUUAGGCAAGUUCGUCAUUGUGCAAACAGCAUAGAAUGUGCUUACACAACCAUAGGUGGUAUAGCCUACUACACACGUAGGCUAUGUAGUACAGCCUAUCACUCCUAGGCUACAAAUCUAUAGAACAUGUUACUGUCUGUAUUGCAUCCUUAGACAAUUGUAACAUAAGGGUAAGUAUUUGUGCAUCUAAACAUAGAAAAGUUACAGUAACAAUAUGCUGUAUUAGUGUAUUCUCACACUGUUAUUAAGAAAUACCUGAGACGGGGUAAUUUAUACAGGAAGGAAGUUUAAUUGACUUGCAGUUCCACAUGACUGGGGAGGCCUCAGGAUACUUACAAUCAUGACAGAAGGCUAAGGGGAAACAAGCUUGGACCUUCUCACAUGGUGGCAGGAGAGAGAAGACUGAGGAGUGAAGGGGUAAGAGCCCCUUAUAAAACCAUCAGAUCUUGUGAGAACUCACUCACUCACUCACUACCAUGAGAACAGUAUGGGGGAAACCACCCCCAUGAUCCGAUCACCUCCCACCAGGUCUAUCCCUAGAUACAUGAGGAUUACAAUUCAAGAUGAGAUUUGGAUGGGGACACAGAGCCAAACCAUAUCAUUCUGACCCUGGCCUCUUGCAAAUCUCAUGUCUUUUCACAUUUCAAAACCAAUCAUGUCAGCCGGGCAUGGUGGCUCACAUCUGUAAUCCCAGCACUUUGGGAGGCCAAGGUGGGCAGAUCACCUGAGGUCAGGAGUUCGAGACCAGCCUGGCCAACAUGAGAAAACCCAAUCUCCACUUAAAAAUACAAAAAUUAGCUUGGUGUGGUGGUUGGCGCCUGUAAUCCCAGCUACUCAGGAGGCUGAGGCAGGAGAAUCACUUGAAUUCAGGAGGCAGACAUUGCAGUGAGCCAAGAUGGUGCCACUGCACUCCAGCCUGGGUGACAAAGUGAGACUCCAUCUCAAAAAAAAAAAAAAAAAAACCAACAAAAAACAAUCAUGUCUUCCCAACAGUCCCUUAAAGUCUUAACUCAUUUCAGCAUUAACUCAAAAGUCCAAGUCCAAAGGCUCUUCUGAGAUAAGGCAAGUCCCUUCCACCUAGGAGCCUGUAAAACCAAAAGCAAGUUAGUUGCUGCAAAGAUAAAAUGGGGGUACAGGCACUGGAUAAAUGCUCCCAUUCCAAAUGGGAGAAAGUGGCCAAAACAAAGGGGAUACACGUCCAAUGUAAGUCCAAAAUCCAUGGGGGCAGUCAUUAAAUCUUAAAGCUCCAAAAUGAUCUCCUUUGAUUUCAUGUCUCACAUCCGGGGCAUGCUGAUGCAAGAAGUGGGCUCCCACAAUCUUGGACAGCUUCACCCCUGUGGCUUUGCAGGGUACAACCCCCCUCCUGGCUGCUGUCAGAGCUGGCAUUGAGUGUCUGUGGCUUUUCCAGAGGCACAGUGCAAGCUGUUAGUGGAUCUACCAUUCUGGGGUCUGGAGGAUGGUGGCUGUCUUCUUACAGCUCCACUAGGCAGUGCUCCAGUGGGGACUCCGUGUGGGGGCUCCAACCCCACAUUUCUCUUCCAUACUGCCCUAGAAGAGGUUCUCCAUGAGGGCCCCACCCCUGCAGCAUACCUGUGCCUGGAUGUUCAGGCAUUCCCAUACAUCCUCUGAAAUCUAGGAGGAUGUUCCCAAACCUCAAUUCUUAAUUUCUGUGCACCCACAGGCCCACUACCAUGUGUAAGCUGCCAAGGCUUUGGUCUUGCACCCUCUAAAGCAAUGGCAUGAGCUGUACUUUGGCCCAUUUUAGCCACAGCUAUGAUGCAGGGCACCAAGCCCAGAGACUGAACAAAGCAAUAAGGCCCUGGGCCAGGCCCAUGAAACCAUUUUUCCCUUCUAGGCCUCCUGGCCUGUAAUGGGAGGGGCUGCUGUGAAUACCUCUGACAUGCCCUGGAGACAUUUUCCCCAAUGUCUUGGCUAUUAACAUUUGACUCCUCAUUAUUUAUGCAAAUUUCUGCAGAUGGCUUGAAUUUCUCCCUAGAAAAUGGGUUUUUCUUUUUUAUCUCAUCGUCAGGCUGCAAAUUUUCCAAACUUUUAUGUUCUGCUUCCCUUUUAAACAUAAGUUCCAAUUUUAGAUAUUCUCUCUCAAGUUCAAAGUUUCACAGAUCUUUAGGGCAGGGGCAAAAUGCUGCCAGUCUCUCUGCUAAAGCAUAGUAAGGGUUACCUUUGCUCAAGUUUCCAAGAAGUUCCUCAUCUCUAUCUGAGACCACCUCAGCCUGGGCUUCAUUGUCCAUAUCACUAUCAGCAUUUAGGUCAAAACCAUUCAACAAGUCUCCAGGAAGUUCCAAAUUUUCCCACAUCUUCCUGUCUUCUUCUGAGCCUUCCAAAUUGUUCCAACCUCUACCUGUUACCCAGUUCCAAAGUCACUUCCACAUUUUCAAGUAUCUUUAUAGCAAUAUCCCACUUUCCAUAGUACUAAUUCACUGCAUUAGUCCGUUUUCACACUGCUAUAAAGACAUAUCUGAGACUGGAUAAUUUAUAAAGACAGGAAGCUUUAUUGACUGCCAGUUCUGCAUGGCUGGGGAGGCCUCAGGAAACUUACAAUCAUUGCAGAAUAAAAAGAGGCACCUAUUACAUGGUGGCAGGUGAGACAGAGAAGAGCAAAGGAGGAAUUUGCCAAACACUUAUAAAACCAUUGGAUCUCAUGAGAACUCACUCACUGUCAUGAGAACAGCAUGAGGGAAACCGCCUCCCAUGAUCCAUUCACCUUGUACCAGGUCUCUCCCUGGACAUGUGAGAAUUAUGGGGAUUACAAUUCGAUAUGAGAUUUGAAUGGGGACACAGAGCCAAACUAUAUCAUAUGGUUUAAAAGAUUUAAAAAAAUGGUACACCUCUGUAGGGCACUUACCAUGACUGGAGCCUACAGGACUAGAAGUUGCUCUGGCUGUCAGUGAGUGAGUGGUGAGUGAAUGUGAAGGCCUAGGACAUUAUUGUACACUACUAUACUUUAUAAACACUGUAUACCUAGGCUGUACUAAAUUUAUUUUACAAAUUAUUAUUUCUUCAAAAAAAAUUAAUCUUAGCACACUGUAAUGUUUUUACUUUAUAAACUUUAAAUUUUUAAAAAAACUUUUUGACUCUUGUAACAACAUUUAGCACAAAACACAAACACCAUUUUACAGCUGUACAAAAAUUAUUUUCUUUCUUUAUAUUCUUAUUCUAUAAUUUUUUAUUUUAAAAUUUAUUUAUUUACUUAUUUACUUUUACUUUUUAAAUAAUCUCUAUGGAAAACAUUAUAGAGAUUUCUCAAAGAACUAAAAAUAGAACUAUCUUUCAAUCUAACAAUCCCUCUAUUGGGUAUAUAUCCAAAGGAAAAUAAAUUAUUAUAUUAAAAAAGACAUUUGCACUCAAAUGUUUAUUGCAGCACUAUUCACAAUGUCAAAGUUAUGGAAUUAAUUUAAGUGUCCAUUAAUAGAUAAUUGGAUUAAAAUGUCAUAUAUAUAUAAUGGAGUGUUACUUAGCCAUAACAAAGAAUGAAAUCAUAUCCUUUGCAGCAACAUGGAUGGAACUGGUGGCCAUUAUCCUAAGUGCAAUAACUCAGAAACAGAAAGUCAAAUACAUGUUCUCACUUAUAAGUGGGAGCUAAACAAUGGGUACACAUGGACAUACGAAGUGUAAUAAUAGACACUGGUGACUCACAAAGGUGGGAGAGAGGGUGGGGAAUGAGGGAUGAAUCUCUACCUAUUGGGUACAAUGUACACUAUUCAGGUGAUGUGUACACUAACAGCUCAGAUUUCACCACUAUGCAAUAUAUCCAUGUAACACAACUGCACUUCCAUCCCUAAAUCCAUAGAAAUAAAAAAAAAUUAUAAAUAAAUAAACUCUUUUGUUAAAAAUGAAGAUACAAACAUACACAUAUUAGCCAGGUCUAUACAGGAUGAGGAUAGUCAGUAUCACUGUCUUCCACCCUCAUAUCUUGUCCCACUCGAAGAUCUUCAGGUGCAAAAGCAUGCAUGGUGCUGUCAUCUGCAAUGAUAAUGAUGCCUUUUUUGGAAUACUUCCUGAAGGAUGUGCCUAAAGCUGUUUUACAGCUAACUUUUGAAAAUAUAAGUAGAAGUAGUAUACUCUAAAAUAAUGAUGAGUUGAUGGGUGCAGCAAACCAACAUGGCACAUACCUAUGUAUCAAACCUGCACGUUGGGCACAUGUACCCUAGAACUUAAAGUAUAAUUAAAAAAAAAACUGUAAGUAUAGUAAAUACAUAAACCAGUAACAAAGCCAUUUAUUCUCAUUAUCAAGUUGUAAGUAUUGUACAUCAUUGAAUGUGCUAUGCUUUUAUGUGACCAGCAGUGCGGUAGUUUUGUUUAUAACAGCAUCACCACAACACGUGUGAGUAAUGCAAUGUGCUAUGACAUUACAACAGCUAUGACAUCACUAGGUGAUAGGAAUUUUUCAGCUCCAUUAUAAUCCUGUGGGACCACUAUCCAUACGCAGUCUAUCAUUUACCAAAACAUCUUUAUGGGGCUCAUGACUGUACAUGCUGAUUUUAUCUCACAAACCUUUUCUUCUUCUAUUAUAUCAUAAGACUAUUUUAAAGAAAAUUCCACCUGUGUCAUAACUCAAAUAAAACUGGAAGUUAAGGCAUUUAAUCAAAAAGAAAAUAAGGAAGGAAAUGUUAAAAAACUGCAUUAGUUUUCUAUUGCUGGGUAACAAAUUACCAAAAUCUCAGUGGCUCAAAAUGAAAUAAAUUUAUUAUCGCACAGUUCUGUGAGUCAGAAGUCCUGGUAGUCUUGACUGGCUUCUCUGCUCCAGGUUUCAAAAGGCUGAAAUCAAAAGUGUAAGCUGGUCUGUGUUCUUAUCUGACGGUUCUAGGGGAAAAUUCUCUUUCAUGCUAAUUUCAGCUGUUGGCAGGAUUCCAUAUAACUAUAGGACUGAGGUCACCGUUUCCUUGCUGGCUGCUGGUGAGACGUUGCUUUUAUCUUUCAGAGACCAUCCACAUUUCCUGAAUCGUGACUCCUUUCAUCUUCACUGUCAGCAUGGUGGGUUGAGUCCUUCUAAAGCUUCAAAUCUCUCUGAUUUCUCCUUCUGCUUUAUAUUUCCUGUUUUUAGCCUGAGAAGAUUUUCUGCUUUUAAGGGCUCAUGUGAUUAGAUUGAGCCCAUCCAGAUAAUCCAGGAAAAUCUCCUUAUUUUAAGAUUUGUACCCUUAAUUACCAAAACACAUUCCCUUUUGCUAUGUAAGAUAACAUAUUCACAAAUUCUGAGAUUCAGGCAUAGUUAUUUUUGGAGAGGGUGUACUUGGUCUCUCAUCAUAACCUACCCAAGACAAAACAGCCAAUAAACAGUUUAGUAGUUUAUUAAAAUCUUGGGCUCUUCUCUCUUAUCUAUAGCACUUUCCACUAUAUUUUGCUAUACUGUCAGUCAUUUUCUUUCCAGAUUGGUUAACAAAGGACCACUAAAUCACCAUUACUGUACUGGGUGGUAAAUAUUAUAUCUUGAGAAUAAGAAAUGUUGUUGAAAAUGUAAAGAUUAGGAACUUUUAUUAAGAAUUCCAAGAAAUUACUCUGCCGAGCUGUUAUGGGGAAAAAAUAAUUCCGAGGAUCUAGGGGCUUCUAAAUAAUGUCUUGCUCUCGGGAAAGAGAUCUGCCCUUUUUUUUAGUCAGAAGCUCACAAUUCUAAUUACAUAAAACUAGUCGGUAAAGGAAACUUCAUUUUCUUAUAAUAAGAUAUUAUGUUUUCUGAUAGGACAAAAUAUUGACUAGGAAAAUUAUCUGAAAUCAGCCAGGAUGUCAUGAAUGCCUUCCCACUUGAUAAGGUAUUUUAAGGGGCUCAGUCUGGUUAGUUUCUCUUACUGUAUGAAACAACCAACAAGCUAUCAUUUUUUCUUUCUAAUUUAAAUUCCAUGUGCAGGCUACACACACAACACACACACAACAGACACACACACACACACACACACUCACUUUCUGUCUCUCUUUCUCUCACUCAUGUAGAAUCUUCAGAAGUUGGCCUCCUAUUCUAAGGCUAGUGCAUAGAAUCAAGAGAUCUGAGCUCUUGUCCUGAAUGUGCCACUUUCUGUGUGACUUCAGGCCAAUCACUCAGUCUCUCUGCAGCUCAGACUCCCAAUCUCUAAGCUAAAGGGAGUUAUCUAGAUGAUAUUUAAUGUUCACAAUAGCUCUGGUUUUCUAUGAAUCAAUCAUCUUAAAUAUUCAAAUGAAAUAUCCUUGGCAUCCUAGCCAUUUUAUCCACUUUAUAAAGUGCUGUUUUGAUAGGAGAUUCUAUGCAUCUUUAAUGGGAUUUUGAGAGAUCUUCAAAGCCAAACUUUGAAUGUUUUGAAUUUAAAAUUCAAUUUGUCUUUUAUACAACUAAAUUAUUGCUAUUGGUCUUAUUGCUAUAUUUUCAACAAAGAGGAUGCUUCCUGAACAAUGAGGUCUACACUAUUGUUAAAGAGUUGCUCUCUAACCUGAGAACUCUUUUGGAAGCUGAACUGCCUUUGGAAGGAAUUUAAUAACUCUUAUUUAAAAUUUUUUAGUUAUGUUAGAAGAUGGAGGUAAAGAUAAAUAGGCUAAAAACCGUAGUUCCAAAGCCUUCUACUCUUAUUUUAAAUGGCAUUGGAAAUCUUAGAUCAAAUUUCUAAUGGGAAGAUGGAAUAGGAGGGCUAAUCCCUGGUCUCUCCAUUUAAUGAACUAGUAAGAUGUUUGUGAGAACGACAUCAAUGUGAUAAUUUUUAGUUCAAAUAGGCUAACUUCUGUUUCAAGCCAACCCCAAAAUUUCAGUGGCUUCACACAAAAGGGUAUUUGUUUACUGAAUUCCUGUUGUGGAGGGUGAUGGGGUAGGAGGACUUCUGCUCUACACAGUUAUUCAGGGGCACAGGCUGCUAGCAACUCUGAAUCUUCAGUAGAUGAUUCCCAAGGUCACCCUGGGAGUCAGUGUACAGACAGCAUACUAGAAAAUAGAAUGGAAGAUGGCAAGCACAGUAUUUUAAUGGGUCAAGCUUGAAAGACCAUACAUUAUUUUCCUUUACACACCUCUGGUUAUAAAUCAUUUGUAUGGCCACACUUUACUGCAAAGGAGGCUGGGAAAUGCAGUCCAGUUAUGUACUCAGAAAGAAGAGGAAAUGUGGUUAAUGAGCUCUAUAGAGAUCACUUUUAUACAUUAUUUUAACUAGUGAAAAUGACAAGCUUGCAAAUGCUGAAAUUCAGAGAAUUCAUAUUUGCAGUUAGUUUGGGAUCUUUAUAGUAUUUAAUUCCUAUUUUCUAACAAAAUUGUUUAAGAUGUAUAUUGAUAUUAUAUUGAGGUAUAACUUACAUAGCAUAAAAUCCACCCAUUAUAAGUGCACAAUUCAAUAAUUUUUAGUAAACUUUUACAGCUGUGCAAUCAUCACCACAAUUCAGUUUUAAAAUGUUUCUAUCAUGCAAAAAUGUUCACUUGUACCUAUAUGUAGUCCAUUCCUGCUCCCAUCUCCAGUCCCAAGCAACCACUGAUGUGCUUUCUCUCUCUGUAAUUUUGCCUUUUCUAAAACUGCAUUAUAAAUGAAAUCAUAUAAUAUGUUGUCUUACAUCUGCCUUCUUUCACUUAAAAUAAUGUUUUGGAAGUUCACCCACACUCCUGCAUGUGGAUGUCAGCAGUUGAUUCUUUUCUACUGCUUAUUUGGAUGUACCACAGUUUACCUAUUCACCAGUUGAUGGACAUUUGGAUUGGCUACAGAUUGGGGUUGUUGAAAAUAAAGGUGUUAUGAACAUUUUUAUACAAGCCUCGUGUAAAUGUGUAAAUAAAUGAUUUCAUUUAUUUUAGGUAGAGACCUGGGAGUAGAAUUGCUGGGUCAAAUGCUAACCCGAUGUUUAAGAUUUUAGAAACUGAAACUGUUUUUCAAAGUGGCUGCACCAUUUUACAUUCUUCCUAGCAAUACGUAAGGGUUCCAGUUCCUUCGCAUCCUCGCCAGCACUUGGCUUUGUGUGUCUUUUUUAUUAUAGUAAUUCUACAAGUGUCUUGUAGCUUUAAUGCGUUUCCUUUUGGAAUUUGAAACUUGGUGUCCCAGUGGUAUAUGCAGGAUAUAAUCGUAACAGGUUUAUAGGUAUUUACAUCGUCAUUACAACACUCAAAGAACAUAGCUACAUAUAGGCAACCAUAUUCUAUUUCACCAUUGCCAGGAAUUUGGCUAGUCCUAUACGUACUAAAGUGUUUUGCUACAAUAAAUCUGUAUCAGUCAGUGUUCUCCAGAGAAUCAAAACCAGUGGAUUUUGUGUGUGUGUGCAUGCGCAUGUGUGUGUGUGUAAUUUAUUUCAAUAGUUUAUUUCAAGGAAUUGGUUUACACAAUUGUGGAGUCUGGAAAAUAAAAAACGGGUCGUGUGGGUUGGAAACCUGGCAGGCUGGAAACUUUAAGUUAGAAGCUGAUAGAAUACUUGUAGAAUAAUUUCUUCUUUCUCAGGGAACCUCAGUUGUUCUCUUAAGGCUUUUCAAGUGACUGGGUGAGGCCCACCCACAUUAUUGAGGAUAAUAUUUCUUAAGGUCAACCAAUUACGAAGGUUAACCACAUCGUUAAAAUACCUUCACAACAACACCUAGUGUUUGAAUAAUUGGGUAUUGUAGUCUCGCCAAGUUGACACAUAAAACAAACCAUCACAGUAUCUAUUGAAGGAAAAAUUGAAGUGCAAAAGAUUAUUCAUUUCCUAAUAGCUAAAGUAAAUCUUUCAAAGACAAUACCUAGUUUGGCUGUAAAAAACAAUAAAGGACAUUUUUUUUCUACAGGGACAAGUUUUCAAAAAAGAAACGUUAAUUGGUUCCCAAUAAUUAUUAUUUUCAAGGCUAUUGAUGUAAGACCAUAUUAAUAAAUCGUGGUCAAAUUUUAGGGAGAAGGGCCAAGAUGGCCAACUAGAAACAGCUGUGGUUGGUGGCUCCCACAAAGAAGAACCAAAACGAUGAGUGAAUCCUGCACUGGCAACUGAGGUAUCCAGGUUCUCUCAUUAGGACUGACUAGGUGGUUGUCGCAACCCACAGAGAGCAAGGAAAAGCAGGGUGGUGUGAUGACCCACCUGAGAGCCACAUGGGGCAAGGGAAGCUCUCACUCCCAGACAAGGGAGGAGGUGAGUGAUCAUGCUACCCCCCAUCCCCAGGAAAAAAAUGCUUUUUCCAUGAAUCUGUGCAACCCAACCAAUGGAUUGCACAGAGGAGAUCCCCCCUCGUGAGCCCACGCCACUAAGGCCUUGGGUCCCAAGCACAGAGCUGUGCAGAUUCUCAGAGACCACCUGGCUGGAGACUGUCUAAGACUACCAAGUUCCACAGAGGAGGGGCAGCCAUCAUCACUGUGGCUGUCUUUUGCCUAAGACAGCUGAGCUCCCCAGGGGAGGGGUGACAGCCAUCACUGCAGCUCCAGUCUGCCAUCUUUCCCCUGCCAGUGCUGGGGAGACUAGACACUUUGGACCCAGGAGGAAUUCCCCACAGCACAGCACAGUGGCUGUGGCAGACAGUGGCCAGACUGCCUCUUUAGGGUGGACUCUGACCCAUCCCUCCUCACUACGCUGGGCCUCCCUGCAGAAAUUUUAGCAAUUUCAGCCAGGAGUUUAGGGACAGAACUCUGAUCUCCCUGGGACCGAGCCUCUGUGGGGAGGAGUGGCCAUGGUCUCCAUGGAUCAACAGACAUACUGUUUUCUCCAGCUGGCUUUGAGGGAUCUGGGCAGUCCAGACAAGUGGGAUUGCCUCCAGCACAGUGCACCCCCUCCUCCAAGGGGCAGACAGAGUGCUUCAUUAAGCGGGUCCCAGAUCCUAUGCCUCCUGACCAGGCGAGACCCCAAAACAGAGGUCACUAGAUACCUUAUACAAGAGCAUUCCUGCUGUCAUCAAGUUGGUACCCCUCUGGGAUGGAGCUCCCAGAGGAAGAAGCAGGUGGCCAUUUUUGCUGUUCUGCAGCCUCCACUGGUUAUAUCUCCAGGCGUGGGAGGGGCCUGGGUGAAUAGGGUCUGGAGUGGACCCCCAGCAAAGCGCAGGAGCCCUAUGGGAAAGGGACCUGACUGUUAAAAGAGAAGCAAAUGAAAGCAACAACAACAGCAGCAUCAACAAAAAAAGUCUCCACAAAAACCCUAUCCAAAGGUGAGCAGCCCCAAAUAUUGCAGCUAGAUAAACUUAUGAAGAUGGGAAAGAACCAAUGAAAAAGUGCUAAAAGCUCAAAAAGCCAGAGUGCUUUCUCACCAUCAAAUGAUAGCAACACCUUUACAGCAAGGGCACAGAACUGGGCAGAAGCUGAGAGAGAUGAAUGGACAGAAGUAGACUUCAGAAAGUGGGUAAUAACAAACUUUGCUGAGCUAAAGGAACAUGUUCUAAGCCAAUUCAAAGAAGCUAAGAACCACGAUAAAGCAUUACAAAAGUUGCUAAUCAGAAUCACCAGUUUGGAGAGGAACAUACAUAAAUGACCUGAUGGAGCUGAAAAACACAACAUGAGAACUUCACAAUGCAACCACAAGUAUCAAUAGCUGAAUAGACCAAGUAAAGGAAAGAAUUUCAGACCCUGAAGACUAUCUUGCUGAAAUAAGAUAGGCAGACAAGAUUAGAGAAGAAAGAAUGAAAAGGAAUGAACAAAACCUCUGAGAACUAUGGAAUUAUGUAAAAAGACUGAACCUAGGGCUGAUUGGGGUACCUGAAAAUGAUGGAGAAUGGAACCAAGUUGGAAAACAUACUUCAGGAUAUCAUCCAGGAGAACUUCCCCAACCUAAAAAGAAAGGCCAACUUUCAAAAUCAAGAACUGCAGAGAACCCCAGUAAGAUACUCCACAUGAAGAUCAACCCGAAGACACAUAAUCAUCAGAUACUCCAAAGUCGAAAUGAAGGAAAAAAUGUUAAGGGAAGCCAGAGAGAAAGGCCAGGUCACCUACAAAUGAAAACCCAUCAGAUUAACAGUGGACCUCUCAGCAGAAACCCUACAAACCAGAAGAGAUUUGGGGGUAAUAGUCAACAUUCUUAAAAUAAUUUCUAAACUAGAAUUUCAUACCUGGCCAAAGUAAGUUUCAUAAGGGAAGGGGAAAUAAAAUCCUUUACAGACAAGCAAAUGCUGAGGGAAUUUGACACCACCAGGCCUUCCUUGAAAGAAUUCCUUCAGGAAGUACUAAAUAUGGAAAGGAAAAACCAUUACCAGACCUUGUAAAAACACACUGAAGUACAAAGACCAAUGAUACUAUAAAGCAACUACAUCAACAAGUCUGCAAAACAACCAGCUAGCAUCAUGAUGACAAGAUCAAAUUCACACAUAACAAUUUUAACCUUAAAUGUAAAUGGGCUUGGCUGGGUGUGGUGGCUCAUGCCUGUAAUCCCAGGACUUUGGGACAGAAGCAGGCAGAUCACUUGAAGUGAGGAGUUUGGGACCAGCCUGGCCAAUAUGGCAAAACCCCGUCUCUACUAAAAGCACAAAAACUAGCCAAGUGUGGUAGUGGGCGCCUGUAAUUCCAGCUACUUGGGAGGCUGAGGCAGGAGAAUUGCUUGAACUCAGGAGGCAGAAGUUGUAGUCAGCCGAGAUGGUGCCACUGCACUCCAGCCUGGGUGACAGAGUGAGACUCCAUCUGAAAAAAAUAAAAUAAAAUAAGAAAAAAACAUGUAAAUGGGCUAAGUGCCCUAAUUAAAAGACACAGAAUGGGAGAUUGGGUAGAGUCAAAACCCAUUGGUUUGCUGUAUUCAAGAGACGCAUCUCACAUGCAGACACACAUAAUAAAGGGAUGGAAGGAAAGUUAUCAAGCAAAUGGAAAGCAGAAAAAAGCAGGGGUUGCAAUCCUAGUGUGUGACAAAACAGACUUCAAACCAACAAAGAUCAAAAAAGAGGAAGAAAAGCAUUACAUAAUGGUAAAGGGAUCAAUUCAACAAGAAGAGCUAACUAUCCUAAAUAUACAUUUGGCCAAUCCAGGAGCACCUAGAUUCAUAAAACAAGUUCUUAGAGACCUUCAAAGAGACUUAGACUCCCACAAAGUAAUAGUGGGAGACUUUAACACUCCACUGUCAAUAUUAGACACAUCAUCAAAACAGAAAAUUAACAAGGAUAUUCAGGACAUAAACUCAAACUCUGGAUCAAGUGGAACUGAUAGAUAUCUACAGACUUCCUCCCAAAAACAACAGACUACACGUUCUUCUCGGUGCCACAUGACACUUACUCUAAAAUUGAUCACAUAACUGGAAGUAAAACACUCCUCAGCAAAUGCAAAAGAACUGAAAUCAUAACAAACAGUAUCUCAGACCACAGCACAAUCAAAUUAGAACUCAAGAUUAAGAAGCUCACUCAAAACCAUAAAACUACAUGGAAAUUGAACAACUUGCUCCUGAAUGACUCCUGGAUAAAUAAUGAAAUUAAGGCCAAAAUCAAGUUCUUUGAAAACAAUGAGAACAAAGGGACACUGUACCAGAAUCUCAGGGGCACAGCUAAAGCAGUGUUAAGUGGGAAAUUUAUAGCACUAAAUGUCCACAUCAAAAAGCUAGAAACAUCUCAAGUUGACAACCUAACAUCACAACUAAAAGAGCUAGAUAACCAACAGCAAACAAACCCAAAAGCUAGCAGAAGAAAAGAAAUAACCAAGAUCAGAGUAGAACUGGAGAUAGAAACAUGAAAGAACCUUCAAAAAAAUCAAUGCAUCCAGAGGCUUGUUUUUUAAAUUAAGAGAAGAGAUAGAUCACUAGCUAGACUAAAAAAGAAGAAAAGAGAGAAGAAUCAAACAGACACAAUAAAAAAUGAUAAAGGGGAUAUCACCACUUACCCCACAGAAAUACAAACAACCAUCAGAGAAUACUACAAACACCUCUACACAUAUAAACUAAAAAACCUAGAAGAAAUGGAUAAAUUCCUGGACACAUACACCCUCCCAAGACUGAACCAUGAAGAAGUUGAAUCCCUGAAUAGACCAAUAACAAGUUCUGAAAUUGAGACAGUAAUCAAUAGCCUAGCAAGCAAAAAAAAAAAAAAAAAAAAGUCCAGGACCAGAUGGAUUUACAGCUGAAUUCUAUCAGAGGUACAAAGAGGAGCUGGUACCAUUUCUUCUGAAACUAUUCCAAACAAUUAAAAAGGUGGGGAUUUAAACUCAUUUUAUGAGAGUACAAUUAUCCUGACACCUAAACCUGGCAGAGAUACAGCAAAAAAAGAAAACUUCAGGCCAAUAUCCUUGAUGAACAUCAGUGCAAAAAUCUUCAAUAAAAUACUGGCAAACCAAAUCCAGCACCACAUCAAAAAGCUUAUCCAGCAAAAUUAAGUUGGCUUUGUCCCCAGCAUGCAAGACUGGUUCAACAUAUGCAAACCAAUAAACAUAAUUAAUCAUAUAAACAGAACUAAAGACAAAAACCACAUGAUUAUCUUAAUAGAUGCAGAAAAGGUCUUUGAUAAAAUACAAUAUCCCUUCAUGUUAAAAAAUCUCAAUAAUCUAAGUAUUGAUGGAACCUACUUCAAAAUAAAAAGAGCCAUUUAUGACAAACCCAUAGCUAAUAUUAUAUCAAAUGGGUAAAAGCUAGAAGCAUUUUCCUUGAAAAUCAACACAAAAAAAGGAUGCCCUCUCUCACCACUCCUAUUCAACACAGUAUUGGAAGUUCUGACCAGAACAAUCAGGCAAGAGAAAGAAAUACAAGGUAUUCACAUAGGAAGAGAGGAAGUCAAACUGUCUCUGUUUGCAGAUGACAUAAUACUGUAUCUAGAAAACCCAUCAUCUCAGCCCAAAGGCUUCUUAAGCUGAUAAGCAACUUCAGCAAAAAUCCCAAGAUACAAAAUCAAUGUGCAAAAAUCACAAGUAUUCCUAUACAUGAAAAACAGACAGUCAAAUCAUGAAUGAACUCCCAUUCAUAAUUACUACAACAAGAAUAAAAUACCUAAGAAUACAGCUAACAAGGGAAGUGAAGAACCUCUUCAAGAAGAACUGCAAACCGCUGCUCAAGGAAAUAAGAGAGGACACAAACAAAUAGAAAAACCUUCCAUGCUCAUGGAUAGGAAGAAUGGAUAUCGUGAAAAAGAUUAUACUGCCCAAAGUAAUUUAUAGAUUCAAUGCUAUUUCCAUUAAACUACCCCUGACAGAAUAGAAAAAUAACUACUUUAAAAUUCAUAUGGAACUAAAAAAGAGCCCAUAUAGCCAAGACAAUCCUAAGGGGAAAAAAAAAAAAAAAAAAAGCUGGAGGCAUCACACUACCUGGCUUAAAGCUAUACUACAAGGCUACUGUAACCAAAACAACAUGGUACUGGUACAAAAACAGACACAUAGACCAAUGGAACAGAAUAGAGAUCUCAGAAAUAAGACUGCACACCUACAACCAUCUGAUCUUCAAACCUGACAAAAACAAGCAAUGGGGAAAGGAUUCUCUAUUUAAUAAAUAGUGCUGGGAAAACUGGCUAGCCAUAUGCAGCAAAUUGAAACUGGGCCCCUUCUGUACAUCUUCUACAAAAAUUAACUCAAGAUGGAUUAAAGACUUAAAUGUAAAACCUAAAACUAUAAAAAUCCUAGAAGAAAAUGUUGGCAAUACCAUUCAGGACAUAGGCAUGAGCGAAGAUUUCAUGAUAAAAACAUCAAAAGCAAUUGCAGGAAAGGCAAAAGUUUGCAAAUGGGAUCUAAUUAAGCUAAAGAGCCUCUGCACAGCAAAAGGAACCAUCAUCAGAGCGAACAGACAACUUACAGAAUUGGAGGAAAUUUUUGCAAUCUAUACAUCUGACAGAGGUUUACUAUCCAUCAUCUACAAGGAACUUAUACAAAUUUACAGGAAAAAAAAACAAACAACCCCAUUAAAAAGUGGCCAAAAGACAUGAAGAGAACUUCUCAAAAGAAGACAUUUAUACAGCAAACAAGCAUAUGAAAACAAAGCUCAACAUCACUUAUCAUUAGAGAAAUGCAAAUCAUAACCACAAUGAGAUACCAUCUCAUGCCAGUCAGAAUGGCAAUUAUUAAAAAGACAAGAAACAACAGAUGCUGAAGGGGCCGUGGAGAAAUAGGAAAGCUUUUACACUUUUGGUGGGAAUGUAAAUUAGUUCAAGCAUUCUGGAAGACUGUGGCAAUUCCUCAAAGACCUAGAGACAGAAAUACCAUUUGACUCAGCAAUUCCAUUACUCGGUAUAUACCCAAAGAAAUAGAAAUCAUUCUGUUAUAAAGAUACACGCACAUGUAUGUUCAUUGCAGCACUAUUCAAAAUAGCAAAGACAUGAAAUCAACCCAAAUGCCCAUCAAUGAUAAACUGGAUAAAGAAAAUGUGUUACGUAUAUGCCAUGGAAUACUAUGCAGCCAUAAAAAGGAAUGAGAUCAUGUCCUUUGCAGGGACAUGGAUGGAGCUGGAAGCCAUUAUCCUCAGCAAACUAACGCAGUAACAGAAAGCCAAACACUGCAUUUUCUCUCUUAUAAAUGGGACCUGAACAGUGGGAACACAUGGACACAGGGAGGGAACAACACACACUGGGACCUGUUGGAGUGGCAGGGGGAGGGAGAGCAUCAGGAUAAAUAGCUAAUGCAUACUGGACUUAAUACCUAGGUGAUGGGUUGAUAGGUGCAGCAAACCACCAUGAAACACUUUUAUGUAUGUAACAAACCUGCACAUCCUGCAUGUGUAUCCUGGAAUGUAAAAUAAAAUAAAAUAAAAAAUAAAUAAUUCAUGGAUAGUGCAUCACAGAAAUGUCAAAGUGGUUAAGCUGAGAGUGCUAGACUAAAAGACAGCCAAAACAUACAUCAGGAAGGAGUGGAACCUAAAAUAUGCUACAUCCCCUGCACCUAUGCUCUUCAACCAACUGAAUAAUUUGACUUCUGCUGUAAGAAGAAGGUAAAAAUCUUGAUAGAGUCAAUACAACCAAAGGGAUGAUUAUUUGAAAGCACCCAAAUAUUGUAUUAAUAAAAUGAUUUAUGUAGAACAAGUAUCACAUAAACUUGGAGAUAAUUAGUGAGCAUUUAGCCAUGCUCACUAAUGCCUUUAAAGUGAUUUACAUACGAUGAAGCACUUUAAAUCGUCUUGUACUAGAUGAUUCCACUUAUACCUUAUAAUCAUAUGAAGAAAUAUCUACAGAAGCAAAAGUAAUGGCUAUUUAAGGCAACUCUACAUAAAGUUUAAAAUCAAAGGAUUAUAUGUGUUUUUCAUUUGCCACCAUUAUCACUUAUGUUGACCAUAUUUGUAUUAGUCAAGGUUCUCCAGAGAGACAGAACUAAUAGAAUAUAUAUGUAGAUAUAUGACAGGGGAUUUAUUAGGGAAAUUGACUCAUGCAAUUAUGGAGGUUGAAAAGUACCAUGUCAGGUCAUCUGCAAAAUGGAGACCCUGGGAUGCCGGUAGCAUGGCCCAGUACAAGCCCAAAAACCUCAGAACCAAGGAAGCAGAUGGUGUAACACUCAGUGUGAGGCUGAAGGCCUGAGAACCUGGGGCGGGGGGCGGGGGGCACAAGUGGAAGUCCUGGAGUCCACAGACCAGAAAGCCUGGAGUUGUGUUGUCCAAGGACAGGAAAGGAAGAGUGUAUUCCAGCUCUAGCAGAUAGAUUACACUCCAUGUUUCUUCUGUUUUUUUUCUCUCCUGGUCCCCACUGGAUUGAAAAGGGUAGAUCUUUCCCACCUAGUCCACUCAGAGUCACAUGCUAAUAAGAACUUAGCAUGUGGAAGAAUUUACUUUAGGAAUAUUGAUUAAUUUUAAUUCCUUAAUCCAGUCAAGUUGGCUGGAUUAAAGAAUUAAAAUUAAUCAAUAUUCCUAAAGUAAGUUAUUCCAUUCAUUUUUGUCUUUGGAGACUCAGCGUUUAAGUUUGCAUUGAGAGAAAAUGCUAAGAGGAACAAAAAUCACAUAUGGAAGAAUCAAGUUUUAGUUGACAGAGGUGUCAGCAAAAAUUAUUUUCAACUCUUUUUUUCUUUGGUUUAUAAUGUUUUACCUCCAUUUAAGAACUCUAUUCUGAGGCUGGGAUGGAACUAUGCCUCUAAUGGGCAAAAUUUUCACUGAUUAAUGAACAAUGACAUCAUUCAUAACACAUGAUUAUUCUGCUACCUUCAUAAAACACUAUACCAAAAUCCUCUAGCCAAUUACACACAAUUUGUGGUGUUUUUCUAUGAUAAUUAAAUUUUUUUAAUUUAAAAAGAUAGAAAUCUAAAAAUCUAAUUAUAACCAUGUGGAAAGCCUGAUAAAUAAAACGCAAUAAAAAACAAGUGAAUCCGUCCUGAAUAUAUGUUAGCACAGAACAACAGUUGAGUAUAAGAUUCUUGGUCACCAACUGUAUUGUUCUACACGUGCCUUCGAUAUCUUUUUAAAAAGCUCCUAGAUCUUUGUUUCUCUAUCUCAGAAAUCUCUAUCAAUGACAAAUUCAGACCCUGGUAAGCCUUUAUUUAGACUACUUAUUACGGUUCUUUUCUUUCUUUCUCUCUUUUCUUGCUUUCUCUCUCUCUUCCUUUCCUUUCUUUCUUUCUUUUCUUUUCUUUUUUCUUUUUUUCUUCUUUCUUUUCAAGACAGGGUUUUACCUUGUCACCCAGGCUGGAAUGCAGUGGUGCAAUCACAGCUCACUGCAGAAUCAAACUCCUGGGCUCAAGUGAUCCUCCUGCCUCAGCCUCCAUGCCCAGCUAAUUUUUUAAUUUUUUGUAGGGACCAAGGUCUCUGUUGCCCAGGCUGGUCUUGAAAUCCUGGGCUCAAGCCAUUCCCCUAAUCUUGGCCUCCCAAGGUGCUGGGACCACAGGUAUGGGCCACCAUGCCCAGCCUGGUUCUGUAUUUUAACAUGAAUUUUGGAAAAAUAAUUUAAAAGGGAUAUGAGUAGAAGGGAACUUUGUUCUAAAAGCUUUGCUGUAAAUUACUUUUUAGUUAGUAAAUAUUGCUAAGGCCAUUAGCAUAAUGCCAAAUAGUCUAUAGAAAGUCUUUAUCCAAUAUGUUCAUGAUCUAAAUUUAAGGAUGCAGGAUUUUUUGAAUCACGCUUGUAUUCACAAGCUUUACAGGAUAAGAGCUAUUAUCUAGCUGAUGUCCAGUAAUAUUUAGUGCUAGUGGGCACGUGUAUUUCAAUGAUUUGUUGCUAUGCUAUUUUGACAUUCUUGUUUUUCUUUCUAGCAUUGAGAAAUCUAGAAAAAAUUUCAUUGUUUUGUAGGGAGAGUUAUUAAUUGUUAAUAUUAAUUAAUGAAUUUAAAAUGGAUACAUGAAGUGUAAGAAAAUAAUGAUUCUAUGAGUAGCCACCAGGCUUCUUGCUCUUAGUCUAUUUCUUUGUCAUUUCAGUAAACACUUUUUAGAUUUGAAAAAAAAAAACCCUUUAAACUACAUAGUCACCUAGAACAUACCACUUUUCCUCUGACUUUAAUUCAGGAGGCUAGAAAGGAAACAAUUUCUGCCUGAGUAACAGAAACUUAACACCACUUUAUUUCUUAGGAUUCACAAAGUUAACUCAUUAGCUGUCUAAACCCCUGAAAUCAGUCACCUAGAAUAGUUUGUGGAGCCAAAGAGAUGCUUUCACUAUAAGAUUUGCUUCUGGUGAUUAUUAAUACCCUAAAAUUCUUUUUGUUUCCAGUUUAAAUAAAAGAUUAACCAUGAUAUAUAUGAUAAAUAUGGUAAUUUAAAAAAUCCCAUGAAACUGACUCUGAAAAGAACAUUUUCAAUAUUUCUUAAUGGAUUUUUAAAAGUCUCAAUGACCCUGAACAUACUUAGCCUUUACCCAUUUGCAAAUGACCUGGCCACAUCUCUUCUACAUGCAUUAGCUUACAGUUCAAUUUUUAUUCAUUAUUCUUCUUUAAUGAGAUUAGAAAAGUUGGCUUUGGCUUCUAUAAGCUGGAAAAUCUGAAUAAGGAAUAUGACUAAAGACAAAAGAAAAUAAGAAAAAAUCUCUAUAUCAAGAAUUUGGAAAUAGUUUCCAACUUAUAUCUACUGAUAGAAUAUUCUACUUUUCAAUGAUACAUUACUUAAGAUAAUUCAGGCAGAACUUUCAGUUCCUGAGCACAGUGGCCUCCUGUUUUCUAUUUCUUAUGAUAAAUUAUCCCAGGAUUUCAAAAAAAAAAAAGUUUGUAACUCAUAUUAAUAAAAGAAAUAGCUGACAUAUCUGGGAUCAUUAGGAAAGUUUAGUGAUUUACUGAAUAACAUACAGGAUACUAGUAGUCAGGCUGGUUUGCUCACAAAACCCCGUGACAGGCUUUAGGGUUUGUUCUAAUAUUAAUAUCAUUUAUUUCCCUAAAUAAUUUAUCUCAUUUAAUCUCAUCACACACCCCAUUAGGCAAGUAUUAUUGUUUUGAUCUUUAAACAUGAGGAAAGAGAAAUUAAUGUCAUAUGAUCUGUCCGGGUGGUAAUGCUCUUAAUAGUCCACUAAGGCUCUAGCUUGGGCCUGUGCAAUGCCAAAUCCACUAACCUUCUUUUAGUCUAUUGCUAACUAGGCAGUUGGAGAGAUGUCAUAUUCUAGACUAUCUGGAUUUUCAGAAUGCACAUAGAUCAUUUUUCUCAUGACACUGUUUCUAACUGGGGAUGGACUAUCUGUAAAGAUAAAAAUAAAUAUGAGAGUAUAAUGUGGGAUGUAACUAGGAUGUACAAAGAUGGGUAGGGAUUCAUGUACAGGUGCCAGCCUGAGAAAGAUUUCUGUAGAUGAUACUGAAGUGGUCUUAUGUUGCUUCUGUCCUAUGCAACAUACUUAGUAACAAUGUGCUAUAGUAAGUUGAGAAUAUAUUGAUGUGAUAAUUUUCGCUCUCUUGGAACCGUAAAUUAAACUAUUUCAUUUGUUCAGAACAUGGACCCACACUUUUCUGCCUACUUCACUUCUCAGUUUCCAUUUUUUAGAUAUAGCUUAAAUAUUACUUCCUCUAGGAAGUCUUUUCAGAAUCUCCUACCCCUAAACUAUGGCAGAGUCCCAUGUUACACAGUUUUAUAACAAACUAUUUUCCUUCACGGUACUUAAUAACAAUUUUACUGAUAUUAACAUUGUUAUCAUAAUUUUCAUACCACCAAUAUAAACUGCAUGGUUUUAUAUAUUUUCCCUAUAUCUGACACCUUAGAGGUAUUUCACAGUCUUAGGGUCUGGCAAAGACUAAACCGGGAGUGGAAAAUUACAUAUAGGACUCACAGAUAUAAAAAGAGUGCUCACUGGAGAUGGGAAAGGGAUGCUAAUGCAGUUUAUACUCCAUUGUAUUAGUCUGUUCUCACACUGCUAUGAAGAAAUACCCAAGACUGGGUAAUUUAUAAAGAAAAGAGGUUUAAUUGACUCACAGUUCCACAUGGCUGGGGAGGCCUCAGGAAACUUACAGUCAUGGCAGAAGGCACCUCUUCACAAGGCAGCAGGAGAGAGAAUGAGAGCCAAGAGAAGGGGGAAGCCCCUUAUAAAACCAUCAGAUCUCGUGAGAACUCACUCACUAUUACGAGAACAGUACGGGGGAAGCCAUCCCCAUAUUUCUAUUACCUCCACCUGGUCACGCCCUUGACACAUGGGGACUAUUACGAUUCAAGGUGAAAUUUGGGUGGGGACACAGAGCAAAACCAUAUUGUCUAUUAAUAUCAACUGUAGCUCUUUUUUUUUACACUAUUUCCUCAUAUCAACUGAUGAUCAAAUAGAAGUUGAGAAUCAAUCAUUUCAACAAAUAUCAUACUAAAAUUAAAUUUCAAAAGAGUAUGAAGAUAGCUUAGAAGAUUCCUACUGCUAAAUAGAGUGACAUGCUAAGAAAUAUCCAACCAUUUCCCACAUUAGGCUCCAGAGAAUCUUGAGUGAUUUUCACCAUCUUUUCUCGGUGUCAUGGGAAAAACGUAAGUUUUGGAGACAGAUGGUACUGGCAUGAAGUGUCACAUUUUGCCACAUUUUUUACUUAGCCAUUGUCAGGAUUUGCAGAUGCUGUUGCCUCAUCUCUCUAAGCAUCCAUUUUCUUAGCAUGGAUGAAACUGGAGGUCAUUAUGUUAAAUGAAAUAAGCCAGGCACAGAAAGAUAAAUUUCACCUGUUCUCAUUCAUAUGUAAGAGGCAAAAAUUAAAACAAUUAAACUCAUGGAAAAGGACAGUAGAAUGACAGUUACCAGAGACUAGGAAGGGUAGUGGGGAGGGCCAGGGGAAGUGGGGAUGGUUAAUGUGUGCAGAAAUAUAUUUAGAUAGAAUGAAUAAGAUGUAGUAUUUGAUAGCACAACAUGGUGACUAUAGUGAACAAUAUUUAUUUUAUAUUUUGAAAUAACUAAAUGAGUGGAAUUGGAAUAUGCCUAACGCAAAUAAAUGAUAAAUUCUUGAAGUGAUGGAUACGCCAGUUACCCUGAUUAUUACAUAUUGUAUGCCUGUGUCAAAACAUAACAUAUACUCCAUAAAUAUAUAUACAUAUAAUGUAUUUGUAAAAAUUAAAAAUAAAUAAAAUGGGUACAGGAAUGUCUAUAUUAUAGGUUAAUUUUGAAUACUCAAUCCAACAAUAUGUGUAAAAUACACAGCAGAGGUUUUGUAACAUAGUAGACACCCAAAAAUACUAACCUAACUCAUUCCAUCUCAAGGUCCAUGAACUCAGAUAAGGUUCUUGUUUUCAAAAUGUUUAAACUCAUUGAAGAUAAGCAUAUGCACAUUGUUAAAAAUGAUUGUGUUUGGCAUUCUUUAUAUUAGAAAUAACUAAUCAAGAGUUGUGAUUAUUGUCUUAGGAUUUUGAGAUAGAGCUAAGAAAUACUUUAAACCAUACUGAGAAGUGUUUUAUAAAUAAGAAAUUGUGAAAUGACUAUGAAUUCUUAGUUAAGGCUCCCUGAUUAAGCCUUCCCUUUCUUAGGAAUAUCUUUUUUUGAUCCGUAUUCAAAACACCAUCCUCACUUCCUUCUUCACUUUACUAACAAGUUUCUUUAAACAACCAGUAUGUCCUGGAUUUUUACAAUUUUUUUUUGCCAAUGUCCCUAGAUUCUAGGUCUGUCCCUCCAUGUUACUGACAUCAUUCUCUUAAAAAUCAUCUCAAUUGUCAAGUUUAAUGGUGGCUUUCAUGUUCUCAUCCUGUCAGUGUGCCAGAGGAUGUGUAAAAACUUGGAUAAGCAUGAUGCAUCUUCCAGAUUCAUCAAUUUUGCACAGACUCAAGAAACUUAUUUUCUAUCAAAACAAAUAGUUAUGCAGUCAGACACAAAAUUUGUAUGAAAUUUGUCUUAGUCCAUUUUAGUUUGCUUAUAACAGAAUACCAGAAACUGGGCAAUUUUUAAAGAAUAUAAACAUAUUUCUUACAGUUCUGAAAACUGGUAUGUCCAAGGUCAAGAAGCCAGAUCUGGUGAGGGCCUUUUUCUGGUGGGGACUCUGCAGAGCUCCAAGGCGGUGCAAGGCAUCAAAUGGUGAGGAGGCUGAGCAUGCUAGUUCAGGCCUGUCUUCCUCUUCUUAUAAAGCUACCAGUUCCACUCUCAUGAUAGACUAUUAAUUCAUUAAUCCAUGAAUGGAUUAAUCCAUCCAUGAGGGCAUAGCCCUUAUGACACAAUCACCUCUCAAAGGCUCAAUCUCUCAAUACUGCCACAUUGGGGAUUAACAUUCCACAUGAGUUUUGGACAGAAAAAACAAUCAACUGAUUGCAAAAAUAUAUAGGGCAACAGGAGACUUCAAAGAACUGUCAUAAUUACAGAUGGCUGCUCUAAAUCACUCUGACUAAUGCUGUCUUUGUUGACUUCUAUUUUUUACUCUACUCUUCUGGUCCUUCUUCUAUCUCUGAGUGCUUCUCCUCAGAUUCCCUUUCUAGCUCAAUUUACUUCUUACAUUUGGUGUUUCCCAAGACUUGAAUCCUUGUUCAUCUGCUGCUCUUCAAGGCUGGUAGCACAACAUAAUCUGGUAUGUGUAGUGGCAGACAAAGCAGGACAUCAACAUUGACUAUAGCUGUUCCAUAUUUAUUGUUGAGUGACUAGUCAUAAGCCUGAGUAAAUGGAAUUGAACACUGCACAUCUGGCGACUCAAUAUAUGAAGAAGUGCUCAUUAUAAGAUACAGUGCUCUACGUGCACCUCUGAGAAAAAUAGCAUGUAACUGGAAGUAAACAGCUCCUUGACAUUCUAAGAGGAACUUGGUGAACAAACCCAGGGAGACCUGACUUUGGAUGGAAAAUAGGAUGUCAGGCUUCAAACAUCUUGUAUAAGGUGGGGUGAAUUCCCCAAGAAUUGAAGAGUUAUAUAAGAAGGAAAUAUUUAUAUGUACUGCUGCUUUAUUUCUAUUUGUUCCUUCUGCUACCUAAUACACUGAAAUGAUGAAGGACAUCUUAAAGUCUUUUGGCAAAUCCAUUCUCUACUAAGUCCAUAAUCAGGCUAAUAUUGAAGUAUACCAUCACAGAAAAAAGCAGCAUCUCCUAGAGCCAACAAAAAUGCUGAACUGAAGACUCUUACUUGGAAUACACCUUAAUAAGUAAUGAUUAUCACUUGAGCAUCCGCCACCGCAUUUCAGCAGUGACUCUACAAAAACCUUCACCUCAGCAAGAGCACCAAAAGUUCAUCAGAUUGGCAGCACUAUUUUGUCAUUGCAAUAUUUACAAAGUACUCAUGUUUUCCAUAGCGCCAACACUUUACUUUUAUCUUUUAGUACUUGAUAGGAUUUAGUUUACUGGAGUGGCUUAAUGAACAUAUGGAAGUUGACUAAGGACACCUUAGGUUAUCAACUCUUCAUUUUCUUUUCCAUCUCACCCUUGCCCCAUGCCUCCAAAAUGAGAAAAAUAUCUUCCUAAAUUUUAAGAGAAAAUUACUCCAACUUUCCUCUACCUGCUUUUAUCUUCCUGGAACAUACCCUGAGGAAUCUGCUGACAACUCUUUCCUUUUAAUAGCUUGUCCUAAAAUUACAUAUGCUGUAGAUGCUAAUUCCUGGUUUGUGUGAAUUGCUCCUCUCCCAAAAUGCAUUUGUAUCAUGUCUUUGCAGCAAGAAGUGACUAUAUCUCUGUGAAUGCUACAUACAUUACCAUAUUGUAAUUUAACACCAAAGGCAUUAGCUGCACCAACUUUUUAUUUAUUGUGAUCUUGAAAAACACAUGGUCUUCACAUUUUUUGAUGAGGGUCAUUAAAAAAUAUUUAUGGAAUAUGCAUGUCAAUCCCAGAUAUAUUGAAAUGAGUAAACCUUCAUAUUAUGCUGUUGGCUACAUAACAGAGCAAUAGCUGGAACUACUUUGCCUUGGACUCUUAAAACAGGAAAGAUUUUAUAUACUUCAUUGUCCAAAGAGUUAUCUAGAUACCAAGUGAUGUGAAGUGCUCUGACAGUUUCUUGAUUUCAUUCACAUACAUUUCUAAAAACAUUCCCCUUAAGAUGGCUUUCUAUUUUGCAUUUUAUAGAUGUACUUGAAUUUGUAAGUACAGAAUUAGUGCAACUUUUUGCAUAUCAAUCAUAGCUUUUUAAUGUCUGAAUUGGUUUGUGGAUCUUUUGCGAAGUGCAUUCUCUGUGCACUGCAGACCUUGCUGUCAAAAUCAUGCUAUGGUCAGCAUUUAUAUUUGUCCAACUCAGGAAUGCUGUUACUUUAAGAAGCCAUGCUCAUCCCCUUUAAAAAGAUACCAAUGAGUAACAAACUAUUAGGGAUCUAGAACUAGAAAUACCAUUUGACCCAGCCAUCCCAUUACUGGGUAUAUACCCAAAGGAUUAUAAAUCAUGCUGCUAUAAAGACACAUGCACACGUAUGUUUAUUGCAGCACUAUUCACAAUAGCAAAGACUUGGAACCAACCCAAAUGUCCAACAAUGAUAGACUGGAUUAAGAAAAUGUGGCACAUAUACACCAUGGAAUACUAUGCAGCCAUAAAAAAUGAUGAGUUCAUGUCCUUUGUAGAGACAUGGAUGAAACUGGAAACCGUCAUUCUCAGCAAACGCAAGGACAAAAACCAAACACCGCAUGUUCUCACUCAUAGGUGGGAAUUGAACAAUGAGAACACAUGGACACAGGAAGGGGAAUAUCACACACCGCGGACUGUUGUGGGGUGGGGGGAAGGGGGAGGGAUAGCAUUAGGAGAUAUACCCAAUGCUAAAUGAUGGGUUAAUGGGUGCAGCACAGCAACAUGGCACAUGUAUACAUAUGUAACUAACCUGCACGUUGUGCACAUGUACCCUAAAACUUAAAGUAUAUAAAAAAAAGAUACCAAUGAGUUAUACUGAUAGAAAAAGUAAAAAAGAAGAAGUCUACUACUAACUACACAGCUCAGUAUAUUUCCUAUGCUGUCCAUUAGUUCUGUUUUUAUGUAUGUUUGGUUUCUCCAGUGAAUAAAUACAAUCAUGUAAAUUAAGUUUGCUCUUUUUCCAUUUUGCAUGAACAUGAAUUAUUAAUUUAGCAUGGAAUAAUGGACCACACUUGGUAGAUUACUGAAAGAUUUGAAAUUUGAAUUUCAAUCUUACCUCUGACCCUAAAGAGCUCAUGAUCUUGGGUAAGUCUUUUCUAUUCUUUAGGCUUUGUUUUCCUCAAUUCAGUUUUUAGUGCAAUUUAUUAAGAAGUAUGGGAUAUGAGUCCAUCCUCCCUGGAUAGAAAUCCUGGCUUUGCCUCUUACCACAUAAGCGGCCUUAGGUAAGUUACUUACAUGUGCCACAAUGGUGAUAAUAAUCCUACCUUAUAGGGUUGUUGGGAGGAUUAAGUGAGUUUAUUAAGGCAAAUUGAAACAUGACUUGGCACAGGCAAAGUACUCACCAAAUAUUAGAUGUGCUCAUCUGGAAAAUUAGGCUAUUUGACCGGAUAAGAUUUUUAGAGUCAUGCAGUUCUACAAUUCUAUUUCUUUGAUUGUGUAUAAGCUCCUUAAGAACAAGCCUUCUGUGAAAUAGCAUGUUUAGCACAGAAUUUUUCCAAUAGUACAUUCUCAAAAAUAUUUGAUGAAUUAAAUAAAAUUAAUAGAAAAACCUAUGUUAAAGCAAAAAGAUGACUCUUUAUCUACUAUUGCCAGAAAAUUUUUACCCAUGGGUCUUUCAUAAAAAUAUGGAAUUAAAAAAUGCUUUAAAAAAUCACUGCCAAUUAAGACAAACCAUUUUAAUUUGUUGACCAAUCUUCAGAUUCCAAUUUCAAGAUGAAAAUUGAUAUUCUAUUAUAAGUAGAAAUUAGAUUGCCUGAGAAGCAGGGUACUUUAAGAUGUAAUGAAAAGCACAUUUCUUAACCUAUUUAGACAGUUUAAGAUUGAAUACAAAGUACAUUUAGAAAACAACAUGCAAUGCCAAUAGAUGGUAAGCCUGACAUUUGAAACUCACUUUAUUAUUCAUUGCCUUCUCCUGUGGAUAUGAAGUUCCUUUGUGUUCUCUUAAAAAUUUAAACUGUUUUGUUCUGUAACUGACCCGCUGAAGCUGGAUGCUAUGCAAAAGGAUUGCAAAAAGCAAUAGAAGUUGAUAAGAAUGGUUGAAAAAGUCAGUUGAAUACAAAGCCAUCCCUUCUUUGUACCCUCAUCAUAACUAGGAUAUAUGUCUUAUAGUAAUUACCACCUUGUAAUUUUGAUGUGACAGAUUAGCAGGCUGGAGCUACCAAAGUGGUUGACUGAAUUCCUAACUUAAAAAAAAAAAAAGCAGAGUUGGAUGUUGGGACACAAGCGCAUGGGCAUCCUGGUUACCUGGUUAAGAAUAGGCUUCUGAUGGUUUAUUUCUGAUGCUUCCUCAAUAAAAUCUCAUGAAAUAAUUAAUGUUCUUGAAUUAUAAGAAGUUUUGCCUUUAGACCUUUAUCUGGCUACUUUCACAGUUCCAGUAUUCACAGACUGUUGUGGGAAACAGAAAAAUAAAAGGAAUCCAAGAUAGAAAAAUUGCAAUUUUUAGAGAAAGAGGGUAGGUCCAUAUGAGACAUUGAAGUUAAGGGAGUAUGCAUAUGUCUAGUACAGUAGCUCUUAGGAAAUUGGGUAAUUCAGCUAUCUUCCUCCCUCUUUCUCAUUUCCUACAUGUUUAUCUCUUUGAAUAGCAAAUAAACUAUAAUUUCCUCUCGACAAAUAUCUAAGUCUUAGAUUUACUUAUAUCUUCUUCAAGACCUUAAAAAUGGUACUAUACAAGGAGGUCAUUGACGAUGGAUUGAUUUUUUUUUUUUUUUUUUUUUUUUUUUUUUUUUUUUUGAGAUGGAGUCUCACUCUGUUGCCCAGGCUGGAGUGCAGUGGCGCCAUCUCGGCUCACUGCAACCCCCACCUCCCAGGUUCAAGCUAUUCUCCUGCCUCAGCCCCCGAACUAGCUGGGACUACAGGCACGUGCCACCACGCCCAACUAAUUUUUGAAUUUUUAGUAGAGACUCAGUUUCACCAUGUUGGCCAGGCUGGUCUCAAACUCCUGACCUCAGGUGAUCCACCCUCCUUGGCCUCCCAAAAUGCUGGUAUUACAGGCAUGAGCACCACACCCGGCUGAUGAUGGAUUGAUUUUAAGUGGGGACGAUUAAAGUACAGAUUUUUUUUUUUUAAAUGUGAGCAUUCAGGAUGUGUGCCUUCAGUGACAAAAGAGGCUGUUUAGUUCAAUGUCCUCAUUUUAAAGAUCUGGAACCUGAAAACUAGAGAAGAAAACGAAUUUUCCCAAGAUCAUGUGAAUGUUUCAUCAAAGUGCUAGGACUGGCAUUCAGAUCCCCCAUCCAGAAUCCCACUGCUCUUUCAACUACAGGGAUUUUUUCCCUUAGAGGAAAGGCCAAGUGGUCCUCUAUGUAAAACAAGAAAUCUUUCUGAAAGAAAACUUAGUGGAAAAGUUGAAGGAAAGGGUACCUUUUAUUAUUUUAAGGAGCAUGAUAAAUUUCACAACUGAUCUCUUCAUGGGAAGUAGUUAAAGGUGCUGUGGACUGAGCAUUGUGAAAUUUGGUGGGGCCACAUUAAGGUAUUUCUUACCUUUGGGCCACCCUCCUUUCCUUAAGUUAUAGCCUUGUCCUUGUAAAGCAGUUCAAAGAAAAUAGAACAGUAAUAGAAGUUUCUAGAGAGAAGCAGUGACAUUCUUCUACAGUGUAGAAGAUAUAUUUGAAGGGAAAAGUGAGUGCAGUGCUGUGGUCCUGAACAUUCCGUAAUUGAUCUUCAGUGCACUGACUAUAUGAUGCAUUUACCUAGCUCUUAUGUGUUGUCAUCACAAAUCAAAUCUUCAAUAAGCUUCCCUUCAUGUUGCUUUAUAAUUAGGAGAUGCUUCAAAAUGAAUGCUUCAAAAUCAGUUAAUCUUCAAUGAAUGAAUGAAUGGAUGAGCGCUUACCUUUGACACCCUUGGACACGUACUAUUGAAUCUCUUUUCUACAUAUAUCACUGUCAGCCUAAACUAAUCAAAAGCAUCAGAAUUCACUUUAAAGAGAGUUUAUUCAAGUGCAAAGUUUGGAGAUAACCACUUAGAAAGCACAGAUUCCAAAGAAUGGACGUCAGUGUCCUGGAAUGUAGAAGUUUGCGAACAUUUAUAUAGACAAAGUUGAGAGAAGCUUAACAGAAUUUCAAUAUCUUUCUAUCUAAGGCUUAGUGCAUAGCUAGAAUAUCUGACUAGUUGAGGUGGUCCUUUUCUUUCUAGAAAGGUAUAGUUAGCAUUCCACAGUGAAGAUAUAAUCAUUUUAGGGCCUUUUGCAUCAUCUAGUUUGAGUUAGGUAUAGGACAAUUAAGGAGGGAGUUAAUCUAUAACAAAAAUCAGGGAUUGGAAGGGGAGAAAGUUUGGUCUCUGGUCUUUCCUAGUCAUUUACAGAACAAGAACAAUGAAGAAGCGAAUUAAUCUAUAAUCUAUAAAACAAAAGUUGCAAACAUGUGACUCAGCCUCCAGGGUUAAUGCCUCCCUUGGCAUAAUAAAUUUAAAGGGUCCUGAAAUUUCAUUUUCUUUACAUCACCAUUCAUCUAUUUCACUCCUCAUCACUUCCCUUACUUAGAAAUUAGCUAGUAACAAAUGAUGGAUUGGAAUCGUAUAGGAGAACAUGGACCUGGUCUCUUUUUCAUCGUUGAAUCUCCAGCACAUAGUGCAGUGCUCUGUACAUAUUAAAUGUUCAAUAAAUAUCUGAUGAAUUUUGAAUGGAAGCUUAUCAAAUAGUAGAGCCCAUCUUUUCCUCCCAGAAAAUAUUGCUAUUGAUUAGAGUACUUUGUAUAACAACAACGACGACAACAAAUUAAUCUCUCAUUUGUGGAAUUUGAGAACAAUAGGUAAGAUAGCUGAUGUUGAGGACUUUUCACAGUCCCUCAAAUAUACGUCAAGAGGAUUGCUGUCUAAUGCACCUAUCUGUACAGCCAUUCUUUCCUAGAACAUUUGUUUGGAAAGGAUACCAUUAUAAGAACUUAAUAGCAAUGUAAAUUUAAUAUUAAGAUGGGAAUCUAGAGUUUAUUUUUGUUUUUUUCUCUAUACAAUUAUUUAUUUAUUUUUUGUAUUAUUUAUUUCUCUAAGAUUUGGUAUAUAAUUCCAAUUUAUUUGGUUUUGCCCAAAUUUAUGAUUUAAAUUGUUCACCAUUUCCCCAGAAAACUCACAUUAUACUAAAUAUUGAGGAAGAGUUCAAAGAACUGGGAUAAUACAUGUGGUAUCAAGGACUGGUUAAACAUAGCCUGUAUGCAGAGUUAGCAAAUACUAAAAAAUGCCUUUACUUCAAAGAUUUGAACAGACACUUUACCAAAAGAGAUAUUCAGAUGGAAAAUAAACUCAUGGGAAAUAUGUUUGAUAUCAUUAGUCAAAUGGGCAAUGCAAAUAAAAAUCACAAUGAGAUAGAACUAUACACCUAUCAGAAUAUCUAAAAUUAAGAAGGUGACCAAAGUAAGUACUGAUGAAGAUACAGAGCAAUUAGAAGUGUCAUACAUUGCUGGUGGGAAUACAAAAUUAUACAGCCACUUUAGAAAAUAAUUUGGCAGUUUCUUAUAAAGUUAAAUAUAAACUUGCCAUACAAAACAGCAAUUCCACACCUAAGAAUUUGUCCAAGAAAAAUGACAAAUUUUUAUACAAAAGGCUUAUGCAUGAAUGUUCAUACACACAUUAAUCAUAAUAGCCCCAAACUGGAAGAAACCCAAAUACCCAUCAAGUAGUGAUUAAAUAAACAAAUUGUGAGAUAUGUAUUCAAUGCAAUACUAGAUACUAUUUCACAGUAAAAAGAAAUGAACUGCUGAUAUAUUCAGCAACACAGAUGAAAUCUUAAACACAUUAUGCUAAGUCAAGUAAAUUGGACACAAAACACUGCAUAAUGUAUGAUACCCAUUAGAAGAAAUUCUAGAAAAGGCAAAACUAUAGUGACAGAAAGCAGAUCAUUGGUUACUAGGGUCUAGGUAUGGAAGGAAGGGGUUGAUUGAAAAGAAGACAGAAGAAACAUUUUGUGGUGGUGGAAUGUUCUACAUCUUGAUUGCAGUGAUGGCUCUAUGACUAUAUACUUGUUAUUACUCAUUGUAUUAUGUACUUAAAAUUGGUGAUUUUUAUUGUUUGUAAAUUAUACCUCAUUAAAAUGGGUUUAAAAAAUGCUUUGGCCCGAAAGAUUUUCCUUAGCAGCUAGCCAUAAUGCUUGAAAAGACUCAUCAUUAGUCUUUUCCUUGGUGAAUUUCUUGAAGGCAUCUGCUGAAAUGUAAAUCAUAGCUGCAUGAUGUCAUAUACCAAGUUGUUAAUCUUCAUUAACUACUUGUUUUGAAUUUGUUUUUCCAUCUAAUUUUCAGCCCCCUGCAGUGAUAUAUGGCAAUGAUACAUAAGAAAUACAAUCUAUUGAGAAGGGACAGACAUGAGAGGCCAAGAGCAGAGGAGAUGGUCACAUGGUGGUGUUGGUGUGUGAUAAUGAAUGAAUAUUAUGUGCAGCAACAGAGUCAGUAUUGGGCACAAGAUAAUGAAGGAGAGAAGAAAUUAAAAGAGAAUGAAAAGAAGAGAAAUUAGUCAUUAGGCUCUUAAUUGCCAAUGCUUUCUAAAUACUAGGUUAUUUAAUCCUCAAAAUAACUCUAGAAAGAUACAGUUAUCACCAGUCACAAGUAUAUAGAGGAGGAAAAUGAAGUACAGAGAGGUGAAAUAAGUUGUUCAAGAUCAUAGCCAGUAAGUGGCAGAGCUGGGAUUUGGAAGUAUAUAUUCCUCCUAAAAUGUGUUGAAGGAAUAUAUUUUCUAAAGUUCUCAGCUUGACAAUGAAGAUAAUCAACAGUUGCCAGAAAAGAUUCAAUUUCUGUUCUCCUGCACAUGUAAUUCCUUAUUUUUUACGCAAGUGAUUCAUAGGUUUAAGACUGAAAGUUGAAAAUUCAACUUACCGUAGAAUUUUCUAGAAUUAAGAUAUAUGAAACUAGGGAGCUGGCUUCCAAUGGUAAGCCUAAAAAGUUAUUGAGACUAAGAAGACUUAGUCAUUCUGUGCCAAUGCAUGACACAGAAACCCUGCAAUCUGUGUUAUUAGCUCUGGAAUGGAAUCUAGAUCAAAGAAAUUUUCCACAAUAAACAUUGAAAGGCCAAGAAAACCAUUUUCCUCCCAAUACAUAGCCUGCCUUAAGUAGUCAUUUGUUACUCUUACUUACCAAGUUAGGAAAAAAGAUUAUCUUUUUCAUGAAUAACAUAAAUGGUCUUUAGUUUCUUUGAUAUUCAGAGUUUACUGUCACCAUUUCUAGGUGAAAUUAUGUGAUAUUAAUUAACUUUAUAUACUGAUACUUUCACUCUCACAUUUUCUCUCUGAUUAGACAUAUGCAAUUUCAUUAAGAAAGUUCACAAGGCAGCAGAAUUAAAUUAGAUAAGCAUUUGUAUCUCCCCAAAAUGAGAUUAUUGCUCUUAAAAAUUUGUCACUUUAAAAUUAUAUUGUGAAACUAACACCCAAUAAUUGAAAUUAAGGAAGAAUUCUCAUGGUACUUCUGAUGAGAAGAUACUAACUUCAUUACUGAUAUAACCAUAUUUCAAUGUUUCAAAAUACGGCCCAGUUCAUUUUCUGAGUGUGGGACAAAGUUUUCAAAGAGGACCUCAGCUUUAGCUUUAGAUUCUUUUCCAGAAUCUCCAGCUGUAUUGACAAACAAGUUCCUAUCAUUCUUUGUUUCCUGGCUUCUAUCUCAGCACCAUCUAAACAGAAAACUAGCUUUAUAAUCAGGCACUUUGGGGAUGCUGAGUUGUGCAAUUCAUCAGAAAGAAACAUGGAAAAACAUCCCAAAUUCACAAAGUAACUGCAAGAUUUAUUUAGCCCAAGUCAGGUAAUACUGAAAACUCAAGAGAAAAUAUGAAGUACGAAGUGCCUGAAGUAGACUUCCUAGUGACUGCCAAAAGGCAUGUAGAUUAAAACAGGCUCAAAUCUUGAAUCAAAAUGAAGGAAGUGUUCCAAUGUCACCCACUGGACCAAAAGAAAAAAAAAAAUCAAUAAGGCGUAUUUUAGGUCUAACUCAAAACUUGGGUGGUCGUAAGAGUGGUCUGUAUGGGAAGCUAUAAGGUAAAAAGAAAUAUAUAGACUACAUAUUAGCCAAAGUCCUAAUCCACAGGUGCAAUAUGGCUACAUAGUGUUGGGCAAAUUGUUAAUUUCUCUGAGCCUUAGUUUUCCAAUCUGUUAAAUGAUAAUGAUCAGAUAUAGGAUUCUUAUUCUUAAAAUAUGCUAAUGUCCCCGCAAUUCUUCUCCUUGAAACAAGACAAAGCAACAAGGAGAACGAAAGAAAAACUUCUAAACCAUAUUUUCAUGAAACUGGGAAAGAGAAGAAAAAAAUUGUGAAGUCUAAAGUACGUGUAAAUUCUGCAAAAAGCAGCCGAAACCAGCAGGGUUAUAUUGGGAGCCCAUAAGAAGCCAAAACAGGAGUUGCAGGGAAGAAAGAAGCAUAAGGGGGUUUUCAUGGUGGCAGAUCUGAAAACUUAUCAGUAAAAAUACAUUUUAAAAGAAAGAGGGGAUGACAAGAAAUACACUAAUAAUAAAAGACAUUAAUUUGUCAAAUUCCAAGACAGGGUGAGUAGACAAGUAAGGAUAUAAGAGACUCAAAUGACGUAAUUAAUGAAGCAGAUGUGAUAGACAUGUACUUAACUCAGUGGUUCUACAAUAUAGAAUGACUCUUUUUUUUGAGACAUAGUCUCGCUCUGUAGCCCAGGCUGGAGUGCAGUGACGCGAUCUCGGCUCACUGCAACCUCCACCUCCCAGGUUCAACCGAUUCUCUUGCCUCAGCCUCCCGAGUAGCUGGGACUACAGGCACGUGCCACCACGCCUGGCUAAUUUUUUGUAUUUUUAGUAGAGAUGGGGUUUCAUCGUGUUAGCCAGGAUGGUCUCAAUCUCCUGACCUCAUGAUCCGCCCACCUAGCCCUCCCAACGUGAUGGGAUUACUGGCGUGAGCUACCAUGCCUGGCUAAUUUUUGUAUUUUUAGUAGAGACGGGGUUUCACCAUGUUGGCCAGGCUGGUCUCCAACUCCUGACCUCAAGUGAUACUCCUGCCUUGGUCUCCCAAAGUGCUGGAAUUAUAGGUGUGAGCCACUGCGCCCAGUCUCAUAUUUAUAAUCACCCCCAAAUGGGCAAUUCACAUGGACCCCCUAUUUGCUCACUAAGAUAUCAUAAAUACAUUCUUAAAGGAUAUAAAUGAUACAGAUAUUCUCUUAUGACACCAUAAAGUUAGAAAUUAAAAACAAAGUCAGAAAAUAAAAGACCUUUUCAUCUAUAAAUUAAAACACACACACCUCCUCUCAUAAAAUUAAUUUUUCAACAGAAGUACAAACAAAAAGUAUCGCAUUUUGAAAAAAGAGUGAAACAGAAACACUAUAUUUAAGAAUCUAUGCAAUACAGCUCAAAUAAUGAUUGGAGAAAAAUUCAGUGCUUUAAAUACUAUAUAACAAUAAAGGAGAAAGAAUGAAAAGAUAGUUCUAAAAAUUAAAAUAAAAUCAACAAAAUAAAGUCAAAAAAAAGAAAGAAAAAUAUCAGAAGAGGUAAUUAAUAAAUGCUAAAACAGGAAAAACAAUAGAAUUAAUCCAUGAAAAAACAAAACCUGGUUCUUGGAAAAAAAUCAAUGACCAAUUACCACUAGACAAGCUUGCCUCAAUAAGAAAAAAGGAAAAAACAAAAAUGCAGAAAUAAGGAAUAAUAAGGGGGUAACAAUAAUAGAAAAAGAGGAAAUUAAAGAAAAUCAUGAAUAGAUUUCUUUCCACAAGUACAUGCAAAUACAAUUGAAAACUUGGAUGAAAUGGAUAAAUUCUCCCCCCAAAAUAAAAUGUACCCAAAGUAAUCUCAGAAUAGUUUCAUUUAAAGCAAACAAACAACAACAAAAAAUAAAAGACAGAGAAGGUUCUUAAAGAAAUCCUCUCUAAUAAAAGUACCAGACUUAGAGGGUUUCACAGGAAAAUUCAACCAGAUAUCUGUAACUCAUCCAGAAUGUAACAAACUAAGUUACAUUUCUACUUUUUAAUGAAUUUACUAUGAAAUUGAUUCCAGAACAGGACCAAGAUUGAACACUAAAACUACAGACCAAAUAUUCAUGUAAAAUCCUAAAUAAACUGUUAGCAAACAGAAUCCAGCAGCACAUUUAAAAAAUACUAUAUUAUGACCAAGUUUGUUUUAUUCCAGUAAUGGAAAUAACAUUUUAUAUUAAUAAAUAUGUGAAUAUAUUUAAUCAUAUCAAUAAGUUUAAACAGAGAAAAGAUUAUGUAGUCAUUUCCAUAAAAGACGAAAAAGCACUUAACAAAAUUCAAUACAAUUCUUCUUUUUUUUUUUUGAGACGGAGUUUCACUCUUGUCGCCCAGGCUGGAGUGCAGUGGCGUGAUCUCGGCUCACUGCAACCUUUGCCUCCCGGGUUCAAGCAAUUCUUCUGCCUCAGCCUCCCAAGCAGCUGGGAUUACAGGCGCCCACCACAACCAGCUAAUUUUUGUAUUUGUAGUAGAGACGGGGUUUCACCAUAUUGGCCAGGCUGGUCUUGAACUCCUGACCUCAGGCAAUCCACCUGCCUCUGCUUCCCAAAGUGCUGGGAUUACGGGUGUGAGCCACCGCGCUCGGCCAAUACAAUUCUUGAUUAAAAAAUAAAGCUCUAUAAAAUAGGAAUUGAUGGUUACUUCCUUACUGUUAUUUUAUAUAAUCAGAGUUGAAAAGGCAAGCUUCAUUUUUAAUGAGAACACGCUGAAGGAAUUCUCACUAAAAAAUACGGCCAGGAUGUCCACUAGUACAAUCACUAUUGAACAUUAUACAGAAGUCAUUACCCAAUGCAGCUAAAUCCAACUGGUAAAGAUAAUCAGAACUAUAAAACACAGAAACGAAAAGGUGAAAUUAUCACCAUUAUAAAAUUGUAUGUUUACAUACAAUGUUUAUACUUGAAAAACCAAAGAUAACCUAUUGAAUAACUACUAUAAACAGUAAUAUAAAUAAAUAAAAUUAAAGUAAAUAAAUCAAAAGCCUUCACUUAGAAUAUAUAAACAGAAGAAUAGACUAGUUUACAAUUACAAAGAAGAUACUUUACCUAAGAAAAUGAGAGAGACUAAAAGUUUUUGAAGAAAAUUCACUGUAAAACACCCCCAAAGGAUAUAAAAGCAGACAUGAACAAAAUUGAAAGAAAUGUCAUAGAAGGUAAAAAAUUCAACAUUUUAAUUUUCAUAAGUCACUAUUACAAUCGUAAUAAAAAUAGCAAGUUAUUUUCUUCCACCUUGGAGUUAGAGAGGUGAUUCUAAAGUUCAAAUGAAAAAUGAAACCAAGAAUAGAGAGAAAAUCUCUGAAAAAGAAAGGCAGUUUGGAGAACAAUCCUUUUCAAAUAUAAAAUCUUAUUUUAAAGCCUUAAUAACUUGAACAGCAUGACGCAGGUUCAUGAAUAGAUAUAUACCUCAAUGGAAAAGAAGUAGAAAUUCUAGAUUUACAUUUAUAUAUGUAUGGAAAUUCAGCAUAUGAUACAGGCAGCUUCUUAAAUUAGUGGUAAUAAAGAUUGAACUUUUCAGUACAUGAUGAGGAAUGAUUGUGUAGUCACUGGAAAAUGAAAGUUGAAUCCAUGCUGCAUUAGUCAAGAUUAUCCAGAAAAACAGAACAAUUAGCAUAUAUAUAGAGAGAGAGAGAAAGAGAAAGAGAAAGAGAGAGAGGGAGACAUGCAAUUAUGGAAGCUAAGACCCAAGAUUUGCAAUUGACAAGCUGGAAACCCAGUAACACCUAUGAUAUAGUUCCAGUCCAAAAAUUGGCAGACUAGAAAUGCAAGAAGAUUCAAUGUUCAGUUUGAGUCUGAGGGCAGGAAAAAAGACCAAAGUCCUGGCUCAAGGUUGUCAGGCAGGUAGAGUCCCUCCUAGCCAUUUUGUUCCAUUCAGACCUUUGGUGGACUGGAUGUGGGCUACCUACAUUAGGGAGAGCAAUCUUAAGUUCCUCCAAAAGCUGAGGAAAAAAAAAGGGAGAGCAAUCUACUUUCCUCAGUUUACCGAUUUAAACGUUAAAAUCAUCCCCAAACAUGCUCACAGACACACCCAGAAUAACAGUUAAUCAAAUAUCUGGGUGUUCUGGGGCCCAGUCAGGUUGACAUGUGAAAGCAACCAUCAGGCACACACCUCAUACGUUACGCCAGGAUAAACUAACAAUGGGUCAAAAUUAUACCAACACACAUACACAUAUGCAUGCAGGUACAUACAUUAUAAAAUGUAUGUGCAUGCAUUAUAUUAUUUAAGAUAGUAUAUGAUACAUACAUAUAUCAUAUAUUAUAUAUGUAGACAUAUAUGUGGAUGUAUCAUGUCUUCUAAGAGAUAUAUAUGAUACAAUAUAUAUAAAGUUAUAAAACAUUUUUAAAAUAUUUAAAUAUAUUUUAAAAUUAUUUUCUUGAAUUAUAAAAUAUUACAAGAAAACAUAGUGAAAUUAUUUUGUAACCUUGGUUUAGCGAAGGUCUUUUCAUUCUAUGACUCAAAAUGCAUGCACAUACAAUGAAAAACAAAAGAAAACCACAAAAAUAUCUGCAUGGCCUAAGACACAAUACACAAAAACAGGAAGAACUGGUGAAAAUGUGUAAUUCAGAUAAGACUGAAAGAAUUUCUAGAGUUAGAAUUCUACUCUUAUGGAUAUAUCUAAAGCACCUUUAAAUUAAUGAAACAUUACCAGCAACCCAGUUUUCAAAAAAAAUAGACAAAACAUAUGGCGAUUACUUUUAUAUGUCAACUUGGAUAGGCCAUGGUACCCAGCUAUUUGGUCAAACAUCUAGUCUAGAUGUCUCUCUGAAGGUACUUUUUAGAAGAUAUUAACAUUUAAAUCAGUAGACUUUGAGUAAGCAGAUUACCCUCCAUAAGAUGGGUGGCCCUCAUCCAGUCAGUUGAAGGCCUUAAUAGAAAAAAAGUCUGAGGACCCCUGAGGAAGAGAAACUCUGACUCCAGAAUAACUUCUGACUUGAGGUGCAACAUCAGCUCUUCUCUGAGUCUCCACUCCAUUGGCCUGCUCUGAAGAUUUCAGAGUUGCCAGACCCCACAAAUCAAGUAAAACAAUUCAUUAAAAUAAAUUCCUAUCUACACACACACACACACACACACACACACACACACACACACCCUAUUGGUUCUGUUUCUCUGGGGCACCUUGACUAAUACGAAGGACACACACACAACAAGAACUCCACAAAUGACUCUUAAACAUAUGAAAAUAUGCCAAACCACACUCAGUAAGAGAAAUGCAAAAUAAAACUACCUAAGGUAGUUUUACCUCGCAGUUUGGCAAAAAAAUAAAAAUAAAAAUAAAUUACAACAGGCAUUCUCAUAAAUUAUUAGUUGGAUGACAAAAUGGUAGAAUCCCUAUGGGGGAAAAUUUGGUAAUGUCUAUUAAAGUUACAAAUAUAUUUAGCUUUUGAGCAAUUAUCUCACUUCUGGGAAUUUAUCUGGCUACUUCACUUGCACACAUACAAAAUGAAGUAUAUUCAAGAUUAUUCCUUGAAACAUUUUUACAAUAGUAAAAGACUGAAAACAACACAAGUAAACAUCAAUGAAUACUAUGAAGCUUUGAGAAACUGAGGAAGCUCUCUAUUUACCAGAAAAAUCUCCUGGAUAUUUUUGUCAAGUAAAAACAAAGCAAAAUGAAGCAAGGACAAAACAAUAUAGAUACUUUUCUCCCUUUUGUGUAAGAAAGAAGGAAAUAUGAAAUAUAAUGUACAUAUAUAUUUGGAUUAAUUUGUAUAAACAAACAUGAAAAAAGAUUCAAAAGAAACUUAAAAGGGGUUAUUUGCAUGGGAGUGGUUACAUUAAGAUAGAUUACAUAUAUACAUAUAAAAUGGAAGAGCAUGAGUAUAAGACUUUCCAAUGUGUGCCUUUCCACAUCAUUUUGAUUUUUAAAGCAUAUAUAUUAAUAAUAUAAAAAUUAAAAAUAAAUACCUGAAAACAAUUGUUAUUUUUAAUGGCUGCAGAUCAUUACCUUGUGUGUAUGUGCAUUUAUUUAUUUAUUUAUUUAUUUAGAGACAGAGUUUUGCUUUUGUUGCCCAGGCAGGAGUGCGAUGGUGCGAUCUCGGCUCACCGCAACCCCCGCCUCCCGGGUUCAAGUGAUUCUCCUGCCUCUGCCUCUCUAGUAGCUGGGGUUACAGGCACCCGCCACCAUGCCCAGCUAAUUUUUUGUAUUUUUAGUAGAGAAGGGGUUUCACUAUGUUGGCCAGGCUGGUCUUGCACUCCUGACCUCAGGCAAUCCACCUGCCUCAGCCACCCAAAGUGCUGGCAUUACAGGCGUGAGCCACCGCGCCUGGCUCGCUACAAUUUAUUUUAACCAACCCAUUAUUGAUUGCCCUUUAAACAUAUUCUGAUUUUCAUUGAGACAAAUAUUUUGAUCAAUAAUCCUGUCUACAAAUCCAUGUGCACAUGUCUGAUAUUUUCUCAUGUGUAGAAUUACUUGAUUAAACAGGAUUACCAUAUCGAUAAAUUGUCUUCCAGAACACUUGUAGCAAUAGCAUUUUCUUCGAGUGGUUGGUGAAUAUGGCCCUUUCACUGCUCCCUGGCCAAGACUGACAGCUACUGGGAUCAUAAAUUUGCAAAUUUGGUAGGCCAAAAGUAGCGUGUCAUUGUAGUUUACAUUUAGCUAUUGGGUCCAAAGUAGCAACUGAGCAUAGUGGUGAAGAGCACGGGCAUUGAAGUCACACAGAUAUAGACGUAAGUUCUGGUUCCACUACUUACCCGCCAGUAAUGACCUCAGGUAGUUUAAUUAUUUUUUCUUAAUCUCAGUUUCUCAAGUUGUAAAACAGAAAACAUAGUUUACACUCUAAAGACACUUAUUGUGAUUAGUGUCUUGGCAUAUGGUACUCAGAGAACAUUCAUUUCCUUUUUUUUUGUUUGUUUGUCUAAUCAUAAGCCUACUUCUGUAGGUCUUCAUAAUUGGUUUUCUUACCUCCAGAAAGAGAAAGAUGAAUAUAGAAAGGUUUAGCAUUUAAAUAGUGGAAAUAGGGCAAGAGAAAAGAUGUACAAUAAUGUCCAAUUGUCAUUAUGUUGUUAAAGGUAACUUGAUAUGAAGGGUUUGACAUCUCUAGGAACAAUAAGGCAUUUGGGUGUAGUGAAAACUACACAGGCUUUAUUGAGUCAGAUGUGAGUUCAUGUACCAACUCCAAACCUCUGAUCUCUUGACAAUGGAAGUAGAGCUGAGCCUUCAUUUUUUUCAUCUAUAAAAGUGGGAAGAAUAAUUGUAUUUGCUUAUUUUGUCAGUGCUCCCCAAAACUACUCCCAGGCUCAGUGAGCCCCUACAUAGACUCACAGGACUCGGAAGUCUUUAUAUCUAUGGUUAUGGUGUAUUACAGUGAAAGGAUAUAAAGCAAAUUCAGCAAAGAAAAAAGACACAAAGGGUGAAGUCCAAAGAAAAGCAGACCCAAGCUCACAAGAGUCUUUUCCCAGUGGAGUUGCACAAGACCCACAUAAUUCCUCCAGCAAUGAGUGAGUUGGAAUAACAUGCAUGAAGUGUUGUCUACCAGGAAAGCUCAUUACAGACUCAGUGCCCAAGGUUUUAACUGGGGGCUGGUUACACAAGCACACUCCGCUUAGCACGUACAAAAAUUCUUGACUUCCAGAAUGAGAGUGGGUGUUUAGCAUAAACCACUUUGUUUGUACAAACAGUUUAGGCACAAUGAGCCACUCUUCUCACUUAGGGAAGGCCUUCUAUCAGUGUAGGGGAUUGUUCACAAGCCAAAUUUCCAGACAUCAGCCAAGAACCAAUCUUGUAAGCAGACCUUUCUAACAAUAAGCAGUUUCAGGUCUGCUGUGUUAUCAUUUCUUCACACAGUCUAUCCCUUUGGCCCCUGGCCAAGUCCAUCUUUACAGCAAAAUUACUAUCAAUAACCCUCCACGUAGCAGGAUGAAUUCAAUCUGCUCUGUUGGCCCCAGUUAUUUCUUCCAGGUGUCCUAAAUUUAGCUAGUUAAAACAAAUCCCAUUAACCAUAAAGAUUUAUCUUAGAAAGCCAAGUGGCUUCAUCCGUACGUUUCUGUAUGAACCUUUUUUACUUCGCCUGAGUCAUCCAUUCUGGCAUAGCACAAGUCUGGUAGGUAUCCAGCGCUGAGGCAGUGUCAUGAUAGUCAGGGUGCACACAAAAGUACAAUCCCAGAGGACACACGUGAUACUCCUGGAAACAAAGAGAUUGCACUGGUUGAUCACCCCAAGCAGGACAUACAUUAGUCAGGCAGCACAGGUUAACAGGGUCCUGUGGCCCCUUUACUAUGGGGCCUUCUGCUCUAAGGUUUGUAAUUCAGUCCAAAACACUUCAGACCUUAGUUUCAUAAAGACUGCCUAAAAGGCAGUGCUAUGGUUUGAAUGUGUCCCCUUCCCAAAUUCAGGUGCUUCUGAUGUGAUAAUGUUAAUAAGUCAGGCUUUUCAGAGGUGGUUAGGUCAUGAGGGCUCCUCCUCUCCCCGAGGUUAAGGCCCUUAUAAAAGAGGCUUCAUGCAGUAUUAAACUAGGCUGUCCUUCUGCCUUCUGCCCUGGGAGGACACAGCAUUCCUCCUCUCUGGAGGGGGCAUCAACAAGGCACCAUCUUAGAAGCAGAGAACAGUCCUUACCAGACAAACGAAAGUGCUGGUGCCUUGAUCUUGGACUUUCUAGCCUCCAGAAAUGUGAGAAAAUAAAUGUCUCUUCUUUAUAUUAAUUAAUUACCCAGUCUCAGGAGUUUUUGUUCUAGCAGUAAAAAAUGGACUGAGGCGGUCUGUUUCAAAUAGUUUUCCUUGUUCAUGACACCAGUCUACUGCACUAAUGGGUGUGGCCUACAGCUGGAGGUUUUCUAUGUGGAAAGUUCAGGAGCUGAAGCCACUGUCUGUUGUCUCAGUGAGCACUGGCAGAUGUGACAAUCGUUGGUUCAGCAGUCAUUUUGAAUUCAAAGCGCUUGGAGCAGUUUGGAAGGGAAGCAAGAAGUUUUUCUUUGGGAGUAGGGGAAAGCCUUUAGGAGCAGUUUUGAAAAACAAAUAUCAUUAAUGCCCUUACCGCUUCCCCAUAACUCCCUAGAUGCUGGGUUUUUAUUUUGCCUCUGUUGUGAUAAAAUCACUGUGUUCCAUUCCAUAUUCAUAGCUUACAUUUCUAAAAAACCUUGCAAAAAUCUCACAUUUCAUCUGGAAAGGUUGUAUGCAAGAAAGACAAAACCACUUUUAUAGAAAAGCAUUUUAUACAACCUAACUGAAAUGACACAUCCUGUUAGGAAAUAGGAUUCAAUUUUGAAUUUCUAAUUUUGUCUUUCAAAAUGAGUGUAUCUAAUCCUUUUCCCACCCAAUCUAGUUUGUUCUGAUCAUCUGUUCAGUGAGUAGCUGAUAAAAGAUCAGUUAAUUUUGGGGGAUAACUGCAGUUAAUUAUCAAACUGUCAGCCGGGUGCGGUGGCUCACCUCUGUAAUCCCAGCACUUUGGGAUGCCGAGGCAGGUGGAUCACCUGAGGUCAGGAGUUUGAGACCAGCCUGACCAAUAUGGUGAAACCUGUCUCUAUUAAAAAUACAAAAAAUUAGCUGGGUGUGGUGGCAGGCACCCGUAGUUCCAGCUACUCAGGAGGCUGAUACAGGAGAAUUGCUUGAACCUGGGAGGCGGAGGUUGCAGUGAGCUGAGAUCACACCACUGCAUUCCAGCCUGGGUGACAGAGCAAGACUCCAUCUCAAAAAAAAAAAAAAAAAAAAAAAAUCAAACUGUCUUACUAGGUUAUGUAUAUCAGGAGAAAGGUGGGAGAAGUAGCAUCAGGCUCUUGGUCCGUGAUGCCAACUGCAACAAAUUCAGAAAGCUGAAGAACACGAGUCAAUAGCAGCAAGGCAUCCUGAGAUGAGCUAAAAGUCCAAUCUGUUAGGAGUGGAUGGAGCGGCCACCAUGUUGGUAAUGUGUCCUCCCCCAAAUUACAGCUUUUCAAAAAUCACAACUUAGAAACGCAGUUAGUCUGUGUCAGAGCCUAUGAGCAGCUCAGUUUUGUUAAUAGGUGGUCACAUCAGAGAACAAGACCUUUCGAUAGGGCACCUGCACAUGACCCAGAGGGUCCAGCCACCACCCAUGAUGUUGUCACAGUUUAUGGUCUCACAUGGCGUGAGGUUCCUAAAUCUGUAAAAGUCCAAGCAUCUGAGUUCUGUUCAUUGAGUCUCUGCUUUCAGCUUAGCAAAGCUCUGAGUUUGAAACACCCUCCAGCCGACAGUAAGAGGUUGCAGUUUUGAGUCAGAUUCAGGAAAUUAAGAUCUGAGAACCCAGGAUUCCAAAAAGCCAGUGGUUUUCUUCAGCAACAGCAGAGCCUAGACACUGUAGGGCCAGACAGCUGUGUUCCAAGUGCAAGAAACAAAGCAAGUCUUUCCUAAGACGACUUUAUCUUAUCAGUCUUUUUUUUUUUUUUUGAGAUGGAGUCUCACUCUGUCACCCAGGCUGGAGUGUAGUGGUGCGAUCUCAGCUCACUGCAACCUCUGCCUCCCGGGUUCAAGCAAUUCUUCUGCCUCAGCCUCCCAAGUAGCUGGGACUGCAGGCGCCUGCCACCACACCCGGCUAAUUUUUGUAUUUGUAGUAGAGACAGGAUUUUACCAUAUUGGCCAGGCUUGUCUCGAACUCCUGACCUAGUGAUCCGCCCUCCUUGGCCUCCCAAAGUGCUGGGAUUACAGGCGUGCACCACCGCGCCCUGCUAUUAUCAGUCUUACAGGCCAAUUGACUCCCUUUAAAAUAUGCACAACAGGCUGGAAAAUCAUCAGCCACAGGGGUCAGACCUCCUGUUUAAUAAGAGCACAUUAGCAAACCAAAAAGUACUUUUUAAAGUUCCAAAUGUGUAUCUUCAUGUGAAGAUUAUCUCUCUUAUCUUUUCUCCCUUUUUGCAGAUGCUCCUAUAUACAAAAAAUCGUAGUACAAAUCAUCACUUAUGGAGAACUGUUUUCUUUUCAAUACUCAAAUAAUUUAAAUUCCAUUGCACCUGCCAGCAGUAGAAAGCAAGGACAUUGUAUCCCACUAAAUUUUUGUGUGUACAGCUUUCCCGUUAGCAUUUAUGAAAUUGCAAUCAUAUAACAUGUUACAUCAGUUUUUCUCAUGCAUCCAGAAUCAUAGCCACAAAAUACAAAGCCAUUCUUAAAAAUCAUUACCUGCCUUUUAUCUCACUGCAUGUUUAUUCAAACAGCUAGCAGUAAAUUUAGCAAUUAAAAGAUGAAGGUUAUGGGGAAGGAGAGAAGGGGUGCAGCAGCUGUGGUAGCAGCUAGGCUAGAGUGGUUUCUUUUUUGAUCGUUUUUUUUUUUUUUUUCUCCUGAUUUCUCCAGUGCAUUGCUCCAGCCGUGUGAACUAACUUAACCUUUUUUCAUACCACUUGGAGAAAAGGGCAAUGAAGAUCUUUAGCAUUCUUGGUUUACUCAAUGCCCGCCUAUAGGAGUUUUCAGAUCAUUUCUCCUGCCACCUGGAGAAGAAAACUACAAACUAAUGUUUAUUAACUUUUCUCCCCAAAAAAAGCCCAUUUUGGGGAAUGUUUGGGUCUUUUAAACUCCCACCUGGAAGAAAGAACAAAAACCAAAGGCAUCACCCCAUCUGUGUUUUUGUCAUCACUUUAUCUAGCAAGGCCGAAAGCAGGUAGGGGAUCCAGGGGAGCCAGUUUGCCUGAGGUUGGAUCUAUCAUUUUGAAAUUUCACAGGUAACUUUUGCCUCUCAGCAAAGACAGCAACUUAGCUGCUAUUUCAUACCUUGCAUGACUCCAUAGCCACCCAGGAACAAACGUUUUGUCAUCACCCUCCCACACUUUUUUUCAAAUAGCUCUGUAGUUAUAUUUCAGUAAGUUAGGGGUCGCUCUAGUGAAUCCCGCCACAGUCACUGCUGUGUCCAGGGUCCCCAAGACCACUUCCAUGUUCCCUGAAUCACAAGAAGGACUCGUGGAACUUAGCAUAUUGUUUUCCUCACAGCUAAAAAUUUUGAAAGUGAUGUGUUAUAGUUACACAGCCAGAUCAUAAGGAAAAUAGGCAGAAGAGGAGUCUGGAGGAAGAAGGGUGCAGGUUUCCUUAUUCUUUCUCCCACGAACACUCACAGAGAGCACUUCCACCAGCAAUGGAAAUGUAGUAAUUUGUGUGGGAUGUUUCUGCCCAAGGAAAAAUUGGCUACAGACUUGGUGCCCAGAUUUUUACUGGAGUCUCAUCAUUUAGGUAGUUUCUGCCUAGCAUGUGCUAAAAUUCCAGACCAUCAAAAGGAACUCCUAGCAUUUGCACUAACAGUCUAGGCAUAGUGAGCCAUGCUUCUCAUUUGAGGAUUUUAAAAAAGAAAAAAAAUCAGUGUAAGAAACUUUUUACCAGUCAAGUCUCAGACACCAGCCAAAAGAAAAACUUGUAAUAACUCUUUUCUCUUCAUUCCUUCUUUCUUUUCCUUUUUCUCCCUCUCCCUCCCUCCCUCCCUCCCUUCUUUUUUGGAGGGGAGAGUAACAGCUUUAUUGAGAUAAAAUACACAUACCAUUACAAUUCACCCAAUCAGAGUGAACAGUACAAUGGUUUUUAGCAUAUUCAGAGUAGUGCAACUGAAGUGGGAAAAGUUCCCUUGUCCUGCUCCCAGGGCAUGCAAUGGGGGUGUGGCUCUUUUCUUUGGUGCCCAGCUGUUCAAAACCCUUAGAGGGUGCAGGCAGAUGGGCAGGUUGCGGGGAGCAUGAGCUCUGACACCACGGCAGUGUCUAGGGGUGAGGGUUUACAGCUGCUGAAGCCCCAGUGAGCGUGUGUUACAGGUUGCUCUUUUAGUUUUGCCGCCUGUAGGUGGCUUGUGUUAAUCAGCUCUAUUAGACUCCCUGCCUUACCACAAGGGCAGGGUGCUUUCUGUAUCCCGGGAUUUCUUGCCUUGGUGUACCAGAAGAAUUGGAUCACACGUGGGCUUGGAGAAUGAGUGCAAGGUUUUAUUGAGUGUAAGUAGCUCGUAGCAGGAGACAGAAGGGAGAUGGAGUGGGAGGUGGUUUUUUCCCUGGAGUGGGGCUGCUCAGCGGCCGGGCUCUCCUUUGAGCACUCUGGCCAAACUCCACAUUGUUCCGGCAUCUGCUGGUGCCUGUUGGUGUGCUCUGACAUCAGUGCAUUCCUCUCGACAUCCAGGCACUUGUGUGUGUGCUCGCUAGGGUCUCGGGGUUUUUAUAGGCACCGGAUGGGGGCAUGGCGGACCAGGGUGAUCUUGCGAAAUGCAACAUUUGGGCACAAAAACAGAAAUGCCUGUCCUCACCGAGGUCCGUGGACACAGGCUUGAGGGUAGAGCCCUCGUCAGGGACCCAUCCUUCUCCACCCAGCACUUCCCUGCCCCGCUCCCGUAUCACAACCAUCACCAAAAUCAAUUUUAGAACAUUUUCAUAGCCCCCAAAAGAAAACCUGUCCUCCUUAAGUAGUCACUCCUUACUGCCCCCUCCAUCCAAUCCCUGGCACCAGUAAUCCAAUUUCUGUCUCUAUAGAUUUGCUUAUUCCAGACAUUUCUUAUAAAUGUAAUCAUAAAAUAUUUGGCCUUUUAUCUUUGGCUUCUUUCACAUAGCAUAAUGUUUUAAAGGUUCAUCCACGUUAUAGCACAAAUCCGUAGUUCAUUUCUUUUUAUGGCUGAAUAAUAUUUUAUUGUAUGGAUAUACCAUAUUUGGUUAUCCACUCAUUAGUUGAUGAACAUUUGGGUUCUUUCCAGUUUUUGUGUAUUAUGAAUACUGCUACUAUGAGCAUUCUGGUAAACAUAUUUGCUUGAACAUCUGUUUUUAUUUCUUUUGGAUAUAUAUCGAAAAGUAAAAUAGCUUAAGAGAAUAUGUUAAAACAUUAACAGAAUAUGUUAAUUCUGUGUUCAAGUUUUUCAAUAACCACCAAACUAUCUUCCAUAGCAGCUUCACUAGUAUAUAUAUUCCCGCCAGCAAUAUAUGAAGGUUCCAAUUUCCCAAUAUCCUUGUCAACACUUGCUAUUUUCCUUUUAUUUUUUUCUAAAUCAUGACUGUCCUACUGGAUGUGUUACCUCAUUGUGGUUUUGAUUUACAUUUUACUAAUGACUAAUGGUGUUGAACAUCUUUUCAUGUGCUUAUUGGCAAUUUGUAUAUUUUCUUCAGAUAAAUAUCUAUUCUGAUUUCUUGCCAUUUUUAAAGUUGGCUUAUUUGUCUUUACAAUAUUGAGACAUGAGUUUCUCUUAUAUUCUACAUACAAGUCCCUUAUCAGAUAUGUAAUUUACAAAUAUUUGCUUCCAUUUUGGGGUGGACUUUUCACAUUCUUGAUAGUAUCCUUUGAAGCACAAAAGUUUUUGAUGAAGUUCAAUUUGUCUUUUUUUUUGUCAUUUGAAGUUUUGUUGUCAUAUCUAGAUGUCACUUGUGCUUUGCCUAACUCGAGGUCACAAAAAUUUAUGCCAAUGUUUUCUUUUAAAAGUUUUUUUAAAAAUUAUUUUUAGCUACUACGUUUAGAUCAGUGAUCCAUUUUGAGUAAAUUUUAGUGUGUGGUGUGGUAAAGAGUAAGUUUAAUUUCAUUCUUUCACAUAUGAAUAUCCAAUUGUCCCAGCACCAAUUGUUGAAAAGACUAUUCUUUUCCCAUUGAAUUUUCUUGGCACCUUUGUCAAGCAUCAGUUGUGCAUAAAUGCACAAUUAUUUCUGUAUGCUCAAUUUUAUUCCAUUGAAUUAUAUGUCUAAACUGAUGCCAGCACUACAUUUUCUUUAUUACUGUAGUUUUGUGGCAAAUUUUGAAAUUCAGAAGCAAGAAUUCUUCAACUUUAUUCUUUCUUUCCAAUAUUAGCUUGGCUUUUCUUGAUCCUUUAAAUAUCCAUAUGAAUCUUAGGAUCAGUUUAUCCAUUUAUGCAAAAAUCCAGCUAUGAUUUUAUGGGGAUUCUGUUGAAUCUGUGGACUGAUUGGGAAGUAUUGCCAUCUGAACAAUAUUAAGUAUUCUAAUCAAUGAACAUGCAAUGUGUUUCUAUUUAAAAAUUUUUUGCCAAUAUUUUGCAGUUUUUCAUGGAGUACGCAUGGACACAAAGAAGGAAACAACAGACACUGGGGCCUACUUGAAGCUGGAGGGUAGGAGGAGGGCGAGGAUUGAAAAAUUGCCUAUUAGGUACUAUGAUUACUAUCCAAGUGAUGAAAAAAAAUCUAUACAGCAAACCCCGUGACAUGCAAUUUACCUAUAUAACAAACCUGUGGGUGUGCCCCUGAACCGAAAAGUUAAAAAACAGUUUUGUAGUUUUAGAGAAUAAGUUUUGUACUUUUUUGAUAAAUUUAUUCUUAAAUAUUUCAUAUUUUUGAUGCUGUUGUUUUCUUCUCUUAACAUCAAAUUACUCAUUGCAAGUAUAUGAAAAGUUCAAUUGAUUUUUUCGCCCAGGUAUGGUGGCUCACGCUUGUAAUCCUAGCAUUUUGGCAGGCCCAGGCAGGUGUAUCACCUGAGGUCAGGAGUUUGAGACCAGCCUGGGCAACAUGAUGAAACCUCAUCUCUACAAAAAAUAUAAAAAUUAGGUGACUGACAAGAUGGCGGAAAAGGAACAGCUCUUGUCUGCAGCUCCCGGUGAAAUCAACACAGAAGGUGGCCGAUUUCUGCAUUUCCAACUGAGGUACCCGACUCAUCUCACUGGGACUGGUUAGAUAGUGAGUGCUGCCCUCGGAGGGCAAGCCGAAGCAGGGUGGGGCGUUGCCUCACCCAGGAAGUGCAAGGGAUUGGGGAACUCCCUCCCCUAGCCAAGAAAAGCCAUGAGGGACCGUUUUGUGAGGAACAGUGCAUUCCAGCCCAGAUGGUAUGCCCUUCCCAUGGUCUUCGCAACCCUCAGACCAGGAGAUUCCCUCGGGUGCCUACACCACCAGGGCCCUGGGUUUCAAACACAAAACUGGACAGCCAUUUGGGAAGACACCAAGCAAGGUGCAGGAGUUUUUUUUCAUACCCCAGUGGCACUUGGAACACCAGUGAGACAGAACUGUUCACUCCCCUGGAAAGGGGGCUGAAGCCAGGGAGCCAAGUAGUCUAGCUCAUUGGAUCCCACCCCCACAGAACCCAGCAAGCUAAGAUCCACUGGCUUGAAAUUCUCACUGCCAGCACAGCCAUCUGAAGCCAACCUGGGACGCUUGAGCUUGGUGGGGAGAGCGUCAUCUGCCAUUACUGAGGCUUGAGUAGGCAGCUUUCCCCUCAUAGUGUAAACAAAGCCCUUGGGAAGUUCCAACUGGGUGGAGCCCACUGCAGCUCCUCAAAGCCACUGUAGCCAGACUGCCUCUCUAGAUUCCUCCUCCCUGGGCAGGGCAUCUCUGAAAGAAAGGCAGCAGCACCAGUCAGGGGCUUAUAGAUAAAACUCCCAUCUCUCUGGGACAGAGCACCUGGGGGAAGGGGCGGCUGUGGGCACAGCUUCAGCAGACUUAAGUGUUCCUGCCUGCCAGCUCUGAAGAGAGCAGUGGAUCUCCCAGCAUAGCAUUUGAGCUCUGCUAAGGGACAGACUACCUUCUCAAGUGGGUCCCUGAGCCCCGUGCCUCCUGACUGGGAGACACCUCCCAGCAGGCAUCAACAGACACCUCAUACAGGAGAGCUCUGGCUGGCAUCUGGCAGGUGUCCCCCUGGGACGAAGCUUCCAGAGGAAGGAAAAGGCAGCAAUCUUUGUUGUUCUGCAGACUCUGCCAGUGAUACCCAGGCAAAUAGGGUCUGGAGUGGACCUCCAGCAAACUCCAGUAGACAUGCAACAGAGGGGCCUGACGGUUAGAAGGAAAACUAACAGACAGAAAAGAAUAGCAUCAAAAUCAAGAAAAAAGAUGUCCAUUCAAAAACCCCAUCUGAAGGUCACCAACAUCAAAGACCAAAGGUAGAUAAGGCUGAAAAUUCCAAAAACCAGAGUGCCUCUUUCCUCCAAAGGAUCACAACUCCUUGCCAGAAAGGGAACAAAACUGGACGGAGAAUGAGUUUGAUGAAUUGACAGAAGUAGGCUUCAGAAGGUGAGUAAUAACAAACUCCUCUGAGCUAAAGGAGCAUGUUUUAACCCAAUGCAAGGAAGCAAAGAAUCUUGAAAAAGGGUUAGAGGAAUUGCUAACAAGAAUGAUCAGUUUAGAGAAGGACAUAAGUGACCAGAUGGAGCUGAAAAACAUAGCACGAGAACUUCGUGAAGCAUACACAAGUAUCAAUAGCCAAAUAGAUCAAGCGGAAGAAAGGAUAUCAGAGGCUGAAAAUCAACUUAAUGAAAUAAAGUGUGAAGACAAGAUUAGAGAAAAAAGAAUGAAAAGGAAUGAAUAAAGCCUCCAAGAAAUAUGGGACUAUGUGAAAAGACCAAAUCUACGUUUGAUUGGUGUACCUGAAAGUGAUGGGGAGAAUAGAACCAAGUUGGAAAGCAGUCUUCAGUUUAUUAUCCAAGAGAACUUCCCCAACAUAGCAAGACAGGCCAACAUUCAAAUUCAGGAAAUACAGAGAACACCACAAAGAUACUCCUCAGAAAGAGCAACCCUAAGACACAUAAUCGUCAGAUUCACCAAGGUUGAAAUGAAGGAAAAAUGUUAAGGGCAGCUAGAGAGAAAGUUUGGGUUAUGCACAAAGGGAAGCCCAUCAGACUAACAGCAGAUCUCUCUGCAGAAACGCUACAAGGCAGAAGAGAGUGGGCGCCAAUAUUCAACAUUCUUAAAGAAAAUAAUUUUCAACCCAGAAUUUCAUAUCCAGCCAAACUAAGCUCAUAAGUGAAGGAGAAAUAAAAAUCCUUUACAGACAAGCAAAUGCUGAGAGAUUUUGUCACUAUCAGGCCUGCCUUACAUGAGCUCCUGAAGGAAACACUAAAUAUGGAAAGGAAAAACUGGUACCAGCCACUGCAAAAACAUACCAAAUUGUAAAGACCAUUGACACUAUGAAGAAACUCCAUCGAUGCUAUGAAAAACUGCAUCAACUAAUGGGCAAAAUAACCAGCUAGCAUCACAAAGACAGGAUCAAAUUCACACAUAACAAUAUUAACCUUAAAUGUAAAUGGACUAAAUGCCCCAACUAAAAGACACAGACUGGCAAAUUGGAUAAAGUCAAGACCCAUAGGUGUGCUGUAUUCAGGAGACCCAUCUCACGUGCAAAGACACACAUAGGCUCAAAAUAAAGGAAUGGAGGAAGAUUUACCAAGUAAAUGGAAAGCAAAAAAAAAAAAAAAAAAAAAAAAAAAAAAAAAAAAGCAGGGGUUGCAAUUCUAGUCUCUCAUAAAACAGACUUUAAACCAACAAAGAUCAAUAGAGACAAGGGCAUUACAUAAUGGUAAAGGGACCAAUGCAACAAAAAGAGCUAACUAUCCUAAAUAUAUAUGCCCCCAAUACAGGAGUACCCAGAUUCAUAAAGCAAGUUCUUAGAGACCUACAAAGAGACUUACACUCCCACACAAUAAUAGUGGGAGACUUUAACACCCCACUGACAAUAUUAGACAGAUCAACAAGACAGAAAAUUAACAAGGAUAUUCACUAUUUGAACUCAGCUCUGGAUCAAGCAGACCUACUAGACAUCUACAGAACUCUCCACCCCAAAUCAACAGAGUAUGCAUUCUUCUUAGCACCACAUCACACUUAUUCUAAAAUCAACCACAUAAUUGGAAGUAAAACAUUCCUAAGCAAAUGCAAAAGAAUGGAAAUCAUAACAAACAGUCUCUGAGACCAAAGUGCAAUCAAACUAGAACUCAGGAUUAGGAAACUCACUCAAAACUGCACAACUACAUGGAAACUGAACAACCUGUUCCUGAAUGACUACUUGGUAAAUAAGGAAAUUAAGGCAGAAAUAAACAAGUUCUUUGAAACCAAUGAGAACAAAGACACAACUUACCAGAAUCUCUGAGACAAAGCUAAAGCUGUGUUUAGAGGGAAAUUUAUAGCACUAAAAGCACACAGGAGAAAGUGGAAAAGAUCUAAAAUCAACACCCUAACAUCACAAUUAAAAGAACGAGAGAAGCAAGAGCAAACAAAUUCAAAAGCUAGCAGAAGACAAUAAAUAAUCAAGAUCAGAGCAGAACUGAAGGAGAUGAAAAAACUGAUGAAUCUAGGAUCUGGUUUUUUGAAAAGAUCAACAAAAUAGAUAGAAUGUUAGCUAGACUAAUAAAGAAGAAAAGAGAGAAGAAUCAGAUAAACACUAUAAAAAAUGAUAAAGGGGAUAUCACCACUGAUCCCCAUGGAAAUACAAACUCCCAUCAGAGAAUACUAUAAACACCUCUACUCAAAUAAACUAGAAAAUCUAGAAGAAGUGGCCGGGCGCGGUGGCUCCCACCUAUAAUCCCAGCACUUUGGCAGGCCGAGGCAGGUGGAUCAUGAGGUCAGGAGAUCGAGACCAACCUGGCUAACACAGUGAAACCCUGUCUCCACUAAAAAUCCAAAAAUUCUCCAGGCGUGGUGGUGGGCGCCUGUAGUCCUAGCUACUCGGGAGGCUGAGGCAGGAGAAUGGCAUGAGCCCGGGAGGCGGAGCUUGCGGUGAGCGGAGAUUGUGCCACUGCACUCCAGUCUGGGUGACAGAGCGAGACUCUGUCUCAAAAUAAAUAAAUAAAUAAAUAAAAGGAAAAUCUAGAAGAAAUGGAUGAAUUCUUGACCCCACAUACACCCUCCCAAGACUAAACCAGGAAGAAGUCGAAUACCUGAAUAGACCAAUAACAAGUUCUGAAAUUGAGGCAGUAAUUAAUAGCCUACCAACCAAAAAAAGUCCAGGACGAGAUGGAUUCACAGCCGAGUUCUACCAGAGGUACAAGAGGAGCUGGUACCAUUCCUUCUGAAACUAUUCCAAAUAAUAGAAAAAGAGGGACUCCUCCCUAACUCAUUUAAUGAGGCCAGCAUCAUCCUGACACCAAAACCUAGCAGAGACACAACAAAAAAUAAAAUUUCAGGCCAAUAUCCCUGAUGAACAUCGAUGUGGAAAUCCUCAAUAAAAUACUGGCAAACCGAAUCCAGUGGCACAUCAGAAAGCAUAUCCACCAUGAUCAAGUCGGCUUCAUCCCUGGGAUGCAAGACUGGCUCAACAUAUGCAAAUCAGUAAACGUAAUCCAUCACAUAAACAGAACCAAUGUCAAAAACCACAUGAUUAUCUCAAUAGAUGCAGCAAAGGCCUUCAAUAAAAUUCAACACCGCUUCAUGCUAAAAACUCUCAAUAAACUAGGUAUUGAUGGAAUGUAUCUCAAAAUAAUAAGAGCUAUUUAUGACAAACCCACAGACAAUAUCAUACUGAAUGGGCCAAAGCUGGAAGCAUUCCCUUUGUAAACCUGCACAAGACAAGGAUGCCCUUUCUCACCACUCCUAUUCAACAUAAUAUUGGAAUUUCUUGCCAGGGCAAUCAGGCAAGAGAAAGAAAUAAAGGGUAUUCAAGUAGGAAGAGAGGAAGUCAAAUUGUCUCUGUUUGCAGAUGACAUGACUGUAUAUUUAGAAAACCCCAUUGUCUCAGCCCAAAAUCUCCUUAAGCUGAUAAGCAACUUUGGCAAAGUCUCAGGGUACAAAAUCAAUAAGCAAACGUCACAGGCAUUUCUAUACACCAAUAAUAGUCAAACAGAGAGCUAAAUCAUGAGUGAACUCCCAUUCACAAUUGCUAGAAAAAGAAUAAAAUACCUAGGAAUACAACUUACAAGGGAUGUGAAGGACCUCUUCAAGAAGAACUACAAACCACUGCUGAAGGAAAUAAGAGAGGACACAAACAAAUGGAAAACCAUUUCAUGCUCCUGGAUAGGAAGAAUCAAUAUUGUGAAAAUGGCCAAUCUACUCAAAGUCAUUUAUAGAUUCUAUGCUAUUCCCAUCAAGCUACCAUUGACUUUCUUCACAGAAUUAGAGAAAACUACUUUAUAUGUCAUAUGGAACCAAAAAAGAGCCCGUAUAGCCAAGACAAUCCAAGCAAAAAGAACAAAGCUGGAAGCAUCAUGCUACCUGACUUCACACUAUACUACAAGGUUAUAGUAACCAAAACAGCAUGGUACUGGUACCAAAAAUAGAUAUGUAGACCAAUGGAACAGAACAGAGGUCUCAGGAAGAAUGCCACACAUCUACAACCAUUUGAUCUUUGGCAAACCCGACAGAAACAAGCAAUGGAGAAAGGAUUCCCUAUUUAAUCAUUGGUGUUGGGCAAACUGGCUAGCCAUAUGUAGAAAACUGAAACUGGACCCCUUCCUUACACCUUAUACAAAAAUUAACUUGAGAUAGAUUAAAGUCUUAAACAUAAGACCUAAAACCAUAAAAACCCUAGAAGAAAACCUAGGCAUUACCAUUCAGGACAUAGGCAUGGGCAAGGACUUCAUGUCUAAAACACCAAAAGCAAUGGCAACAAAAGACAAAAUUGACAAAUGGGAUCUAAUUAAACUAAAAAGUUUCUGCACAGCAAAAGAAACUAUCAUCAGAAUGAACAGGCAACCUAUAGAAUAGGAGAACAUUUUUGCCAUCUAUCCAUCUGACAAAGGGCUAAUAUCCAGAAUCUACAAAGAAUUUAAACAAAUGUACAAGAAAAAAAACAAACAACCCCAUCAAAAAGUGUGUGAAGGAUAUGAACAGACAUUUCUCAGAAGACAUUUAUGUUGCCAACAAACGUAUGAAAAAAAGCUCAUCAUCACUGGUCAUUAGAGAAAUGCAAAUCAAAACAACCAUGAGAUACCAUCUCAUGCCAGUUAGAAUGGCGAUCAUUAAAAAGUCAGGAAGGAACAGAUGCUGGAGAGGAUGUGGAGAAAUAGGAACACUUCUACAGUGUUGGUGGGAGUGUAAGUUAGUUCAACUAUUGUGGAAGACAGUGUGGCAAUUUUUCAGGGAUCUAGAAACAGAAAUACCAUUUGACCCAGUAAUCCCUAUUACUGAGUAUAUACCUAAAGGAUUAUAAAUCAUUCUGCUAUAAAGACACACGCACACACAUGUUUAUUGAAGCACUAUUCACAACAGCAAAGACUUGGAACCAACUCAAAUGUCUAUCAAUUAUAGACUAGAUAAAGAAAAUGUGGCACACAUACACCAUGGAAUACUAUGCAGCCAUAAAAACGGAUGAGUUUAUGUUCUUUGCAGGGACAUGGAUGAAGCUGGAAACCAUCAUUCUCAGCAAACUAACACAGGAACCGAAAACCAAACACCGCAUAUUCUCACUCAUAAGUGGGAGUUGAGCAAUGAGAACACAUGGACACAGGGAGGGAAACAUCACACACCGGGGCCUGUCAGGGGGUUGGGGGCUAGGGGAGGGAUAGCAUUAGGAGAAAUAUGGGUUGGUGGAUGCAGCAAGCCACCAUGGCAUGUGUAUACCUAUGUAACAAACCUGCACGUUCUGCACAUGUAUCCCUGAACUUAAAGUAUAAUAAAAAUAAAAAAAUAAUAAUAAGCCAAAAAAAAUAUAAAAAUUAGUUGGGUGUGGUGCCAGGCACCUGUAAUCCCAGCUACUCAGGAGGCUGAGGCAGGAGAAUCACUUGAACCCAGGAGGCAGAGGUUGCAGUGAGCAGAGCUUGUGUCAUUGUACACCAGCCUGGGCAACAGAGAGACUCUGUCUCAGUAAUAAUAAUACCUUUGAUUUUUGUAUGUUGGCUUUUACCUUCUGACCUCGCUGAACUUAUUUAUUUAUUCAUGAGAGAUAAAGUCUCUGUCAGCUAGGCUGGAGUACAGUGGCAUGAUCAUAGCUCACUGUCACCUUGAAUUCCUGGUCUCAAGGGAUUCUACCACCUCAGCCUCCUGAGUAACAGGGACUACAGGUAUGAACCACUAUACCCAGCUAAUUUUCUUUUAUUUUUUUGUAGAGACAGGGUGUCCCUAUGUUGCCCAGGCUGGUCUUGAACUCCUGGGCUCAAGCGAUCCUCCUGCCUUGGCCUCCCAAGUUGCUGGGAUUAUAGCCAUGAGCCACUGUGCUUGGUCCUUUUUUAUUAGUGGAUUUUGUAGGAUUUUCUAUAUAAGAUGGCAUCAUUUGUAAAUAGAGAUAGUUUUACUUCUUUUCUAAUCUCAAUGCCUUUUAUUUUUCUUGCCUAAUUGCCAGGGCCUCAUAAACUGUAAAUCUUAUCUAGACAUACGUAAAUAUUUAUUAUUUCUUAUAAAGUUGAGUCACUCUACUGGGUAUUUAGAUGAGCAGUAGAGAUCAUGGCAAGUCCAAAUCAACUACCGGUGAUUUUCUUUGGCUUCUGGCCUGUCUUUAAGAAAAGAUUCAUUUUUAAAAUUUAUACAAUGGCUAUUUUCUUUAUCCCUUUAUAUCAGGAAAGUAACCUUGGCUCUUAUUCAUAUCUGUAAAAGCUUGACAGAAUUGGUAGCAUGAUUGAGUAUGGGCCAAAUGCGGGGAUGGAGAGUUCUUAGUAUAUACAAUCCAUUCCUCCUCUAUUUCCUACAGGUCAUCACAGACCUAUGAAGAGUAAGGAUCCAUCUGCCAUAGAUAAGGUGAAUGAGAGAUUCCAGAGGUUCUGGGAUGGGGCUAGGAAAUGCUCACAUAAGGAAACAUUUAAUACAUAUUUAUUAUAGCCAUAUAAAUGUACAGAAAACUAUGAAAUAUGGGCUUUGCCCUCUUAUUUUCCUAUUUCCCAAAAAACAUCUAUAUUUUUUAAAUAGGAUCUUGAAAACACAAGCAGAAUUCCUGCAGAAUAAGCACAUAUUUAAUAUUUAAAAAUGAAUUAUACAAAACAGAGGCUUUUAAUGUUAUGCCAACCUUCCCUGCUCAUUUAUGCACUAUAACUCCAAAAUGUGAUUACAAGGCUAAUUGGAAUUAAAUUGAAGUCAAAUACACCUUUUGCUUGAUUGAUCUUAACCAGAUUAGAGAAAGACAGCCAGCUUUGUCCAUUAAAUUUGACGUAAUCUCAGGUAGCAAGAAGUUUUGUGGGUCUCAUUCAGUCAGCAAUUCUUUUUAUUUUAACUUCAUGGCCUAUAACAGGAAUAUAUGCUGAACUUUGGGUUACGUAAGUGAAACAUAUUGGAUAAUACAUUACAUGACCUGAAGGUAAUGUGAUUCAAAAUGAAAUUGCAAGUGAAAGGUGAGAAUUAAAAUGAAGUAUGAAAACUUGAUUCACUGAAGUGAACACUGUUUUUCACAGUAAGUGGCAAACUUAAGGAUUGGAACGUAAAUAAAAAUUGAAGGCAAUGCCUGGGGCUGUAAGCUAUAUUAAAUGUUGCCUAACAACACUGGGAAUCUCAGCCUCUACGUGUAUUAGAUCUUAAGAAACAGAUAUAAAAUAUUACCAAAAUUGAGCCAGGAGCUGUGGCUUGCACCUGUAAUCCCACCUAUUCCGGAGGCUGAGGCAGGAGGAUCACUUGAGCCUGGGCAACAUAGUAAGACCCCAUCUCUAAAAAAAGUUUUAAAAUUAGUCAGGCAUGGUGGCACAGGCCUGUAGUCCUAACUACUUGAGAGGGUGAGGAGGCUGAGGUAGGAGGAUCACUGGAGCCUAGAACUUUGAGGCUGCAGUGAGCCAUGAUCAUGCCACUGCACUCUAGUUUAGGUGACAGAGAGAGAUGCUGUCUCUAAAAAUAUAUAUAUAUAAAAUUAUAUAUUAUAUAUUAUAAUUAUAACAAUUAUAAUUAAUAUAUCACAUAAUCAUAUAAUUAUGUUAUUUAUAAUCAUAUUAUUUAUAAUAUAAUUAAUAUUAUAUAUAUCUCAAAAUGUUGUAAGGCUAUAGUGAUAUUUGUUGUCUUUUUACAUUACUACUAGAGAAAACACCUGUAGAGGGUCCUGAUAGUUAAAGGGUAAUCUCUAUCCAUCAGUAGCUACAAAUAGUUGAAAAUAUUGUAAAAAAGCCACCGUUGAACACUUCAAAAUGGGGUUUUACAGAAAAGUUUCAGUAGGAAAAUUUUGCCAUUAGACAAAGACCUUUACAACAAUGCUGCUAUUUUGUAGAGGGGAAGGGGAGAUAACUGGAUUCCAAAUAAGACUACUUCCACUCAGAAAAACACAAAGACUGUUGCCUACUAACAACUAAAUAGUGUACCUUGUUUGCCUUUGAGGAAAUAUGCCAUAAGCACAUGGAAUGAAAGUAUCAACCACAUGACUGCUUUUUUUUUUUUUAAAUACUAGCAUUUAUUGAGCACUUUAUGUAGACAGACUGCAAUUUAUCCUGCAUAAAAUAUUCUUUAUUUCCUAAUUUACUCCUUCUAACAAUCCUGUGAGGUAGGUACUGUUAAUGGGUCCCAUUUUUCAGACUUGAGAGUUUAGGGUGAUUAAGUAACUUGCCUAAUAUCGUGUAGCUAGUAAAUGGUGCAUAUAGACAAUGGUCUGUGACAACAGAGAUUGGGCUGUUUAUUUGGGUGGAGGGGAACAGGUUCUUGCUCUGUCGCCCAGGCUGGAAGGCUGGAGUGCAGUGGCACAACCUUGGGUCACUGCAACCUCCGCCUUCUGGGCUCAAGCGAUUCUCAUGCCUCAGCCUCCUGAGUAGCUGGGAUUACAGGUGCGCACCACCACACCUGGCUAAUUUUUGUGUUUUUAGUAGAGAUGGGAUUUCACCAUGUUGGCCAGGUUGGUCUCGAACUCCUGACAUCAAGUGAUCCGCCCACCUCAGCCUUCCAAAGUCCUGGGAUUACAGGUGUGAGCCACCGCACCCGGACUGAGAUAAAGCUCUUAACAAUAUUAUAUUCCAGUAUUUGUUUCUGGUAUUAUGUGUUUUAUUCUAGUGAGACAUAAUACUGACCAUGGAGGGAUUCAGAAAAUUAAAAUGAAAAUCAUCUUUGGAUCACGCUUUGUAGAAAUUGCUUUUUAUGAUCAACGGCUACAUAUAAAAAUGUUUUUACCCCCUUCUUAGAAGUACCAGUCUUUUCCAAUGUUUAUAUAGGCAUAUCUAUAUUUCUUUAAACAAUUUUAUUGAAAUAUAAUUAACAUCAAUUAACUUCAUAUAUUUAAAAGACACAAUUUGAUUAGUUUUAAGAUAUGUAUACACCUGUGAAAUCAUCACCACAAUCAAGAUAACAUUUUAAACAACUCCUAAAAUUUCCGCUUGCUUUUAAAAAAAUCUAUCCCUUCCUGCAUUAUCGCCUCCCUUUACCAGUGUCCUCAGGAAACCACUGAGCUUCUUUCUUUCAGUGUAGAUUAGUUAGCAUUUCCUGAAAGUUUAUAUAAAAGAGAUCACAAUUACACACUUUUUUAAAGUAGGGGGUGAGGGCCUGGCUUCUUAGAAAAACAUUAUAAUUUGAGAUUUAUCCAAGUUGUUUCUUGUGUCAGUAGUUCAUUCCAUUUGAUUGCCAAGGUGUAUUUGGUCAUAUGAACAUACCACCAUCCAUGAUCUAUUGAUGAAUAUUUAGAUUGUUUCCAGUUUGAGGCUAUUUACAAAUAAAAACAACUAUGGACAUUUGGAUGCAAGUCUUUGUGUGUAUAUCUUAGAUAAAUGUUUUCGAGGAAAUAGUUGGUGUAUAAUUAACUAUUUAGGAAACUCCAAGACUCUUUUUAAAAGCGGUUGUACUAUUUUAUAUUAACACCACUAAUGUAAGAGAUUUCAGUUGCUCCUCAUCCUUACCAACAGUUUGUACAGUGUUUUCAAUUUAGCCAUUCUAGUGGGUGGGUUUUUGUUUGUUUGUUUGUUUAUUUUGGGAUAAUUUUGUAGUUUUAACUUAAAUUUAUCUGGUAACUAAUGAUGUUGAACUUUUUUUUUUUUUUUUUUUUUUUUUGAGACAGCUCACUCUGUCAGUCAGGCUGGAGUGCAGUGGUGAGAUCUCAGCUCACUGCAACCUCCAUCUCCCAGGUUGAAGCAAUUCUCCUGCCUCAGCCUGUUGAGUAGCUGGGAUUACAGGCACCCACCAUCACAUUCGGCUAAUUUUUGUAUUUUUUAGUAGAGAUGGGGUUUCACCAUGUUGGUCAGGCUGGUCUCAAACUCCUGACCUCGUUAUCUCCCUGCCUCGGCCUUCCUAAGUGCUGGGAUUACAGGCGUGAGCCACCGCUCCCAGCUUUGAUGUUGGACAUUUUUAACCUGCUUAUUAGAUGUUAGAUGUUCAUAGAUCUUCUUUUGUGAAGUGUCUGUUCAUACCUUUUAUCUAUUUUUAUUGGGUUAUUUUUCUUUGCUAAUGAGUUAUAAGACUUCUUUAAAUAUUCUGGAUUGAGUUGUAAGAGUUCUUUAAAUAUUCUGGAUAUAAGUUCUUUUUUUGUUAUAUGUGUCACAAAAUUUUUCUUCCACUCUGUGGUUUGCUUUUUGCUUUUCUUUAUAUAUAUAUAUGUAUUUAUUAUACUUUCAGUUCUAGGGUACAUGUGCACAACAUGCAGGUUUGUUACAUAUGUAUACAUGUGCCAUGUUGGUGUGCUGCACCCAUUAACUUGUCAUUUAGCAUUAGGUAUAUCUCCUAAUGCUAUCCCUCCCCACUCCCCCCACCACACAACAGGCCCCGGUGUGUGAUGUUCCCCUUCCUGUGUCCAAGUGUUCUCAUUGUUCAAUUCCCAACUAUGCGUGGGAACAUGUGGUGUUUGGUUUUUUCUCCUUGCAAUAGUUUGCUGAGAAUGAUGGUUUCCAGCUUCAUCCAUGUCCCUACAAAGGACACGAACUCAUCAUUUUUUAUGGCUGCAUAGUACUCCAUGGUGUAUAUGUGCCACAUUUUCUUAAUCCAGUCUAUCAUUGUUGGACAUUUGGGUUGGUUCCAAGUCUUUGGUAUUGUGAAUAGUGCCGCAAUAAACAUACGUGUGCACAUGUCUUUAUAGCAGCAUUAUUUUUAAUCCUUUGGGUAUAUACCCAGUAAUGGGAUGGCUGGGUCAAAUGGUAUUUCUAGUUCUAGAUCCCUGAGGAAUCGCCACAGUGUCUUUUUGCAAUCUACUCAUCUGACAAAGGGCUAAUAUCCAGAAUCUACAAAUAACUCAAACAAAUUUACAAGAAAAAAACAAACAACCCCAUCAAAAAGUGGGCGAAGGACAUGAACAGACACUUCUCAAAAGAAGACAUUUAUGCAGCCAAAAGACACAUGAAAAAAUGCUCAUCAUCACUGGCCAUCAGAGAAAUGCAAAUCAAAACCACAAUGAGAUACCAUCUCACACCAGUUAGAAUGGCGAUCAUUAAAAAGUCAGGAAACAACAGGUGCUGGAGAGGAUGUGGAGAAAUAGGAACACUUUUACACUGUUGGUGGGACUGUAAACUAGUUCAACCAUUGUGGAAGACGGGGCUUUUUGCUUUUCUUAAGGGUUUCUCUUGUGUAGCAAUAUUUUUAAAAUAUGUGUUUUAUCUUUUUCUUCGUGGUUUGUGUUUUUUGUGUUCUGGCACAGGAACCUUUGCCUACAACAAGGUCACAGAGAUUUUCUCCUAUGUUUUUCUCUAGACAUUUUGUAGUUUUAGGUGUUACAUGAUUCAUUUAGAUUUUAUUGUUGCAUGUGGUGUAAGGUAAAUGGCCAUGUUUAUUUAUUCUACAUGAUGUCCAGUUGAAUCAGAACCACUUGUGAAGAACUUCUCUUUCAUCACUUAAUGUCUUUGGCACCUUUAUGAAAAUUGAUAGUAUGUGUGGGUGUGGGUGGGAUUUGUUUCUGUACUUCCAUCCUGUACCGUUUACCUAUAUGUGUAUCAUUUCAACAAUGCUAAUCUGAAUUAAUAUAGGUUUACAAUAAGUCUUAUAAUAAGGUAGUGUAAGUUCUCCAACUUCUGUUUUUCAAAAAUUUUUUAUUUUUCUAGUGUAGAGGAAGAAUAAUCCCCAUAGGUUCCUAGAUGGAACAUGCCAUUGUAACAAAAAACAAAUUAACAAGAGAAAAACAGAUGUUUAUUAGCAGGUAUAUUUUGUAUAUACAUGGCAACACCAGGGAAUGCGGUUGUUCUCAAAGAAGUAGCUUUGAAUUUCAGCACAUAUAUCAUCUUCAACAAAAAAACAGUAAGUUUUUAGAGAAGUGACAAGACAAAGGAAAAGGAGUGUGAUUCUCUAGGGGUAAUAACUUGCGGGAAACCAAAUAAAUGGCAGAUAAAGGCUAGUUAGUAAAGCUUGUUAAUGUAGAUUCCUCUGUUACUGUUACAGGACCAACAAGUUUAUAUGCCCACUGCAGAGUAACAGACCAAUUACAUCAAAACAGCAGGGUUUGCAGCAGAGGAAGUUUGACGAUUGUAGGGCAUCAAGCAAGGCCAUCAAAUUCAUCUCUCCAAGGAGUUCUGGGCUGAGAUUUUUGAAGGGAUCAUGGAGGGCAAGGGGCUGGAAAAUCGGGGCUAUUGAAUGGUUGGGUUAAAGAGGAUAUGGAAACUGCAUUCUUUUGUGAGUCAGCCUCUCCUGGGGUCCCUCAGACCAGCUGACAUCAGUAGUGUCACUGGUAUGCAGAACCUAAAAAAUUAUUUGAAAGCAGAAACAAUGCCUCAUAAUGUUCAAGUUAUUAUCUAGGGUAUUUAAGAGGAACUAUAAUCUUAUAACAGGGUCUCAGUGAUUCUGAGGCAAUAGACAGCAAAGGACUAGGAGGAAGCAGGCUGGGGAGCAAGCUGACCUCAGGACUAAUGUUAAAUGUGCUGCAAGCUUGGUUAAUUUUUUUUCUCCCCCUCCCUUCUCUGAUUCAUUCUAUACAGUUUAUAGGGACAGUCUCAGUACUAUCUCUAGAUGAUAAGGGUCUAAAGUUUGUUUUUGGUGGUUAACCUUUGUUCUCCCUGUUUAGGGGGUGGCCAUUUGUCUUUGUAAAUCUAUGUCCUGCUUUUAGGCAAACAGAGGGAGGAAAGGGAGCUUUCUUUUCUUUUUUUUUUUGACAGAGUCUUGCUCUGUCGCCCAGGCUGGAGUGCAGUGGCGCGAUCUCGGCUCACUGCAAACUCCGCCUCCUGGGUUCACACCGUUCUCCUGCCUCAGCCUCUCCCAGUAGCUGGGACUACAGGCGCCCUCCACCACGCCCGGCUAAUUUUUUUGUAUUUUUAGUAGAGACGGGGUUUCACCGUGAUCUCGAUCUCCUGACCUCGUGAUGCGCCUGCCUCGGCCUCCCAAAGUGCUGGGAUAGCAAGAGUGAGCCACUGCACCGGGCCAUGAGCUUUCCUGCAUCUGUUUCUUCUUGAUUGUCUUCAGCUCAACAAUCCUUCAUAUUUUGGGGUGAUAUAUUCUCUUCUGUCACCCCAGGUACUUUGCAUUUCCAUAUAAAUUUUAGAAUCAGCUUGACAAUUUAUAGUUUUUUUUUCUUUUAAGCCUUCUGGAAGUUUGAUUGUGAUUGCAUUUAAUGUAUAGAUUAAUCAAGGAAAAAUUCCCAUCUUAAAAUAAUAUCUUUUUAUUCGUGGACAUAUUAUAUUUCUUCAUUUACUUAAGCCUUUUAAAAUUUCUUUAGCAAUAUUUUGUAGUUUGUAGGGUAGAAAUCUUGGACAUCAUUUGUUAGGUUAAUUUCUAAAUAUUUUAUAUUUUGUUACCAUAAAUAGAUAUUUUACUGCUAGCAUAUACGAAUACAGUGGACUUUAAAAUAUUAAAAUACAUAUAUCUAAUUUGGAAGAUACUGCUAAAUUCACUUAUUAAUUUUAUUAUGAUAUGAUACCUUUCCCAUUUUAAGAACAGAAGUAAAAAAUAAGAAUAAAAAAGUCCUUGCAGCUACUUGUUUCCUCCUCUUCAUCAAAGUUUUCUUAAAAAUUGAAGUGUUGUUUCCACAUCUUCUCAUAUUCAUCUCUCAAUAAAUUCUAAUCUAUUUUACCUUCCUAACAUCUGCUGAGAUUCCCAUAUCUCUUCAUUGCAAUUUCUAACACCAUGCCCAGCAGAAUACUACUAUUUUCCCAUUAUACAAUGACAUUUUUUUACUUACUGUCUUGUUUGACCUCUUGCCAUUUUUAACACUGUUGAUAGCAUUUAAUACACCUUUGUUUCCGAUUUAAAUAAUUUCUACGUCUCUAGCAACUUGUUUUCAAUCUUCUCAGUAUAAGCUUUUUCCUUUGUUCAGUCUUUUAUAUUAGGAAUCUUGUGUUAGCCCUGCUUCCCACUUCACACACUCUUCUUGGAUUCUUUUAUAUAAUUCUCUGACUUCAAUUAUUAUUCAUAUGUUGAUGACUUUGACAUCUGUAACUCCAGGCCAGAUCUCUUUACUAAAAUCUAGAUAAAAACCGAGCAUCCUUUCUUAGUCUGGCAACUUGCCUCUUAAAGGACAGAGACUAACACAGAAAAAGAAACCUGGGUUUCAUCCUUGAUAACCAGCAUCUAGUCAUUGCCAAAUCAUUUCAUUUUAUCUCCUUAAUGACUCAUAAACUGUGAACUUUUUUCAAUUUCCAUUGAAACGAACUUAACUUAGGCCAAUAUCAUCUUUCAUUGGAACCUAAUCCUGAUCAUUUACCUGGCUUCCAUUCUUACUCCAAGCUCACUUACACGGCUCACUGCAAGCUCCACCUCCCGAGUUCACGCCAUUCUCCUGCCUCAGCCUCCCGAGUAGCUGGGACUACAGGCGUCCGCCAUCACGCCCUGCUAAUUUUUUGCAUUUUUAGUAGAGACGGGGUUUCGUCAUGUUGGCCAGGAUGGUCUCCAUCUCUUGACCUGGUGAUCCACCCACCUAGGCCUCCCAAAGUGCUGGGAUUACAGGCGUGAGCCACCGCGCCCGGCCUCAAGGUCUCUCUUAUCUUCUUUUGUUUCUGCCCGCAAGUGCAGGGAGGGGAUCUCUCUGAAAUUGUCUUCUCUUCCCUUAUUCAAAAGGAAUGCAAUUGUCUUGAACUCCCUCCCUAGGAAUCUCAAACAACCAGGGGUAUUAAUUACCAAAGAGGAGAUUAAAAGUCAUCACCACAUCCAGACAGGCUAUUGCCUAUUCUUCUGGAGGCUUCUCUGAAACAACUCUUGUUACCUGAGAGAUUUUAUCUGCAAAAUAAGACAACCUUUAUUCACCAUGCAAUUUCUCUCCUUUCCCUUCCAUUAUUUGUGAUCACUUUCCCACAAAGCUUCAAGACUUUAUUCUUUUAUGUUAUAAAAACUUCACUCAUCUGCCCCUUCUUUAAGACUCGUAUCUUUUUAUUAGGUUCAUUUCUGCAUGCACAUAAUUAAAAUGGUUUUUAUCCUGUUAAUCUGUUUAUUGUCAGUUUAUUUUAGCAGACUCAAUGAUCAAAUCUUUAGAGGGAAAGUUUAAACUUUCCUACAAUAUCAAAAUGAUUACCUUCUAAAACAUGUAAAUUUUCUCAUAUUAAACCAAUGUGUGUAAAUUCACUUCUAAUGUUUCUAAUUUGAAUUAUUAAGUUAGUCAAACAGAUAAGAAUGUUGUUCAAACUGAAGAUGCAUCAAUAAAAAUUAUCCAAUCUGAAGAACAGAGGGAAAAUAAAAACUGAAAAAUAAUGAACAGAGCCCCAGUGGCCUAUGAGCUACUAUUAGGUACUUUCAGAAAUCAAGUUUUUUCUAAAAAGUGUGAACUACUAACACAUACCAGAUCAUGAAUAAAUUUCAAAAAGAAUUAUUUUGAGGGGAAAAACCGGAUACGAAAGAGUGCAUUUUACCUAUUCUAGAAAUUAGCUAGAAUAUAGCUCUAUGAUUAUAUUUAUGUGAAGUUCUAGAGUAGGUAAAAUGCACCUAUCAUGGAAAAAAUAAGAAAUAUACAUGGAUUAAUUUUAUAUUGACAAAAGUUAAGCCAAGAAAGGCAUAGUCAUUUAAAAAUACUGAAUCAUACUCAAUAGCAACAAAAAUAAUCUAUAUUCACACACGUAACAAACAUAAAAUUGAAUGAAGGAGGCCAGGCACAAAAUCUAAUACUGAAUGAUUCAAUUUAUAUAAAUUUCACAAGUAAGCAAACAUAAACCAUGAUGCUUAACUGUAUAUAACUUUAUAAUCAAAGUAUAAAGAAAGGCAAGAUCAUGACUUCUAUAAAAGUCAACUUUGUGGCUAUCUUUGGAGCUGGACAUAGAAGGGUUUGUGACUGAGAAGAUGUUCAGAGUUCUGGCAAUAUUUUAUUUUUGAUUUGAGUGCUGGUUACUAGUGUUCACUUUAUAAUAAUUAAGGAGAAAAACAGUGGUUCAGUUAAGUGCAUUUGCUAAAUGUAAGCCGCAUCAAAACAUGGACUGUUUCUUCAGUGCUUUAUCUCUAGCAUCUAGCACAUAGUGAGUGUCCAAUAAAUAUUUUGAGAGAAUGAAUGAAUGAACUAAGCACACAUUCUGUGUUCAGCCUCCAGCUAGUAGGCAUUGCUAUGGGGUAUGCUGAAACUACAGAUGAUCUUAUUUUAAUGGGAGAAAUAGGAAUAUCUGCAACAUGCAGAGAACAACUAGUUAAUUCACAAAUUAACUUUUGAUUUAUUUUUCAUUUUCCAAGGCCAUGAUCUAGUUGUCAUACUUUAUUCAUCACCAUCAUAAUAUCAUAUUUAGCAAAUUCCUAUUCUCUAAGUAAGUGAUAGCAGGUUUGGCACUCAACUUUUGCAAACGGGUUCCUUUUAAAGUGUGCAUUUUUCUUAUGAAAGAAAUUACAUCUCAUUUGUGAAAAUGCACGUAAAAAUCAUUAUCAAUGGCUCCUAAUAAAGCUAGUAAAGGCAUAAUCUGCUAGCUAAAUAAUCAAGUUAUUUAUUUGAAGUAUAAAUAGAUUCUAAUUCAUUAUUUAACUAGUUAUUAUCUUCUGCUUACCUGAAUAUCCAGAUGUUUGCUUUUGUAUGAGAAAAUAUAUCAAAAGACAAACAGGUUAUUGCCAAUAGAAUAGUACCUAUAAAUUACAUUACAUUUGCUAUUUCAUUUUCUUCUUUUUUAAAAUGUUGCUAAAGCCUUCUCUAUUAUGGAGUUUUGAAAGUAAAUAAACUCAAUACCAUCAAGCUCAACAAUGCUAAAUGUCAGUGCAGGAAAUAGAGUAUAGAUAAUUAUCAUUUCAGUUCAUAAACAUAAAAUGUUCACCUAAUAACAUUUUAAUGUCUUUUUAAAAUAGCUUUUGCACAUAUGGGUUUGUUUUCCAAAAGAAGGAAUUUGUUACAAGGAGCUGCUUACAUUUAUUGUAAAUUGUGAAAUUGAAAAUUUCAAGAGAGUAGAAGCAGUUAUUCAAAAAAAGUAAAUACAUUUUAGUACAUACUGCCUCCCACAAGAAUAAGGACUAAAAAGAAAGCAAACAUUAAAAACAGCAAAUGCAUUAGUAGUGCUUGGUUCUAGAACUCAGAGCAAUAUUGUUUGUAUUGGAUUCCAUAGACAGUAAAAAAAAAAAAAUCUCCUUCAGAAGUGAAUAUGAUAUAAUUAGAUAUGAAAACAUAUUUUACCAAAAAAAUCACCAUCAAUUACCCUUAUUUUAUGAGGUAAAUGAGGUGCUGGGAAAAACCUUUAUUUAUUAUUUCUCUAACCCUUAUAUUUACUUUGCACUUUUGCUCUAAUCUUAAAGUAGGGUUCUUUCUAUAUCCUGUUCAUGGGAGAUAAAAUGGCUAAAGGAAAAAUGAGUUGCUGAGAUUGGAUAUGAGAGUAGGUAAGUACAAGGUCAGCAUUAGAAAAAACAGAAGAGCCAGGCACAGUGGCUCAUUCCUGUAAUCCCAGCAGUUUGGGAGGCCAAAGUGAGUGAAUUGUUUGAAGCCAGGAAAGACCAGCCUGGGCAACAAAGUGAGACCCCCGUCUCUACAAACCAAAACAAAGUUACCUGGGUGUGGUGGGGUGUGCCUGCAGUCCCAGCUACUUGGGAGACUGAAGCAGGAAUACUGUUGAUCACCCAGGAAUUCAAGGCUGCAGUGAGCUAUGAUCAUGCACGCCACUGCAACGAGACCCUCAUCUCUUAAAAAAAAAGAAGAAACAGAAGACACAGGUACAGCCCUUGUCCAAGUUAGAGCUAGUGAACAAUCUAAUACUCAUGAUAUUUCUAGUAUGUGCUUAAGUGUUGAAUGAACAAAGAAAUAGUUGUGGUAGAAAUCUGAAAGUUUGGGUAUCUAGUGGGUUGUUUACAUGUUUGAGGCCAGCAGAGAGAUCGCAGCUGAAACUGUGAAGCCUGAUUACAAUCCCCUUUGCAUAAUGAUAUUAAACGAACUGACAUUCUAUUAAUCUGCAAGAAUAAACACUGUAUUUUUCUUUCUUUCUGACUUCCUUGUCAAGGAAAAUCAUAUUUUUCUUAUAUCAGGUUUAUCAAGGCAAAAUUUACAUGGAAUAAGAUUCUAACUUUUUCGGUGUACAGUUCUGUGAACUGUGAAAAAUGGGUAAGGUUAAAUGACCAUCACUACAAUCAAGAUAUAGGAUAUUUCUAUCACUUCAAAAGAUUUUCUUUUGCGUGUUUGUAGUCAGUUCCAUCCACUAUCCCAAGCUCUUAGCAAACACUGAUCUGUUCUCUAUCCCUAUGGUUUUGCUUUCUUCAGAUCAUUGUAAAAACGAAUUAUAACAUGUAGCCUUUUUAAUCUGGCUUGUUGCACUUAGUGUAAUGCUUUUGAGAUUGAUCCAUGGUUUUCUUAUUACAGUAGGUUCUUCCUUUUUAUUACUGAAUAGCAUUCCAUUUUUUAAACAUGCCACAUGUUGCUCAGCCAGUCACCAAUUAGUGUAUAUUUGGGGUUAUUUCUACUUUGGUGAUUAUGAAUUAAGGUGCUAUAUAUAUUCAUGUAUAGGUUUUUUCCUGAGGACAUGUCUUCAUAUCUAUUUAUGAAGCGUAUAUUUAACUUUAUCAGAAACUAUUAAACUGUUUUCUAAAGCAGCUGUAUUAUUUUGCUCUACAUACUCACCAAGACGUCCCUUAUUCUGAUAGGUGUGAGUUUGUGGGUUUUAAUUUGCAUUUCCUUAAUCACUAAUGAUGUUUAUCAUCUUUUCAUGUGCUUAAUUACCAUUUGUAAAUCUGCAGUGGUGAAAUGUCAAGAAAAAUAUUCUUUAAGCUGAAAAGGGCAAGAUGUAUUUGGUGGAUCUUGGAAUUCUCCCUGUUCUCUGAGAACUACUCUCCCCCCAAGGAUGGCUCCUGGCCGCCAUGUUUAUAUUCUGAGACCUCACCACUUUCUUACCACAGAUAACUGGACCUGAUUCAGGAGAAAUCAAUCCAAUGACUGGGCUGGAUAAAUCAGAAGUCUGAAGCAGCUGCAUCAUUUAGCUAUAGAUAUUAAUUUGGAAUGGUACUGAACACAUUAUUUUUGGUCUGUUAUUAGGGUCCAUGUAUAAAUGGAGCCAGUCUGAAAAGAGAGAGAGAGAAAAUAAAAACAGAUGAGAGAUGGUUUCUGGUAGCUUUCCAGUUUGGGAAAGUCAUAACGUAUAGGUUCACUUUCUAUUCUUAAUUCUCUGUGAGAUAAUCCUAUAUCCUUUCCAUAAAUUUUCCCUUUUGAUUAAACUCACUUAAAUUAGUUUGGUUGUGUUUUUGUUCCUUGUUACCAAAUGAUCCCUGACUAAAAUAACAAAAAAAGAUGAUUUUGAAUGACAGAAAAGCAAAAUAGAGAACCAUUAAAAUUAACAGAGAUUUCAGCUUUUAUGUGUGCUGGGUUGUUUAAUUAGACAAAAAUGAGUCAAAGUAUUGAAGCCUGCCAGGCCAGUAGCUUCUUUCUGAGCCUUUCCCUGUGAAAUUAUAUUGCCAUAAUUUGUAACUCAUGGGCUUGCUACACUAAACCACAGCAGGUUUGACCUGAUACUGACAUCUGAAACAAAGGCAGCAAUCUAAAAAUUGGACAGCAAUCUGUGAGGGAGGCUGGAUCAUAAUAUGAACUAAUAAAGAUUCUCUAAAAUAUUUGAUUUGCUGAACCAAUAAGAUUCUCCAUUGUUUGUAACGAGUCUAAAUGUGGGAGUAGAGGGAAAGCAGGAGCCUCAGGAGCAGUGGAAGCAGAGGCAGAGAAGAGCUGAGUCACUAUUACAUUGAAGCACUAUUAUAGAGAACAGUAGACAUUCACUUGUGAGAUGUUCACUGGACUUCAGUCACUAAUGCCACUGCAGCAACUAGACAGUUUCUUUUCUCCCUUACUUGCUCACGCGCCUUUAUAAAAUACCACCAGUUAUUAAGGUAACCUACAUCUGUCUCUAUUAUUUUAGUUUGGCCAUCUCUUUGCAUCCAUAAAGAGCUGUAAGGGCCAAGGGAAUGCAUCCCCUUCACCCUCUGAAGGUUUGCUGAAAAAUCGACUCACAAAAGAUUCAUAGGAGAAAUGGCAUACAAAAUUACUACCAUACAUGUGGAAGAGAACCAGAGUUUUUUACCCUAACCCCUCAAUGGGGUGCAGAAGCUUAUAUACUUACCAUCUUGAGGUUACGGAAAGAAUAGAGGCCCAGAGCAUGGCCCAAAACAGGUUAUAGCGUCAAGACAGGUUAUGAGAAGGAAAGAAGAGGAGGCCAGGCUAGCAAAGGUGGUCUUGUUAUGUAGAUGAAACCUCACAGGUGGCAGCCCUCAGAGAGAAUAGGAGGUAAGUGUUUCUUUCAAGCCUUUAAAAGUAUCAGACUCUCAUCUUUCCUAGAUCUGGACAAGGGAAGGCCUCAGAGAAACCGUGGCUGCCUCAAUGCAGAUUCUAUACAGAUACAAAUCUCCUCAACAAAAGACAGCUUUGCAGCUUUGCAGGGGUAUUUUUUUUUGGUGCUCUCUGAACAGCCAUCUCAAAAUAUGUCAAAGAAGUAUAUUUUGGGGUAAAAUAUUUUGAUUUCCCUCAAGCUUAACUAACACUUUGUGAGAUCAAGAAAAUUAAAUGCUAUAGAGAUAAAUAUAAAGUCCUGCCCUUAGGUUUAAAUAAUGAAAUGUACAUAUUCUUUUACCAGUAUAUGUGGAAAAAAUUGAAUAUUAGAAUUACUCUAAGCUCAUUUAAAGUAGCAGUGGGAAGUGGCAUGCAAAAGAAAAAAAAGCUGGCCGGGCACGGUAGCUCACGCCUGUAAUCUCAGCAUUUUGGGAGGCUGAGGUAGGCAGAUUACUUGAGGUCAGGAGUUCGAGACCAGCCUGGCCAACAUGGUGAAACCCCAUCUCUACUAAAAAUGCAAAAAUUAACCAGGCGUGGUGGAGGGCGCCUGUAAUCCCAGCUACUUGGGAGGCUGAGGCAGGAGAAUCACUUGAACCUGGGAGGCAGAGGUUGCAGUGAGCCGAGAUUGCACCAUUGCACUCCAGCCUGGGCGACAGAGCAAGACUCUCAAAAAAAAAGAAAGAAAAAAGAAAGAAAAAGCUAUUAAACCCAUGGAGGUGAUGAGCCUCCUUUAACUGGUCAGAAUGGGUCAGAAACAUUGUUUGUAGUUCUGAGUUAUAUAUUUUUAACAAAACUCUUGGCUUAAUAGAGCUGUAUUUAUUGAAGGAUAAACAGAACCAAGACUGAUAAAGAAAUCAUAUCACUCGAGAAAGAACUGUAGAACUAAGAGAGAUUAGCCUGAGAAAGAGAAAUUUAGGAGAGUAUAUGGACUGGUGUGUUUAUAUAUAUGAGUGCUGUAAAUGCAAAUGAGGGAUAAAAUAUUUCGCAUACAUCCAGAGAAAAGAAGUCAGCUAUAGAUCCAAAUUAUGUAUAGAUUUCACAUCAGUAGAAUGAAUACUUAAUAACAAGAACUGCUCAAAAAUGGGACUGUGAUAACUUGUGACGUAAGAACAAGCCCAAGUCACAAAUCCCAAGAGGGGCUGCAUUUUUCUCUCCUCCUAGAUGCUUAUCUCCUUGAGGGCAAUAACUUGGCCUUUACUGUGUUUUUAAAAGUAUCCAAAUUCUGAAUGUAAUUCUUGCAAAACUAUUCAUUGUUUUAAAAUGACCUUUCGUUUGUAUGCCCUCUCUUUACUCUGUCAAACAAAUAUAUGAAAUGCCAGUGAACAGCAAAUAGUGAUAUCUGUUCUUUUCAAAAAAUGGAUGACUUCUAUCCUACAUUCCUUGAGGAUUUCUUAUCAUUCUGGCUUCUUCUCCAAAGAAAUUCACCGAGAGCCUGUUUCCCAAUCAAUGGAAUGUUGUUUUCAUAAUAUAUCAUCAGACAUUCCUCUGGCAGGAGCAGGAGGUCGGGAACUGCCCUUUUCAAAAACUUUAAUGGAAAAUAAUACAAUGAUCAAACUUACGUUAGACAGGCUCAGAUGCAAAGCUAGCUCCCUGCCUAUGAGUGAAAAAUAUAUUUCUCUUUAAUACCUCUAUACAUAGAGGUGAAUGAGAGGGUAGGAAACCAAAUCCUGAAAUAAACACAGGACUGGGAAUCAAGAGACUCUGAAUUUAAUCUCAGCAAAGAUUUUAAACUAAAGUUGUAAUCUCAGGCAAAUCAACUCUUUGUGCCUGUUUCUUCAUUUCUUACCUAAUGGCCCUCUGACGCCUGAUCUCACACACUGGUAGAUUCCUCGCUGCCAUGAGCCGUUAAAUAUAAAAAGAGAAGGUUUCCCCGUAAAAAGAGAGAAACCCUGGUGCCACUACUAGGCACCCACCCACUCUUUUUUUUUUUAAAUCCGUAUUCUGUUUCUCUGUUCACUAUAAGACACCAUGCUGUAUUGUAUUCCACUGUACACCAACUGGGCAAAUAAUUAAACUCAAUUAAAAGCUAAGGAACACUGGCAACCAAACUAUUUAAUCAUGGAGGUCUAAAUCCUUGCUCUAACCAUGUGCUCUUCAGCAAUAAAAUAUACUCAUCAAUAAGAAUAAUCAUUAUUAAAUCCUUUGGCUCACUUUCCUGGAGUCCUAGGGAUUCUCAUUGGCUCAUUAUAAGACCUUCUUAAUUUCAUUCAGAUCUUGGGUCCUGGAUCAAUCACCUAUUAGCUGUGUAAGCUUUGAUAAGUUGUUUUGUUUCUCUGGCACUCAGUUUUCUUCUCUGUAAGAAUAGGGGAUGAGCCUCCUUUAACUGAUCAGAAUGGGUCAGAAACAUUGUUGGUAGUUCUGAGCUAUAUAUUUUAACAAAACUCUUGGCUUAAUAGAGCUGUAUUUAUUGAAGGAUAAACAGAACCGAGUAUGAUAAAGAAAUCAUAUCACUUGAGAAAGAACUGUGGACUGCGAGAGAUUAACCUGAGAAAGAGAAGUUUAGGAGGGUAUAUGGACGGGUGUCUUCAUACACAUGAGUGCUUGUAUAUAAAGACUGGCGUCUUUAUAUAUAUGAGUGCUUAUAUGUAUAUAAGACUUUCACAGGUAUGGAAAGUACCUAGCACAGGCCAGGGUACUUGAUAGGCCCUUCUCAAGUGCUACUUCCAUUUCUCUGUCUUAUUUUCAGGCCCUUAGAUCUUCUAUUUCUCUUGAUUCCUCUAGGGCCUUGUCUUCCAUCUCAAGUUCCUCUUAAAUACAUUUUAAGCCUUACCAUGAGCCUCCUCUAGACCACUUUCACCUGCAGUCCUAGACUAUCCAGGACUUUAAUACAUAAUCACAUUUUUAAAAGCAGUCCUGUGGAUUUCUAUUUCCCUCUUAAAAUCCUUGGGAGUAUUUUAACAUUUGAAACAAACAUUCCAGAACUCCUCUACAAAGAUCGAACAUCAGUUUCUUGGGGAAGAGGAGUAUGUUCUCCCAAGGGAUAAUGCUACCUAUCCUUCCUACCUUACAAAGCAGCCGUGAUGAUUUUAUUUUUAUAAAAAAGUUAAUAAAGGUGACACUGUGAAUAGCUUCCAAUGGUAGAGAAGUUUUAUUAUUGAAAUUGCAGAAUCUGCUCUUCAAUCAGCUGGGAAUCUUGAUUUUUCUGACAAUCAGUAUGAAACCUCACAGCAAUUAAAGUUAUCUUUCUAGCUUGCUACAUCAAUGUCCCUUCCAUUGUGCCUCUGAAUUUGUUGGUAUUCACUGUCAGCAGCUAGUGAUGACUGAAGAAGUCAUUGUAGCAUGAAACCCUUCCUCAGCUUUACAGGAACUUAAUGGCAUGUUCCUCAUUACACAGAGAGAAUUCUGAUUUUGAUAAGAUAAACCAAGAGUGAAAAUAUAUUUAACCAAGAAGAAAACAGUAGUUAUUUCUUUGUCCUUUUUGUUUUCCUGCAUAUGUUGUGACAGGACUACAGCAAGGGGACAGUGAAUUUUUGGUUCCUAUUCUGAUGGAGUAUUCAAAUAUAAAUAAUUCCCAUGUCAAUGAUAAACAUCUUUAUUGCUAAAGAGAUCUGUCAUGGAAAGUGCCAGGGGAUCUCUUCGCACACUUUAAAUAUUAGGGCUGUAUGUGGAGACGCUCUUACUCACUUAGUGACAGCAGGGUAUGCAGUUUGAGCUCUAUUUUCUUUUUUUAUUUAUUUAUGUAUUUAUUUUGAGACAGGGUCUGGCUGUGUUGCCCAGGCUGGAGUACAGUGGUAUGACCUCAGCUCACUGCAACCUCUGCCUUCCAGUUUCAAGCGAUUCUCGUGCCUCAGCCACCCAAAUAGCUGGGAUUACAGGUGUGAGCCACCUUGCCGGCCUGAGCUCUAUGUUUACCUGUAGCAUUGGGUAGUUUUUUAGACAUACACCUUCCCUAUUCCCAGUUUCCUUACUGUCAGAGCCCAGAAUUUUGGGUGAAGGCAAUGGCAGAGAACAAAGUGACAACAACUGAAAUGGAAAGUGACUUUGAUUCUAUCAAUUCAUUCAUUCUUUCCCUCACUCAUAAAACCUACAUUAAGCACUUACAAUAUGCCAUGCAUUUGUAGGGGCAAAAGGCGUUUUCCCUCCCUGCUGAGGUUUGACGUUUGAGUCUGAGAAAUAAGCUGACAGUAGAUGGACAGGAGAAAAGGCAUACAAAUUCAUUAACAUGUAUAUGGACAUGAGAGUUCUGCAAAUAUGAGACUCAAGGAAGAGCCAGAUGAGUGAGGUUUUUAUACUACAUAGAAAGGAAUACAGGCUUGAAGUAUAGCGACAGGUUAUGGGAGGGAGAAGGGAGGAAAGGCAUGGUGAGCAAAAGCUGUCAUAUUAUCCAAAUGAAACUUCACAGGAAACAGCCCUUAGAAAGAAUAGAUGGUAGCCUGUAGUAAAAGUUUCUCUGUCAGAACUUUAAAAGUGUCAGACUUUUAAUGUCAUUUUCCUGUGAGUAAAUGUUUCCUAGAUCUGGAAAAGGCAAAUGUAUUAGGCUGUUCUUGCUUUGCUGUAAAGAAAUACCUGAGACUGGGUAAUUUAUAAAGAAAAGAGGUUUGAUUGGCUUAUGGUUCCUCAGGCUGUACAGGAAGCAUGGUGCUGACAUCUGCUCAGCUUCUGGGGAGUCCGCAGUGAGGUUUUACUCAUGGCUGAAGGCAAAGAGGGAGCUUGCAUAUCACAUGGUGGGAGCAGGAGCAAGAGAGAGUGGGUAGGGGAGGUGCCAUACACUUUAAACAACCAGAUCUCUCAAGAAUUCACUACCACGAGGACAGCACCAAGUCAUGAGGGAUCUGCCCCCAUGACCCCAACACCUCCCACCAGGCCCCACCUCCAACAUUAGGUAUUACAUUUCAACAUGAGAUUUGGGGUGGGGGACAAGUAUCCAAUCAACAUGAGAUUUUGGGUGGGGGACAAGUAUCCAAUCUAUAUCAGCAAAUAAGGGAAUCUCAGAGAAAGCCUGUUUGCAUCCACUUUGAUAAUGUAGAAAUGGUUCUGCAGAUGCAAAUUUCCUCCACAAAGGAUAGCUCUUCAAAACUAUUUCCUGUCUGCAGCCCCUCUAAACAGCCAUCUUGAAAUAUGCCAAAGAAGUAUAUUUUGGGGUGGCAUACUCUGGUUUCCUUCACAUUGUACUAGGUGUUAAGACACAAAGAUAACCUGAUACCCCAAGAGAUCACUUCUUAAGGAGGAUAUAGACAUGUAAUCAGUUAACGACACAGUCUAUUUAGUCUAUACACCACUAGCAAUAUAUCUAAAGAUAUAGAAAGUACAAUGAAUGUUCAGAAGGAGCACACUUCACUUGGCCUGAGAGAGUCUGGUGGGGCUUGAAAGACUUUAGAGAAUUGUCAGGGGAAUAGUUGGGACGGGGUAGGGCUGUAGAUCAUUUUAGCAGAGAUAAAACAAAAUGUGUAGGACCAGGGAGGCUCAAGGGAAGGUGUGUUCAUAAAACUGCAUCUAGUUUGCUAUUCCCAUAGCAUUAUAUAGUUUAUGUUCUCACUGGAUAAGCCAAAUUACAAAUAUGUAUAUACUGUCAGCCAUGCAGAGUGACUGUGGCAUGGUUGUUAGUUUUAUAAAAUUAGGUUCAUUCCACAUUAAAUCCAGCUGCGGAUAAAGAGGAAUUUUAAUGAAUUGCAGAACUAAGAGAACUGAGGCCACCGAAGCUUACUUUCCAGAGGUGCACUGGCAUUGCCAUAUCUGUCAAAAUGCAUUCAGGUCGAUAAAACUGUUCAAGAUUUGUAUUAAAGAAUGGUCUGAAUUUCCCUAGUUUUAUGAAAAAUACAAAGAUGAGUUGCAUAUAAAUAACACUUAAGUUCUCUUUCAGUCCUGAGAAUCUAUGAAAUGGAAUUUCAUACAUUUAAACCAAAAUAAAAAAUCAUGGUCAAGCAAUAUAAAAAAUAUAUAUAUUCACGCCUGUAAUCCCAGCACGUUGGGAGGCCGAGACGGGUAGAUCAUGAGUACAAGAGAUUGAGACCAUCCUGGUUUAGUAGAAACCCCGUCUCUACUAAAAAUAUACAAAAAAAUUAGCUGGGCGUAGUGGCGGGCGCCUGUAGUCCCAGCUACUCGGGAGGCUGAGGCAGGAGAAGGGUGUGAACCCGGGAGGUGGAACUUUCAGUGAGCCAAGAUUGUGCCACUGCACUCCAGCCUGGGUGACUGAGCGAGACUCUGUCUCAAAAAAAAAAAAAAAUUAUAUUGCAAAACUUAAGUCAUAAUUGAAACUGAAACUGGUAUUUCCCUUUCUCCAGUGAAAUAAGACUAUGUUUUGGAAGUGAAGAUAAUGACUACUGUAUCACUGUUAAGCAAGUCAGGUAUUUUGAAAUGUUUUUCUUCUGGUGAGAUAUAUGCGACUGAUUUAUUAUCUCUACCAUUUGUUGCCAAUGACAAAUAGUUAUAGGAAAAUAUAAAUUAAGUUUAAUAUAUAGUAGGCUAGGCUAUUUAUUUGUUUGCUUUCUUUUUAUUCAACCUUCACAAUAGGCUUAGGAAAUUGGUGCUAUUAUUUGCUUGUUGCUAUUAGUGUUGUAUGUGGGUUUUAUUUUAGGAAAUGGAGGCAGAAAGAGGUUCGGUCACUUACCUAGUAAUUGAAGUGGUGGGGAAGUGGAGAGAUGGCUUCUGUAUUUGUCCGUUUUCACAUUGCUGAUAAAGACAUACCUGAGACUGGGCAAUUUACAAAAGAAAGAGGUUUAAUUGGACUUACAGUUCCACGUAGCUGGGAAAGCCUCAUAGUCAUGGUGGAAGGCAAGGAGGAGCAAGUCCCAUCUUACAUGGAUGGCAGCAGGCAAAGUGAGAAUGAAGAAGAUGCAAAAGCGGAAACCCCUGAUAAAACCAUCAGAUCUUGUGAGACUUAGUCACUACCACAAAAACAGUAUGGGGUAAACUGCCCUCUUGAUUCAAUUAUCUCCCACUGGGUCACUCCCACAACACGUGGGAAUUAUGGGAGUACAAUUCGAGUUGAGAUUUGUGUGGGGUCACCGAGCCAAACCAUAUCAUUCCAUCCUGGCCCCUGCCAAAUCUCAUGUCAUCACAUUUCAAAACCAAUCAUGCCUUCUAAACAGUUCCACAAAGUCUUAACUCAUUUCAGCAUUAACUCAAAACUCCACAGUCCAACGUGUCAUCUGAGACAAGGCAAGUCCAUUCUGUCUAUAAGCCUGUAAAAUCAAAAGCAAGCUAGUUAUUUCCUAGAUACAAUGGGGAUACAGACAUUGGGUAAAUACAAUCAUUCCAAAUGGGAGAAAUUGGCCAAAACAAAAGGGCUACAGGGCCCAUGCAAGUCCAAAAUCUGGUGGGGCGGUCAAAUCUUAAAGCUUCACAAUGAUCUCCUUUGACUCCAUGUCCCACAUCCAGGUCACGCUGAGGCUGUACUGUGUGGCUUUGCAGGGUACAGCCUCCUUCCUGGCUGCUUUCAUGGGCUGGCAUUGAGUGUCUUCAGCUUUUCCAGGUGCAUGGUGCAAUCUGUCAGUGGAUCUACCUUUCUGGGGUGUGGAAGACGGUGGCCCUCUUCUCACAGCUCCACUAGGCGGUGCCCCAGUAUGGACUCUGUGUGGGGGCUCCAACCUAACAUUUCUCUUCCACAUUGCCCUAGCAGAGGUUAUCCAUGAGGACCCCACCCCUGCAGCAAACUUUUGCCUGUGCAUCCAGGCAUUUCUAUACAUAUUAUGAAAUCUAGGUGGAGGUUCCCAAACCUCAAUUCUUGACUUCUGUGCACCCACAGACGCAACACCACGUGGCCGCUGCCAAGGCCUGUGGCUUCCACCCUUUGAAGCAACAGUCCAAGCAGUACCUUGGCCCCUUUUAAUCACAGCUGGAGUGGCUGGGACGCAGGGCACCAAGUCCCUAGACUGCACAGAACACAGGGACCCCGGGCCUGGCCCAGGAAACCAUUUUGUCCUAGGCCCCCAGGCCUGUGAUGGGAGGGGCUGCCAUGAAGACCUCUGACAUGCCCUGGACACAUUUUUCCCAUUGUCUUGGGGAUUAACAUUUGGCUCCUCAUUAGUUAUGCAAAUUUCUGCAGCCAGCUUGAAUUUCUCCUCAGAAAAUGGGAUCUUCCUUUCUAUCACAUUGUCAGGCUGCAAAUUUUCCGAAGUUUUAUGCUUUGCUUCCCUUAUUAAACUGAAUGCCUUUAACAGCACGCAAGUCACCUCUUGAAUGCUUUGCUGCUUAGAAAUUUCUUCCACCAGAUACCCUAAAUCAUUGCUCUUAAGUUCAAAGUUCCACAGAUCUCUGGGGCAGGGGUAAAAUGCUGCGAGUUUGUUUGCUGAAACGUAACAAGAGUCACCUUUGCUCCAGUUCCCAACAACUUCCUCAUCUCCAUCUGAAACCACCUCAGCCUGGACCUUAUUGUUCAUAUCACUAUCAGCAUUUUUCUCAAAGCCGUUCAACAAGUCUCUAGGCCUAGCGUCCCAAAUUUUCCCACAUUUUCCUGUCUUCUUCUGACCCCUCAAACUGUUCCAACCUCUGCCUGUUACCCAGUUCUAAAGUUGCUUCCACAUUUUUGGGUAUCUUUUCAGCAAUGCCUCACUCUACUGAUACCAAUUUAUUGUAUUAGUCCGUUUUCACACUUCUGAUAAAGACAUACCUGAGACUGGGCAAUUUCCAAAAAAAAAAAAAAAAGAGGUUUAAUUGGACUUACAGUUCCACAUGGCUGGCGAAGCCUCACAAUCAUGGUGGAAGGCAAGGAGGAGCAAGUGCUGUCUUACACGGAUGGCAGCAGGCAAAGAGAGAAUAAGGAAGAUGCAAAAGUGGAAACCCCUAAUAAAACCAUCAGAUCUCGUGAGACUUUUUCACUACCAUGAGAACAAUAUGGGGGAAACCGCCCUCAUGAUUCAUUUAUCUCCCACUGGGUACCUCUCACAACAUGUGGGAAUUAUGGGAGUAUAAUUCAAGAUGAGAUUUGGGUGGGGACACAGAGCCAAACCAUAUCAGCCUCCCUCCACUCUCAUAGGUUAUUUAGCUGGGCUCCAAAUUAAAUUGACAUAAGACAGAUUAAUAGGAGAAAAAACAUUUAAUUAUGUACAUAUGUACAGGGGUUUUGCAAAAAUAGGAGACCUAAUGAAGGGCCGGAUGAUUGAAGCUUAUAUAGCCCCCUAUGCAAUGGAAAGGAAUAGGGGAUUGGGGAUUGUGGUGGUAGGGGUGAAGAGAAGUUAUGGGAGGGUGAAGGGAGAAAAUGUAUGCUGGAUAAAGUUUGCCUUGUUAUGCAGUUAAAAAAUCUUUCAGGUUAAAAAAAAUUGCCAUGGGAGCAGCCCUCUUUCUGAUACAGAUACAUUUACAAAUGCAGAUUUCUUUAAUAAAUAUAAAUUUCUUUUACAAAAGAACAGUUUUUCAGAGCUACUCUUGUGUCUGCAGUUUCUCAAAAUAAACAGCUAGAAAUAUACAAAAUAUAUUUUGGGUGGCAUACUUUCGUCUCCUGUUUUUUUUUUUUUUUUUUGAGACAGGUCUCACUCUGUCACCCAAGCUGGAGUGCAGUGACACGAUUGCAGUUCACUACAGCCUUGACCUCCCAGGCUCAGGUGAUUCUUUCACCUUAGCCUCCAAGUAGCUGGGACUACAGGAGCAUGCCACCACAUCCGGCUAAUUUUUUGUAUUUUUAGUAGAGAUGGGGUUUCACCAUGUUGUUCAGGCUGGUCUUGAACUCCUGGGCUCAGCAGAUACACCCACCUUGGCCUCCCAAAAUGCUGGGAUUACAGGCAUAAGCCACCAUGCCAGACCCUACUGUCAUCUUUUUAGGUGGUGUGUCCUCAGCCCCAACACUGACAUAUCAUGCCAUUAAUCUCUAAUAAGACCAGAAGUUGGCCAGGAUCAGGGUGUAGACAAUAGCCUGGCGCUAUAGAAGCUAGCAUUUUCAGCUCUUCUUCCGUGCAUUUUUAUGUUAAUGCUCCCCUUGAAUCAAACUGGUUCAAAAGCUGCCUAGUGUAGUCUUUAUUCCCUUUAUUGACCUGAUCUGUUAUGCCUCUGAUCUAAAAUGAAUUUAUUUAAGUUACAAAUGUUCUUUAAAUGUGCCCAACCUCUUCCCAGAAGCAUUAGGUCAAUUCAAUAAUGCCUUUCACCUUUGAAAUUCUGGGAGCAUUUAUUGUCUGUACUGCUAAAUUGGCACUCAUUAUGUGAACAGAUAUUUAUCAGAUUAUUUGCACAGUUUUAAAACAUUUUUAUUGUUAUAUAUAUAAUUUGUGUUAUAUCUGUGUGCCUUAUAAGACACUCUGUUCUGUAUGUCUAGUCCAACGAUUUACAGGAGUAAACAUUCAGUAUGUUUGCUCAUGAUUAUGGCAAUCAAAGAAUAUUUAAUUGAGCCACAGGAACAUCCAACUUAUGGCCUUAACUUUUUUAGAACCAGGAACUAACUCAUCUGAGAACACAAUUUUUUUAUUCUAGUAUUUAUUUCUUUGUAUACAGAGUUCUAGAAAAUGAUAUGCCAUACACGAUUAAUGAGUAAAUUAUAAUUAAGCACAAGAAAACAGCUUGAGGUAUCAAAAAUGCAUCAAAUGAUUACCUUAAGAGAAUGUACUGGCUCUUUCCAAUUUCUCCGUGGUUUUUUUUUUUUUUUUAUCCUUUUUGACAACAUCACAAAGGGGCUGAGGAACAAAUGUGGCAGAUGCUGUGUGUCUGUAUUGUCUGUAUUCAGACUGUGUAUAGAUAGUAUAUGAACCAGACUGCAACAUUGCUCGCAUGCUCAUUUAGAUUGCUGACAUGAUAGAUGCUGAUGACCAUAGUAAAACCCGUUGGGAAAACUGCCAAGCUGAAAUAAUCAUCAGGAUUUGGGGCCUUUAGAGGUCAUGAAUGUUUACAUUUUUCAGUAGUUUUAGAGAAUUUUGCUGUACUUUUAAAGCUACCAUUCGAAUUGUUUCCAACUUGAGACUUCUCUAGAUUGCAAAACUUCAUGUAAAUACCCAUAGAAUCACAUUUGUAAAGGGUUAUAUGCAAAUAUGUAGGAGUUGCUUUUCCUGAAAGCUUUUAUCAUAAGUGACUGUUGAUCAUCAAUUAGUUAAAUCUAGGUCUAUAGGAAAAGUUUCUCAAAUAUAUGGUUUGACCAAAACUAUUUUAUUCUACUACUUCUCCUCUUGUUUUUUGUUAAAUUGUUCUUAAAGAAAAAUCCAGGUGGGAACUUGACUUGCUGAUAGCCAAUAGAUAUAUUAUUUUCUCCUCAAAACUAUGUUUACACAACAGGAGACAAAAUAAAAAGAAUGCCAAGUACAAGAUUGGUUUCUCCAAGUUCCAUGAUUCAAUAAAGUUCUUACCCUUAAGUAGAGACAACAGUAAUUCUUAUUAUAAAAUAGAAGAUUGCGACUUCUACUUCCACAGAUAGCCCAGUCAGCUACAGAGUGACAAGGUUGAUCAAACUUUAUGCUGGAUGUAAGUUUAGGCUGUUUUGAUCAGGACGUCUAGGCCCUGAACUUAUGAAUCUCCCAUACUGCUACUUGUUUGCUCCAUCUCUGGCCCAGACCUCCACCCCGUGUGCAAAUAUCUCCUGCCUCAAACUUCCUGUUAUUGAAAUAUUUGAUGUAGUUUAAGCUUCAAUACCCUCCUAGUCAUUUUGAACCUCACCUUGCUCCCCCUUCUCCUUUUCCCAGCUAUCUGUCCAGCAAUUUCUGCUUAUAUGCUUGGCUCAGCUUGGUCUUUGAGUGUUUCCCUACUGCAAAAGUCCCUCUGCCUCUAUUACAAUAGUCCCCCUUAAUGAAGUGUUUUCUUACUAACUUCAAGACUUCCAUGUUUUUACGGUAGGGGGUGGGGGGCGCAGAACUUAGACAGCAGACACUAUCAUAUUCUAGAAUUUCCCCACAAAUAAUUACAUGAGCGAGGCUUCAAUUUUCUCAUGUCUAAAGUGGGAAUAGUGAGUUCUUCCUUUUUCCACCAGAAAAACAUACCCGUGUUUCUCAAUUUAUGAUGGGAGUUUCAUCCCAAAAAGCCCAUUGUGAAUCAGGGAGCUUACUGAAUGCAUAUCACUUCUGUACCAUUGUAAAGUCUGUACCAUUGUAAAGUCAAAAAAUUAAAAGCUGGCCAUGUAAGUCAGGGACGGUCUGUAUUCAGGGUGACACACGAGAAGACAUAUUUUGCUAUGAGUUAUUUUGAGUAUGGUGCUGUGUGAGAUCAUUACAAGUUGUUAUUAUUAUUCCCAUUAAUAUUGUAGGGGACGAAAGGUGUGAUCCCUUUCUUCACCCACCAUAAGUGGGUGCCAUAAGUGGCACAGCUGACACGCCUAUAUUAAAAGGCAGAUUAACAAAGCAUACAAAUUUAUUUAAUUCAAGUUUUAUGUGACACGAGAGACUUCAGAAAUGAAAACCACAAAACCCAGGGAAAACUUUUUAUGCUAAAGUUUCUGAUUUGAUAAUUUAAUGAAGUACAGAUAGCCAUGUAGAAAUGUGACUGGACAAGGGGGUAUGCUCUAAGGGUAAUAGACUGAGGGGGAGGCAGAUUCAGCAAGACCUGUCUGUUCACAUUCUUCUUGGUUUCUCUGUGUAGCAUUUCUUCCUCCGAGAUAUGUGGCAGGACCUCUCUAGAAUGAAAGCCUUCAAGAAAAAAAGAAUAGAAUCACUUUUCUAGGUUUUCUGGCUUGCUUUCGGGGACAAGGUGUUGCAGUUUCCAUGCUCUGCCUUGGGAAGGAGGAAUUCUGGUUACUAUGACUUGCUUCAGGGGGGCAAAAAAAAAAAAAAGGAAGAAAUGGAAGGGCGAGAGAAGGUCAGAGAGAUAUUUUGUUUCUGAGGCUGUUUCUGAGGCCUUCCAAUCUCCUUUAGUUCAAAGCACUCAGCAUGCCAAAGCACGAUACUUUAAGGGAUUGUUUUCUGGACCCCAGCAAUAUCAAUGACGUCUUUUAAUCCAGUGGUUUUCCAAGUGUGGUCCUUGAAAGGCUUUGGUCCAGUAGUAGCAGUAUUACUUGAGAACUUGUUAGAAAUGCAAAUUCUUGCUUCCCACUUUAGACCCAUCAAAUCAGAAACUUUCAGUCUUAGGCCCAGCAAUUUGUGUUUUAAUAAUCCCUCCAGGUAGUUCCGAUGUAUGUUCAAGUUUGAGAACUUAAUAACUAUUUAAAAGAUAUUAGUUUGAAAAAAAAUGCUUUUUUUUUUUUUGCCAAGAACUGGGAAAAAAUUUGUAUGCAACAGCAGUUGUGGUUACCCACGCCUAAAAAUAAUGCCUAAAUGCCUUAAAGUCAUUUUAAAUAAUGUGAUUAUAGGCAUUCUUUCUGGUAGAUAAUAUGGAUGUUUGACUCAUUUCUUAUUCUUAUUUCUUUGAUUCUUGAAGAGAUAUGAAUGAACACAAGAGGCACAUUUUCUGAAGCAGAGCCCUAGAAUUCCUCUCACAUACUACUCUCAUCAUGAUAAAAAAGAAAUCACUACUGAUGGAUGACUCCUGUACUCUGUGAGACAUCAAGCCCUAUUAGUCACUCAUUUAUGCCAUUUAAAUGCUGGAUUUUGUUUUCAGUGCUGCAGGCCCAUUACCAAAGAGGGCCCAGCUGUUACUUUUUUGCUUUGGGGACAUUCUCUGCAAAUUCAAUGGGUUUUGCUUCAAUUCAGAAAAUGGAAAGCAUUAGGUUUGUAACAAUAAUCAUAUAUCUCUCCAGGGCUCUUGUAGUAUCAAGCCAGAGAGAAGAAUAGUAGUAAUUGGUUAGAUUCAUCAGAAGGGCAAAUUUAUUCUCAUGUCUUUUUGCAGUGGGCAAGGGUCCACUGAACAGUUGGACCAAUAGGCACAAUGUUAGAAUUAUAUGAAUACCCAACAUUUGGGUGGCACUGUUAAAAAUACAUUCAAUAACUAUCUUUUCCAUAUUUAUGUUCAUAAAAACUCAGAUUAGGUAAGACAAGUAACCCACUAGUUUGAGCAGAUGAUAUCUCAUUCUUUUGACUCAAUAUUUUUCUUUUAAAGUGGAAGCAGUGGGAAGACUUACACAAUUAACAAUGGAGAUUAAUUCUAUAGUUCUUUCUCCCCCUGGAGGAGAAAGAUACUUCUUUGGUACACUUAACUACUGUGAAUUGAUCUCUAAGCAUUCCGACUUAUAUUUUUAGCAAAUAAGAUUUUUCACUCCCCUUUAACUUCUCCAAGUCAAGAGGAUGGCAAGGCCCACUCCUGUCAUCAAGCUAAGUAACCUGGCAUCGGGUUAAAAUGGGAAAGAAUGUAGAGAAAAUACCCACAUAAUGGGAGUGGAUGGAGGAUACUUAUGGAGAGAAAAAUACAUAAUUCAAAAUACUGAAGGGGAAGAUAAGAACUCAAGGCUUCUGGCUCAUUUCAUGUUUUCUCUGUGCUAAGAUUGAUCAGUUUUGGAGUAUGAAACUGUUUUACUUCAAGGAAGUCAUACCUAAUAUUAAAAGGCAGUGGUCCCCUAUGUUUUAUGAGUUGUGGUAGGAAUUGCUUUUCCUGAAAACUUUGAGAUAACCAAGUUAUUAAGCAUGUAUGACCAGAGUUAGGGGUGGGAAACACCUACGGCUGAGAAUAAAAUUGCUUGCAUCAUGGGAUGUGAAUGCUGUUGCUAGCAUGUUCCUCUCAGAAGUUGGAAAUUGGAGGAAGGAUUGAAAGCAACAUAAAGAUAUAGGAAAAACUCUAUUACAUUAUUUUUCUUAAGUAGAUUUAUUAGCAGUUUCAACAAGAAGGCAGAGUCUGUGGUUAAAAGGCAGCAAACUUCUUUAAAGAAUUUAAACCUCUCUAAUGUUGGCCUCAGAACACAAUACCCAAAAUUAUGGUACUUUGACAUGCUGAAUACAUUGAACUGAAGGAGAUUGAAAGUUCCUAGAAGCAAGAAGUUCCCCCUGAACUUCUGCCCUCCUUUCUUCUCCUCCCAUUUCUCUCAUGAAGCAGGUUCUAUCAACUAAAAUUCUUCUUCAUGGGAAGCUUUGAAGAUGGUGGAGGAGGUGUUAGAGGUUCAAAUAUAGAGAUUAAAAUAUGAAAUAAUCGCCAAUUAGUAUUAUCAACUGAAUAUCAAGUUCUAGGAAAAUGAUGUUUUAUAGCAUUAUGAAGAAGUGUAUUCCCAUUUGUUUGAUCCUCUAGGUGGGAAUGGAGAAUUAAUAUUUGUUGAGAAUGAAAUAAAUGUCCUGUGCAUUGAACCCAUUUGCAUUCUUAGUGAGAAUCCCACCUCGCACUCCUCAUGAAAGAAGUCAGAAAGAGUAAAACCUAAAUGAGGCAUUUAAAAAUUAUUUUUACAUAAUCUUUUUUUUUUCUUUUUUUUUCACUUCUUCUUCUUCUCUCUCUCUCUUUUUUUUUUUUUUUUGAGACAGGAUCUCACUCUGUAUCCCAGGCUGGAGUGCAGUGGUGUGAUCAUAGCUCACUAUAACUUCUAACUCCUGGGCUGAAGCAAUUCUCCUUUCUCAGUCUCCUGAGUAGCUGAGACUACAGGUAGUCACCACCAUGCUCAGCUAAUUAAUUUUUUUUUUUAAACAGGGUCUCACCAUGGUGCCCAGAUUGAUCUAGGCUCAAGGGAUCCUCCUGCCUCAGCCUCCCAAAGUGCUGGGAUUACAAGAGUGAGCUACCAUGCCCAGCCAUAGUCUUAUUUCUAUAGUUUACCUUAUCAGUGUCACAUGUCUUAGAGGUUUCAGCUUAUUAAUUUCGUCCAGUUUUUUUUUUCUUAGCAGAGGUCAAAAUGAAGGAUGCAGUAGGUCAAAGUUUAACAGCUGCUGAAACAAACUUAUUUCAUUGAAACUUAAGCUAUUGAGGUAAUAUGAGGGCUGCUAUUUGCAAUAGUGUGCUCUGUCAGAAAUUGAAUUUGUGUUUCUGAAAUGAAAAUUGUGUCCCAGUUUGACUGUACCUAAAGAGGAAAAUGACUACCUGGGGUCAGGAUAUCAGAUUGACUAGUGAUAGCAAUGAAAGAAAAUAUGUUUUAAGUGAAAUGGUACAUGUACUCUGACUUAAAGAAUUUAUAAAUUUCACAGCUUGAAAAUACUCUAUCCAUUAUAAAUUUUGGUUACUUUGAACUGGAAAAUAUUUUUAUUCAGUGGUCAUUUCCUCCUGUCAUCAUAUUCACUCUUCAUAUGAGUAUAGUUUGGCAUUACUUACACAGUUUUUCACUAUUUAAUUGUGUUUUAUAUUUGAUUUCCAAGUUUAUAUUUUUAGUUUUUUUUCCUUCUACUUUCGUUUGGCUUAUUUUGUUAUUCUUUCACUAGUUUUUGAAGUUUAAUGUUUAGCUAAUUGUGUUUAGUCUUUAUUUAAGCAAUAAAGUAGUAAUACUAAAUAUUUCUCUCUUACUUCAGCUGACUCUAUAUGCCAUCUCUAUUUUUAUCAUUUUGUAAAUAAUUAAUCAUUUAUGUUUUAUUUUUACUUUGAUUUAGUGCUUAUUUAACAAAAUGUUUUUAUGUGUUUAGGUCUGACGGUAUGUCUUCUUAUUGUUGACUUUUAAAUUUAUUAAAUUGUAGUUUAGGAGAAUGAGCUAAUAUAAUCUCUAAUAGCUUAGAAUAAUUGAAGUAAUUUAUUAUUUUUAUUUAUUAUUAUUACCAUUAUUAUUAACAACUUUGUGAACAAAAGCAUUUAUUUAAAUGUUUUAUGGUUAUUUGUAUUCUCUAUUUGUAGGAUUCAAAGUUUUAUAUUCAACUUAUUGAGAUUAUUAUAGAAAUGAGGUAUAUUUGAGAGGGUCAAAUAUUCUAAAAGAAUAUUUCAGACACCACCUCCUCCAGCAACAAAAAUAGCUACAAACCAAUAUAAAUUUCAUGUUAGUUAUUUUCAUACAUAUUGAAAACUUUACUGUACAUUAAAAGGUUGUACAGACAGCCCUCCAUAUCUGUGGGUUUCACAUCCAUGUAUUCAACCAAGCAUGGAUCAAAAAUAUUGAGUAAAAAAAAAAAAAUCCACAAAGUUCCAAAAAGCAAGACUUGAAUUUGCCAUGUGAUGAGUACUACGCUGAAUCCACAUGAAUGAAGAGAUGUGUAGGACUUGUAUUAGGUAUUAUAAGUAGUCUAGAGAUGAUUUGAAGUAUACAGGAAGAUGUGGUUAGAUUUUAUGCAAAUAGUAUGACAUUUUAUAUCAGGGACUUGAGCAUUCAUAAAUUUUGGUAUCCCAGAGGGUUCCAGGAACAAAUCCCCAACAGAUAUCAAGUGACAACUGUACUUGAAUAAAAAGUUUUCAUAAUCACAGAAUGUGGCAUAGUGGGAAAAUCAUUGGACAUUUAAUUUUGGCAUUAAGUAACUAUGUAACUUUAGAAAGAAUCACUUUACCUCUUUGUGCCCUUUCAAAAUUAGCAUAAUUAUUACUUAGCCUACCUCAUAGGGUUGCUGUGAGUAUCAAAUUAGUUACGACAUGGGGAUUGCUGUGAAGAGUCUUAUUACCAUAUAAAUGUGAGGCAUUAGUUCUACCUUGUGGGUAAAUGGCGGCGGUAGCUGACUUGGGCCUGACCUAAAAAUAUACAAUAAGAGUUACCAUAGCAAAUGCCUGUCAACUGGUCAUUUCUCCCAGCCUACCUAUGCUCAAUUUUGACUAUGACACCCUCUCUGGAAGUUUUCUUUUGCUCUGAAAUCCUCUACUUUAUUAGGUUUUUCACUUCAGUGAACCUAUCUUUGCUCUUUCUCUACGUGUAAUAAGCUUGGGGGCAACAGAUUGUUCAGAAACACUUUUAUCAACUGAAAACAAAGGGUCUAGGAAGCCUUCAGGGGUUUGGAGCAUUUUAAAUAAUCGCUUGACAUUCAGACUGUGUCUACAUGACUAAAACAAAUGACUGGGAAAUGAGUGAAGUAGAAUACACAGGGGUGUUAGUUUCAUAGUAUGAAAGUUAUGUGUGUCCUGCAGAAAGUUACGUCAAAAGACUUACUUGAAGCACUCAUAUUUGGGGGAGAUUGCAAGUUUGAUUGCUCUUUAGUGGUCCCAAUCAGGUAUUAGGCUUUUUUUUUUCUGUAUCUUUAUUCUAUUUUUCUUUCUAGAUCCCCAAAAAUGCGGAGGGAAAAGUGAUCAAGUUGUAUCUGAUGUGAGUGGCUUUAUGUAUUAGGAUACAAUGUAUAUAGGGAAAAGAUUAUAAAUUUAGCAUGAUAAUACCUAAACAGUGCCUGCCUUUUUCUGGUUAUAUGAGCUGGACAAGUCAUUUAAAAUCACUCAGCCUCAGUUUCUUUACCUGUAAGGUAGACUUAAUGACUAUUUCUUUUCUCACAGAGUUACUAUGGGAAUAUACUUGGAAUAAUGAAUGCAUAUAAAUGUUGCUAUAAAGAAUAAAUAUAAGGACUUAAAAUUAUUUUGGCAUUCUGAAUAGAAAUGUAUUCUCAAUAGGAGUGACUGUAUUAUUCUUGUUUUAUUUUGAAAUAGCAAAAACUAAUAAAAAUUUAACUCAACAUUCUGUCUCCUUACAGCACUUAGAAUUGAGAAGAAUUUGCUAUUUGUUUUCUGUGAUACUGAGACCUGAGAAAGUUGAAAUGUACAACUUUAGUGCCAGAGGGCUAAGAACAUGACAAUCCAAUACAAACUAAAACUAAUAAAGAAAAUUGUAGCCUGAGUAUAUGUUUCUGGUACUCUCUUCCUCCCAUCUCAUUGCUUACUACAUUUUAGACAACUAACCACUAAAAUAACCCUGAUUGUUGGGGCUGGCAGAUGAGCUCAGAUACAGCUGUGAUUGUGAGUCUUCAGGAAGAAUGUGUACAUUUGGGACAUUGUUCUUUUUAACUACAUGGACAGUUAAAGAUCCAGCAAUUUGGACAUCAGCCAACUUCUCUUACACAUCAGGGUUUACAAGCAUUCAAUAAGCAGGCAUAGAUGCCCUCAGAGUUGAAAGGUGAACAUGUAAGAGUCCCUGAAAUUCCAAAUGAUUGCAGCAGUUGGUGUGUGGGGGACUGCAUUGAAAGGAACUUUUGUCAAUCCAGCCAAAGUAAAGAAUCUGAAAGAGAAGGAAAAAGAAUCUGCGAAAUAUAAGAAAUUCUAAAAAUAAAAUUAAUGUAUAAGAAAUAUCUUACCUGUUAACUUGGAUGCUGAUGUACUAAAUUGCCAUAGCAAAAGAAGAAAGAUCCUCAGUUUGUGUAAAAGGUACUUUUUAUAAGACACUCUCCAAAAAUAAAGUGACAAAUAAAGAAAUAAGUAAAGAGAUACUAGGCAAAUGCAAACAAUAAAAGAAUAAGACUGGUAGUAUUAAUAUCACAGAUAGAGGCUCAAAUUCAGGCCUCUCAAUCUGAUUCUAAUUUUUUAUCAAAAUAUAUUGUAAGUGUCUAAGUUCACAAAUAAUAGAAGUCUAUAUUUCAUUAUUUUCAGUAGGAAAGAUAAUAAUGCACUUCUAGCUACUAUCCAAAAUUCUAGUUUCCCCAGAUAUCAUAAAAACCUGUUUAAAUGCCUAAAUUACAAUCUACCAAGAUGUCUGCAUAACAUAAAGCAGUUAAAACACCAGAAGCAUAACACAUAAUAAUUCAAUACUAGAUUAACUCAGGUGUGUUUUGGGGCAAUAGCCCAUGAUAUUGAAUAGCAGGUGAUAUGGUUUGGCUGUGUCUGCAUCCAAAGCUCACCUUGGAUUGUAAUAAUCCCCACGUGUCAAGGGCAGGGGCAGGUGGAGAUUAUUGAAUCAUGAGGGCAGUUUCCCCAUACUGUUCUCGUGGUAGUGAGUAAGUCUCACGAGAUCUGAUGAUUUUAUAAAUAGGAGUUCCCCUACACAAGCUCUCUUGCGUGAUGCCGGGUGAGACGUGACUUUGUUCCUCUUUCACCUUCUGCCAUGAUUGUGAGGCCUCCCCAGCCAUGUGGAACUGUGAGUCAAUUAAACUUCUUUCCUUUAUAAAUUACCCAGUCCCAGGUAUGUCUUUAUUAGCAGGGUGAGAACAGACUAAUACAGCAGGUUUUUCCAAUUAUGUUUCUUUCUACAAUGUAAAAAAACAAGUGCUGUGAUAUAAAUGAAGAAUGUCGGUGCCACUGCUUGCAUUUUCCAAAUUGUUAAAAUCUCCAAGAAAGGGUGGGAAAAGUGAUACUGAUAAUGUACAACAGGUUAAAACAACUGGAACACAGAUACAAUCCUAUCAGGAGAACAUUGGAGAUACUGUUGUAUAUUUUACAGCUUCUGGAAAGGACGCUGGUGCAAGGUAAUCAUUUUAGUUGGAGUGCCUUUGAGGUCCUUAUAGUAAAUUUACAAUUCACAUAGUGAAUUUUGAGUAAACAAUUUUUUUUUUGCAAUUAACUAUACCAAAUAUUUAGAGGGUAGGACUUCAAAUAUUGAGUGAUAUCUAUAUUGUAAAUAUUUUAUUUAACUGAUCUGCUUUCCCACUUGACAGUGAACUCUGCAAGGUAAGGAAUUCUGUCUCACUCAUUCUUGUGUUCCCAGAAACUAGCACAGUUCCUGGCACAGUAUAUAAUCAGUGGCUUAUGAAUGGGUGAAUGAAGGAAGAAUGCAGUGAUUUGACUAAGGUUUUGCAGUUAGUUCUGCACAUGGCAUGGCUUUUGAAUCUUUCGUUAAAAUAUUAUGCUUACUUACUUGAAUCUGUUUCCAACACUUUUUCAGAAGAGACAAGGCUGUUCUCAGUUAAAACAUGUAUUUCAUUGAUUAAUUUGCUUGUAAAGCACCAUUGUUUGUUUUUCACUAAAAGUUAAUCCAGUACGAUAAUGUAUAGUAUAAUAAUGUAUUGUGUGGUAUGCAAAGCAAAUAUUCUAAUUUACAGCCUCUAUAUCCCCAUGGAAUUAGUCUAACUCAUGAUUUGUAGAGUGUGCUAUCUAAUAUUAUUAAAAUGAUUCUGUUUGUUACAGUGUAUGAGGGUCUUGGCAGUGGUUGAGUAUGUGGUACUUUGGAGAAACAUCUGUAAUAUAAAUUAAAAUUGGUUUAGAAGUGAAAAUAUUAGUAUUACCAAUCUGGAAGCUAAUUUACUAUAUGAUGCACAGGGGUUACAUUAUAAAGAAAUAUUUCAAUGUCAAAUAUUUAAAUUUCUUGUGGACUUUUAAAACAUGACUCAUGGUACAUUUAUAAAUAAGAAUAAAUACAUUUUGCUACCAUAAAUUUCUAAAUAUUAUUUGAAAUAUUUUUAGAUUUGUUGAUUAUUAUGGGUUUUAAAGAUUCAAUUUAAAGAGAAAAUUCAUAUGAUAAAAUGAACAUCUUUUUUUAUUAUUAUACUUUAAGUUCUAGGGUACAUGUGCACAACGUGCAGGUUUGUUACAUAGGUAUACAUGUGUCAUGUUGGUUUGCUGCACCCAUCAACUCAUCAUUUACAUUAGGUAUAUCUCCUAAUGCUAUCCCUCCCCCGGGCCUCCACCCCCCAACAGGCCCCAGUGUGUGAUGUUCCCCGCUCUGUGUCCAAGUGAUCUCAUUGUUCAAUUCCCACCUAUGAGUGAGAACAUGUGGUGUUUGGUUUUCUGUCCUUGUGAUAGUUUGCCGAGAAUGAUGGUUGCCAGCUUCAUCCAUGUCCCUGCAAGGGACAUGAACUCAUCCUUUUUUAUGGCUGCAUAGUAUUCCAUGGUGUGUAUGUGCCACAUUUUCUUAAUCCAGUCUAUCAUUGUUGGACAUUUGGGUUGGUUCCAAGUCUUUGCUAUUGUGAAUAGUGCCGCAAUAAACAUACGUGUGCAUGUGUCUUUAUAGUAGCAUGAUUUAUAUAAUUACAUAAAGUAGUAAUGUGAUGACUGGGUCAAAUGGUAUUUCUAGUUCUAGAUCCUUGAGGAAUUGCCACACUGUCUUCCACAAUGGUUGAACUAAUUUACACUCCCACCAACAGUGUAAAAGUGUUCCUAUUUCUCCACAUCCUCUCCAGCACCUGUUGUUUCCUGGCUUUUUAAUGAUUGCCAUUUUAACUGGUGUGAGAUGAUAUCUCAUUGUGGUUUUGAUUUGCAUUUCUCUGAUGACCAGUGAUGACGAGCAUUUUUUCAUGUCUCUAUUGGCUGCAUAGUUGUCUUCUUUUGAGAAGUGUCUGUUCAUAUCCUUUGCCCACUUGUUGAUGGGGUUGUUUGUGUUUUUCUUGUAAAUUUGUUUCAGUUCUUUGUAGAUUCUGGAUAUUAGCUCUUUGUCAGAUGGGUAGAUUGCAAAAAUUUUCUCCCAUUCUAUAGGUUGCCUGUUCACUCUGAUGGUAGUUUCUUUUGCCAUGCAGAAGCUCUUUAAUUAAUCAAAUGAAUGUCUUAAGAGAUAGUUAAACAUUUCUAAAGGGGAGUACCCUUAGCUGUCCGGUUUUUCAGAGAUCCUAGAAUACUGGAACCAUUACCAUUUUGACUUAGAGUUCUUGGUGGGAAACCACAAUUAAACAAUACAGUAUUUAGUAUUUGUGUACUUAAUCAGCAUUAAAAAUGUGAUAAUACACUGGAGCAAAUAUAAACUUUCUAGAAUAGGUGUGCUUAAUUGUAUUUAGUGGUUCCAUUUUCCCAUUUUCUAAGGGAAAUACUGUCCUUUUUGGUAACAAAUUUGUCCCUAUGGGAAUGGUAGCUGCUUUUAUUUUGACACAUCAUGAAUAUUUACAAAUAUUGCUAUGGGAUAUAUUUGUAUUAUUUCAAUAAUAUCAAUUUUGAGCAAUCUGUAUUUUAAUCUCAUACCCUGAAACUAUUCAAGUAUUUUCAAUUUGGUUGCCAAGACUCUAGUUUAAAGCAAACUAUGAAAGACGUAACUUUGUCCAUGUUAUAUUAUUUUUGCUAUCUGCCAAGUUGGUUUGAUGUCAAGGCCAGUGGUCUGAUAUGAGUCAACGUAUAAAGAAGAUAAUAUAGUGGUUCAAAUUACAUUUAUUCCUAUAAGUGAAUAAAUAAAUCCAAUGACAAACAUCAAGAUAAUAAAAACUGAAAAAAAAAGUGUAUGCAAACCCAGAUUGGGACCAAGAUUAUUCAUUUUAGAAAAAUCAAGUUGUGUGUGCUGAGAAGGUUGGGGUGAAUAAGUAUGACGGGGUGAAAGGGUAGGGAUGCAAUCUACCAAAUAAUGACACAUAAAACAGUCCCAACUCUAGCUAAAGGAUUAAGAGAAGAAUAUUGCUUGACCUGGAUGUUACAUAUCAUUUCCUACCAACCUAGUCUUGUUCAGAAGCGGAUUCUCUAUUUGUUUAAACGUAAUUAUUUUAUUGAUUUUUGUAAAGUAUGUCAAAAAUAUAAUAAUAUAUGUUUUGUGAUGAUAGGGCUCAUUUAUAUUUUGCUCACGGCUUUAUCUCCAGUGGCUAAAACAAUACCUGGGACAUAGUAGACACUUGACAUUUACUGACUCAAUGAAACAGAUUUCUCCAAACAAUGAAGGUACUAAAAAUAGGCUAUUUUUGCCUGUUUGCUCUUCUUUCCAUUAGUUUGUAUUAUGAAAUCAAAACUAACCUCCCUCCUAAGAAAACCAACAUCAUGAUUUAUACACUCUCUUACACAUACACUUAUUCUCUCACAGUCCAGCUUUUGUUUUUAUUAAUUAUAUAAUCAUUUUUUCCUAAGGGGCAGUAGCAGUGGAAUAAAUUCAAAAUAUCUUCGGGGAAUAGUUUUCACUGACUAAUGAAGUUUAAUAAGCACUCUGAUGGUAGCUAAAUAUGUCCAAAAGCCUCUUCACUUGCUCAAUGAUUUUUACUCCCCUGAGCUUUGUAGCUGUCUAGUGUGUAACCACUCACUUAUUAUAAAUUUCAUAAUUUAUCUCAUCACCUGUUUUAUUUAUUCAGUCAGUGUAACUACUUUGCUCACUUGGUUUCUUGAUUGUUUCACUAGAACAAAAACUUUACUGCUCAACCCAGCAUCCUUAGCUCUAGGUAUCUUUCCACCAUCAUAAUCCAAGCAGCUGGCCCAUGUCAUCUUUCAUACAACUCAGCGUGUCUAAUGUCUUUGCUCUAUCACAACACCUGAUAAAAUUAAUGGUUUUCAAUUAUGGCUGUCGGUUAAGAAUCUCCUUGGGGGAGUGCUUUGGACACCAAAACUACGCCCCAGAUGAAUUGAAUGACAGUCUCUGGAUGUGAGGUUGAACUAAUUUACACUCCCACCAACAGUGUAAAAGCGUUCCUAUUUCUCUACAUCUUCUCCAGCAUCUGUUGUUUCCUGACUUUUUAAUGAUUGCCAUUCUAACUGGCAUCAGAUGGUAUGUCAUUGUGGUUUUGAUUUGCAUUUCUUUGAUGAUCAGUGAUGAUGAGCAUUUUUUCAUGUGUCUGUUGGCUGCAAAUGAUAUUCAUGUGUAGCCAAGUGUCGAGAACCACUGGGCUAAAUGCUCCUACUGCCUCAUCCCACCAACUUCAUUGGAACUCUUGUAUGGUGAACCCAACCAGGAUGGCACCUUCCUUAGGUACUAUAACUUAGACUAACCCAGCCCUUCAGCCAGGCGAGUGGCCCUAUCCCCAGUCCUGUCUCUCCAUGGCUUCCUCUCUUUUCCCUAUAGAUAAUUCAGUCUACCAAGGCCACAUAAUUUAUAGCAUCCUGUUACACAAAUUAAAUAUACUUAUUGUUUUCCUUUAGUGAGAAACUUGCUUUAUUUUAUCAAACAAUUCCAACUUGAAUUUAUUCUUUACAGCAUAGCUUAAAACAAAUUGUGAGCAGAAAGUUAAGCAGAAAAUAAACUGGAUUAAUAUCGAGGUCAUAAUGAUUAGCUAUGGAAGACACUACUUAGAAACAAAAAGGAUCACGGUAAAAUAUGCAGCUAAAACAAUUACUACAACUUGAAUACUUAUCAAAUAAAGUCCCCCAAACUAUAAUAAGAAUUGAAAAUAAAAUUAAAAUGUUCCUCUCCCCAAAUUUGGUUUUAGUACUUAUUUGAUUUCAAAUACAGAGGUAAUAUAGUUUACACUGAAAACAAAUCAACUAGCUAAAGUAGAUGGGCUUUAUAUGUGAAUCAGAUAUUAAGAUAUUAAGGUUUGUUUAUUCCGUUUUUAUCUCUCUGGACCAAUUUUUUUUAGGAAGAAUAAUGUGAUUAAGUCAAGUCUGCUGCCUGGCCUUCUCAAUUCCAGCAUCAUAGCAAUAAAGCACCUUAGCAUAUUAAAACAACAACAACAACAAGAUACUGUUCAUUGGAAACUUUUUUUUUUUUGAGACAGGGUCUCACUUUGUCACCCAGGCUGCCAGGCUGGAGUACAAUGGUGCCAGCAUAGCUUACUUUAGCCUCAAAGUCCUGGGCUCAAGCAAUCCUCUGGCCACAGUCUCCUGAGUAGCUGGGACUACAGGUACAUACCACCAAGCCUGGCUAUUUAAAAUUUUUUUUUGUAGAGACAGGGGACUUGCUAUGUUGUCCAGGCUGGUCUUGAACUCCUGGCUUCAAGCAGUCCUCCCACUUGGUCUUCAUUGGAAAACUUUUGACAAUGUGUUUCAACAAAGGGAAAAUAAAAUAUAACAGAGUCCCACAAAUCCUUUGAUGUGAGCUUCCCUUUAUUGUCUAACAUUUUCUUGAGUCCUCUUCUUUGCCUAUUGUGUUUGAGGUCUAGUUAAGCAGAUAAAGCUUCAAAUGCAGAGAGGGAUGACUUAAGAAAAUAAAGGGAGAGAUGACUUUAGAAAAGAAAAUAGAAACAAAUUUGCAGAGCCUGCAGCCAGCCACUUGGUUAUAUAAAGCACUGGCAAAUAUUAGAGAUCCACUGUUUCUAAUUUGAGAAAUUAUGGAUCAGUUCAUAUUCCUAAGGACUGGAAAAGAACAAAUAUGCACGUAUUUAAAAGGUAAAAAAGAUGCCCCUUCAAAUAGUAGAUUGGUCAUUUUAGCAUUGUCAUUUAAAAUAUAUAUUAGGAAAAAAAUGAUCUAACAGCCGUUAUAAAACAUAUAGAUGCAUAGAAUCAUGAAUAUUAAUUAAUGUGGAUUUGAAAACAGCAUAUCAUUAGCCAGGCUCAGUGACAUGUGCCUGUAAUCCCAGCUGCUCGGGAGGCUGAGGCAGGAGAAUUGCUUGAACCCGGGAAGCGGAGGUUGCAGUGAGCCAAGAUCACACCACUGCACUCCAGCCUGGGUGACAUCUGUCUCUUAAAAAAAAAAAAAAAAAAAAAGAAAAGAAAACAGCAUAUCAUGCCAGUGUAACUUAAUUUCAUUCAGCGUCAGCUUAAUGGCCUAAUGGGUUUCAUUGAAAAAGGGAAAAACAUAUUUAAUCAAUUCAAUUCAUGCAAGGCCAUUGAUUCUUUCCCACAUGACAUUCUCAAAUUAGGAUACAAAGCACAGACUUGAGUUUGAUGGCAUUAAUUGGACACCUCCCAUGUGCUAGACAUGAGCUAGGUACUAUUAUAUAACUAUGUCAACACAAUCCUCUGAAAGAAAUAUUAUCCACAACUAACAAAUGUAUAGAAAUGCAUAAAAAGUUUAAGUAGUUCAUUCAAAUUCAUACAAAUAUUAAAGAAAUUGGCUUCAGAUUCUAUGUAUUUGGCUUUUUCCUUCUACCCUUUAUGAAUUAGUCACACACGGAAGUUUUCCCAUGCUGACUAGACACCUUGCCAUCUCCUCUCUGCUACCAAUAUUGCCAUCAAUAUGAUCACCUCCAUCCUUUUUGCUGCUGUUGUAAGAAUCCAUGCCAUCAAAUCUUUAUUGUGCUGCCACAACUCCCGCCACAGAGCUUCUACCCCUAUCCUCCUAACAGUUAAGUGUGAGAGGUUCUUUUCUUGCACUGCUGAGGCCAUGUUGGGAAAUGAGAUUGGCUGCCUCCAUCUCUAAAGGAGCAGAAGCCAAGUUCCCAGUGACUUCUAGAAUUGAUUAAAGUAGAAUGGGAGAAGAAAUGUGCCCUGAGUGUCUUUAGAACUCAAAUAUAUACUUUGUUAACAAGAUGAUUCACGUCUAAACUACAAUUAGUAACACAGGCUGAUUGCAGUGGUUCAAGCCUGUAAUACCAGCACUUUGGGAAGCCAAGGCGGGAGGAUUACUAGAGGCCAGGAAUUAGAGACCAGCCUGGCCAACAUGGUGAAAACCCAUCUCUACUAAAAAUACAAAAAUUAGCCAGGCAUGCUGGUGCAUCUCUAUAAUCCCAGCUACUCAGGUGGCUGAGGCACAAGAAUCACUUGAACCAGGAGGUGGAGGUUGUGGUGAGCUGAGAUCACUCCACUGCACUCCAGCCUGGGCAGCAGAGCAAGACUGUCUCAAAAUAAAUAAAUAAAGUACAAUUAAUAACAUAGGGUAGUUACAUUGUGGAUUAAAGAGUCUGUGGGCUGACUUGGGACCUGAUCAUCAUUUAUGAUGGUGUUUCUAUCAGAAAAUUCACUUUGAUUUCAAAUUAACUUAAUUUUAAGUGAACCUCUGAAAUGCAGUUCAAUUAUAAGUUAGGUAUUGCGUACAUAAUCUUAGCCAUAUUACUUUCAGGCAGAGAGCUGAACUUUAUUAUUUACAUCACACUUUUUUUUUUUUUUUUUUACUAUGUAUGUGUGUGUCUGUUCUAUAUGUGAUGAUUGGUUUCUUGAAUACAAGAAGAGUGCUUUUUUUUAUAAACGGUAUCUGGAAAUAUGCUUGCGAGUUAUAGGCAAUCAAUAAAUAUUUAAUGAAUGAGUGAUUUACUGGAUAUAGCAAACAAGAAUACAGUGAGAUUUAUAUAUAUUAAAUUCCGCCAAUGCCAUUUUUUGAAGAACUGUUGUAACAUCUGAAAUAAUCUUUACUAAGCAGGAAAAAAAGAUCCUGAAAAAUAGGGAUAAACAACCAAGGGCAAGAAUGUCUAUGUAAGAUGGAGAAUACACAGCUGGAUAUUCAAACAAGAAAAAGAAAGAUUACAAGAUAAUAAGAUACUGUAGCAGCAUUGUGGGGAGAGGGAAAGACUGUGUUUCUGGGAUAUGUUACAGUGUAAAUGGCACACAUACCUAGAUUUUGAUUAGCCGCUAUAGUUUUUUAAAAUUAUGUGAGAAAAUUAAUGGAGAUAAUUCAGAUAAGAGUGACUAAACUAAACUGUUAAAGAAAUGGAAAGUGGACCUUUUGAGGAUUAAUAUGCAGGAAUUCGUUUUUAUUCCAUUAAAGAAGACUGCAGUAUGCCUUCUGACAUAUGAAUGAUUUUGUGAUACUACUGGUGACCAGUUAUCCGUCUCUCAUAGAGAAAAAAGCAAAAACAAAUGGGCUGAUAUUUAUAGUAAAUAUUUGGCUAUGGUUAAUCAUAAGAAAUAAUUUCUUAAGAGGUUGAAAAACCUCUCGACUAUUCACUUAAGACAAUGCACAUUAUUGUUUUUUUUUCCUUCUUGGGCAAAUGAACCUCUCUUUGAUGUGAAUGUCUUAGACAUUGGCCAAGGGUGCAAAGAAGGAACCAGAAUCAGUGAUUUCUUAAAGCCUCUUCCAAUCUAGAAUUCUAAAUUUCUGUAGUGUAACAGCUGAUUAGUUUGUUAGGACUAACUGAAAAAAGUACAACAGACUGGGUAGCUUAAAGUAGAGAAAUGUAUCGGCUCCCAGGUAUGGAGGCUAGGAGUCUGAAAUCAAGGUGUCAGCGGGGUUGGUUCUGUUCUAGGCCACUCUGCUUAGCUUGAGGAUGUCCAUUUUCUCUCUAAGUCCCUUCAUAUCAUCUUCCCUCUAUGCAUGUCUGCCUCUGUGUCCAAUUUUCCAUUUUUAUGCACUUGUCAUAUGGAUUAGGGCCCACCCUGAGGAUUUCAUUUUAACUUGAUUUCCUGUAUAAAGAUCCUAUCUCCAGAAAAGAUCACAUUUUGAAGUACUGGGGGUACGGACUCCGACCCAUCGUUUUUGGAGGGACGCAAUUCAACUCGGAACAAGCAGUCUCACGUACACAUAAUCACGCUGCAGCUAAAUAGUAUUGUCUAACGAAACAGAUUGUGACACGUAGAAUUAUGGCACAUUUUCUUGUUGCUGGGGAAUCUCAACUCCAUCUUCAGUCUCAUUUCACCAGUCAUCUAGGCUUCUGAGAUGGAAUAAUGUAAUCUGUUGCAAUUAAGGAUGCUACAUCUUUACAUAAAAGUUUUUCCCAUCUUUUUUUUUCGUUCUCUCCCCUCAAUUUUGGCAUUUACUGAGGUCCCAGAUAUAUUUAACAGUCUUGAAAUUGGAAGCAUCUAUGUUUCUCCCCAUUCACAAUGUGAAGAAUUAGAGACAGGGAGAGUAUACCCUGGGAAGUUGCCGGUAUACUUCAUACAAUCAGGUUAGCAUUUCUUCUAUAUGCCAUAUAUUUUCAUAAAGCAGAAAACACCUAUAUCACAGCAAAAUGGUAGAUUCUGCGAGAAAUGCAAAAGGACCUGGUGUUAGGUUUGGUUUCCCAGAGUAUACAGCACCCUCUAAUUUGGCAGGAAAUAAAUAUCUUGUAAUACUGUUUUCCACUUAGGAGUUACAUUGAGUUCAAAGAAGGAAUUUUCCUGAGCAGCUUCCUGAAUUUGACAAGUUAAUUUAUUCAGCUAUUAUGCAUUGGGCACUUAUUUUGUGUUCUGUGUUAUGCUAGGCCCUAUGAGGAUAUUCACUAAGGGAUGUAGUUCCUAUUCACAAAGAACUUAGGUUAGCGGAAAAGAUAAACAUGUACACAGCUAACAUGAAUUCAAAGCAACAUUCAAUAAAUGCUUUAAUAGAGAUCAAAACAAAGUGCUGUGGGGCCCAGAGGAGAGAGAGAUUAAUCAUGUCUGGAUUUCUUCUUAGGAAUAUAUAUUAACAUCAGUUUUUGGUCUUUUGCUUUUACUUAAAAUUCUAGAAGGUGAACUUGGGAAAACUUUGCAGCCACAUUUUGAGAACUGAUCCUUGAGACCAGAAGGUUAAAGCUGAGUACUGCAGCUGAUGAAUGCAGAGUAAUACAUCUGUGUCAAAUGAAAAUGCUGCUGAAUUAGUUCAGCAGUUCAAUCAAAUGUACCUAAUCCUACAUCAAUCUAAAUAGAACAUAGCUAUAACUUUUCCAGGCCAAGUGUACAAAAAACCUGCCAAGAGGAUGGAAAUGAAGCUGAAAUGACAGCCAUUUCAUGAAAUUUAUGAUGCCAAAAAUACCAUUUAAGUUGAGCCGCUGCUGGGACAAAAAAAAUUAAUUAAAUGUGUGGUGGACCAUUCAUAAUUUUCUUUGUGGGGUAGAGAGGCGUUUACUCUACACUACCCAUCAUUAUUGGCAAUAGUUCCUCUUGGUGAAUGAACAAUUUAAAAAUGAAAAUAAAUUUAAAAGACCAUCCUGCUUUUCAUCAUUGAAAAACAGCAAGAAAAAACAUUCAAAAGUUAAGAGGGUUCUGAAAGAAACUUCAAUGGUAAUGAUUUCUAUGGUAAUCAAGAUCAUCAGCAUACGCCUAUCAUAAUUAUACAUUCCAAAGCUCAGAUACAGUUAUAAAUCCCACAGAAAUUCUAUAGCUGCUAAAAAGAGAGAAUUAAGGUGAUUGUUAUCCAAAUCACAAGAAGUGUUUUCAGAAUAAAUACAUAAUAAAAUUCUGAAUACCUUUAAAACCAAUUACUUGUUACAAUGUUUCCUAGAACCAGGAUUAAAAGGAAUCUUAUUUAGCUCAAACCCAUCAGUGGACAGAUCAGGAAAAUGAGGUCCAAAGGACAGGAAAUUACCUGUCCAUGGUCCCUGUGGCUAAUACAUCUCAAACUAGAAUACAGGCUUUUUGCUUCCCAGUUUGUUGAUGUUUCCAAUAUGCCAAUUAUUUGUGCCUCAAGAAUACAGAAUUAAGGAUGUUAAUUCAUGUUUUGAGUAUAAGAAAUACAAGGCUGACUGUUACUCCAAGUUUAAAUACAUGAACUCUGAAGCCACACUGCUUAGAUUUAAAUUCUGGCAUAUACACUUACUAGUUCUGUGUUUGGACAAGUAACAAAUUGCCCUGUGCCUUGUUUCCUCAUCUGGAAAAUGAAAAUAAUAGUAUCUCCUCCCUCUUGGAGUUGUUGUGAGCAAUAAAUGAGUUAAUGAGUAUGAAAUACAUAAAAAUGUGCCUGAAACAUGUGUUUUCAUAUUAUUUUGAUCAUCUAAAUCAGCAAUUUGAACAUCUUCCCAUGUUGGGGGCAUUGCCUUCUACCAGUGCCUAAUCUUAGCAAAAUUUGGAAGCAGCUGUGUUUAUCUUUUCUGUAUUCAUUCUUCCUUGCUGAGCAUCCCUUGGGCACCUAGUAUUCUGACUAUAUUGUCUAUAUCCCAUAAUUGCAAUGUCCUGCUUGGUUCUGUCCACCUCUGGAAGCAAUUGUGUUCAAAUUUGCCAACCUAAAUCCAAGUGUGGUGGUACACAGCUGAAAUCCCAGCUAUCAGUAGACUGAGACAGGAGAAUCUCUUGAGCUAAGGAGAUCAUGGCUUCAGUGCACUAUAAUCACACCUGUGAAUAGCCACUGCACUCCAGCCUAGGCCACAUAACGAGACCCCAUCUCUAAAAAAACAAAACAAAGCAAAGUGAAAAAACAAUUGCCAACCAUUUCUUCUUUACUAGAACUUCCUGAUUCCACUCCGUCAGGGCUCCAUGAAGUAAUAUCUAAAAUGUUAAGGCAUAUUUGUUCAGUAUGUUGCCCUUUCAAAGGAUAUUGUACUUUUAAUCAAGCUUGUCUGUAGUGUUGUCACCUCAACAAUAAGAUUAAUAUCCACUUACAGAAUUUUAGAUAUUGUGAUAGGACAACAGUAAGGGGAAAGGGAAUCAAUGACUUUUGAAUAUUUGUUAUGACAUCUCAGUUCGUUCUCAAGCAUGGAAUUUAUUAUUCUCUUCCGUUUCAGAGAUAAGGAGACUAAGGCUCAGAGACAGGAGAUGAUAUAGUUAAAAUCAUACAACUAAUAAGUUGAAAAAGCAGUUUGAAAAUUCUGGCCUAUUUGGCUCCAAAGUCCAUUCUCAGUAUUUUUUUAUAAAGAGUUCUUUAAUCAGUGCUCCUCAAAUCAUACUAAUAUGGUUUUGCACUGUGUCCCCACCCAAAUAUCAUCUCCAAUUGUAAUCCCCACUUGUUGAGGGAGGGACCUGGUGAGAGGUGAUUGGAUCAUGGGGGCGAUUUCCCCCAUGCUGUUCUCGUGAUAGUGAGGGAGUUCUCAUGAGGUUUAAUGGUUUAAAAGUGGCAGUUCCUUUUGCACUCUGGCUCUCCCCUGCCGCCUUGUGAAGAAGGUGCCUGCUUCCCCUUCACCUUCCACUAUGAUCGUAAGUUUCCUGAGGCCUCCCCAGCCAUGCGGAACUGGUAGCCAAUUAAACGUCUUUCCUUUAUAAAUUAACCAGUCCCAGGUAGUAUCUUCAUAGCAGUGUGAAAACGAGCUAAUACACAUACUAUGUGCGCAAACGGCUCUUGUGCAUGUCUUAAGACUGGCUCUUUUUCUCUAGGAACUACUGAAUUUCCCUCAGCUUGACAUCACAAUUCAAAAUACAUUCAGAAUACUUUCUGCACUAUCUUAUAAUAUAUGGAAAAUUUAGGUACCAACUAAACUGCAUAAUGUAACUUACAUUGCAGUUUUUGAAUAUACUUUAUAUCAAACACACAUGUCAUUAUACAUGUGAACUCUCUGUUGGUUUACCAUGAACCAAAAAGAUAAAGUAGAAAUAAAAUAGGUACAAUGAGUAGGUUUUCAACAAGUCAAUGCAUCCCCUUGAUAAUCUAUUCCAUAGUAGGAGUGCAAUAUAAUGUUUGUAUUAAAUCAACAAAGUAUAUUCUGCACUAAUUAUUGACAUGAAAGGAGAAAAAAAAUUUGAAAAGCAUAAACAUAAUGCUUUUGUAUUGAAUCUGAGAUAUAUUGGUUGCUAAAGUGUGAGAGUUUAGCACAUGUGAAAUAAUUUACAAGCACAUGAAUUAGCACAAGUGCGUCAUAAGGUUUGUCCUAGUUUAUUCAGAAAGGCUUCAGGUUUUAUAUUUGGGGAAAAAAAGGAUUUUUUAUCACAACUGUUAUUCUUUGCUGAACCAACUCAUUUUAUAGUUAGAAGAAAAGCCAGCUGGAGGGUUUAUAUUGAUCUAUUAACUUUUCUAGAGUGUUUCCUUGAUAAAUGUAUCUUCUUAGAGAUUCUCAGAAUGACUGCUGAAAGGGACACACCAAAACCUUCAUUUUACCUCCAGGGUUCAUUGUACAUUGUCUGUCAGUUUAUUGACUGAUAAUAAACUAUCAUAUGCAAAGUAAUACACUAAAUAUUGGGGAUACAGAGGUAGUAUGGAUCUUAGAUUGUGUAUGGGAAGAAAAGUCAUCCAUAUAAAUGACAGUUAAAUCCAGAACACAUAAACUAAGUGGUAUAAACAAUGAGUGCUCUAGAUGAGGUGAAUGUUUCUGCCUAUUAAUGGUGUCAGGAUGAAAAUGGGUCAGUCUUUGUAGUUGAGUAUAUUGCAUAUAAUUUAAUUCUUACCCAACUUGUCUUCUAGAUGCCUUCAUGAUCACAUAAUAAGGAAAGGUAAAUGUGUUUCUUCAAAAAAUAGGUAGUUAACAAAAGCUAAAUAAAAACUGGUUUUAUAUACAGCAAGUGGUAAGCCCUGUGAAAGUAAUAAUUCAUAGUUUUAAGGCUCUGAUAUUAUAAAAAGACUUUAUACAUGUUAAGAUACAAUGUGACACAAGCCAAAAACAUUCAAAGCAAAAGAAAGUCAAAUGAAAAUUGUAGCCAUUUUCAUAGACAGGCUUUCCUCUACCUUGCUACUGCCAAAUGGAAUAUAGUAUAUCUAUAUGGUACCAACACACCCUGUUCUUCAGCUGUAAUGCAAGGUCAUGAACAACAAUGAUUAAGAGAAGGCCUAUGAGUCAGUACCAGUACUGACAAUAGAAGGUACGGGAGAAAAUGGGAAGAAUAAAUAAAAAGAGUAGUCUAGCCAUAGAUUAUAUCUAAAAGCUAGAAGACAAGAAAGUGAUGUAAGAAAAUCCAAACAAGUAGCCAAAGGCCAGAGAUCACAUAGAAAUAAUGUAUUAAGGCAGUGCAAUGGUCCAAAGCCAAGAAUGCAAUAAGAACAACAGAAGAUUGAGAGCAUUCAGAAAUAGUGCAUCCGGAAAAAAAGAAAGCCAGAUUUCUGAAAGAAAAGUUAGUUGGCUGACUUUCUAGGCCUGGCUAGUCCUAGGCAUGAAUCCUGAAAGGCUGCUGCAGUCCUAAAACUUUCUAUAUCUGGAAGAUCCUAUAUCUCAUUCCUCCAAGGGAGAAUUGCUAAAAUGAUGCAUGAUUUAGGGGCUUCAGUACCCUCAAUUCAUUAUUUUAAAAAAGUUAAUUUGCUACUGAAUUAAGCUAAAAUAAUGGAGAAAGUCUUUAAGGUCACCUUUGUUCUAACUUGCUUUGUUCUAACCUAGAAACUUUGAUUCUUAUUUAAGGUUCAUGCAAAGAUACUUUUGAUAAGGUGGGUAAAACCCAGAGACAGCUACAAGGAUUUUAAAUGUCUUUUAUAUUUGUAAAGCAGAAUAACCCGUGAUACCAAAAUGCUUUCAAACUUUCGGUUUGGACAAAGGAAUCUGCUUGUGGUUUAGGCAAAUGCUUUGGAGAUUAUCUCUUUCUGAAUUCAACUGAAACAUGAUUUAGUUAAUUAAUCACCUCAUUGAUUGUCAUGCUGCUAUUGUCGUAUUUAGAAAUAUUCCCACUGAGACACAGCCCUGAAAUGUUCAUAACACAUCAGAUGGUUUUGUUGCUGUAGUGACUUCGUUCCUUCAUGAAGACAACAUUUCUAGGAAUAAUUUCAAAAGAGAGCAGAUGAAUUGGACUCGUUGGAAGAUAAUGUGAACUUUUCUUAAAGACCGUGCCAGCAUCUGGGAGCCUUCAUUUAUCUUUAGUGUAUUCUGUCUGUACUUUUGUCAGGCACAAAGAAGCAAAAGAAAACAAAGCACAAAACAGAGAAUGAUAUAAAAAAAAUACUCCCCUACCCCCUUCCUUUUAGAAGUUUACAACAACAGAAGAAAUAUUUACUUUCCCCAAAUGAGAAGAACCCCAAUUAAAAUUAUUCUAGCAAGUUAACUAAGUAACAAGUUACUUUUCCUUCCUCCCUGCUACUGUUUUAGCAAGCACAGAGCUAAAAUGGUUUGACUAAUAUAAAUGCACUUCAGUUCUAGCUACUUAUUCUCUCCAUUUCACCUGAGGAUUGGAGUCAGAGUUGAUCAAGGGAUUUACUGCCACUCCAAUGAGGCAGAGUGAGAAUUGUUCAAGUCCUUGGCAUCUUCGUGGGACUAGAAAGAAGUGUUACUUGAUAUACAUUCUUGGCGAGUUUGCCAAGGAAAAGGAGGUAGAGCUACUUAUGGGAGCAAUCUAUUCUCAUCACCAACAUCAGAGACUGGUGGGCCUGAUCCUGCCUUAAAGUAAACAAAGUGAAAUAUAAUUCCUCCUGAGAUGGCAUUUCUUUUUCUAGGGGAACCAAUUUACAUCAGUCAGAUGAGCUCUCGGCACUGAUGAGAAAGAGUAUUUUACUCUUUUACCACUGAAUAACACUGGACUCAUAACUUUUAUCUUGGGAGGAACUCAGGUAUAAUUUGAUUUUGUAAAAAUUACACAUGUGAUAUACAUAUACAUAGCAUGAAGUUUGUAAUAGGAAGAAAAGUCAUCUAGGAAUGCCUAAUAUAUCAUUUAGCCUAGGAACUUCCUCAGCGGAGUUUCUCAGGUAAUAUGCUAUAUUUUGUCUUGUAUUUUAGAAAAUCAAAUCUCCCUUUUGCACCAUAUUCUGAGUUAAUUACAAUCUUGGAAUCAGCACUUCUGAUCACUAUUCCUUUUGGGUGUCCAGGACGUGCCUAUUCAGAAAUAAAUAUGUUACCCUGAGGGAGUAACAUAUGCAUCUCAGUACAUUGUAGCACAUGGGAUCAAAAUCCAGUUUGUCAGAGUAGACUCCAAAACAAUAUUUUCAAACUAUUUUCAAAAAAGAACAAGAUUCCAGCUCAUCUCAUCCAUCGCUACAAAGUUUUCUAAAUGCACACUCUCAAUUUCUGUACAUAUCUAAUCCAGUCCUGGAGCAACACUAGUCUGCAGACUAUAUGUUGAGUAACACUGCUCUAAAUGAAGAUGAUAACAGGGAGUUUCAUAUUUUGACAAGACAAGAGGAAACAGGAAAGCAAAGGUCUCCACUAGAGCCUUAAUCCCCAUCCAGUGGGAAGAGACAGGCCCAAGGAGGAUGUCACAGUGGCACUGAACCCUGGGCAGAACAUUAGAAAUACAUUGUCUAUUUCACAGUCUAGCAGAAAGGCCAGCCCCUAAAAUGGGAAAGCAUGGCACAAAUAAGUUACUGACAAACAAAGCGGAUCUCAGAAAGAAGAUUCUCUCAGUAUUUUUAGAAUUCUGCAAGUCUAAGAUACAAAGUUAGGAACAACUUUUGAUGUAGUCAUAAAUAGCCAUUGUAACUGUUCCAGAAUAAUUAGUGGGAAGCAGAAAAUAGUAGUUAUCCAGUUUUAUAACUUCUCUUUAAAACUCUUGAGCAGCUGUUAUGAAAUAUUAAAUUUCCUAACACCUUUGGGCUAUAAUCUUGCUAGUUCUCAAAAACUAAGCGGGAUUGAACUUAGGCAGAAACUAAAUGAAAACAACAAAGAAUUCCUUACAUGCUGGUGUUUAAGAAGCAUUUUCGGGAGAAUAAACUACUGAGUUUCUUGUUCUGAGCUAAACCAUAAACCAGCUUCAGAAACAUGAUGUUCUCCCAUCCGAAGAAACACUUUGGAAAGAAUGGAUGAUUUCCAAUCUUAAGGACCGUGUCACAUCUUAAGAGUGGUAGCACGUUAGCUUUAUUAUCCCAGAAAGCCAUCCAGUGGACAAAUUUAAUUUAACUUUUUAUGUAAAUUCCCAAAACAGCAAAAUUCUGCCACAGGUGUUAGAUAACCCACCCAAAUCCAAAAUCUGAUGAGAAAUAAGAAAGAGACGAAAAUGGAAACUGCAUUGUUGCUUAGGGUGUUCAUACCUAGGUAGAAUAUUUCUGCAGAGAGGUUCUUGAAGCCAGGAUCAGAGGGAUCAAAAGGAAGAGGACCCAAGGCAAAAGCAGGGCCCCCCAAGAACUAAUUUACAUUCCUUUAAUAUUUUACCUGAUGAAAGAUCUGACCCUUGUUCAUAACUGUAAAUUCUGUAAUUACUGUAUUACAUUAGAAUUACAUUUGAAAUAGUUUAUUUCAAAGUGCCCUGAAGGAUAUUAUUAAUAAUGUCAAUAAUAAUUAGUCAGCAUUCAGCAUUUAAACAGACAAGUAGCUGAAGAGACAAGAGUAUCCAAGAGUAUCUUCCUUCCAUGCCUUUUUUUUUUUUUUUUUUAAAUAAGACAUUAGGUCUCGCUCUGUUGCCCAGGCCGGAGUGCAGUGGUGCCAUCAGAGCUCACGGCAGCCUUGAACUCCUGGGCUCAAGCGAUUCUCCUGCCUCAGCCUCCCAAAGUGCUGGGAUUACAGGCAUGAGCCACCACACCUGGACUAGUUUUAAUUUUUGACCCAACUUUUUGUUUGAGAAGUUUAUUUUGUGUGGCUGGUGUGUACCAUGUCCUGUGUGAAAUGAAUCCAUUUAUGUUUAAAAUUUGCUCAUUAUUCAGGGAAGAAAAAAAUUGUUCAGGCAUUGAGGGUGAAUGACAUAUGCUACCUGGCCAUUCUAGAUUGUAUUUAUUUUUAUCUAUUAUUUAUUUUGCCACAUGUGUAAUCCACAAAAACUACCUGUAUAGCAAAUGCAUUUCCCCCAUGAUGAUUUAGAGUGAGGCUACAGUGAUGCAGUAAAAAGGAAAGAAUUCCGGCCGAGUGCAGUGGCUCACGCCAGUAAUCCCAGCACUUUGGGAGGCCGAGGAGGGUGGAUCACCUGAGGUCGGGGGUUCGAGACCAGCCUGACCAACAUGGAGAAACCCCAUCUCUACUAAAAAUACAAAAUUAGCCAGGCAUGGUGGCGCAUGCCUGUAAUCCCAGCUACUCAGAAGGCUGAGGCAGGAGAAUGACUUGAACCCGGGAGACAGAGGUUGCGGUGAGCCGAGAUCGCACCAGUGCACUCCGGCCUGAGCAACAAGAGCAAAACUCCAUCUCAAAAAAAAAAAAAAAAAAAGUAAAAGAAUUCCAGAUGGCUGAUUUCACAUAUCUGACAGUCACAGAGGGGCUGUUUUUAGCUGAAAUAUCAACUAGAAAUUUUUUCAUAGGGAGAGGGAGCAGGGAAGAUGCACACACAGAAAUUGGCACUCAGCACCCUCUGAUUUCUCACCAAGAAAUCAGGUAACAUUUUAGAGUUUUAGUAUUAAUUAGUAAUUCCUACCCAAAAUUUUAUCUCAGAAAUUCCAAUUUCCAUAGGUUUAGAAUGUUUUCCCUGUUUAAUUAUUUUCUAUCUUUUAAAUUAAAUAUGCCUGCUUUAUUCAGAGGCGAGCCUUUCUUUACAUUUGUCUAAAGAAGAGCUUGGGGCAAUCUAAGGAGAUACAUAGACUAAUUCUCCAGAGUCUUAUUUGCAAUCCUAUCAGCAACUGAAUUUUAGUGCAGAAAAGUCAUUAGUGUCUGUUAGAGAAAAUGUGCAAAGCAUUUGAAAAUAAGGUGAAUUUUACAAGUCACAUAUUUUCUAGCAGAAAUUUAAAGUUUUUCUUUCUUUUCUUAGUUUACCUGUUGGAUUCAAGGCCCUGGGCUUUCCUCAAGUUCCCACAUGAAGAUGGCACACAUUAAAGCUACAUUUCAGACCCUAAUUUAUUUGCAUUUUCAAGAUUUUUCUCUUCACAGACAUUAGCUAUCUUAGGUGGUACCAUGAAGAAUAAAUGCCAUUAAAGGGUUACAGAAGAAAGCCAUGGUAUACUGUGGUCUAAUCCGUUUAACUAUUACAAUGAAAAGAUUUUUUACCAUGGGAUUAGGGUCAUAAAAACAACUAGACUAGGAAUUGCCAUUCCCAUCCAGGUACCUGCUGCCAAUGAGGCUAGCAAUAGUAACAAAUUUGACAACCCUCCCUUCCCCUGACCCUAACACAAAUGUACACAACACUAUUCUCUUUGAAAUGCUCCAAACAAGGUCAAAUAUAAAGUGAUGCAGAUUGAAAUAUGCAAUUAUUUCUCUCAUUUAGAUUUUAAUUAUUCUUAAACUCAACCUUGUUAUUUAACCUUGACCUAUGUAGUUUUCUUAAUAUCACUUAGAAGUGAAUUACAAAAAAAUCUCUUGCAUUCUGUCCUAUUUGCAAUUCAAAAAACAGUCUGGGUUAACUGCAACUCACAAAUAUUGCUUCUUCUAUAAGAAGACAUGUCUUUCUAAUAAUAUCUUGCAUUCAGAAAUAGCUAUGAAAUUUGUGGAGUUAUGUGCAAAAUAAAAAUGUGAGCCCCUUGUUAAAAAAUUAUUAAGAAUUUCAAGAUGGUGACAACAGUGCAAUAAACCAAGUGUGGGGCCCUUCUAAGCAUAGGGCACUGUACAGCUGCACAGCUUGCAUGCCCAUGAAGCUGACCUCACUUAUGUUUAUACGUUAAUUUCAUAGUUAAUACACAUAAACUAAUUUAUUUGAUUCUCAUAACCACUUGUGAGGUAGGCAGAGAAACUAACAGCAGUCUUAUUUUUUUUUCUUGAUAUGUACAGCAUCUGACAUUCAAACAACAUGUAUGACCACCCAACUUGUAAGUGAUUGUAUUAGUCAAGGUUUUCUAGAGGGACAGAACUAAUAGGAUAUAUAUAAAGGAGAGUUUAUUAAGUAUUAACUCACAUGAUCACAAGGUCCCACAAUAGGUCGUCUGCAAGCUGAGGAGCAAGGAGAGCCAGUCCAAGUCCCAAAACUGAAGAACUUGGAGUCCAAUGUUCGAGGGCAAGAAGCAUCCAGCAUGGGAGAAAGAUGUAGGCUGGGAGGAUAGGCCAGUUUUGUCUUUUCAUGUCUUUCUGCCUGCUUGUAGCCACACUGGCAGCUGAUUAGAUGGUGCCCAUCCAGAUUAAGGGUGCGUCUGCCUUUCCCAGCCCACUGACUGAAAUGUUAAUCUCCUUUGGCAACACCCUCACAGACACACCCAGGAUCAAUACUUUACAUCUUUCAAUAUAAUCAAGUUGACACUCAGUAUUAACCAUCACAAGUCCACCUCUUGUCAACUUGAACACAUAUACAUCCCCUGAGAUUAUACAUAAUCUUCAAAUAAAGACAAUAAUAAGGUCAUAAUUAUGCCUAACGUAAUACAUCUAUCCUUCAUAUAACUGAAAAUGCACCAAUCCCCAACCCAAAUACUAUUACAUAAAGUUAACAAUUCUUAAAUAUUGAUAUGAAGUCAAUAAAUCUUAUGUUACAUGAUAAAGGAAAAAGGAAAUUAAAUGAAGAUAUUUUCUUAGUGCAAGUGUAUACAUGCACAAAUACAUUUUUAACAAAAGGAUGAAAUACUCAUGACAAUUACAGUCCUCAUUUAUACAGCUGGCCACAUGGCUGUAGCUGAUAUUGAUGACUACCUUCUUCUACUACCCAUUCUGUAUUCCCUUUGCCUUCAGCAAGCACCUCAGCAGGUUGUGGUUUUUUUCCUGGAAGAGUGACCCAAACCUUCAUUCCUGAAGGGUCUAGGUCCUCGUGCAUUGGGCUGUUGUAGUUUCCCAUUGACCUUAAUCAUAGGGCAUGGUAAUACUAAGAGACACCCUAAUGGAUAUCCUGUAUUCCAUGCAUAUUCUUCCUUGCCUUUGUUGUGGAGCCAUAGACUUAUUUCAUCUUGAUAGUCUGGGUCAAUCACCCCAGCCAACACUGUGACUCCCUUCUUAGCCUGUUGACUUAAAGGUAGGAGGAGCCCAAAGUGUCCACUGGCAAUCUUCCAGUUUAAUGGAAUCAUUGUGUCUCGUGGUGGCAGUGUUCCUCCCUCUGGAACUAAGACCUCUAGGCCAGCAGAACAUAAUGUCCUGGGAACAGGAAGCAAAAAUUUUGCUAGUGGAUCACUAGGGGUGAUGAUGAGUUGUACCACUUCCACCCCUUGAUUCCUGGACCCGUGAAUCUGGCUAUAGGAGAAACAGUGCCAUGUAUUGGAAGCUGAUUCCGAGCAUACAUGGCCUUCUGGGGAACUUUGCCCCAGCCUUGCAAAGUAUUGUCACAUAGUUGGCAUUGUAAUCGUGACUUCAAAAGGCCAUUCCACCGUUCUGUCAAUCCAGCUGCUUCAGGAUGGUGGGGAACAUGGAAAGAGCAGUGAAUUCCAUGAGCAUGAGCAGCCUGGACCUGUUGCAGAGCCUUCUCCUGUUCUGGACCCUACUCAAAACUGGCAGCCUUUUGGGUCACUCGAUAAAUGGGCUGGAGUAACACACCCAAAUGAGAAAUGUGUUGCCUCCGAAAUCCAAAUAGGCCCAUUAGGUGUUGUGCCUCUUGGUUGUAGGAGGGACCAAAUGCAGCAACUUAUCCUUCACCUUAGAAGGAGUAUCUUGACAGGCUCCACAACACUGGAUCCCUAGAAGUUUUACUGAUGUAGAAUGUCCCUGAAUUCUAGUUGGAUUUAUUUCCCAUCAUCUGGUGGGCAGAUGUCUCACCAAUAAGUCUAGUGUGUUUGCUACUCCUUGCUCACUGGAUCCAAUCAACAUAAUGUCAUCAAUAUAAUGGAGCAGUGUGAUAUCUUGUGGAAGUAGAAAGUGAUCAAGGUCUCUCCGAAUAAGAUUAUGACACAAAGCGAAAGAGUUGAUAUACUCCUGAAGAAGGACAGUAAAGGUAUAUUGCUGGCCUUGCCAGCUGAAGGCAAAUUGCUUCUGGUGGGCCUUAUGGACAGGAAUGAAGAAAAAGGCAUUUGCCAAGUCAAUGGCAGAAUACCAGAUACCAGGAGAUGUGUUAAUUUGCUCAAGCAAUAAAACCACAUCUGGUACAGCAGCUGCAGUUAGAGUUACCACUUGGUUAGGCUUACGAUAAUCCACUGUCAUUCAAGAUCCAUCUGUCCUCUGCACAAGCCAAAUGGAAGAGUUGAAUGGGGAUGUGGUGAGAGUUACCACCCCUGCGUCUUUCAUGUCCUUGAUGGUGGCACUAAUCUCAGCAAUCCCUCCAAGGAUGUGAUAUUGUUUUUGAUUUACUAUUUUUCUAGGUAGAGGCAGCUCUAAUGGCUCCCAUUUGGCCUUUCCUACCAUAAUAGCCCUUAUUCUACCAGUCAGGGAGCCAAUGUGGGAGUUCUAUCAGCUGCUAAGUAUGCCUAUCCCAAUUAUGCCUUCUGGCACUAGAGAAAUAACCACAGGAUGAGUCCGGAGACCCACUGGACCCACUGUAAGUCAGACCUGAGCUAAAAGUCCAUUAAUUACCUGACCUCCAUAAUCCCAUACUUUAACUGGAGGGCCACAGUGACGUUUUGGGUUCACUGGAUUAAACGUCAGCUCAGAGCCAGUGUCCAGUAGUCCCCAAAAUGUCUGAUCAUUUCCUUUUCCCCAAUGCACAGUUACCCUGGUAAAAGGCCAGAGGUCUGUUUGGAGAAUGAUGGGAGAAAGAUUAACAGCAUAAAUUGUCAGUAGUGUAGUGGGGUCCUUCCUCUAGUGGACCUGGCCUCCCCUUCAUUCAAGAGGUUCUGGGUCUGUAAACUGGCUGAAGCCUGGAAAUUCAUUGAGGGGCCGUGAAUCUCUGUUUUUAUAAUUCAAAUUAAUCUUUUUUCCAUUCAACCUAGAAGUUUUCUGCUUAUCUAAAUUAAGUAGGAAUGCAGUAGGCUUCCUAUCAAUUUCAUUCCUAGGAACACCAUGAUUAAUUAGCCAAUGCCAGAGCUCUACAUGAGUCAGAAAAUUCUGAUUGCUGCUUUGCCUCUGCUGUCCAUUAUGGUAGCUAUGCCUACCUUGCCUUUGAUUGUUGAGUGCCACUACUUGGCCCCUGCCACCUUGGGAUCCAAUUAUUCCCAUUGUAUUUAAAUUUUGUAGUUGAAUGACUGCAGUUCCCACUGUUAGACCUGACAUACAGAGAAGAGCAAUUACAGCGCUCUUCAAAAAUGCAGGUGCUACCCCCACAAAUCUAUUUCGCAAGGCAUUGGUCAAGGGUAUAUCUUCUGGACCCUCCCAGCUGGGAUGAAUAGGUCUGAAGUGACUAAUCCACUCCACCAUCCCAAUCUCUCUAAGCCUGUGGAUCCCUUCCUCUACAUUAAACCAAGGGAGAUCAGGCGUUUGCAGCUCACUCACAGUAGGUCAUCCAUAUUUUAGCUAACCAAGCAAAUAAACUAUAAGAACUUUUUUAACUCCCCGAGCUGCAACAUUAAAUGAAGAGUCCCUACUUAGUGGGCCGAAAUCAAUAAAUUCAGUCUGAUCCAACUCUGUGCUCCUUCCACCAUUAUUCCACACCCUUAAUAUCCAUUCCUAUGCCUGUUCUCCAGAUUUCUUCUUAUAUAAAUUAGAAAACUCAGGCAGUUCUUUUCAAGUGUAGCUCACCUCCUCAUGGUUCACACUCUCAACUUCACCUCUAGGGGCCUGCUGGGACUUUAGUCUAGUUAUAGGUCUGAAAGCAAACAGGGGUGUUGGGGGUGGCUCCUGAGGAUAAUCAAUACUAUCUUGUCUGGCAACUGCCUCAGGGGAGGCCAUUACUGUUGCCUCAGGCAGCACAGGGUUUAUCUCCUCAGACAAAGGUGGAAAGGCUGAUGGCAGCAUGGGUUGGGGGUUGGGGGGAUGUUGCCACUACUGGGGAUGGGGAAGCUGUUUCUUCUGGCAAACAAGAUUCAUCAGAGUUUACAAACUCAGUGUCCCCAGCUUCAACAGGGUCCUCCCACACAUCCCUAUUACAAGUUUCAGGGCCCUGUUCUUUUCCAAUCAAUUCCCUCACUUUAACAGUAGACACCUGGUGGGGCUGUGCAUGCACCUUUCAUUGCAGGUCAGCCACUCGUAUGAUAAGAGCUUGUGUCUGUUUUUCCACAAUUUCAGUUCUUUCUCUACAGGAGAUAAGACUCUCACUCAGGGCAAUCUUAAUAGAUUUGAGGCUCAGUAUCUGCUUCUAAAGCUGGGAGUUAGAAUCCCUGAGUUUAUCCUUUUCUUUCAUCACUUGGUCCACUGAACUUAGAAACAACCAACCAGCUUCAUUGUGUUCCUUGGUUCUCCACAUAUGGUCAAAGGUAUUAUGUAUAGAGUCACUAAACUCCUUGCCUCUCAUGAGUGGUGAAUCAGGAGUGUCAAAUGCAUUUAUUUUGCAUAACUCUGUAAGCAGUUCAUGCCAAGGACUAUCAGUGUUCUCCAUACUAUUUGAAGUAGAAUCCUUAGGAUUUGGGGGUCUAAUUUUAUUAAGCAGCCAACUCCAGAAACCCCAAAACAAACUAAAGAACUCCAUCCUUAGUAUUCUGUUCCUCUAGAACCACUCCUGGCACCAAAAUCUAUAUUAGACAGGGUUCUCUAGAAGGAGAGAACUAAUAGGAGAUAUAUAAAGGGUAGUUUAUUAAGUAUUAACUCACAUGAUCACAAGGUCCCACAAUAGGCCAUCUGCAAGUUGAGGAGUAAGGAGAGCCAGUCCAAGUCCCAAAACUGAAGAACUUGGAGUCUGAUGCAGGAAGCAUCCAGUAUGAGAGAAGAUGUAGGCUGGAAGGCUAGGUCAGUCUAGUGUUUUCACGUUUUUCUGCCUGCUUUAUAUUCUAGCUGCACUGGCAGCUGAUUAGAUGGUGCCCACCCAGAUUAAGGGUGAGUCUGCCUUCCCCAGCCCACUGACUCAAAUGUUAAUCUCCUUUGGCAACACCCUCACAGACACACCCAGGAUAAAUACUUUGCAUCCUUCAAUCCAAUCAAGUUGACACUCAGUGUUAACCAUCACAGUGAUGGAGUUCUAACUCUGGCCUUCCAACAUCUCUUCCAUUGCUCCUUCUACUAUACUACAUUGCUUCUUUAUGAAAACAGCAUCACAAAAGUGUAACUACCUGUUAAUUAGAUACACUUUGUUAGUAUGCAAUUACAGAAAUAAUAAGCAUGUAAAAAUGACCACAAAUUGGUAUCCCUUUGAAAUUCUGUCAGUAACUCAAUGGUUAUUCAAUCACUAUUGUUAAAAAAAAAAAAAUUAAAUGGGCCUGUAAUCCCAGCUACUUGGGAGGCUCAGGGAAGAGGAUUACUUGAGCCUAGGAGUUCAAGACCAGCCUGGGCAACAUUGUGAGACCCCAUCUCUAAAUAAAUAAGUAAGUAGGUAAAAGUUAAAUGAGAGGCCAUUAGGCUGAGAUGGCUCCAGCAUUCUGGGUUCCAAAAUAACCAAACUGAAACUCAUCUCAGAGUAAUUUAACCAAUCAGAAAUUGCCCACUAACCUAUAAUUGGGGACUUUUCACUUUAACCAAUCAAAUAUAUAUUUUUAAAUUAUGCUUCCAUGACUACCUUAUAAGUUUUCCUUUUGCAUCUGUUGGGGUGGAGCCCCAAAGUGCCUGUGGUGUGGAGCUGCCCGAUUUAUGAAUUGCUGUCUGCUCAAAUAAACUCUUUAAAAUUUUAAUGUGCCCAAGUUUAUCUUUUAAUAUUGUUAACCUAAGACCUGAGUGUUCUUUUUCCAACUGAGAAACAAACAAAGCAAAACUAAAUGAAACUAAAAGCAAAACGAGCAAACCAACAAAAACAACAUUACUGUUUCUCACCAAGAGUAGUUCCAGGCAAUGGAAAUCUUUAUGUCCUUUGCCUGUUCACAGCCUUCAGCAAGCCCCUUACAACCUUACUACCAAAAUUCAUUAUAGUACUUUUUUUUCCACCUGCAUUUUUGAGAGUUACUAAUGGCAGAACUCAGUCAAGAAAACAGCUUGUUAUUAAAAUAGUUGGCCUCUCUCCUGAAAGAGAGCUCCAAGAGAAAACCACAAAUUGUCUUUUCUAUAUAUCUAUUAAUUCAUUUCCAAAACAGGAAAAAAUUAAGAAAAGAUCAUGCUGUUCUCUCCUCUCCCAUUAUUGUCAGUUGUGUAAAAUCUGCUCUUGACCCUGCUAUAAUUUCUUUCCAAUCAGGAAAAUGUUGCCAUAGCAACCAAUUUACUAACUCAGUCAAUUGGCUUUGCUCAGGUUUCUCUGAAUACUCAAUUAACAUGAAUUGCUUCAUUCAUCUAGAAAUUUGAUUUUGACUUCCUACUAUGUGCACGGCACCAGAUCCAGUCUCGUGUCAGAAAUCAAAGUUUGCAGGUCUGAAAGAGAAAACUGCUAGGCUGACAAUAAAGAAUUAAAGAUGUAAAAUACACACACAUUUGAAUUUUAUAUAAUGUACAGAAUUUAUAUAUUAUGUAUAUUUGUAAAAAUAUACAUAUUUUGUACAUUAUAUUUAGUUAUUUAAUGUUUUGAGGUCCCGUUGGUUUUGGGGAUUGUGCACUGGUAUUUUGAAUCUAGGGACUUUGGGUGGGAUGUUGCUUGCUUUUUGAAAUGUAGGGGAUGGGAAAGGAGGCUGGCUGUCAUAAUUCAAGAGUAAUUGCUUCUUGAAUGCAGAACAAAAGAACUGCUAAUAAUUUAGUUUAACUCAGCUUUCCUUUCAGUGCACAAUAUAGUCUAGUUCAUUCAUUAUAGAGAGCACAAUUGUUACAAGGAUGGAAACCAGAGAGAGCCCUUGUGCAGGGAUAAUCAUUAUGCAGAGUGUAUUAUAUUCAGAUCAACAAAGAUUUGUUUAAAUAAUGAUAAUAAUUAGUAUUUUUGAAAUCCCUUUCAUUUGCAUACACUUCAUAUUUUGGAAGUGCUCUCCAGGAUCUUGUAAUCUCACAAAUAUUCUAGAUCUUGUAGAUCAUAGGAAUAAAUUCCUAGAACACUACAUUUCAGUGGGGCUUAGUUUGGGGCCGAGGGAAAAGUUAUUUCCUUCCCUUGAAAGUAGGCUGUAUUUAUGUCUUUGCUAAAGGAUAGAACCCCCAAGUCCCCAUUCUUUCUCUGUGUGAGGAGAGGGGAGAGAGAAAGAAAGAGAGAAAAAGAGAUAAAAAUAUUUUAAGGAUGAAGGUGGGAAUGUCAACAUACACUGUCCUGAGAGAUAGCAAUUUGGAUUACAGCCCUCCUCUCUUAGAAUGGGGUGGAGGAUUGAAGAAAGACACUGCCUCUUAUAUUUCCUUCCAAGCCAAGCUUCUGGCUCCCAUCCUGGGUUGUCAACUUUUUACAUUUGUGCAUUUGAUUUCUCUGUAAGUUUCAAGAUUCUUGAAAACAAGGGUCAUAUUUUUGUAUACUCUGGAGAGCUUUCACAUCAGAGGUGAAGAUAUAAAAUAGAUGUUUGUUGUUUUUUUUUAUUGAAUGCCACAGAAGCACACACAAAUAUACACACAAUUAGUUGUUUGUUCAUAUAAAAUUUCCCAGGCUUCCUGACUUUAGCACUUGAGGAUAUAUGGCCUAGCUCUUUCUUACCAAUUCCCAAUACUCUACAAGGAUGCCAGCAGCAUCCAUUAAGGCAGGCUUAAUCUCCUGAGUUCUAAGGAAAAUUUAUACCCCUCAUUUCUGCUACUGGCCAAAGUCACCUUCGCCAUAUUCUUUAGGGAGAUCUUAAAAUAGCAGAAAGAUCCCAAUUUCCAGUUCCAACCCUAUUCCAAAUUGGUUUUGCAACCUUAAAAAAAUUACUUAGCCUAUUUGUGCCUCAGUAUUCUCAACUGUCAAAUCAGUUUCAUUAGGCCUCACUUAUCUGUUUCACUUGUUUGUAGCAGUUACCAAAUUAGUGAAGAACAUCAAAUGGUGUCACUGAAGAAAGAGAACUUAGAAAUCAUCUAAAGCAGCCCGAUAUUUUAGAGAAUCACUGAUAUUCAUAAUUACCUAAAGUCACACAAUAGGAAAUCCGUGCCUGUGUUUCACUUUUAUAUUCUAAUAGUACUUUCUGUUAAGAUUCUGAAAGCACCUGGAAAGGUGCAAGUGCAAAAUGUUAUGAUUGGUAUUUGUUAUAUGACUCCUUCAAGCUCUGCAAGGAAUGCUGAGGAUGAUGAAGCUCAUGACAGCAAUGCCUUUAUCAGUGGUCAUAAUAAGAAACUGGUACUUCAGCUGCCAAGGAAGGGGUAGGAAAUUAGGCAGUGUCUUUUAAUAAAUUAAAAAUCGAAGUCUCCAAGAUAAUAAUGAAAACAGCAUCUGCAUAUAGAAAAGAUAGCUAGAACCCCGGGACCUGGCUUUUUUUUCCCUAGACUCGCCUUCCUCUUGAGAGUGUUGCUAUUCCAUGUUGCCAUCUCCAUGCUGGCUACAAGGUAGUGAUGGUUAGCGGGGGAGAGGCUGUUUCCCCUUUGUCCCCGUGGAUGGACAAAUUACAGAUAAUGAGGUAUUCAUCAUCAUUUUCUGUAGCACAGCUGAAAUCAGGCUCUUAUUUUUUACAAGAUGAAUAAAUGUUUAGAGACAGUAGGAGGGAAACAAACUCAAAAACAUGUAACUAGAUAAUCUUGUUUCUAAAAUCCAAGAUACUCAUCCUCAGCUUGUCAUUUCCCAAAAGAUACAUUCAGACCAUGCUCCCAGAAUAUCUCCAUGUGACCAUUGUAACCAGUACUAGAAACGUUUGCAGUUAUGUAAGGGUUCCUAGAAUGAGGUGCUAAAGAGGGACUCUAUUUUCCUUGCUGUUGUUGCUUACGACUCACCUUUUAUCUUGGAGGGGAAUUAAAAUAUCAACUUUAAUAUAUUGUUCAGUGAAGAUAGCAAUAUUUGAAACAGCAUGUAUAGUAGGCCAUCAUUUGUGCAAAAAAAUGGGAUACUCCCACAUACCUACAUACAAUAUGCUUGUAAAUACAUGGAGUAUCUCUGGAAGGAUACAUAAGUAACUGGUAACAGUGGCUACUUUUGGAAAAUUUGACGGGAGGAUUGAGGCCAAGAGUGGGAAAGAGGAAAAUAAACUUUUUACUGUAUACCUUUUUGUAUUGUUUGACUUUUUACCAUGGGCAUAUGUUAUUUUUUAAAAAACAGUUUAUAUAUUACAGUUUUUAAAAAGAAUACAAAUAAAUAUCAGCUUUAUAGCUAAUAAGCUGAAUUGGAGAAUGUGGCUUGGACCUGAAGCUGAAAUGAAUUUCUACCACAAAUCUAAGGACUUUCAGAUCCCCCACUCCGAGGGGAGAGAGUUGAGUCUACAUAGCAUAUGUUUGGCAGGCCAGGUAGUGAAGGACUGCAGUCUUUUCCACACCCUGCUGUGUGGAAUAAGCUCAAGAGCCAAGAGGGGCCUAGGCUGUCUAUCCAUUAUAACCCUUUUCUGAAUCUCAUCAAGUUAUUCCUCCUCCCAUGCAUAAGGUUGAAUGAGUGGCAAGAGGAGAUGGGUAGAAACUUGCUUCCAAAUAUUUUUGAAAGAUGCAAGACUUUAUUUUUUUUUCCUUGAAGACUUACGUUUUAAAUUUUAGUUUUCUAUGUGAUGAUUUGCUUCUUCCCCCAAAUGACUGACUUUGGAAAAGUCUAUUCCCAUUAAGAUAGAUCUCUCUCCAACCCGGUUCCAAUCUUCUCAGGGGGAUUAGCAAAGGCCUUGGCUGAGACUGCCUCACAGAUCACUAUUUCCCUUUUAUAAUCCUACUUCUUUCACUUCCCUGCAGGUUUUGAUGCCAAGGUCACUUCCUAAUAAACUUCCUGAAUGCAAAUCUUGACCUUAGGGUCUGUUUCCCAGGUAACCCAAUCUAGGAGGGAUGGUUUCAGAAAUAAUAGAAAGAAGCAGGCUCUAAAAUGGGAUUUUGCAGCUAGUUCUGCUGCUAAUUAGCUGGCAAUUAGGGUCUUCAUUGCUAGGGGUAGGUAAAGCACUGAUAAUCCCUGACAUACAAAAACUUAUUAACAUUUUCACAGGUUGUAAAAUAGGCCUUUGAAAUAUUUGGGUGGAAUAUUACUAAUAAGGGCAAUGGAAUCAAAUGUUUUUUGUUAAAUGCCAUCAAUUCACUGGAGAAAAAGAAGGAAAGGCUAAGGGUAAUUAAUCAGAAAUGGAAGUUCAAAUGUGAAAGCCAUAGGAGCUGUUUGGGAUCAUGUAAACAGAAUGUUAUCUCCUGUAGUGAUAGGGCAGGAAAAGCUAAGGAUUUUGUCCAGGACCUGAUCAUAAGAGUAACUGAAGAGCUGAGAAAGAGGAAUGCUCAGUUCUAAAAUAUCUGCUUGCCAAGAUCAAGGCCUGGUUAUUAGGAAGGGUGGGACCCUGAUACUGGGGGAUGGAAACAUUUGUACUGAUUCAUCAAAAACCUUGAAAGCCUAGAUUCCCCUGAAGUAGCUCAUUUCUCCCUGUUACAGGCUGCCUCUCCAGUAUUGCUUGAAGACUAUGCAAAAGCUUCUGCCUUGCAAAUCAACUUGCAUCUGUAUCAGGAUAUGCUCUCACCUCCCCUCCUGGUCCCUGGGCUGGCCAUUUAAGGGAGAAAAGGGACUAAAUUUCAAAAGGAGCUGAGGGACCCAGCCAAUACCUACUAGCAGAAGCUGGGAAAAUAUACAUGUUGACUAUCCUAAUAUAAAAAUGUAAACUCUGAAAUGCUCCAAAAUAUGAAACUUUUUGAGUGCCAACAUGAUACUCAAAGGAAAUUCUCACUGGAGCAUUUUAGAUUUUUAGAGUUUUGGAUUAGGGAUGCUAAGCCAGUAGUGCAAGUAUUUCAAAAUCCAAAAAAUUGUAAAAUCCAAAACACUUCUGGUCCCAAAAUUUUGGGUAAGGGGUACUUAACCUCUGUAUGGUACUGGAUCAUGAGGUUCUGGAUCAAGGAAAAGCAGAAGAUAAGGUUGGAUAAGUGUGAGUUUAUUCAUAUGGGCACAUUCUCCCAUGAUAUAGAAUUUGACUUCUGACAUGAGCUUCUGCUUCAUUUAUCGUUCACUCAUACCUUAUAAUCAGUAAUAGUGGGAAUCUUUUUUUUAGGUUUCUGUACAUUUUAAGGUACUGUACCAAGCUACUAACCUGUUGCUCACAUUUUGCCCACUCUCUUCCUGGAAUUCCAUUACCACCUUUCUUUACUUGAUUAUAUCCAGCUCAUCCUUCAUGAUUUAGCUCAUCUCCAAAUCCUCAGCUAAGGCUAAGUAUACAUUCUUAAUUUUCUCAUAGCACCUUUUUCAGAUCUCUUAUAUGGUGAGCUCAUUUAUUUAUUGAACUUUGUCUUCCACUUCAUUCUCAAAGUCAAGAAUUAAGUGUUAUUUAUCUUUGUAUUCUUUAUGUCCACCAUGGUUCCUUUCACAUAGAGGCACACAACAAGUAUCGGCUGAACUACAUGAAACACACUAACAAGUGUCAUUUUCUAUGUGAAGCCUUUUCCAACCAUGAGCAAAGCUUUGCUUACAGCUAUAGUCACUGUUACCAAGCUGCAGGUUGAGGCUACUACUUUUGUGGAUUGGUCAGUGAAUGAGUUUUAAAGUUAUUGUGUAAAUACAGUUUGAUAUGUGGUAUAUAUUCUGUGAGAAUAACCCAUUUCUCAAUGUAGGGAAGGUUUCUUUCUAGAUGGAGGAAGAGGACAGUAAGUAAACUGGGUAAAUUAGCUUCCCAAGUUUGCUGCAUCUAGUCUAAUUCCCCUUCCAUCACACAACACAUAGAAAACAAUCCUGUCUCAGUCUGCUUUAUGCUGCUAUUACAGAUACCACAGACUGAUUAAUUUAUAAUGAACAGAAAUGCAUUUGGCUCACACUUCUAGAGGCUAGGAAGUUUAAGAUUGAGAGAACACAUCUGGAGAGAACCUUCUUGCUGCAUCAUAACAUGGCAGAAGGCAUCACAUGAGCAAGAGAGAACAAGAAUAGGGGCCAAACUCAUCUUUGGUGAGUAAAGACUUCACUCCCAUGGUAACAAACCCACUGCUGCAAUAACUGCAUUAAUCCAUUCAUGAAGGCAGAGCCCUUAUGAUCUAAUCAUCUCUUAAAGAUCCCAUCUCUCAAUACUGUUGCACUGGGGUUAAGUUUUCGACACGUUAACUUUGGAAGACACAUUCAAAUUAUAGCAAAUCUUAUUCUACUUAUAUCAAAGAUUUUAGCUAUAGAGAGAUCAGUUGCCUUUCAUUUAACAAGGGUUUCGGUUGCAUGAAGAAAAAUUGAUUAAAACUCACUUAUUACAAAGUAUAAAGCCAAAACUUAGAGUUAAAAAGUAAAUGUAAAAAUAACUCAGCAUUUUUCUUCUCCUAAUAUUGGUAAAAGCAAACUCUAAAACUCUGGAAUGCUCUAUUCUGCUCUUUAAACUUUGUCGUUGAAGUUAAAUUAGCUAGUAUGAUAUCACAUAUUUUUCAAUUUGAUAGAAGAGUAUCAGGGAAUAAUGAUCAUUGUGCAUAAAUGAAGAGAGUGGCUGCCCUCUUUACUAUGAAUUUAGUUUGCCAAAAAGACCACCCACACCAGAACAUUGCCACCUGUUGAAGCCUAAAAUUCUACUUAAAUUCCAGUAGGACCCUGCAACCUGACUGCAGAUUCUAUGUAUGCAUUUGUUAGGCAUAUGUGUGCCAAGUGCAAGGCAAAUUCUCCCAGGAGAAGCAACAUGUUUACAUGAAUGAGCUCAUAUCAAUGAAAAAGAGAAAGGAAUCAAUACUUGUGGAGAAGACAGUGUCAGUUUAUAGAGGGAAAGCAUGAAGAGAGAAAGCUUGGUCGGGUGGGAUGGCUCAUGCCUGUAAUCCCAGCACUUUGGGAGGCUGAGGCAGGUGGAUUGCUUGAGGACAGGAGUUUGAGACCAGCCUGGCCAACAUAGUGAAACUCCAUCUCUACUAAAAAUACAAAAAUUAGCUAGGCACGGUGGCAGGCGCCUGUAAUCCCAGCUACUUGGGAGGCUAAGGCAGGAGAAUUGCUUGAACCCAGGAAGCAGAGGUUGCAGUGAGCUGAAAUUGCCCCACUGCACUCCAGCCUGGGCAACAGAGUGAGACUCCAUCUCAAAUAAAAUAAAAUGAAAUAAAAUAAAAUAAAAUAAAAGAGAAGGCUGAUGCUAUAGGGAAUAAGUUGGCUACCUCAAAAUUAAUCUGAAAGCUUUACCUGGUUGAGAAAGCUCAUAUUAAAUAUAUACUUUUAAAAAUUUGAGAACAUAAUGGAUCCUUGCCAUUGUUAGAUUCUUUUUUUUUAUUAUUAUUAUUAUACUUUAAGUUUUAGGGUACAUGUGCACAUUGUGCAGGUUAGUUACAUAUGUAUACAUGUGCCAUGCUGGUGUGCUGCACCCACUAACUCGUCAUCUAGCAUUAGGUAUAUCUCCCAAUGCUAUCCCUCCCCCCUCCCCCCACCCCACAACAGUCCCCAGAGUGUGAUGUUCCCCUUCCUGUGUCCAUGUGCUCUUAUUGUUCAAUUCCCACCUAUGAGUGAGAAUAUGCGGUGUUUGGUUUUUUGUUCUUGCGAUAGUUUACUGAGAAUGAUGAUUUCCAAUUUCAUCCAUGUCCCUACAAAGGACAUGAACUCAUCAUUUUUUAUGGCUGCAUAGUAUUCCAUGGAUUGUCUAUGAGCUUUAGAGAACUGGAGGGAGGAAGGUACUGUAGGAAUAUCUUUAGAAGCACGUCAUUCAUGUCAUUGGGAGGAGUGUCAGAGGAUCCAGUGUAAUGGUAGUCAAGGGACUUUCAAGUAUCAGGUAGUGAACAUAAUCACACAGUAACUGGUAACCCUUUAGAAAGUAAAAAUGAUGCCUGAUUAAGCAAGGCAUGUAUAGGAACAGCACAAAACUUUUUAGGGUUAGAGUGUAAGAUGUCUCUUUGGGAGGUUGCAAUCAGUCUGCAGAGAUAAGACUUGAAUGCCUUAUUAAGUAGGUCAGCAUUUAUCCAGUGAUUUUUUUCUUUUUUUUGAGACAGAGUUUCGCUCUUGUUGCCCAGGCUGGAGUACAGUGGUUCAAUCUCGGCUCACUGCAACCUCCGCCAUACGGGUUCAAGCAAUUCUCCUGCCUCAGCCUCCCGAGUAGUUGAGAUUACAGGCAUGUGCCACCACGCGUGACUAAUUUUUUAUUUGUAGUAGAGACAGAGACAGGGUUUCACCGUGUUGGUCAGGCUGGUCUCGAACUCCUGACCUCAGGUGAUCUACCAGCCUUGGCCUCCCAAAGUGCUGGGAUUACAGGUGUGAGCCACCGUGCCCAGCCUCGCCAACGAUUUUAAGCAGAGACAUGACACCAUGUUCAUAUUUGAUAAAAAUAACUCCCAGAUGGUAUGUAGAAUGGGAUGGAAUGUAGAAGAUAACAAUGUAGAAGUCCAGGCAAAUGCAGUCAUCAUCUAAGGUCCAUGUAUAUCAGAAUUACCUGGGGCAAAGGGGAAAAUUAUUGUUAACUUCCAAUUAUCAGGGUCCAUCCCAGAUCUACAAAAUUAGAAUUUCUAGGCACAAGGCUUAAUCUACUUUUUCAAAAAUACCCCAAGGAAGAUGUUAGACCCACUAAAUUCUGCUCUAAAGGAAUAAAUUCUCAUACUUUAGGGCUCACCAAUAUCACUUAUGCAUAGCUAGGUGAUAUUGGCUCCCACCCUUGGGAUUCUGAUUCUAUAUAUCUGAAGCCCAGGAAUCUUUACUUCUGAAAAGCUCCUCCAUCUGCUCAGUUCUGGGGCAAAAAUAAAAAUAAAAAGCCCUUCUGUUGAUUCUGAUAAUUUUCCAAGUUUAAGAACUACAGAAAGAAUUAAUUGAUAUUGAGAAUGGAAAGAGGAUAUUUUCUUCAGAAAACCUAUUCAUGAUAUAAUAGAUAAAAUACAAUGCCAGAUUUAUAUGUUAAAAGUGAGGAAAGAGUCAAAGACAGAAUGACUUAAUGGAAAGAAAACAGGUUUAGGAUUCUGGAGACCUCACUGCACAUCCUGCCUCUGUUCCUGUUAGCUGUUGUGACCUUGGGCGCAUGAUUUAUUUCUCCCUCUGUGUUCUGUAAAAUGUGAAAUAAAUGAGUUAGACUUUAUAUGUGUUCCCAAAUACGUUCCACAGGUGUUAUACAGAUGUGAUACACUUGCACAAUAAUGGUUUGAUGGGUAAAUAUUUUUGAAAAUUUGACUUUAACAAAUGAAACAGUUUAUUUACAGGUUAACAUGUCAGAACACUUAAUGUAUUUACAUGUACUGUAAAACUCUAAAAAGGAGUUGAAAACGAAGUGUUUUACAUACUUACUUGACCACACACUUUUUUUUGAGGGAUAUUUGAUUUACUUAAUCCUUUGCAGAACGUAGGACUAAGUGAUUUUUUAAGCUAUUCUAUCUAACUCCAAAAUGCUUUGAGAUCUAUAGUGCCUAGCCAAGGUGACUAAGAAAGAGGUGAAACAAUUAAGUAGGUAUAAAAUGGAAGAGACAGGGAAACAUUCAGUUUGGGGAUUAAGAGGUCUUAUGUGCCUUGGUUCACAAAUGAAAGCACUUGUUGACAUGAUGAUGGAAUUAUAAAGUCCUCCAGAAUAUGUAGUAAGUAACUUUACAAGAGACAUAAACAUAAAGCAUUGGGAGUCUGAAUUUGCAGCUCAGUGUCAGCCAGGUAGCUUAUCUUGCCGCAUGUUUAUUGUGGUUUAAAAUUGCUGUCUUUAGUUUUGAAAAUUCAUAAUCAUGAGACCUUCUUGCACUGCUUCUCCAUCAAAUAUUACUUUUUUUUUCUUUUUUCUGUGGUUUGGUUAUACAUUUAGAACUCCAAUUGAGUGCAAUGGGUUGACUAGUACACCAGGUUCCCUACUUUCCUUAUUGCUUUUUAUCCUUAGUCUUUUUUGUCACACCAUGUUCCUUUGCCCCACUCCAUUUCUGGCUCAUUGUCUGAUUGCAAGCAAAUCACUUAAUCUUUCAGCAGAUCAGUUCCUCUGUGUAUAGAACCAGGAUGAUAUGGUUACCUCCUGCCCAACUUGGAUGGAUGGUAUAAGGAUUAAUGGAGUGAACCAUUGAAAAGAAGUUGUAAUCCCUAAGGGAGGGGAAUCCUAGAAGUAGAAUCCAUUGUCCUCAUUAUUAUGUUUCAGUUUUGUUGCAGAAUAAGCCAGCAUCCACAUUUUUACAACCAGAAAUCUUAGCACACAGGUGGGAACUGUAAUUAUUUAAAAAUUGCAAGUGUUGAAACGUAGUUUAGCUAUUUUUUCCAUGGAAUCACAAAAUUGUAGUUCCAAAAAUUGUCUCCACACAUAUGUGCCUCUUUUAUAGAGUUCCUAAAUGUGUUCAUGAACUGUGUUUUUGAAGAUGUUUCUCUCCAAUUUGUUGAAAUGAUGGAGAGGCUAUUUUACAAUUACGUUAUGUUGUCAGGCCUUAGUGUUAAGUGAAUCAAUACUGACAUCGAUCUUUUUUCUCUAAGACAGGAAGAGACAUUAUGUGCAACUAAAGUUAGGUAGAAAUUCUGAGUCUAAGCUAUUGGUGUUACUUUGGCAUAAUGUGAAAAUCAAAUAAAAUCCUUGAUAUUUGUGAUAGGUGCCCUCCUAGGGAAAGAGAGGAAAGCUGUUUGGGGUUUUCAUGUCUGUUUAUAAAUUGGAGUAGUGAAAUAGACCAAAAGAAAAAAAAAAAUCUUGGUUGGUUCAUGGAUCUAGAAGAGCAGAUUUGGAAUUUGUGAAAAGAUGUUUUAAUUGUGGGACUUUUAAUAAUAGAUUCAUUCAUUCCAAAAUAUUUAUUUAGUACUUACUGUGUGUCAUCAUCUAUGAAUUUUAAAUAGCACCAUUGCUAUUUCAGCACCUAAUACCACUUUGUUGGGAUUAUUCAAUGAUUGUCAAGUUAAUUUAAAUUGGUAAUGAACAAAAACAGGUUGUGCAACAGAAGAUAUCUUGCUUAAUUUUCUUGUUUUAGGACGUUCAUUCUGUUUAGAAACAGAAGAAAGGAGGCCGAUGGUAUGAAAUGUUAAAAAUGCAAUUAAAUGCCAGGCGCGGGGGCUCACGCCUGUAAUCCCAGCACUUUGGGAGGCCGAGGUGGGCGGAUCACGAGGUCAGGAGAUGGAGACCAUCCUGCCUAACACGGUGAAACCCCGUCUCUACUAAAAAUACAAAAAAUUAGCCAGGCAUGGUGGCGGGCACCUGUAGUCCCAGCUACUCAGGAGGCUGAGGCAGGAGAAUGGUGUGAACCCAGGAGGUGGAGCUUGCAGUGAGCCGAGAUAGUGCCACUGCACUCCAUCCUGGGGACAGAGAGAGACUCCGUCUCAAAAAAAAAAAAAAAAAAAAGCAAUUAAAUGACAUUAGAAAAUACUAUGUUGGCACAUGCAAAUCAUAGAGACUAUUUCAUGUUAUAUAUAAGGCAUGUUUGUAUUGCCAGGGCACAAUAUCUCUGUCAAGAAAUUCCAGGCAAAACCAAAGUCAAUUAAGCAUACCUCCAAACUUCGGAAUUUACUGCCAUCCUGUUGCCAAUUUUUCAUGUUAUUUUGUUCAUAGAAUAUUGGCUACAAAAUAUUUUGAGACAUAACCUUUAAAAUAUUUGUUCUUCUCAAUUAAUAUUAUUGAACACAUUAGAGAGCUUUUUGACAAAUAAAUAAGUAAUACAACAAAGAGAUGGUAUUUACAAUACAUUUUGGGUACUUUUCAAUGGUUUCCAUGGCAAUAGCAUCAUUGCCCUCAGUCUAAUCACUGAGUUAUUAUGUUUGUCUUCAGAUCUUUUCUUUAUUCUCAAGUUGGCAGCUCUGACUUAGAGCAAGUGCACUUUUUACUUGUCAUUAAGCACACUGUAAUAAUUAUCAGUCUGGUUUAUUGUUGGAUAGUUCCACCUACCUUUAUGUAACUUUGUGAGUGAAAGAUAAGAAAGAAACAGGAAGUUGAGUGACCAGAUUUCCUCUGGGUAAUUACAAUAUCUCUCUGUGUGUGACUUAGAAAACACAUUUAAAAAUAUUUUCCCAAAGAAUUUUCCUUUUGCAGGUAGUCGGGGGUGGGUUCUAGUUUCUUCUUACCUAGGGAUAGGCCUAGCAGAAGAUGGCUGUGCACUUUUUCAUUUUGCCAAAUUCAUCUUGGCCAAAUGUUUUCUUUCCUGUAGCUAUUUUGUAGUUUGAAUUGCCUUCAUCUAUAAUUAGCUUUCUCAUAUCCUGUUUCUCUAAUCAGGUUCUUUAUGGGUCCUGAAACACAGCUGGUAUCCCCUGAGGGCUGAUAGAGGCAGUGAGAGAAUUAAAAAGUUACAAAGGGAAUAAUGGGAUAAAUACAACUUUCUGACUGUAUUAAGUACUAUUGGAUUUAUAAAUCAUGGAUCACUAUUUCUCUCAUAAGAACAAGUAUAGGAAGGUAGUGUACAGGUGUUUCCUUGAAUGUUCUUAUGUAAGAAUUUCUUGUGGAAUUUUAGUGAUGUCCUUAUUACACAACUUUAUUAUAACCUAAUGAAUUCUUUUGACAUUUUUUCCCUUUUAUUCCACCAUUAUUUUGAGCUCUUCUUACAGGUCACGGCUUUUCUACUAGUACUGGCUUUGUAAUGGAAACAUGGAGUUCACUGGGUGGCUCAGUAGUGGAGUUUGAAAUAGAAUAAAAAGAAAAUUAGUUUAGAUUUAGCAAUGUGUGAACCUGGUAUGUAAAUCUUGAGUAUCUGGACACUCACCUGUGUUAACUUAUUUUGGUAAGGAAAGCCUAGGUCGGCUGCUGAUACCAAAUCUGAGUUCAGAUAAAUAGAACAUAGACAUUAAUAAAUAAAAAGAAAUAGAAAAAUAAACAAGCUCAGUGUUACAUAGAAGUAAAAUAUGCUGUGAUUUAAAGGAUACUAGGAAUGUGUCCCUGACUCCAAAUGUCUUUUUGUACCAUUUUAGUUGCUCCAAUAAUAUUUAUUAGCAAUGAUUAGGUUUUAUCAUUACUUGUCCAGUAAUUCUCUUUAGCUAAAAAUUUCCUUUGAACAGCACAUCAGUGAUUUUUUGGAAUGGAUGAGUUUAUCAGACUAUUUAUUAUCACAGAUGUAGCUGAGGGAACAUGAGGAUACUGAAUGGCUAGAGACAAAAAGGAUGUUUUUAGCAGGAGAAAAGGAGUGUCUAUGGUACAAUACCUAUUUUGCACGUUCGCUUGACACACACUCUUUAACCUUCAACUUUCUUCCCAAAGCUUAUACUGUAGUACUUGUUCAGAGCUUUAUGAGUAUUUCUAAGAUGAUUAUAGGCCAAAUAAGAGACAAUGUGGAAGUCUGGAAAUUCUGCAUACCUUGAACAGUUAUGAAUUUGUUCAUUUUUAUUCUAGAUUUACAUGAAGAAUUCAUAGGAGUGUGUAACUUGGUGAUGCCUUCAGUGAAGUUGCUGAUUGUCGUAUUUGCCUCUUAUGUCCCAAUGGUCAAAACAAAUGUAUAACAUGCCUAUUCUAAAGGAUUCAACAGGUGUUUUAUUGGUUCUGAUAGCUGGAGUCCACCUGGUGCAGCAAACAAACCCCAAAUUCCAAUUUCUGUUUCCAUAUUUUUGACAUUCAUUUAAUGCUUAACAAGACAAACUUUUACUCCUUUAUAUCCAAAAAACUGAGACAUGAUGGCUUAACACCAUUAUUUCACAUUCCAGAGUAUAAACCCCUUAGCUUUCCAUUUGCUUUCAUAAUUAAAUCAGAAUAGCACAUCACUUAUAUAAGGUAGUCUUUCAAAUAUCAAUGACAGCUUUUUAAGACUGUAAUGUCUUCAGAAGUGAACUUUUAUAAGGAAACAUCUGCCAAUAUUUUAGCCAAGUCUCAGCUAUAAUCUUGAUCAAUCAGAUCUGUUGAAGUAUGAUAAGUACCUAAGUGUAUCAGAGGGUAAGUGGACAUUUCAGCAAAGUUUUGAUUGGUCAAUAAUGUAUUCAGGAACUUAAGAAGAUUUUAAGAUUCAUUAAAUCUUCAAAAUGGUCCUUUCAAACAGACAGAGUAUACUUUCUGAGAUGGGCAUGAAUUAACAGAUACACAGAAUUAACCUUUUAUGAAGAAAAUUUCUCUAGGUAUAUAUAUUGAAUAAUUUAUUUUUGGUAGUAAUUAUGCAACUAAUGAAUUAUUCUUUGCAAUCACAAAUGCUAAAACUAGUAAGAAGCAAAUGAAUAACUUAUAGGCCAUUGAACCUAGUCUUCAAGGCUCAAAGAGGAUCUACCCAUAAAAAAGACAAUGGGAGCUUUAGUGCUACAUGUUCCAGAAAUUUAGGAAGUAUGAGGUUCUGUGGAUGCAACAAUCAUCUCAAUGUAAAUGUUUUAACACCUUGAUCUCAUCUUACCGUGUGAAAUGAUGAAGUUACUACAGAAAAAGAAAGAUACUUACAACCUCUACUUGGACUAAUUCAAACCAGUGUGAACACUUUAGAGGAUGCUUCUAUUUGUCCCAAAUAGGGAGAGAUUGGAAUUUAGAAAUCUUAUUAAGGGUUUCACUAAAUUCACAAAGUGGAGAGGGAUAAAGUUUAAUGUAUUAAUUAGGGCUAGAUCAAGAAAUCAGAGCCACUCUAUAUAUGGAAAGUAUGAAAGUUUUAGUUGGGGGAAUUGAAAGUUAUUCAACAUUUGAAAGGAAAAAACAGGCGGAGCAAAGGUCAAGGAAGCCACAGCCAGUGAAUUCAGCCUUCAGCAUUGAAGCAGGUGGUUCUCCUAAGGUCAUCCCAAAGCCACAGCAAAUCCCAGGAACAUUUAGAAGAUUCCCUAACUAUUUCAAUCUGCAGCAGUGAAGUGAGCGGGUCUCAAGAAUGUCCCUUGAAGCUGCUGUGAAUGCCAGAAAUGUUUGGAGGACUCUAACCAACUAUAACUAUACAAGUAUGAUAUACAAAACAGGGAUGUCGGUGAUUCUUAAGAAGUUCCUUCAAACGUCAUGUCUGCCCACUUGUCUGACUGCAGUUGUUUCCAGAGAGUAAUGACCCCUCCUUCUCUUCUGUUUCCCAUAUUCUGUAUGUCUUUCAUUGGCAAAUUUUAACAUGAGGAAGGAUACUCUGGGAAAUGUGGUUCUCAGCUGCUUCACUGUAUUGCAUAGGAGACUAUGAGGGUGGUUGACACAGAGUUAAUACUAGACAAUAUAGUGUACCUAUUAAGAUGUAGGUAAUGACAGAAUUUCUUUUUCUACUAGAAAGUCUCUAUUCUUUAUCUAUUGAAAGGAAUGGCAAAAACUACAAUGACUUUUGCACCAACCUAGUAUGAGCAUAAGGGGCAACAGUGAUAUUAGUCAAAGAGUCCCAGAAUAAGGUAGUAAAGCUUUUGGGAGCUGAUACAUCACCAUGAUGAAACAACAUGGCCAUCAGAGGAGCAACAUUUAAUUAAGUGGGGGAUGGGUUGUUGUGAUACUUGUUACCAGAAAGAUUCAUUUUGGUGCUGGUGACAUCCUUGUAUACUAUCCUGACAAGGCAUGUUUAUGUGAGUACACAUAGCAGGUGGAGGCAACAUCAAAUAACAGAAAAGAUUUCAGGUGAAAAGGAGAAAUAAAAAAGGCAGUAAAUCUUAAGUUUUAAAAGAAAUGUUGUAUAUCUGAAGGAGAUUUCUAUAUCCUCUAUCUCUCAACCAACAAAUUGGAACCAGAACAGAAAAUUAGCAGCUUGAAAAAGACUUCCCCUGCUCAAGGGUUUGAGUUUCUAAGAUUAGAGUGGAGCACACUUGUUCUAUUUUUCUCCUCAUUCAUUAACUAGAAGCAACCUGUUGACUCGUAGAGAAGGGCAGGUUUUCACAACGUUUGGCAUCAUUCUUUAUGGAGUGGGUCUCUUCCACUUUCAAUGCACAGAGAAGAACAAUGUUGUUGACAGGUAAAUGGCUUAAGAAAAUGUGUGUAAUUGUAAUAGUUGUUGAUGCUGAAAAGAAAUGUUUUAAUUCUUAUAUGCUCCAGUUGGCAAUCCCAGGGCAUAUCCCCAAACUUUCAUAACAGUGUUAUUUGGAAAUUUUAUUGUUACAAUAUAACAUUUAGAAGUAUUAACCAAUAUGUUUUCCAAUUUUCUUGAAUGUCCUUUUACCUCGAAGCUCUCUCCAUUUCAAACUAGACCUUGACAUUCACUGCCUCAGGACAUAAAGGUUAUGGAAGAAAUGCAGAGAAAAAAUCAAUUUAAAGUCUAUUUUGGAACUAGUGGUAAAGAAACAAUUUAGAGAGAAAACUUUCAGAAGCCUAGGCAUUGAGAGUCAGAACCCAAAGUCAUAAAAAAUUGAUUUGGAAGAAUGCAUAAUGAUGUAUAAGCAAAUUUUCCCACACCAGAGGAAAUAAGAGAUCCUCUGAACUGGAGGAAAACAGAGAAUAUUUAAGAAGCAAGAGAGGAAGCUCUGGUUAGUACUUCUCAGAAGUGAUUCUGAGAAUUCCUCUUCACAAGCUGUGUCCCUGAGUUGGGGUGGGGGAAAUAGAAACUGAAAAUAGAUUUGGGGAUCUGAAAGAGAGAAGCACCCAUGCUUUAUACUUCAGGUGAAGUCCACGGUGGUCAUAGACCUUGAAAGGUCUCUGGUGCCACCAUAGUUCAGCAGCAGUACCAUGGAAAUGGUGGUGUGGUGGGUCUAUGAUAGAGGGCCUGAUACAGUUCCAGUAGUUUUCUGAGGCCCAAGAGAGGGAGGGGAGGGUAUCUAAAUAUUUUCUAUCUGUUAUUAGUGGAGAACGUGGUAGCUAAGAAAAGAGUGACAGACCAAAAGAUAACAGAAUUAAGCGGAUACAGUGUGUCUCACACGGACCUUUGGCGGGAUAUUAUAUGGAUUUCGGCAGAUGCUAACAGGAAUAUUGGCCAAGGACGAAGAAAUAGACACCCCUUCCCAACAAUGCCGUGGUAUUAGACCCUUGGAGCUUUCAUAUGCUGGGAAAAAUGCAGGGUAUGAGGAAGAAACACAACUUAACUGAGAAAAGCUUAUAUUCAUUGAGUUAAGCUUGAAUCACCUAAGAUGAAGUGUUCAACAACAGAAAAUGGAGCCUCGAGAUAUAAAUUAGAUUUUGUUUUAGGGAAAAAAUCAUUUUGCAUAGUAGUUUGUGUUUCAUGGAAUUCACAGUAACUACACAUUUUACUCUGUGAACAGAGGACAUGUAUGACACAUACAGGAUGGGAACGCAUCAAGAUGAUUUAAUCUAAAACUGUUAAGUAUCGUGGAACUAACAAAAACAUCAAUGUGAUGCAAGUAAACAGUGAAAGAAAUGAGCUACAUUUUCUAUUUUAAAGGAUGGCAGACGUAGCACAUUAAUGAAUACCUACUGGGUUCUAUUUUAAAAGCCCAGUGUCUCAGAAAUUAGGCUAAAAUGCAAUCUGAGUUACGCCUUUUCUUGGCAUGGACGUGCUCUUCAAAAUGUGGCAGAAAGUGAUUUAGCACUUUUAAGAGAACUUACAUAUGUUGAAGAUGGUAAACCGAAAUUGAACCUUUGAGAAUAUUUCCCUGAUAUACUAUAUGCCAUUCAUAUUUAAUAGGAAUGUAUAUAAUAUUUAAAUAUUCAAUCUGUCUUUGUCAUUAUAACUUGUCCAACAACUCACAUUUCCCACCAUUUUGGCCAAGUGUCUCCAAAGCCUCUCAUACAGGCUCAUUCAGGGACUGGGAAAUUGCCCUGUUCUUUAGGAGCUGCAGAUGUCGAACUGUCAACUUUGAUUCAGGCCAGAGCUCUAUGGGCAUGGGUCUUGGAAAGUCUGAGAAUCAUUUCUAUUAAAAAGCAGUAGAACUUCCAUGUGGCACAAUUUCAGGACUGGUUGAGCAACGUUAAGGCUAUUGCACAGUUUCUGGAUUUGGCAAACUUUUCCCAACAGAGGGUGCUGUAAACCUGAAAGAGGUACCAAAUAUUUGUGAGCUUUUAGAAGCCAGGUUGUCUCUUGACUGGAAAGGUCUUUUCUGUCCAGCACAGAAAUCACUGUGAAUCUUGUUUAAGCAGUUGGAGGUUGGUGGUUGACUCUGAAGCAGCUAUAUAACACAACCAAUGCUACAGCAGCAGCAGAGAGAAGUGGCCAUGCUCUGAGCAUGAAGUACCUAUAGGAAAACAGAGGACUGUUUCCUUUCUGACCAAUUCCUUUUUUCAGAGGGAGAUAAAAAGUAGGAACAGGGGAUAGAGCAUUUUUGGGGUCAGAAUUUCAGUAAAAUUUAAAUUAGGUGGCAUCAAGAACCAAAUACAUCUGUUACUAUAAUUCAAACCCUAAUUUUUUUUUUCAGUAAUGAAUAUGACCUGGGAAAUCAAUUUAUACUUUUAAAAAUAUCCAUUUCAUAAUGUGAAAACAACCUGUGUAAAACAGAUAUGUUGGAGGAGGUGCAGGUAGGUAGGAUAAUUUGCUCAGCAAGUCCCUUCAUUUGCUUAUAGUUAAAAUCAAAAGUAAGGCUGGGCGCGGUCGCUCACGCCUGUAAUCCCAGCACUUUGGGAGGCCGAGGCGGGCGGAUCACCUGAGGUCGGGAGUUCAAGACCAGCCUGACCAACAUAGAGAAACCCUGUCUCUACUAAAAAAAUACAAAAUUAGCCAGGCUUAGUGGCACGUGCCUGUAAUCCCAGCUACUCGGGAGGCUGAGGCAGGAGAAUCACUUGAACUGGGGAGGCGGAGGUUGUGGUGAGCCAAGAUUGUGCCAUUGCACCCCAGCCUAGGCAACAAGAGUGAAACUCUGUCUCAAAACGAAACAAAAGUAAGAUCCAAAUAAAGCAACUAGUAUCAUUUCCUUAUACAAUCAUGUAUUGAGCACUGACAAUGCAUCUGUACCAUGCUAGGCACCAGGAAUAUACAAAUUCUUUUUCUUUCUCUGCCUCCUCUAAAAAGAAAACCAGAUCUCAAUAUUAUUGACUCUUGUUAUUGUGGCCACUACCUGAAGUUUAAUCUGUAGUUAAGAUAAAAAGAUAUAAACAAACAUGUACACAUUUUUAAAAUAAUUAUUUUAAUUUAUGUUUUUAAGAAGGGAUAGACACUCGGAAAAUUUUGCAACCAGACUUUUUUUUUUUUUUUUUUUUUUUUUUUUUUGAGACGGAGUCUCGCUCUGUCGCCCAGGCCAGACUGCGGACUGCAGUGGCGCAAUCUCGGCUCACUGCAAGCUCCGCUUCCCGGGUUCACGCCAUUCUCCUGCCUCAGCCUCCCGAGUAGCUGGGACUACAGGCGCCUGCCACCGCGCCCGGCUAAUUUUUUGUAUUUUUAGUAGAGACGGGGUUUCACCUUGUUAGCCAGGAUGGUCUCGAUCUCCUGACCUCAUGAUCCACCCGCCUCGGCCUCCCAAAGUGCUGGGAUUACAGGCGUGAGCCACCGCGCCCGGCCGCAACCAGACAUUUUUUAGGUGCUUAGAAAAUUCUGUCUCAAACAUUAAUAGACACUAUCAGAGAAGAUUUAGUGAAUUUUGGUUAAAGAUUCACAAAUGGUGAAACUGGGUCUCAGUUUUUCAAGUUUAUAUAUCCUCCUACCUUGUUUACUGGUAAUGAGCAAAAUCAAAGGCAGGUAACUGAGUUUGUGUGUAUUGGGGGGAAUUUAUCCCAUUACUGGCUUGGCUAGCAACAAUUAUUUAUCUUGGAAAUCAGUAAAAUUCUUUGCAAUGUAUUUACCUCAUGAAGAAAGUAUUAUGGAAAAGAUAUUUUUUCAACAUAAAUUAAUAGUAUGGCAGAAGUUAAAAGACCAUCUUUUUCAGACCUACUUUUAAAUCCCAAUGUUAAGAAAAGAGACUAGGGAUGUGAAUCCAAUCUCUUCCCUCUACUACAAAACCCCACUGUUGUAAUUCCCCUUGAAUAAAAUAUUUCUUGCUUUCUCUGAAAGAAAAGGAAAAAAGGCUCAUUUUUAAUGGCACAUCUCAAAUGAUGGGAUAAUUCUGGAGAUAAUUCCCAACCUGUAAAACAAAUAUGUGUUAAUAUCCUUAGGUAUUUGAGUGAAUGGAAAUCCAGACACUGGUGGUUGGAUUGGCACGUUAAUCUCCUGUCACUCUGAUCUAUUCCAAUUCCUGAGAAACCUAAACUCAAGAAUAACAAAAACCACUCAGUCCUACCCUUAUAAUUCUUUUUUUAACUUCUAGAGAAAUGGCAGAGGCCAUAAAACAAGAAUGAUGGAAGAGUUUACCACAGUUUUUCCUUGUCACUUAUUUUGAAAGUCAGCUGCAAUUUGUAAUUUUCUCAGGUUGGCAAAUGUGUCCAAAUGGGGAAUGCUCUGUAAUCUGUCAAAACCUCACAGAUGUCAUCAGCAAAAGGAGCAUAUACACUUAAUGUGUUUGUUAAAUCUUUUAUUCUGCAUGUGGAGCUAUACCUUGAGUAAAGACUCACCAAACAGAUAUCAUUCCUUCAAAAAAGUCAUCAAGACCUUUGUAAAUAAACUCACAUAGUAACAGAAGUGCAUAAUCUAGAGAGUGGUUGUGCUGAUGCAAAACAUUGGAAUCUGUUUUUUAGUUCCUAUCUCAGAUUGUUUCACAGGCUGUGUAAACUACAUAAAUAGGAAGAAGUGAGAAAAUGAAGCUCCAAGAUACUUCUCACACCUUGAAAAAUCACACCUUUUUGAUUCAGUAGAACUCUAGUGGUGGCCAGAACUGAAGUAAUGGCAAUGGGAAGGAGAAACAAAGGCAGAUUAGGGAGCCUUUGGAGAUGGACUGCAUUUAGUUCUCUUUGCUUGUCCCUCCCCUCUUCUUUACCUGUGAAUGUUGGGUGUCACAGUUCUUAGUUCUUGCAUCUCUUCUCUACCUGUACUCUUUCUCUAAGUGCUCUGAGUCAGUCUUAUAACCACAAAUGUUAUCUAUACCCUAAAUUUCUGAAAUCUCUCUCUAUAUAUACCUAAUGUAUCCCUGAAAUUUCUUGAUUGAUAUUCCUUCUGCAUACUUGACAUCUAUGCUUGGAUGCCUCAUGGGCAUCUGAAAUGUAACUUUACCUCAUACCUCUAUUCACUUUUUCUGUUUCAGUCUUUCAUAUCUCCGUAAAUGGCAGUACAAGCAACCUAGAUUUACAAACCAGAACGCUUGGAGUCAUCCUUAAUAUUUUUCUUUCGUUACUCUAUGUGGACAAUCAUUCAGUGAGUACUGCUGUUUAUAAUUUCUAAAUAUAAAUAUCAAACACAUCUAUUUCUCUUCAUCUCUACUAUCAUCAACAUAGUUUUGGCUACCAGCAUGUCUCUCAGAGGCCAUUUCUAGGGUCUUUUAAAUGGUCUUUGUACUUCUGUUGCCUCCUCCACAUCAUUGCCACAUGUAGAAGUCAAAGAGGUCUUUUAAAAAUAUAAAAUUGUAUCAUGUUUCUCUAUUGAUUAAAACACUCAUGACUUUUCUUCACUCUUAGGAUAAAAUCCAAAUUAAUUCCCAUGGCCUACAAGGCCUUGAGUGGUUCAUCGCCUAACUGCUACUUCAACUCAGUGUGGGCCAUUCUGCCCUUGCUCACCACUCUACAGUCACACAGGCUUCCUUUCGGUUCAUGGCACAUGACAGGCCCCUCCCCACUCCAGGGCUUUCAUACGUGCUUGUUCUUCCAUCUAGAAUAGAUUUCCUUCUCUUGCCUGCACGAGUGGCUCAUUAUCAUUCUUCAGGACUACCUUAAGUGUUAGCUCUUCAGAGACACCAUCCCUAAUAUCGUACCCACCAUGGGGCCCUCAUUAUACUUCACCAUCUGUUAUGUAUUCAUCUUCUUCACCAAACAUAAUAAUUUUAUUUAUAUCAUUACUUGAUUCUUUAAUUAUUUCUUUUCUGUCAUUCCUACCAGAAUGUGAACUCCAUAAAUUUAGGCAUGGUAUUUGUUUUAUUCCCCAAUAUAUAUUUAUAACCUAAUAAGUUCUCAAUGACUAUUAAUACAAAAAUGAAUGACUAUUGACACAACCAGAACCAAAAUAUAAUCCAGCAUUCUUUCUACCUUGUUAUUUGUAUAUCUGUGCUCUAAGAAAAUCUGACUAACGUUAACUCUAGUUUUUAAUCUCUGCAGAGUUGUAGUGUCUAAUUUAAUUGUAAAUAUGUGCCUGGGGCUGUUCAAAAUAUAUCUAAUGUGAACAUGUCAGAUAAAUCCAUUUUCCAACAAUAAAAAUAACAACUAUUCCUUAAGUGCUUUAUACCAUUCACUGAACUAUACUUUAAGUGCAUAAUUUCAUGUAGUGCCUGAGAAAUAGGUAAUAUUGUCCCAUUUAACAGCUAAAGAAACUGAAGAUUGGAGAGAGGUCAAGCAUUUCACCUUAUCCAAUCAAUUUGAAACCAAUCUCACUUAUUUCAAAGUCCAUGCACCUGGUAAUAAUUGCAUUAUGACUGGCUCUAAUUCUCUCAAGACAAACCUUGUGCAAUUCCUUCAGGAAGAAAUGCACGAAGGAGAAAUCUGAGGGGGAAGCAGUAAAAUGAUGGCUUAGUAGUUCCAAUCCUUUUAUUAUGGUCUUAAUAUAACUUUUAAAGGGUUAGGAUGAAGGGUGAAAUAUGUGUUUUGCUUAGAGAGACUGAUUAAAAAGGGAAUAGAAUAUUUGAAGAACAUUAUCUGCGGUAAGGCCACAGAAUUUGAAGUCAGAUUUUCAUUUCAACACACUAAAUUUCUAAUAAUUGAUUUCAUCAGAAUUUCAUAGGGCAUCCAGCAAUGUAUUCUAAGUAAUGAUUUCUCUGAGUCCUUCCUCAUUACUUAAAGUGCAUUUGAUACUCAUGGAUAUUGGGGUGAUCAUGUUUUAUAAAAGCAAGGGAUUGAUAUUUCAGAUAUCUUGGAUUAUAGUUUCAUUUCUCUCAUUCUGACUUUUUUGUUUUUCAUUUUUAGUGGUAUGGUUUAAAGAGCAGAAGUUUUCAAUUUCAAUAAACUCCAAUUAUUAUUUUAUGAAUUGUAUUUUCAGCAUCACAUCUAAAAAUUCUUUGAAUAACCCAAAGUCAUAAAGAUUUUAUCCCCUUUUUUCUAAAAAUUAUAAGUUUUAGCUCUUAAAUUUAGGUCUAUAAUCCAUAUGGAGGUAUUUUUUGCAUAUUAUCUGAGGCAAAGGUCUUAAGUUCAUUUUUUUUUUGCAUAUGGAUAUCCAGUUGUCUCCAGUACUGUUUUUUGAAAUAAUUAUUAUUUCUCCAUUGGAUUGUCUUGGCAAAAUCAACUUAUCAAAAAUGUAAGUGUUUGUUUCUGGCCCCUUAAUUCUGUUUCAUUGAUCUAUAUGUGUACUAUUAUACCAGUUUUAUAUAAUCUAUAUACAGCCUAUGCUUUUCUAAGCACAUUAUACCUGCUUCCAUUAAAAUAUAAUCCCUUUUACUUGAUUAAUUUGCAAUCUUGAUUAAAAUACAAGUCUAAGUUCAAGAUAUAUUAUGUAAUUGAUAUAAUAAAAUGCCAAAUAAGAGUAGAUAAUACAGGGUUGUGGGCAAGAUGGCCGAAUAGGAACAGCUGUGGUUUGCAGCUCCCAGCAAGAUCAACGCAGAAGGUGGGUGAUUUCUGCAUUUCCAUCUGAGGUACCAGCUCAUCUCACUGGGACUGGUUACACAGUGGGUGCAGCCCACGAAGGGUGAGCCGAAGCAGGGUGGGUCAUCGCCUCACCCGGAAAACUCAAGGCAUCGGGGAACUCCCUCCCCUAGCCAAGGGAAGCCUUGAAGGACUGUGCCGUGAGGAACAGUGCAUUCCAGCCCAGAUGCUAUGCUUUUCUCACUGUCUUCACAACCCACAGAACAGGAGAUUCCCUUGGGUGCCUAUGCUACCAGAGCCCUGGGUUUCAAGCACAAAACUGGGUGGCUGUUUGGGCAGACACUGAGCUAGCUGCAGGAGGUUUUUUUUGGUUUUUGGUUUUUGGUUUUUCGUACCCCAGUGUUGCCUGGAAGGCCAGCGAGAGAGAACCAUUCACUCCCCUGGAAAGGGGGUUGAAGCCAGGGAGCCAAGUGGUCUGACUCAGUGGAUCCCACUCUGAUGGAGCCCAGCAAGCUAAGAUCCACUGGCUUGAAGUUCUUGCUGCCAGUAUAGAAGUCUGAAGUCAACCUGGGACGCUGGAGCUUGGUGAGGGAGGAGCAUCCGCCGUUACUGAGGCUUGAGUAGGUAGUUUUCCCCUCACAGUGUAAACAAAGGGGGAGUUCAGACUGGGCAGAGCCCACAGCAGCUCCUCAAAGCUGCUGUAGUCAGACUGCCUCUCUAGAUGCCUCCUCUCUGGGCAGGGCAUCUCUGAAAGAAAGGUAACAGCCCCAGUCAGGGGCUUAUAGAUAAAACUCCCAUCUCCCUGGUACAGAGCACCUGGGGGAAGGGGCAGCUGUGGGAGCAGCUUCAGCAGACUUAAACUUUCCUGCCUGCCAGCUCUGAAGAGAGCAGUGGAUCUCCCAGCACAGCGUUCGAGCUCUGCUAAGGGACAGACUACCUCUUCAAGUUUGUCCCUGAGACCCAUGCCUCCUGACUGGGAGACAUCUCGCAGCAGGGGUCCACGGACAUCUCAAAUAAGAGAGCUCCUGCUGGCAUCUUGUGGGUGCCCCUCUGGGACAAAGCUUCCAGAAGAAGGAACAGACAGCAAUCUUUGCUGUUCUGCAGCCUCUGCUGGUGAUACCCAGGCAAACAGGUUCUGGAGUGCAUCUCCAGCAAACUCCAGCAGACCUGCAGCAGAGGGGCCUGACUGUUAGAAGGAAAACUAACAAACAGAAAGGAAUAGCAUCAACAUCAACAAAAAGGACGUCCAUUCAGAAACCCCAUCCAAAGGUCACCAACGUCAAAGACCAAAGGUAGAUAAAUCCACAAAGAUGAGGAAAAUCCAGUGCAAAAAGGCUGACAAUUCCAAAAACCAGAACGCCUCUUUUCCUCCAAAGGAUCACAACUCCUUGCCAGCAAGGGAACAAAACUGGACAAAGAAUGAGUUUGACAAAUUGACAGAAGUGGGCUUCAGAAGGUGGGUAAUAACAAACUCCUCUGAGCUGAAGGAACAUGUUCUAACCCAAUGCAAGGAAGCUAAGAACCUUGAAAAAAGGUUAGAGGAAUUGCUAACUAGAAUAACCAGUUUAGAGAAGAACAUAAAUGACCAGAUGGAGCUGAAAAACACAGCAUGAGAACUUUGUGAAGCAUACACAAGUAUCAAUAGCCCAAUUGAUCAAGCAGAAGAAAGGAUAUCAGAGAUUGAAGAUCAACUUAAUGAAAUAUAGUGGGAAGACAAGAUUAGAGAGAAAAGAAUAAAAAUGAAUGAACAAAGCCUCCACGAAAUAUGGGACUCUGUGAAAACAUCAAGCCUACAUUUGAUUGGUGUACCUGAAAGUGAUGGGGAGAAUGGAACCAAGUUGGAAAAACACUCUUAAGGAUAUUAUCCAGGGGAACUUCCCCAACAUAGCAAGACAGGCCAACAUUCAAGUUCAGGAAAUACAGAGAACACCACAAAGAUACGCCUCAAAAAGGGCAACCCCAAGACACAUAAUCGUCACAUUCACCCAGGUUGAAAUGAAGGAAAAAAUGUUAAGGGCAGUCAGAGAGAAAGGUCGGGUUACCCAAAAAGGGAAGCCCAUCAGACUAACAGCAGAUCUCUCAGCAGAAACCCUACAAGUAAAAAGAGAGUGGGUGCCAAUAUUCAACAUUCUUAAAGAAAAGAAUUUUCAACCCAGAAUUUCAAAUCUAGCCAAACUAAGCAUCAUAAGCAAAGGAGAAGAAAAAUACUUUACAGACAACCAAAUGCUGAGAGAUUUUGUCACCAUCAGGCCUGCCUUACAUGAGCUCCUGAAGGAAGCACUAAAUAUGGAAAGGAAAAACCGGUGCCAGCCACUGGAAAAAUAUACCAAAUUGUUAAGACCAUCAACACUAUGAAGAAACUGCAUCAACUAACAGGAAAAAUAACCAGCUGGCAUCAUAAUGACAGAAUGAAAUUCACACAUAACAAUAUUAACCUUAAAUGUAAAUGGGCUAAAUGUCCCAACUAAAAGACACAGACUGGCAAAUUGGAUAAAGAGUCAAGACUCAUCGGUGUGCUGUAUUCAGGAGACCCAUCUCACGUGCAAAGACACACAUAGGCUCAAAAUAAAGGGAUGGAGGAAGAUUUACCAAGCAAAUGGAAAGCAAAACAUAAGAAAAGCAGGGAUUGCAAUCCUAGUCUCUGAUAAAAGAGAUAAACCAACAAAUAUCAGAAAAGACAAAGAAGGGCAUUACAUAAUGGUAAAGGGAUCAAUGCAACAAGAUGAUCUAACUAUCUUAAUAUAUAUGCACCCAAUACAGGAGCACCCAGAUUCAUACAGCAAGUUCUUAGAGACCUACAAAGAGACUUAGACUCCUACAGUAUAACAGUAGGAGAUUUUAACACCCCACUGUCAAUAUUACACAGAUCAACGAGAUAGAAAAUUAACAAGGGUAUUCAGGACUUGAACUCAGCUCUGGACCAAGUGGACCUGCUAGACAUCUAUAGAACUCUCCACCCCAAAUCAACAGAAUAUACAUUCUUCUCAGCACCAUAUUGCGCUUAUUCUAAAAUUGACUGCAUAAUUGAAAAUUAAACACUCCUCAGCAAAUGCAAAAGAAUGGAAAUCAUAACAAACAGUCUCUCAGACCACAGCGCAAUCAAAUUAGAACUCAGGAUUAAGAAACUCAUUCAAAACUGCACAACUACAUGGAAACUGAGCAACCUGCUCCUGAAUGACUACUUUGUAAAUAAUGAAAUGAAGGCAGAAAUAAGUAAGUUCUUUGAAACCAAUGAGAACAAAGACACAACAUACCAGAAUCUCUGGGACACAGCUAAAGCAGUGUUUAGAGGGAAAUUUAUAGCACUAAAUGCCCACAGGCGAAAGCAGGAAAGAUCUAAAAUUGACACCCUAACAUCACAAUUAAAAGAACUAGAGAAGCAAGAGCAAAUAAAUUCAAAAGCUAGCAGAAGGCAAGAAAUAACUAAGAUCAGAGUGGAACUGAAGGAGAUAGAGAUACGUAAAACCCUUCAAAAAAUCAAUGAAUCUAGGAGCUGUAUUUUUGAAAAUAUUAACAAAAUAGACUGCUAGCCAGAAUAAUAAAGAAGAAAAGAGAGAAGAAUCAAAUAGACACAAUAAAAAAUGAUAAAGGGGAUAUCACCACUGAUCCCACAGAAAUACAAACUACCAUCAGAGAAUACUAUAAACACCUCUAUGCAAAUAAACUAGAAAAUCUAGAAGCAAUGGCUACAUUCCUGGACAUAUACACCCUCCCAAGACUAAACCAGGAAGAAGUUGAAUCCCUGAAUAGACGAAUAACAAGUUCUGAAAUUGAGGCAGUAAUCAAUAGCCUAGCAACUAAAAAAAAAAAGCCCAGGAACAGAUGGAUUCACAGUCAAAUUCUACCAGAGAUACAAAGAGGAGCUGGUACCAUUCCUUCUGAAACUAUUUCCAGCAAUAGAAAAAUAGGAACUCCUCCCUAACUCAUUUUAUGAGGCCAGCAGUAUCCUGAUACCAAAACCUGGCAGAGACACAACAAAAAAAGAAAAUUUUAGGCCAAUAUCCCUGAUGAACAGCGAUGUGAAAAUCCUCAAUAAAAUACUGACAAACUGAAUCCAGGAGCACAUCAGAAAGCUCAUCUACCAUGAUCAAGUCGGCUUCAUCCCUGGGAUGCAAGACUGGUUCAACAUACACAAAUCAAUAAAUGUAAUCCAUCACAUAAACAAAACCAAUGACAAAAGUCACAUGAUUAUCUCAAUAGAUACAGAAAAGGCCUUCGAUAAAAUUAAAAACCCCUUCAUGGUAAAAACUCUCAAUAAACUAGGUAUUGCUAUAACAUAUCUCAAAAUAAUAAGAGCUAUUUAUGACAAACCCACAGCCAAUAUCAUAUUGAAUGGGCAAGAGCUGGAAGCAUUCCCUUUGAAAACCAGCCCAAGACAAGGAUGCCCUCUCUCACCACUCCUAUUCAACAUAGUAUUGGAAGUUCUGGCCAGGGCAAUCAGGCAAGAGAAAGAAAUAAAGGGUAUUCAGAUAGGAAGAGAGGAAGUCAAAUUGUCUGUUUGCAGAUGACAUGACUGUAUAUUUAGAAAACCCCAUUGUCAGGCCGGGCGCGGUGGCUCACGCCUGUAAUCCCAGCACUUUGGGAGGCCUAGGCGGGUGGAAAAUAAGGUCAGGAGUUCGAGAUCAGCCUGGCCAGCAUGGUGAAACCACGUCUCUACUAAAAAUACAAAAAAAAAAAAAAAAAAUAGCCGGGCAUGGUGGCACACGCCUGUAUUCCCACCUACUCGGGAGGCUGAGGCAGGAUAAUUGUUUGAACCUGGCAGGCAGAGGUUGCAGUGAGCCGAGAUUGCGCCACUGUACUCUAGCCUGGGCAACAGAGCAAGACUCCAUGUCAAAAAAAAAAAAAUAGAAAAAGAAAACCCCAUCGUCUCAGCCCAAAAUCUCCUUAAGCUGAUAAGCAACUUCAGCAAAGUCUCAAGAUACAAAAUCAAUGUGCAAAAAUCACAAGCAUUCCUAUACACCAAUAAUAGACAAACAGAGAGGCAAAUCAUGAGUGAACUCCCAUUCACAAUUGCUACAAAGAGAAUAAAAUACAUACAACUUACAAGAGAUGUGAAGGACCUCUUCAAGGAGAACUACAAACCACUGCUCAAGGAAAUAAGAGGGGACACAAACAAAUGGAGAAACAUUCCAUGCUCAUGGAUAGGAAGAAUCAGUAUUAUGAAAUGGCCAUACUGCCAAAAGUGAUUUAUAGAUUCAAUGCUAUCCCCAUCAAUUUACCAUUGUAUUUCUUCACAGAAUUAGAAAAAUCUACUUUAAAUGUCAUAUGGAACCAAAAAAGAGUCAGUAUAGCCAAGACAAUCCUAAGCAAAAAGAACAAAGCUGUAGGCAUCAUGCUACCUGACUUCAAACUAUGCUACCAGGCUAUGGUAACCAAAACAGCAUGGUACUCGUACCAGAACAGAUAUCUAGACCAAUGGAAAAGAACAUAGGCCUCAGAAAUAAUGCCACACAUCUACAACCAUCUGAUCUUUGACAAACCUGAUAAAAACAAGCAAUGGGGAAAGGAUUCCCUACUUAAUAAAUGGUGUUGGGAAAACUGGCUAGCCAUAUACAGAAAAUUGAAACUGGACCCCUUCCUUACAACUUACACAAAAAUUAACUCAAGAUGGAUUAAAGACUUAUAUGUGAGACCUAAAACCCUAGAAGAAAACCUAGGCAGUACCAUUCAGGACAUAGGCAUUGACAAAGAGUUCAUGACUAAAACACCAAAAGCAAUGUCAACAAAAGCCAAAAUUGACAAAUGGAAUCUAAUUAAACUAAAGAGCUUCUACACAGCAAAAGAAACUAUCGUCAGAGUGAACAGGCAACUUACAGAAUGGGAGAAAAGUUUUACAAUCUAUUCAUCUGACAAAGGGCUAAUAUCCAGAAUCUACAAAGAACUGAAACAAAUUUACAAGAAAAAAAAAACCCAUCAAAGAAUGGGUGAAGGAUAUGAACAGACACUUCCUCAGAAACAGAUAUUUAUGUGGCCAACAAACAUAUGAAAAAAAGCUCAUCAUCACUGGUCAUUAACUGCAAAUCAAAUGCCAGUUAGAAUGGCGAUCAUUAAAAAGUCAGGAAAAAAACAGAUGCUGGAGAGGAUGUGGAGAAAUAGGAAUGCUUUUACACAUGGGUGGGAGUGUAAAUUAGUUCAACCAUUAUGGAAGACAGUGUGGCGAUUCCUCAAGGAUCUAGAACCAGAAAUACCAUUUGACUCAGCAACCUCAUUACUAGGUAUAUACCCAAAGGAUUAUAAAUCAUUCUACUAUAAAGACACAUUUGCACAUAUGUUUAUUGCAACACUGUUCACAAUAGGAAAGACUUGGAACCAACCCAAAUGCCCAUCAAUGAUAGACUGGAUAAACAAAAUGUGCCACAUAUACACCACGGAAUACUACGCAGCCAUAAAAAGGAUGAGUUCGUGUCCUUUGCAGGGACAUGGAUGAAGCUGGAAACCGUCAUUCUCAGCCAACUAACACAUGAGCAGAAAACCAAACACUGCAUGUUCUCACUCAUAAGUGGGAGUUGAACAAUGAGAACACAUGGACACAGGGAGGGGAAUAUCAUACACCAAGGCCUAUCGGGGUGGGGAGCUAGGGGAGGGAUAGCAUUAGGAGAAAUACCUAAUGUACAUGACAGGUUGAUGGUUGCAGCAAACCACCAUGGCACGUGUAUACCUAUGUAACAAACCUGCAUGUUCUGCACAUGUAUCCCAGAACUUAAAGUAUAAUAAAAAACAUUCCCAUACAAAAAUAGAUAAUAACAAAUGUAAUAAAUAUUAGAGCUUAGAGUUAUCAUUGUGAUACAAAGUACUCAAAGAUGAUUUACUUGAAGUUUGGAGAUGCUGUAUCUGGGCAACCUGGGAUGGAUCCAGUUUCACUAUGGCUAAUUUAUCUGACUUAAGGUUUUAUUUGUCCUCUUUAUUGUAAAUCUUCUCUAGAUAGGGAAAUAUAGCUACAUCCUUAUAUCCAAAGUGAAAUAUAGGUUUUAUUAUUAUUUUUUAUUCUGUGGUAAAGGCCCACUGAAACUCUUCUGUUAAGUAGCAACAUGAUCAGUUCAUGUCCCAACUUAGUUGCUAUAUUGACUGUUUCAAUCAGAUAGAUUUAGGUUUUUAUGAGUAUUAGAAACUCGUGUCAGUGCACUGGAUUGACUCUGAGGAGCCCGAACAUUUUUAAAUGAGUACUUAAUGACUAACAAAUAGAAUGUUGAACUGAGAAAGUCACCACUGUUUACCAAACCUUUCUGCUAAGGAAGGGCAAGAUGUCACCACUAUUACCAUCCCCUCAUUAGAAACAAAUAAGCUGGUAGCCAAGAAAGUGAAUGGCUUUGGCAAAUAUCACACUUAGAAUGAAAACUAAAACCAAGAAUAGACACCAUAUGGUUGUCUAAAAUACCUUAGCAUGGUUGCUAACUAUGUGAUACCUUGGGCUCUCAGCUGAUUUAGGCUGAAUUAAAUUAUUAUUGAAACUAAAAUGUCACAUUUUCAGGGAAAAAUGUGAAAACUGUUUAGAUAAACUCUUCAAAGAUUUGAGAGCACCACUAGAAUAUAGCUGACAAAAGCUUGAAAUAAAAUCCAUUGUAGGUCAAUUUAAGAAACCUAUCUAGGUUAAUGGGUACAAAAGCAGAAUGAAUAAGAUCUAGUAUUUGAUAGCACAACAUAGUGAUUACAGUCAACAAUAAUUUAUUCCACAUGUAAAAAUAACUAAAAGAGUAUAAUUAAAAUGUUUGUAACCCAGAGAAAUGAUAAAUUCUUGAGGCGAUGGAUACCCUAUUUACCCUGAUGUGAUUAUUAUACAGUGUAUGACUAUAUUAAAGUAUCUCAGGUGCCCCAUAAAUAUACACACCUACUAUGCACUUCCAAAAAUUAAAAAAAAAAUUAAAAAGAAACCUAUCUAAUUGAUCCAGCUCCAGGGAGUAACCAAUGGACCUUAUUAACACACAGGCUACACCAUGAUUUCUUUUCUGAGCUCCAGAUUCACUUCCCAAGACAUUUUCAUUUAGUAGCUUUACAGGCACUUCACAUCACAAUGUCUAAAACCAAAUUAUUACUCAUCCCUUCCUAGUAUGCACCUCAUCUUCUGUUUCCUAUACUGGGAUAAGGGGAAAAUAUCAAGUAAAAACUUGAGAUGGCCUUGGUCUCCAUGCUGUGGAUACACCACAAUCACUCCAUUAAUCAAAUCCUUGAAUCCUUCUGUCUCACCCUCACAUCCUAUCAAUCAGCGAGUGCUGCUGACUUACCUCCUUAGAAUCUCUCUAUUCCUUCUGCUUAUCUGCAUCCCAUUGCCUCUAUGUUAGUUCAGAUUAUUGUUCUCCCCGCAGCCUCUUAACUUUUCUUUCUAUUCCUACCCUCAAUAUAUGUUGCAGCCAAAGUAAUCAUUUAAAACGCAAAUGUGAUCCAGUCAUCCUUCUGCUUAAAUGCUUCAAGAUUUCCCAUUGCCUGUAUGGUAAUAUCGAAAUUUCUAGAGAUGCAUUUCAAGGUCCUGUGUGAUCUUUCCCCAGUCUGGAUCAGUAUGAGCCUCCAUCAACCAUAUUGAACUUUUCUCAGUACCCUAAACCCACCACAUGCUCUCUAGUCUCAUGGCUGUUCUCUCUUUUUAUAACACUGUUACUCCUGUAAUGUGCCUUCACACUCUGCCUAACUCCUACACAUCUUCCAUGCACAAUUUUAGAAUAAUAUCCCCAAUGCAACCUUCCCUGAUUCCCCUGAGAGCUGGCUAGUUACCUCAAUGAUCACAUGUAUGAUAAUUGCUUGCCUCCCCUACUAAAACAUAUUUUCAUCCCUGAAAAUACUUUCAGCUCCCAGCAAAAGGCUUGGCAUCUAAUAAAAUUAAAAACCAUAGUAACAAUAAAUAACAUGAGUGAUUUUUAUGUGUUCUAAGUAUGUUACAUAUAUUUAACCCUCACUAAAACCACAUGCAGUAGGUACCAUUAUUUUCUUGGUUUUGCAAAUAAGAAAACUGGACAUGGAGAUGUUAAGUCAGAUGUACCACAUGGUCAAACUGCAGAAAGUGGAGCAAAUAUCUGAAUCCAGGCAGUCUGGCUCCAUAGCCUGGGAACUUAACUACCCCACUGUACUCUCUAAAUGUAAAUUUUGUAAUGGUCCUCACCUGGGGGAGGGAUCCUGCACUCUUCUCAUGUUAGCCACAGCAGCAUUUCCAGAACAAGGGGACCCAUAUUGGUAUGUACAGAUCAUUUGUCUUAACCAACAUGUUAGAUUUCCAUAGCUCUCAAUUAGAUGCCUAUUGAACAAAUGGAAUGAUUGGGUUUGACCCCCAGCACAAAGCUGAAGGAUUUCACAAUUAGCAAGGAGGCAUUGGUUUUACAUUCCACGCUCACCACAGGCAGUUGAACCACUUCAAAAUAGAAAACAUUCAUGAGGCACGUACUUCCUUUGCCCAUCAAAGCAGUCUAACUGAAUGUCAAGUUCUAGUUUAGAGUCAAAACCUGAGCUGAAGAUACAGUAAGUGGAGGAAAAGCUGAAACAUAUAUCGAAAGACAGAAAAAAGUGUCAGAUAUUAUUGACUUUGGGUUAAUUUACUCUUGAAGCUGCCAGUCUAAAGAAGGAUCCAGACUGUAGCCAGAAGUUAGCAAAAUUUGUAGCAAGGCUAGAUUGAAAUCAUCGGGGUACUGUGUUACGCUGAGAAUGAUAUAAUCGACUUUCAAUGAAUUGAAACUUUCUCUUCAUUUUGCACCAUUAGUCUCUCAACGAUGUGCAACUACUUGCCUUGCAGAAUAAUAAACUUGGAGAAUUGAACCUAGUUAAGAACUCUAAAUGUUAGAUCUUUCACUUUCUUUAUGUCUAAGCUUGAGCAGACUUUGGUACUUUUAUAAACAGAAGCUACAGUGCAGGUCUGAACAGAGAGAUGCUUUCUUAGAAGUUUAUAGCUAUUGUAUGUAAGAAAUCACUUUAGUUGAGAAGUUUUAAAUUUUUUUGUCCUUAAAAUUUAAGAAAUAUGUAUUAUUGCCUAGCCCUGGAGCCUAGCACAAAGCCCUCCACAUGUAAAACACCAGUAAAUGCCAGCCAUCUUUUGUAUGGGUCACUGCUCUCUUUUCUUCCAGAUCUUUUCCCAUAACCAUAGCUGGCUCUUAGCAAAAUGGAAGGAGUUUCAGUACUUUUUGAUCACCUCCACAUACUGCAUUCACAUCCCAAUUUAUACAAUCCCAUAGGUGUUAAUUAUGGUCCAACGUUCUCUAAUGCAGUGCCAAGUGUCACCCUCAUAAAUGGUGCCUUACAUUCUGUACGUAGUUUCACUUCUCCAUCAACCUUGUCAAAACCAAAAUGAAAUCAAGUUAGAAAAAAAAUUUAAAGUUUAUUGUGCAUACAAAAAAUCAGUUUGUGAACCGGGAGACCUCAAGCUGAAAGUGGUGAGAAGCCCUGCUCACAGUUGUUAUAGCAUAGUUUAUAAAGCAUAAAGAAGAAAGUACUUUGACCUUUUCUGUGAUUGGCUGCUAACAUUAACAUUCUUGUUACGGCAAGCAGAGAUGUUUAAAUUGAUUUGUCUAUAGCUGAUUGGCUUUAUUUCACUGAAUCAUGUUGAAAGAACAUGAUGCUUACAUUCUGUGUUAGGUUUAUAAGGAGAGCUAGUGUUUGGGGGAAAUCAGAAUGACUUAAAUUUUAACUACGUGGCUCCAGGCGUUGGCUUUGAGGGUAUAUCUACACUGUGGCCUCCAUUUUUAUUCUUCUUUAACAUACUUUACCUUGCUGGUCAUGCAUUCCUGUGGGGCCUGCCAGCAUCUAGCGGGACCCUUGGGAAGCAGUCAGAAAAAUUAAGAGCUCCUCAACUAUGAAUGUUUUUUAAACUAAAAACUUUUGUAGAGAUGAAUGAUUUCUCUGAUAGUGAAAUUUCAGGUAUAAUGGGAAAUAUUGGUGAAUCAGAUAUUGGAGGACAACUUAUUCUACUUGUGCAUGAUGACUAACCCUAACUCUUCACCUUGAACACCAUUUGUAGUGUAAAUGAGCUUUCAGUGUGUGCUAAAGUAAGGCAUUUAUCUUCUCUUAACUUGUGUAGAAAGUUGUAUGUCUUGACCGGGCGCGGUGGCUCAUGCCUGUAAUCCCAGCACUUUGGGAAGCUGAGGCGGGUGGAUCACCUGAGGUCAGGAGUUCAAGACCAGCCUGGCCAACAUGGAGAAACUCCGUCUCUACUAAAAAAACAAAAAAUAGCCAGCUGUGGUGGCAGGCACCUAUAAUCCCAGGUACUCAGGAGGCUGAGGCAGGAGAAUCGCUUGAACCCAGGAGGCGGAGGUUGCAGUGAGCCAAGAUCACACCACUGCACUCCAGCCUGGGUGACAGAGCGAGACUCCAACUCAAAAAAAAGAAAAAGAAAAUUAUAUGUCUUGCCUGUGUACUCUAGCUUUAGAAGAUCAGGUUUAUGUGAGAGCAUAUGGCUUAUGUUAUCAAAAGGCAGGGAUAUAUACUUUUCUGUCACAUAAAAAACUUUAAUUAGUAAGUUUGUACCAACACUUUCUCUAUAGCACAGUGGCAAGAUCAGUUUGGCUUAGAGGAAGAAAAACUGAAUUAGGACUCAAGCCACUCUUUAAGCCUUUUUCUUUUUCCUCUGUAAUGUGAAGGAUUUGAAUGAGGGGAUCUCUAAGAGUUCUUCCUGCUCCAACAUUUUUACUAAAUGUUAAAGGCCUAUACCAAUAUUUUAUUGAACAAAUGUCCUUACAUAUGUGAUUACAUUAGGCUCUGAUAAAAAUUUGGAAAUGAGUGAUGUUGGGGUUUAUCGCUUCUUUGCAGACACCUUGUUAGCAUGUCUAUUAAACGGCUGUGCUGCUGAAAUCCCACCAAUUUAAAACUUUGCUGUUAUUAUUGCAUUACAUGAUUCUUAGCAAAUGAUGGAUCUGAUAAGGGCCUAAGGAGCUCCCCUAACCAAAUGUAUUUCUAUUUAAAAAGAAAACUUUAGAAGAUAUAAAUAUGUUUUAAAUCCAAAGGAAUGCUUAUCUAAUAAUGUAAUGUUAAACAUUAUAAUAAGUGUGUGUGUGUGUGUGUGUGUGUGUGUGUGUAUUCUGAAGAAAGUGAGCCUCUAAAAUUUGACCACAGAAUAGUUUUGGUCCAUCUGCAAAGCCAGCUUUAUACAAGUCAAAUACUACAAAACAUAAGAUGUACAAUUUGGGGGAAUUUUUCUACAAAAAACACUGCACAAGUACUUACAUGUCCUUGUUAUUUAAAUGGUAUGCAUGCACCUUUGGAAAAUAAAAUAUUUGGGAUAAGGUUUUCAAUUUUGUUAAUGAAAAUCCCUAAUAGCAAGCAAAGAUAUGAGAGUGCUCACAGAUGGACAGGGAUGUCCAAUCUUUUUGGCUUCUCUGGGCCAUAUUGGAAGAAGAAGAAUUGUCUUGGGCCACACGUAAAAGACACUAACACUAACCAUAGCUGAUAGGCUAAAAAAAAAGGGUUGAAAAAAAUUCUAAUGUUUUAAGAAAGUUUAUGAAUUUGUAUUGGGCUGCACUCAAAGCUGUCCUGGACCACAUGAGGCCAGUGGGCUGCAGGUUGGACGAGCUUGGACUGUAAGAAUAAGGCACAGAGGGGCAGGGAGCAGCUUCUCUUUUAAAUCAAUCAAAAGUCAUAAGAAGCCAUGAGGUUUGGGUUUUUUUUUUUUUUGACAGAGUCUUCUGUCACCCAGGCUGGAGUGCAAUGGCUUCAUCAUGGUUCACUACAGCCUGGAACUCCUGGGCUCAAGCGAUCCUCCCAUCUCAGCCUGCCAAUAGCUAGAACUACUGGUGUGUGCCACCAUGCCCCUCUAAUUUAUUUAUGUAUUUAUUUAUUUAUUUAUUUAUUUAUUUAUUUAUUUGAGAGACAGGGUCUUACUAUGUUGCCAGGGCUGGUCUUGAGUGAGUUCCUGGGCUCCUGGGCUCAAGUGAUCCUCCUGUCUCAGUCUCCCAAAGACAUGAGAUUAAAGGCUUGAGCCACUACUCCUGGCCAGGAAGUUAUGUUUUAAUUUUUGUAAUGUGCACCUAGAGACUCAUUUGAUCUACUAUAAAUAAGCAAAGUUUAUAACAGAUCGUAGUUCUUUCUAAGGGGAAAAAAUGGGGUUGGACAAGGAAGAGAAUAAACAAACACACACAAAGAGACAUUUCUAUAAAAGGUAUUUUGUUUUUAAGCAAUAACAAAUAUUUUAUUUUCAAGUGCUCUUAAGGAAAAAAUGCCAUUUUGAAAGUAAAAAGGAAAAGGAAAAAGUUAUAGCCACCUGAGACCAAACUAUCCAAGUGCAUUAUUAUCUAAAGUGUUACAUGCACACACAUAUUAACUAGCAGAGAGAAGGGUUGUGGCAGUCUCUUCCCUUGAUCAUGCCAACCAACAUCUUAAAAUGGAUUGAUACACUGAAAGGGUACACUUAAAAAAGAGAGAAUGAACAGGCAUAACUUUCCUGAUAAUUCCUGCUGUCUAUGAUAUACCCUUCAUGUGGCAUUCAAUAUAUAAGUCAAAAGGAGGCCCUUUAAUGUGGGAAGGAGUUGAAGAAUCUUAUAUGAAUAGAGAAUUCUCCUCAUUGCACCGUAAAGAACACUUUUUGAGAGCACGUGAACAGAAAAAUAACAUCUGCUGAAUAUAGACUCUUGCUCUCCUGGAGAGCAUUGUGUAGACACCAGUUCAGUCUUAAUUCUGAAACACUCUGCAAACAGCUCCACCACCAAAGUUUUACAAAAAGUGUAUAUUUUAGUCCUCUUGACGAGGUGGGGUUACAGUGCCUAAGAUCAAGUUCUGGAAGAAACCCCAGUAGAAAUAACAUUUACAGUUCAUCUCUUAUGGUGGAAGAUUUCUCCAUAUGAGCAAUCUAAUCCAUUUAAUAUUGAUCCUAAUCAGUGUAAGCUUUGGAGAAUGAUGUUUCCUGACCUUUUCGCAUAAUUUCAGAGCUACACCCUAAUUAGAGUCUAUAGUCUAUUCUGCAAUGAUUAGGCAACCAAUCAACAUUUGAGCAGGUAAUUUAAGCUACAUAUUCAACUAUGAGGAUUGAUUUUUCUUCAGAAUCUUGGUCUUUAACCAAGUUCCUCUGGACAGCUAGCUGUGAUUAGAGCAGAAUCAGUGGCCCAAUAAGCAAGUGGAGCCUUCUGCUAUGGUAGGAUGCUACUGUUGAUCAUUAAUCAUCAGAAAACUUAAUCAGCACACGACUAAAUCAUUGACUUAGGCAUCACUAAUGAUUAGAUCUUAAAUUUGUAAUUCAUGAAUAUUGGGUGAACAUCUGUACAACUGGCAGGACAAUGUUAUUCAUCCUCCUUGUCUAAGCUUCAACCUAGUGGCUUAAGGUAGGAGUAGAAACAGAACAGAUUAUUCAUUCAUUAAGAAAUCUGUAUCCAUUCAGAUCUGUAACCAGUCUUGACAGAGGCUAGACAAAUCAACUCUUUAUAACCAUUCCUACCCUAAUUUCACUACCAACAGUUAAAUUUAUUCUUUCAUUAAGCCUAGAUUUUUUAUAUGAUAUCUACUACAUACUAACAAUUAUGUUAGGUACUACAGCUAUAAAAUGAACAAGGGGAACAAAAAUUGCCUACCCUUUAGUUACAUACAAUCCAGUUGAUCAGAAAGCAAAUAAUAGAACAAUUACAAAUACUGGAAAAUAAUAAACCUUUUUUUAUUUUUUUUUUUUUUGAGACAGAGUCUUGCUCUGUCACCUAGGCUGGAAUGCAGUGGCACGAUCUCGGCUCACUGCAACCUCUGCCUCCCGGGUUCAAACAAUUCUGCCUCAGUCUCCCUAGUAGCUGGGAUUAUAGGCAUGUGCCACCACGCCUGGCUAUUUUUUGUGUGUCUUUAGUAGAGACAGGGUUUCACCGUAUUGGCCAGGCUGGUCUCGAACUCCUGACCUUGUGAUCUGCCCACCUCGGACUCCCAAAGUGCUGGGAUUACAAGCAUGAGCCACCACUCCUGGCCUUAUAUAUAAUAAACUUUAAGAUAGAGUAAAUAAAGUGUGCUGUGUAAUGAUGGAGAAUGGCCACCUAACCCAGUUUUGGAGGAUUAAGUUAUAACUUUCAAGAAUAAGGGUCUAAACUGAGUUCUGAAGAAUGUCAAAUUUGAUGUUGAAAAUUCAUUUAUUUAAAGGAAUUGGUUGGAUACUUCAAUCAAAUUAGCAGACCUUAGCAGACCUGUAGUCCCACAUAGACAUAAUCACAGGAGUUACUUAAUGCCUUUAGUGAAUAUGUACUAGAGAAGCAGUGUGGCCGAAUGAAAAAAAGAACAGAGAAUGGGACAGAAGACUUAGGUUCAAAUAUGAGAUGUUUUUCAUGUACUUCAAAACUGGUUUAUCGGACCUAUUUACAUUUUACAAACUAGUUUUAUAUAUACAGUAUACGUUUCAAUUGCUAUUUUACUAUGAGUUUGAGUACAGCAUAUAUAAUUCUGAUCUUGUCUCUUCUAUUGUUGUGGAAAGUCAGGGACCCCGAACAGAGGGACCAGCUGAAGCCACGGCAGAAGAACAUAAAUUGUGAAGAUUUAAUGGACAUUUAUCAGUUCCCAAAAUUGAUACUUUUAUAAUUUCUUAUGCCUGUCUUUACUGCAGUCUCUGAACAUAAAUUGUGAAGAUUUCAUGGACAUUUAUCACUUCCCCAAUCAAUACUGUUAUAAUUUCUCAUGCCUAUCUUUAAUCUCUUAAUCCCAUCUUCUUCAUAAGCUGAGGAUGUAUGUCACCUCAGGACCCUGUGAUGAUUGCAUUAACUGUACAAAUUGAUUGUAAAACAUGUGUGUUUCAACAAUAUGAAAUCAGUGCACCCUGAAAAAGAACAGAAUAACAGCUAUUUUCAGGGAACAAGGGAGAUAACCAUAAGUUCUGACUGCCUGCAGGGUUGGGCAGAAUAGAGCCAUAUUUUUCUUCUCACAGCCAGCCUAUAAAUGAAUGUGUGAGUAGGAGAAAUAUCGCUGAAUUCUUUUCCCAGCAAGGAAUAUUAAUAAUUGAUAACCCUGGGGAAGGAAUGCAUUCUCAGGGGUAGGCCUACAGAUGAUCACUCUGGGACCGUCUGUCUUAUGCGGUUGAGAUAAGGGAUGAAAUAUGCCCUGGUCUCCUGCAGUGCCCUCAGGCUUACUAGGAUUGGGAAAUUCCAGCCUGGUGAAUUCUAGUCGGGCCAGUUGUCUGCUCUCGAACGCUGUUUCCUGUUAAGAUGUUUAUCAAGACAAUGCAUGCCCAGUGGGACAUGGAGCCUCAUCAGUAAUUCUAAUUUCGCCCUUGCCUUGUGAUCUUUCUCUGCCCUCUGCCUUGUGAUCUUUUAUGGCCCUUUGAAGCAUGUGAUCCUUGUGACUUACUCCCUGUUCGUACAUCCCCUCCCCUUCUAAAAUCCCUAAUAAAAACUUGCUGGUUUUGUGGCUCAGGUGGGCAUCAUGGAACCUGCUGAUAUGUGAUGUCACCCCCGGAGGCCCAGCUGUAAAAUUUCUCUCCUUGUACUCUUUAUUUCUCAGACUGGCCGACACUUAGGGAAAAUAGAAAAGAACGUAUGUUGAAAUAUGGGGGGCUGGUUCCCCCAAUAUUCUAUAAACUGGGAAUAAUAUUAAUAUUGCUAAUAUUAACUUUGUAAAAUUUAAACUGCUGAUCAAAUUUUAGACAUUACUGUAUUAUUAUUGUAAAGUUUUGGGCAAUGCAAAUGAUAUACACAUGACAGUUUUCAUUUGUUUGCCUUGGGGUUAUAUCUUUUAAAAAUUUCUACAUAUUAAAAUUAUUUCACAGGAAAUGAACAUUUCCUUUUCUAGGAGACUAAAACACUUAUUAAAUUUAGGGGUAGAUUAAAGUGACUGAGGUUUAGUUCAAAAGCUGGAGAAUAAAUAUAAAUGAGCUUUCAAAAUCCUUUUCCAUUCAACGAUGCUAUAAUAUUUAGUUAUGUUUUAGAAUUUUCCAACAUAAGUUAUCACCAUUAUCAAAAGAUACAUUCCAAAACAUUACAAUUAUUGUCAAUACAAUAAUGUUGACACUUACAAGGCAGGAACAGUGAUGAAAUGGCUAUAAUCUGUUUUGAAUGACAUAAAAUUGUGUUCCAUGCCAAAACAUGAAAUAAAACAAAUGGCUACUUUGGAAAUUCUAGUUUCAGUGUGUCCUUAGAAAAAUUACCUUGUAUCAAAUAUAUACACCACCUGGUGGACUAAUGCCCCAAAUGAUGACUGAGUGGUUAUCUAUCAACAGAUGUGCAAACACUCUAUUACAAAGGAAUGUCUGGUGGAAGGAAAUUGACAAUCAUAAUUUGACAAUUAGACAUUGGUUCAUUGGUUGAUAAUACCUAUGAGCCAAUGUCCUUGUACUUCUUUUUUUUUUUUGAGACGGAGUCUCACUCUGUCGCCCACGCUGGAGUGCAGUGGCGCGAUCUCUGCUCACUGCAAGCUCCGUCUCCUGGGUUCACGCCAUUCUUCUGCCUCAGCCUCCUGAAUAGCUGGGAUUACAGGUGCCUGCCGCAACACCUGGCUAAUUUUUUUGUAUUUUUAGUCGAGACGGGGUUUCACUGUGUUAGCCAGGAUGGUCUCGAUCUCCUGACCUCAUGAUCCGCCCGACUCGGCCUCCCAAAGUGCUGGGAUUACAGGCGUGAAUGUGUUUGUACUUCUAUUUGUUGUUUUUUUAAAUUAGUUGCAGUGUUUUCAUGGUGGAGAAUUUAGCUUAAAAAUGACAAUAAUUUCUUUGCUCUUGAAACUAGAUAAUCAUUUGCUAUUUAAUAUUUAAUAACAUUAUUAAUACUUAUUGUGUGCCUAAAUGCAUUUGAGAAAUUCAAUUAAGUCUACAUUUAUCUCAGAAGUAUAAUUUUCUUUUAAUUUUAUAUUAUAAUGCAGUAGUAAUUAACUCUCCAUAUGUGAAAUAUAGUUUACCACCAUUUACAUGACAUUAUUCUGAUAAACACAAAUCUGUUGUUACAAUCAUAUAAGGAUGCUUUCAAGGUGAAAUCAGUAGUCAGUAGGCUGUGAGAAGAUUAAAUUUCUGUUGUAUUUUGGAUGGAGUUCUUGCUUGUUUGAUUAUGUUCAAUAGCUAUCUGAAAUACAUACAAUAUAAAGGGAGUUGCCACUGUGUGAUUCUAAAAAUUUUUAAUGAUGUGUCUGAAAUAAAGUUAUUGGAUAGCAAUUGACCAAAGGCCACAAGGAGAAAAUGGAAAUAUUCUCUUGCAAAGUUCUUAUGCUACUCAUAAAUUAGUAGAGUAUCACUUGAAGACCGACUAUAAGAAGUUAAAGAAGUAUAUUGUAAACUCUAAAGCAACUCCACACAUACACACAAAUAAAAUAAGUGGAUAUCUCUGUGAUUAAAAAAGAAGACCUUUUUCUUUGCCUCACACCAUAUAUAAAAUUCACUCAAAAUUCAUCAUAGAUCUAAAAAUAGAUUUCUUAAGAUGGAACAAUACCAAAAUACCUCACAACCUAUAAAAGAUCAACAAAUUAAACAUUUUAAAAAUUAGAAAAAUCCCUUUAUUCUUCUAAGAAAACUGUUAGAAAAAAAAUUUUAGAGCAGGAGAAAUAUUUUUUAAAAAACAUACCUGACAAAGGACAUGUAUCUAGACUACAUAAAGAACUUCUACAACUCAGUUAUAAGACAAUCUAAUUAAAAAUAGGUUAAAUAUUUUAACAGACACUUACUCAGAAAAGAUAUGCAAGUGGAAAAUAAGCUCUUGAAAAGAUGCUCAAUGUCAUUAGUCAUUAAGGAAAUGCAAAUUAAAACUGCAAGUAGAGAAUACUAUAAUCCAACUUAAGCAACUUAAAUGUAAAACCCUGACUAUAGUAAGAGUUAGCAAGGUUGUGAAGCCCUGGAACACUUCUGUAAUGCUGGUGGGAAUGUAAAAUGCUACCAACACUUUGGAAAAUCAUUUGGUAUUUUCUUAAAACUUUGAAUAUUCUCCUAUCGAAAGUCACUCCUAGGUAUUCACCCAAGAAAAAUGAAAUGCUGAACCUUUUAAGAUAAUAUUUUGCGGCCGGGUGCCGUGGCUCAUGCCUGUAAUCCCAGCACUUUGGGAGGCCGAGGCGGGCAGAUCACGAGGUCAGGAGAUCUGAGACCAUCCUGGCUAAUGCGAUGAAACCCCGUCUCUACUAAAAAUACAAAAAAUUAGCCGGGUGUAGUGGCAGGUGCCUGUAGCCCCAGCUACUCGGGAGGCUGAGGCAGAAGAAUGGCGUGAACCUGGGAGGCGGAGCUUGCCGUGAGCCAAGAUUGCGCCACUGCACUCCAGCCUGGGCGACAGAGCGAGACUCCGUCUCAAAAAAAAAAAAAAAAAAAAAAAAAAGAUAAUAUUUUGCUUUGAUAUCAAUGAAUGGGAAACCAAGUGCCAAAAAAUAAUAAUCAAGUUAAAAAUCUGUAUUUUGGAGUUUAUAUCGUGUGUAAAAGUGAAAAAUUGAACAACACUAACACAACUAUUUGGAGAGUUGUAAAUGGUAUUAUACUCUUCUAAGUUUCUUAUUUUGUGUGUGAAAUGCUAUAAUAAGGACUUAAGUCAUACUGAAAUAAGAUGAGGAUGCCUACUGUAAUCACUAAAGCAACCAUAAAAAAUAAAAUGAAGAGCUGUAGCUAAAAACUAAUGAAGGCGUUACACUGAAUUUAAGAUGGCCUAAAUAAAUGAAGAGAUAUAAUAUUUUCAUGGAUAGGAAAAAAUAAAAAUUUUAAGAUAUCAUUCUCCCUAAACUUUUCAGUAGAUUCAACAUACUUCCUCCAAAAUUUCUGCAGCUUCCUUCUUUUAGAAAUUGACAAUAUGAUUCUAAAGUUUAUAUAAAAAUGAAAAUAAUCUGAAAUAGUCAAAAAAAAGUUGCAUUAUGAAGUACAAAGUUUGAUGACUUAGCACUAUCUAAUUUCAAGAUAUCUAUGAAGCUACUGAAAUGGGAGUUCCCUUAUCUUCCCCCACUGCCCAAACCCCUAGGAGAAGCAUGCAAAUGGGCAGGUCGUGGGGAGUGUUUUUAGGGUCCGACUCCACGACAGUGUUUAGGGUUGAGUGCUUAUAGCCCCCGAAGCCCAAGCGGGCAUGUCUUAUAGUGUGCUUUUUCAGCUUUGCCAUCUGCAGAUGGCUUGUAUUAAUCAGCUCAAUUAGACCCUCUGCCUUAUUGCAAGGACAGAGGGCUUUCUAUAUCCUGGGUUCUUGCCCUAGUGUACCAGACAAAUUGGAUCACACGUGGGCUUGGAGGAUGAGUGCAAGGUUUUAUUGAUUGGUGGAGGCAGUUCUCGGUGAGAUGGAUGGGGAACCGGAAGGGGAAUGGAGUGGGAAGGUGGUCUUCUCCUGGAGUUGGGCCUCCCAGUGCCUGGACUGUCCUCCGACUGCCCCCGGCUGAAUUCCCCUUGGUGUCUGUGUCAUUCCACUGUUGCUGGUCUGCCAGUAUCUGCUGGUAUCUGUCAGUGUGUUCUUCCGUUCCUCUUGACAUCCAGCCACUUGUGUGUGUGCCUGCUGGGGUCUUGGGUUUUUAUGGGCACAGGAUGGAGGCAUAGUGGGCCAAAAAGCAACUUUUUGGGUGUAAAAACAGAAAUGUCUGUCUACAUUUAGGUCUGUGGGACAGGUCCGAGAUUGGAGCCCUCACCAGGGACCCUGCCCUUCUCUACCCAGCACUUCCCUGUCCCCUCCCGUAUCACUACAAUAAUUAGGACAUUGUGGGAUUGGCAUAAAUGUAGACAUGAGGACUAAAGGAAAAUAAUAGAAUGUCAGAAAUAAAUACAUACAUAUAUUAACUGAUUUCAAAUUCAAUUCAAUGGGUAAAGAAAAUGUUUCACAACAAAUUGUGCUGCAAGAAGAUAUUCACAUGAAAAACAAAGGAACUCUAUCUUCUGCUAUGUACCAAAAAGUAUUUAGAUGUUUGUUAUUUAUUAUGCACCUAAAUAUACCAAUCUAAUAUUUUAAUGAUUUUAGAUUAGAAUGUAGGAAAAAAAUUUCCAAAAUAAGAUAUAAGAAUGGAGAUUAAACACAUUAAAAGGUUCUUAGUACCAUUAUUCAUCUGGGCAAUGCAAACUAAAAGUACAAUGAGAUACCACAACCCUCACAUGCUAGAAUUUCAAAAGUUAAAAAAUGUAAACAAGGCAAGGAUGCUCACUCUCACUACACUUAUUCAACGUAGUACUGAAAUUCCUUGCCAUGGCAAUAAGGUAAAAAAAGACAUACUGAUUAGAAAUUAUAAAAUAUAUUUUCUUUAUUUACAGAUGACACAACUGUCUAUGUAAAAAAUUCCCAUGGAAAUUAUAAAACCAAAAACCUCCUAGAACUAAUAAGAGAGUUCAGCAAGGUCUCAGGAUACAAGAUCAAUACACAGAAAUUUAUCUGAUUUCUAUUUUCUAGCAAUGAACAUGUGACAAUCAAAAUUAAAAGUACAAUAUCAUUUACAAUUGAUAGAAAAGAGACAUACUUUGGUAUAAAUCUAAAAGUAAUAUAGGAAUGAUAUGCUGUAAAUAAUAAAAUGCUGAUGAAAGAACUAGAAGAUCUAAAUAAAUGGAGAUACAUAACAUGUCCAUGGAAUGAAAGACUUAACGUAACAAAGAUGAUAAUUAUCCCCAAAGUGAUAUAUAGACUUAAUGCAAUGCCUAUUAAAAUUCUAUCAAGAGUUUGGGUAGAUACUGACAAGCUUAAACUAAAAUUUAUAUAAAAAGGCAAAAUAGCUAGCACAGCUAAAACAAUUUUCUAAAAAAAGAAUAAAACUGGAUGAAUCAUUCGAUCUGAUGCUAAUAGCAUCAAGAGAGUGUAUUAUUGACAGAGAGACAGAUACAUAGAUCAAUGCAACAGAAUUGAGAGACCAGAAACAGACCCACACAAAUACCCCAGCUGAUUUUUGACGAAGGUAUAAAAACAAUUCAGAAGAGGAAAGGCCGUCUUUUCAACAAAUACUUGUGGAGUAAUAGACAAAAUAUGAACUUCAGCCUAAAGCUCUCACAUUAUACACAAAUUAUUUGAAAAUAGGUUAUGAGUUUAAAUGUAAAAUGUAAAUCUAUCAAACAUUUAGAAGAAUUCUUAGAAGAAAAUCUUUGGAACUGGAGGCCAAGUGAUGAGUCCUUACCCAUGACACCAAAAGCAUGAUCCUUCAAAAGGAAAAAUGAUAAAUUUCACUCUAUCAAAAUUUAAAAGUUUUGCUUUGAGAAAGGCUGUUAAGAGAAUAAAAAGACAGGCUCCAGAUUUGUGAGAAAUAUCACACACAACAAAGAACCUGUAUCUAGAAUGAAUAAAUGAUGCUCAAAAUUAAAAAAUAUCCCAAAAGAUUGAAUUAGAAAAUAUGCAAAAGAUAUGAAGAGACAUUUGACUAAAGAGAUAUAUGGAAUGCAAAUAAGCAUGUGAAAAGAUGUUCAAUAUCACCUAUAAAAACAGCUGAACUAAAACAAAUUAGUGGUUAAUACCAAAUGCUGGUAAGGAUGGAGAGAAACAGAUCACUCAUACACUGCUGGUAGGAAUGUAGAAUUGAUACAACCACUCCUGAAGAUAGUUUGGCAGUUUCUUAUAAAACUAAACAUGCCAUCACCAUACAAACUAGCAAUUGCAUUCUUGAGCAUCACACAGAAACCUGUACAUUUAUUUUCACAGCACCUUUAUUUACAAUAGAUUAAAACUGGAAACAAUCCAGAGGUCCUUCUAUAGUUGAAUGAUUAAAUAAAUUCUGGUAUAUUAAUUUCAUAGACUAUUACUUGACAAUGAAAUGAAACAAACUAUUGAUACAUCCAUCAAAUUGGAUGAAUCUCAAGAGUAUUAUGCUUAGUAAAAAAAAAAAAAAAAAAAGCCAGUCUCAAAGGGUCACCUAAUGAAUAAUUCCAUUUAUAUAAUACAUUCAAAAUAAUAGUUGUAGAGAUUGACAAUACAUUAGUGAUUGCCAGAGCACACAGACAAGAUAUAAGAUAUCUUGGGGUGUUGGUGCAACUAAAAACGGAUAGCACUGGAGUAUUCCUUUGUGGUGGUGGUUAGAAGUGGGAUAUAAUUGCAUAGAACCACUUACGACCACCCCGAACCCUGCCACACACACACAGGUGCAUACACAGGGACACAUUCAAAUGAGCACAUGUAGAAACUGGUGAAAAUUGAAUAAGGUUUGUAGUCUACUUAGCAGAAUUGUAGCAAUGUCCACUUCCAAAUUAUACUAAAGUAACGUAUCACCACUUGGGGAGGCUAAGUGAAAAAAGUUGACAGCACUCUACGUAUUCUUUUUUCAACUUACUGUGAAUUUAUAAGUGUUUAAAAAUGAAAAACAAAAGAAAAAGACAGAAAAACUGUUAGAAAGGAUGUGGAGUAAAAGAAACUCUCAAACCUUUGGAAUAAAGAAUUGGUAGUUUCUAAAAAUAUUAAAUAAUCAACUACCUGUGACUCAGCAGUUGUCCCAGAUUAAUGAAAACAUAUAUAUACAAAAAAGAUUUUUACAAUAAUGUUUAAAACAGCCUUAUUCAAAAUAGCCCCAAACUAGAAAUAACCCAAAUGUCCACUAACAGGACAAUGGAUAACCAAAUUGUGAAGUAGUCGUAUAUUGGAAUACUAUUCAACAAUAAAAAGAAAUUAACUACUGACACACACAACAACAUGGAUUAAUCUCCAAAAUAUGUUGAGCAUAAAAAGCCAGAUACAGUGGAGCAUAAACUUAGUAAUUCUAUUUAUAUGAAAUUUGAAGGCAAACAAAACUAUAGUAGAAAAAAAUCAGAACAAUGGUUGCUCUUGGGUGGGAAGUUUUGAUUUUAAAGGGGCGUAAGGGAACUUUCAAGGUAAUGGAAUUAUUCUUUAUCUUCUUUAGGUUGAUGGUUACAUGAAUUAAUGUUAUAAAAACUCAAUGAACUGUGUAAUUAGGAUCUGUGCAUGUUAAUAUAUCAAACGUAAACCUUAAUAAUAAAAAAGUAAAAGAAAAAAGUGAUGGUUCAAAGUAAUUGUGGUAACACUGAAAAUGCUUUUCAUUUUAAUUUUAGGUGGAAUAAAAUCAGAAUGCAAAUUUUUAAAAUGUAGUAUAUUUACAAAAAUGUUAGCAAAAAGUAAAGAAAACAUGCCUAAAAUAACUAAAAGGAAAUAUGUCAAACUAUUAACCAAGGGUUGGCCCAUGGCUGUUUUCUUCCUUCCUAUCUUUCUGUGGCUCCAUAAUUUUUUAAUGAGUAUACACUAUUAUGAACAUUAAAGCACAUUUAGAAAUAAAUAUGUUUCAAAAGAAAAAUCCAGAAAUUACAAUUCAGUGUAAGACUUUUUAUAUAAAUCAUUCUCAAUCAAAACACUACCACACAAGAAAUAGAUAACAAUUUGACUUAUGUCGUAUGAUACUUUCUUAACUGGUUUAUUGAGAGACCAGGACUCAACGGGAUGUCAGCAGAAAGCAAUUUUAUUUGUUUAUUCCGUUGUCCCUUAAAACCUGCCCUGGGAUUUUAUUUUUUUCUACCCCAGGCUGAAAACUCACCCGUAUCCCAGUUUUUCUGUUCCUCUUAAGUCAUAAGCAAAUAUUUCCUUUGUUUUAACAUUUAAGAGUCUAAUCCAAUGUAAUGGUUACGUUACUUUAGUUCAGUACAGCAUAAUAGCUAAAACUCUUUUUUAAAAAAUAUUUUUAUUUUUUAUUUUUAUUUAUUUUUAUUAUACUUUAAGUUUUAGGGUACAUGUGCACAACGUGCAGGUUUGUUACAUAUGUAUACAUGUGCCCUGCUGGUGUGCUGCACCCAUUAACUCGUCAUUUAACAUUAGGUAUAUCUCCUAAUGCUAUCCCUCCCCCCUCCCCCAAGUUUUCAUUUAAUUUAAAUCUUUUCUCUUCUUCUAGCUGGGAUCUGAAACAAACAAAAAGCCCAGAGUUGGUGGAGCUGGGAAGGAUAGCACAGUAGAUCACUUCUCUCUUUUCUAAUCCAUCUCUUUCCUUCUUAUUAUCCAAAGGUCCUGGCCUCUGCAAAGCUUUGGCAAGGGGGAAACACAAGGUGCAAAAAGGUGGUAAACUAGCAUGUUUGUUUUUUGAAUAUGGAGAAUGUAAUAUUAUUUGUUCUUUCACUUGAGAGGUUCCUUAUGGAGUUUCCAUACCAAGGACCACCACAAUGUAGAUAUUUUAAUGAGAAAAUGUCUCUUCUUAACUGACUUCUUAAAAUCUUCUCCUUUAUCUCAUGAGUUUUGGGUUUCAUCACAAUAUCAGAGUCAGAUCAUCCCACUGUUGUCCCUUUUGAGAAACACCAGAGUUGUUCUCUAUAAGGAAGUCAACAUUUGCUUCUUAAAAACAUACACCUUUGCCCUACUUUCUGUGGAAGUUCAGCCUGCUGUCAACAGAGCCCUCUGUUUAUCUGCCCUACACCAAUAGUACUAGCUAGUCUUUUACGUUUAGCUUUCUCAGGCAAUUGUAAAUCUGUUUCACAAAUUACAUAAACACUUUUUCAUAAAACUUUCCCAAUAAUACCCUUGAAGCCUUUCUCUCUAACUCAUUUAAGGUAAGACUUAAGAAAAGUACGAGUCCUCUUGUUCCCCAUUACAGAGCAUGCACAAAAGUGAAACUCUCCCUAAAGAUAGAUUAAUCCACUAUUCAUUUUCACAUCAAGUCUUAAAUAUUCACUAAGUGGAUGAACAAAUAAUAUUGACAGAACAAGUUUUAUAAUCCCAUAGCAUGUCUGGCUUCAGAGCUACCACAUCUAGUCAAGAAACCUGUCUUGUGCAUAAAGGCACCUAGCAGAGAGGGUGUUUGUCUCACCAAGCCCUGUGCUAACCACUGAGACUGAGCUGGGUGGGUGGUCUUCCUCUGUGCUCGCAGGGCACACUGUGCAUUCUUCUCAUUCUGUCACUGCCACAAUACCAACUGGGGGUUCAUUUGUCCCUCUUCCUCCCUAGGUGGCAAGCCAUUUGAUAGCAGAGUCUGUCUUUUCUCUCUGUAUUCAUAGGGCCUGACUUAAUGCUUGCCACUUCAUUAGAUAAUCGAUAAGUGGUUGCUAAAUAAAUGAAUGAACCUAUCUUCAGCUUAUACUCUAAUGAGAAAAUAGACCCUCGUGCCUUGUUCUAAUAUGUCAUCCAUUUUUGGAUCGUUGCUUUACUAUUUGACAUCUUUUGUCCACUGACAACAUAGCAAGGGCUUUCAAGAUAGAGUUAAAACAUGACCCCGGAGGAGGAGGCAUACAAACUAAUUGAGAUCAUUUUGUUGUAAAAAGCAGAACAAAUAUAAAUUUCAGGUUGGUCACAAUUAUUGCAUUAAGGAGAGCUUUAAAAUGAUUUCCACAGAGUUAAUUAAGAAUGUCUCUUGUUAUCUAGGUUCUUAAUUGGUUUAUACUCUUUUCUUAGUGAGAAACUUCAGGAGAGGCUCAGCAGACAAAUACUGAAUAAAUUAUCAUAUGUUAAGCAAAAAUGUGUAAAUAUUCUUAAGUGAACAGGCUGACGGUAAAGGCAGUUAAAAAGGAGCAUGGACUUUGCAAUGGAACCUUUAUAUAUAUAUAUAUUUUUAUUAUACUUUCAGUUCUAGGGUACAAGUGCACAACAUGCAGGUUUGUUACAUAUGUAUACAUGUGCCAUGUUGGUGUGCUGCACCCAUUAACUCGUCAUUUACAUUAGGUAUAUCUCCUAAUGCUAUACCUCCCCCCUCUCCCCACCACACAACAUGCCCCGGUGUGUGAUGUUCCCCUUCCUGUGUCCAAGUGUUCUCAUUGUUCAAUUCCCACCUAUGAGUGAGAACAUGUGGUGUUUGGUUUUUUGUCCUUGUGAUAGUUUGCUGAGAAUGAUGGUUUCCAGCUUCAUCCAUGUCACUACAAAGGACAUGAACUCAUCAUUUUUUAUGGCUGCAUAGUUCUCCAUGGUGUAUAUGUGCCACAUUUUCUUAAUCCAGUCUAUCAUUGUUGGACAUUUGGGUUGGUUCCAAGUCUUUGCGAUUGUGAAUAGUGCCGCAAUAAACAUACGUGUGCAUGUGUCUUUAUAGCAGCAUGAUUUAUAAUCCUUUGGGUAUAUACCCAGUAAUGGGAUGGCUGGGUCAAAUGGUAUUUCCAGUUCUAGAUCCCUGAGGAAUCGCCACACUGUCUUCCACAAUGGUUGAACUAGUUUAAAGUCCCACCGAGACUGUAAAAGUGUUCCUAUUUCUCCACAUCCUCUCCAGCACCUGUGGUUUUCUGACUUUUUAAUGAUCGCCAUUCUAACUGGUGUGAGAUGGUAUCUCGUGGUUUUGAUUUGCAUUUCUCUGAUGGCCAGUGAUGAUGAGCAUUUUUUCAUGUGUCUGUUGGCUGCAUAAGUGUCUUCUUUUGAGAAGUGUCUGUUCAUAUCCUUCACCCACUUGUUGAUGGGGUUGUUUUUUUCUUGUAAAUUUGUUUGAGCUCUUUGUAGAUUCUGGAUAUUAGUCCUUUGUCAGAUGAGUAGAUUGCAAAAAUGUUCUCCCAUUCUGUAGGUUGCCUGUUCACUCUGAUGGUAGUUUCUUUUGCUGUGCAGAAGCUCUUUAGUUUAAUUAGAUCCCAUUUGUCAAUUUUGGCUUUUGUUGUCAUGGCUUUUGAUGUUUUAGACAUGAAGUCCUUGCCUAUGCCUAUGUCCUGAAUGGUAUUGCCUAGGCUUUCUUCUAGGGUUUUUAUGGUUUUAGGUCUAACAUUUAAGUCUUUAAUCCAUCUUGAAUUAAUUUUUGUAUAAGGUGUAAGGAAGGGAUCCAGUUUCAGCUUUCUACAUAUGGCUAACCAGUUUUCCCAGCACCAUUUGUCAAAUAGGGAAUCGUUUCCCCAUUUCUUGUUUUUGUCAGGUUUAUCAAAGAUCAUAUGGUUGUAGAUGUGUGGUGUUAUUUCUGAGGGUUCUGUUCUGUUCCAUUGAUCUAUAUCUCUGUUUUGGUACCAGUACCAUGCUGUUUUGGUUACUGUAGUCUUGUAGUAUAGUUCGAAGUCAGGUAGCGUGAUACCUCCAGCUUUGUUCCUUUGGCUUAGGAUUGACUUGGCAAUGCAGGCUCUUUUGUGGUUCCAUAUGAACUUUAAAGUAGUUUUUUUCCAAUUCUGUGAAGAAAGUCAUCAGUAGCUUGAUGGGAAUGGCAUUAAAUCUAUAAAUUACCUUGGGCAGUAUGGCCAUUUUCACGAUAUUGAUUCUUCCUAUCCAUGAGCAUGGAAUGUUCUUCCAUUUGUUUCUAUCCUCUUUUAUUUCGUUGAGCAGUGGUUUGUCGUUCUCCUUGAAGAGGUCCUUCACGUCCCUUGUAAGUUGGAUUCCUAGGUAUUUUAUUCUCUUUGAAGCAAUUGUGAAUGGGAGUUCACUCAUGAUUUGGCCCUCUGUCUGUUAUUGGUGUAUAAGAAUGCUUGUGAUUUUUGCAUAUUGAUUUUGUAUCCUGAGACUUUCUUGAAGUUGCUUAUCAGCUUAAGGAGAUUUUGCAGAUGACGUGAUUGUAUAUCUACAAAACCCCAUCGUCUCAGUGCAAUGGAAUCUGUAAGAAAAGCUCAGAGACCCUUUCCAGGUCUUAAGAUUUGCUGAGCACAGAUGGCUACAUAAAAGGCCUAACACUAACGAAAAAUAGAUUAAUUCUUUCUAAAUAUGUAAGUGCCACAUAAUUAAAGUUUUACAGAUUUAUAGUGAAACAUGAUGAUAGAGAUUACAAAAAUGGUUUGCUAUAUACAUUUUACAUUUAAUUAUCCUAUAAAAAGAAUAGCAUAAUAAGCAUAAUAUUUAGAAAUAUUUUUUUUACCUUGUUAAGAUAAAAACUUUAGACAAAUUAAAUUUAACAGAGUUUGAGCAAAGAACAAUUUGCAAAUUGGGCACCUUGCCAACCCCCUUCCCUGGCAUCCAAACCAGAGUAGGUUCAGAGAGACUCUGGUGAUGCCACACGGUCAUAGAGGAUUUAUGGACAGAAAAAGAAAAGUCAUGUAAAAAAAAAAUGGAAGUGAGGUACUGAAACAGCUGAAUUGGUUACAGCUUGGCCUUUGCCUCAUUUGAACAUGGUUUGAACAGUUGGCCACCUGCGAUUAGCCAAAACUCAGUGAUUAGUACAAGAGUAGCUUUCAGUCUGUGUUUACACAUCCAGUUAAGUUCCAGUUUACUAUGUGGGGAGAGACCUUUAAUACAAACUUAAAAUAUGUAAAGAGGCAGAUUGCAUAAUUUAACAACCUGAAAAUGACAGACCCUACAAUUAGUACUUAAUUUUUUUUCCAUUUUGUAAGACAUUGAAAUAAGAGUUUGAUUGAAUUUGAGUAGUGUUAAUAAUUUUUUUUUAGUGGAGGCCAGUAAAAUGUCCAUAUAUCACCACAUCAUCAUCAUAAAAUAAUGCAACACAUUUUAACAAAAUUAAAAAACAAGGUAAAUAUAUUUUUAUAGGCACAAUACUGUCUUUUUGUACAUCAGUAACAAAGAGACGUCCAGGGACUUCUGCGUUCCCAUAGGAUAAAUUCAGCUAACAACAUGUGAAUUUUUACAUAUGUCAUCUGAAAACCAUACAGAUAAAUGAGAAGAGCAAAUAGAAUUACCCAUAUCCUAUGUCUACAUCUUAGCCAAGACACCGAGACUAGAACAAAAUUUCAAGUACUUGCAAGUGUAAAUGAACAUUCCAAACCAGUACAACCAUUUCCAGGGCCCAAGCCAGAUUAGAAAAGCAGGUAGAACAUGCGAAAAACAAGAGAAAGAAGCAGGGAACUAUGAGAGGUAGAACCAGUAAUAUAUCACUUCCAGAAGAAGAGGGAUACUCUUUGAGAGAGAAAAUGCUUACAAAACCCUGAAAACUGGUAGAUCACAAAGCAGGAUAGCGAUGAAUUGCAAGAAAUGGGCAUAGAAGUGUGCACAGCUGGAAGUAGCAGACUUGGGAAAACAUCGUAUCUGGAAAAAGGAAAGGCAAAUUGGAAAAGGGGUGCAUCACUUGAAUGCUUGGUAGAGAGAAAUAAAGAACUCAGUAGAUAAGUAGAAUUUUUAAAAGAACUAAAUGGAAGCUGAAGAAGUGAAAAAAAAAAAUUAAAAAAAAAAAAAAACCACGGCCGGGCGCGGUGGCUCACGCCUGUAAUCCUAGCACUUUGGGAGGCCGAGGUGGGCGGAUCACGAGGUCAGGAGAUCAAGACCUUCCUGGCUAACACGCUGAAACCCUGUCUCUACUAAAAAUACAAAAAAUUAGCUAGGCAUGGUGGCAGGUGCCUGUAGUCCCAGCUACUCGGGAGGCUGAGGCAGGAGAAUGGUGUGAACCCGGGAGACGGAGCUUGCAGUGAGCCAAGAUUGCGUCCCUGCACUCCAGCCUGGGCAAUAGAGGGAGACUCCGUCAAAAAAAAAAAAAAAAAAAAAAAAAAAAAAAAAAAAAAACACCACGAUAAUAGACAUUUGAGUAGAAAUUACAUAAUCUUAAGAACAGGAGGGAAAGGAUAUUUUAAAAAUGAAUACAAAGGACCCAGAUUAGUCAACACAAUAUUGAAGGAGAAUAAAGAAGAUUUCACAAAUAUAAAACUCAUAGAAGAUAUCAUAGGAAAAAAAUCUAGAUAUCUUUGGGUAUGGUGGUCAGUUUUUAGAUACAAUAAAGGCAUUAUUCAUAAAUGAAAUAAUUGAUAAGCUGGCCUUCCCUGAAAUUAAAAACUCUGCUCUGUGGCAGACACUGUCAAGAGAAUGAAAAGAUACGACACAGUGUAGGAGAAAAUAUUUGCAGGAGACAUAUCUGAUAAAGAAUGGUUAUCCAAAAUACACAAAGAACUCUUAAAAUUCAACCAUAAGAAAACAAACAACCUGAUUAAGAAGAUGGGCCUGAGACUACACAGACAUCUCACCAAAGAAGAUAUACAGAUAACAAAUAAACUUAUGAAAAUUGCAAAUUAAAACAACUAUACGACACCACUAUAAACCCAUUAGAAUGACCAAAAUUCAAAACACUGACACCACCAAAUACUGGUGAGCGUGUGGAGAAACAGGAACUUUCAUUCACUGCUCGUGGAAAUGCGACAUGGUACUACCACUUUGGAAGACAUUUUGGCAGUUUCUUACAAAACUACAAAACUAAACAUCCUCUUAACGUAUGAUCCAACAAUCAUGCUCUUUGGUAUUUACCCAAAGGAUGUGAAAACUUAUGUUCACACAAAAACCGGCACAGGAAUGUUUAUAGUAGUUUUGUUCAUAAUUAGCAAAACUUGGAAGUGUCCAAGAUGUUCUUCAGUAGAUGAAUAGAUAAAAUAAACUUUGGCAUAUCUAGACAAUGGAGUAGUAUUCAGUGCUAAAAAGAAAUGAGCUAUCAAGACAUGAAAAGACAUGAAGGAAAUUUAAAUGCAUAUUACUAUGUGAAAAAGCGAGCCUAAAAAGCUACAUGUUAUGUGAUUUCAAGUACAUGACACCCUGGAAAAAGGAAAAAUAUGAAGACAGUAAAAAGAUCAGUGGUUGCCAGGGGUUUCAGGGGAGGGAAUGAAUAAGUGAAGCACAAAGGAUUUUUUUAGGGCAGCAAAACUGCUUUGUAUGAUACUACUAUAUAAUGAUGAAUAUAUGUCAUAAUACCUUUGACCAAACUGAUAGAAUGCACACUAAUGUAAACUAUUCACUUUGGGUGAUAAUGAUUUGUUAAUGUAGGGUCAUUAGCUGUAACAAGUGUAUUAUCUAGUGCAGAAUAUUAAGAAUAAGUAUAUGGUUUAUUGUAUAUGUAUGUACUGUGAUGUUUAGCCUCUUAAAAAUUGUUCUGGCUCGGCUGGGCGCGGUGGUGGAUCACGAGGUCAGGAGAUCGAGACCAUCCUGGCUAACACGGUGAAAACCCGUCUCUACUAAAAAUACAAAAACAAAAAAUUAGCUGGGCAUGGUGGCGGGCACCUGUAGUCCCAGCUACUUGGGAGGCUGAGGCAGGAGAAUGGCAUGAACCUGGGAGGCGGAGCUUGCAGUGAGCCAAGAUCGCACCACUGGACUCCAGCCUGGGCGACAGAGUGAGACUCCGUCUCAAAAAAAAAAAAAUUGUUCUGGUUCAGGAAAGCUUGACCCUUCUUGGGCUAGCUAAUUCUUUAGAGCUAGCAAAAGGUUCAGCCUGGAAUAUGCCUUCUAUAUGCAAACUAACCAAUCUAGAGUCAUACCUCCUCUCUCUGGCCCAUACACCCCAGGAAGCAAUAUUUCUCUGCUUUAAUCAUUCCAGGGCCAGGUACCAGGCAACCAGGUGUAUGGAGCUACCCUUAUAGCUUAGAGCUUUCCCAGAUGUUUCAAGCUAGCCAACCCCAAACUGUUCACCCUGCUCUGCCUUGCCUUUGCCAUGGGAACUCCAAUAAAGGCAUGACUUAGGCUUUUUCCCUUGCUCCUGCACCUUUUGACUCCUGACCAAUGCUGGUACUUUUCCGUGUGGUCUUAUGUGAUGUGCCAUUUCUCUUGUUUCUAGAACCUGUGAGUACAAUAGACCUUGUUUUCCUGAGCCUCUCUUCUGGCUGUAUCUGACUGAUCAUCACACGGAAGAACAAAGAAUAGAGGAGGAGGCUAUGCAUGUGUGUGUAGGGGGCAGAAAUAUAUGGUAACACUGUGUAGUUUCCAUUCAAUUUUUCUGUGGACCUAAAACAGCUCUUAAGAAUAAUCUUAUUUUAAUAAUUUAACAGAUCUUUAGAGACUUGAUGGAUGAUAACAAACUGGCUAAAGUACAUGUAAUUGGUAUCUCAGGAGGAGAAUAGCGAGAAUAUGGGGUAGAAAAUAAAUUUGAAUAAAUAAUGGUUACAACAUUUCCAAAUUUGAUGAAACACAUAAAAUUAUAGAUCUAGAUGCUCAAGGGACUCCAAGCAGAACAAACAUUAAGCAAUCUUUGUCGGAACACUUCAUAAUCAAAUAGCUGAAAGCUGAAAUAAAGAAAAUGUUAAAAGUAAGGAAAACAUGGUGUAUUAUGUAGUAAGGAACCAUGAUUUAAUUAAUAGUUGGCUAGUCAUUAGAAAGCUAGGAAGCUGGAAGAGAGCAAAAUAUCUGUAAAGUCCUGAAUGAAAAAAUACACCUUUCAACCAUGUUUUCUUUAUCCCAUGAAAAUAUCCUUCAGGCAUGAAGGACAAAUAAAGACAUUUUCAAAUAAAAGAAAAAUAAGGGAAUAUGUUGCUGUUAGACCUGCAUCACAAGAAUUAAUAAUGAAAGUUAUUCAGGUGGAAGAAAGUUGAUACCAGAUGGAAAUUUGGAUCCUCAGAAGGGAAUAGAAGGAGAUGGAAAAUAUAAAAAGACAAUUGUUUCCUUGAAAUUCCUUCAUAAAACAUAUGACAGUUUAAGCAAGCUUUAUAACAUUGUAUUUUAGGGUGUAUAAUCUAUGAUAUAGUUUAUAGAUUGCUUGCUGUUUUUCAUAUAAUGCAUAUAGCAACUAUAGCACAAAAGAUGGGAAGGACAUAAGCUGAGCUUUGUGGUUACAAGGUUUCUAUAUUUUAUUUGAAGUCAUGCAACAUUAACUGUAGGUGGAUCGUGAAAUGUUAAGAAUGUAUCUUUAAUCCUCUUAUGUAGUUUUAAAAGUACUAUCUUGGAUCAGUUUUGAGACCCAGGUUAGGAGCAAGUCAGUUCCCAUUCUUCGGUAGCCAAGUAAGCCCAAACCCCCAAGCAUCUCCCUUAUCAGGCUCUCAUCUUCCAGGUCACUAUACACCUGCCAUAAACAGAUUUAGGAUUAACUAGUUUGUUUUUGUUUUUUAUUUAUUUAUUUAUUUAUUAUUAUUUUUUUUGAGAUGGAGUCUAGCUGUUGUCGGCCCAGGCUGGAGUGCAAUGGCAAGACCUUGGCUCACUGCGACCUUCCCCUCUCGGGUUCCAGCAAUUCUCCUGCCUCAGCCUCCUGGGUAGCUGAGAUUACAGGCGCCCGCCACCACGCCAGGCUAAUUUUUGUAUUUUUUAGUAGAGAUAAGGUUUCACCAUGUUGGCCAGGCUAGUCUCGAACUCCUGACCUCAGGUGAUCCACCCACCUCGGCCUCCCAAAGUGCUAGGAUUACAGAUGUGAGUCACUGCACCUGGCUGCAAGGCCAGCAUAUUCUCUAUCAAAAUUAUACAUCUUUUUUAUUUGAAAGACAUAGUGAAACAAAUGAAAAGGCAAAUCAUGGAGAAAAUAUUUGCAAAUAUUUGCAAACAUGUCUAUGACAAAGGUUUGUAAAUAAAAUAUAUAAAGCAAAUGUUAAGAGAAAUAGUCCAAUAAAGACUGGCAAAAUAUUCUAAUAGAGACUUCAGCCAAGACGAUAUGUGAAUGGCCAAUGGGCACAUAACAGAUGUCACCACUAAGCAUCAGGAAAAUAAAAAUUAAAAGCACAAUGUUACAAUACUAUACACCCACUAGAAAGGAUAAAAUUUAAAAGACUGACAAAAUUUAGUGUUUGCAAAGAUGUGAAUAAACUGGUGGUAGGAUAGCAAAAUGGUAAAAUCUCAGUGGAAAACAGUUUUGCAAUUCUUUAUAAUGUUAAAUAUACAUUUACUAUGCAAUCGAGAAUUCUAGGUAUUUAAGCUGAAGAAAUAAAUGAAUAUAUUCACAAAAGAUUUGUAUGUGAGUUAAGACUGCAUUAUUCACAGCUGCAUAACUUAUAAUAUCCAAACAUGGCAAGUGACAUCCAUGUCCAUGAACUGGUGAAUAGAUUUCUAAAAACAGUAAAUCUAUACUGUUUACAAUUACUCAACAAUAAAAAGAAAUGAACCAUUGAUACAUAAAACAACAUGGAGUGAUCUUGUUCUAAUGGAAAAAAAUACAUACAUAAAAUAUAUAAGUAAAAUAUAUGUAAACAUAAUAUAUAUGUAGUAUAUAGUAUAUAUAUUAAAAUAUAUAUAACAUACUAUAUAAAAUAUGUAAUAUAUAGUAUAUAGUAUAUAUGUAAACAUUAUAUAUUGUGUAUUUUAUAUAAAAUGUAUAAUGUAAUAUUUACAUCUAAUAUAUAUUACAUAAUAUAUAAUAUACAAAUAUAAAUUAUCCAUUUGCAUGGAACUCUAGAGAAGUCAAAAAUAUAGCAUUAGGAAGCAUAUUAGUAUAUUAGUUGGCAUCUAGGGCUGUGGUUUGUGGGAUGAGAUUGAAUGUAAAGGGUAAUAAUAAAACUUAAUAGCAGGAUGGUAAUAGUCUAUAUUUUAAUUAUGGUCAUUGCUCAUUAUAUUAUUGCAUACAAUUGUAUACCUAAAACUGGUGUAAUUUAUUUUAUAAUUUGUUUUAUGUGUAUAUAUAUAUAUACAUAUAUAUAUAUAUAUAUAUGUGUAUAUAUAUAUAUAAAAUGUUUACAUAUAUGUAAGUUUUACCCCAAUAAAAAUGGGUGGAAAAACAACCAAGAAAAUUAAAACAUAAUAAUGAAGAGAUAAAAAUUAUAUGAGAGAACUAAAGUAGCAGAUAAGCAAGGAAAAUACCACAUACUUAUAAUUUAAAUCCUUAAAGAAGAAAAACAAGACAAUAAGACAUAGCUUUUUCAUAGUUAAAAGAUAAUAUGAAUCUAAAUAUUUAAAAGACUUCUUGUGAUGACUGAGUUGUCUACAUUGAGAUAUUCUAAUAAAAUUUUUAGACCUUAAAUAUGAAGAUUACAUCUUCAGGUCUUUUGGGGAUGGGGAAAAAUGAGUCAUUUACACAGAAGAGAAAAUCAAGUUGGUAUGUCUUCUCAACCACCAGUCACAAUGCAAGUCAACAGUGAAACUUUAUUAAAAACAAAAACAAACACACAAAAAUAACCUUAAAUAAAUAAACUAUAAGACAAAGCUUUUAUAUCUAACAAAAUUGUCAUUUCACUUUCAAGGCUAUAGAAAACCAGUUUCAGUCAUUUGACUUACUCAGAUAAUAUUGCAUUCAGAAAUUCUUACAGAUGAAUCUAGUAGAAGACUGGCUUUAUUCAAUCAAGACAUAGCUGCUGAUAGGCAAAAGAACUGAUGAUGAGUAUUGAGUAAUAAUUUUGACUUAUAUUCAUGUGACUAUUCUACAUAUUCAAAAAUUGAAGUGAAUCCAAAAGAUUGGGGAAAAAAACAAACACUAAAAUGUACACAGAGAUAAAUGAAUGCAAUAUAUAAAAUUGGUAAACACAGACAAAAAAUAAAUCUGUUAACUUGAACACAUAUAUUCUAAGCACCAAAAUGACAAUAAAGAAAUCUUGGGUUGGCAGCAAGAUGUAUGAACAGAAGCCUCCACUGAUUGUCCCCCGACUGCAGUAAUGCCAAGUUUUAAUAACAAACUACUCACAAAAAAGCACCCUCAUAAGAACCAAAAAUUAGGUGAGCGAUCAUAGUACUUGGUUUUAACUUCAUAUCAUUGAAAGAGGCACUGGCGUGAGUAGGAAAGACAGUCUGGCAUCUCUGAUGCCACUCCUCUACCAGCCUCCAGCAGCAGCCUUGUAAUGCACCGACAGAAUCCGUGCACAUGGAGGAGGGAGAGUGUAGCAUCUGGGGGACUUUGCCUGAACUCAGUGCUGCUCUGUCACAGUGAAGAGCAGGGUUGUGCUGGGCGCAGCUGGUGCCUGCCAUGGAGGGAGCAUUUGGACCAGACCUAACCAGAGGGGAGUCACCCAUCCCGGCAGUCGGAACUUGAGUUUCUGGGCAAGCCUUGACACCACAGGCUAAUGUACUCUGGGGUCCUAGGCUUGAAAGCCAGUCUGGGACACAAGGACUGUGAUUCCUAGGCAACUCCUAGUGCUACGCUGGGCUUAGACCCAGAGGACUAGGGUGGCACAUGACCUGAGGACUUACCAGUUGUUGUGGCUAAGGUAGUGCUUGUGCCACCCCUCCCCCCAACCACAGACAGUGCAGCUCACAGCAAUGAAAGUGACUCCUUUUGCUUGAGGAGAGGAGAGGAGAGGGAAGAGUGAAGAGAAAAGAAGACUUUGUUUUGCAUUUUCUAUACCAGUUCAGAAGUAGCAAGACAGGACAUUGGUUACAGUUGUGAGGAACCCAUUCCAGGCCUUAGCUUCUGAAUGACAUUUUUAGAAACACCCUGGGUCACAAGGCAACUUGGCUGCCUUGAAGAGAAGGACCCAGUCCUGGCAGGACUAAUCACCUGCUGAAAAAACAGUUGCUGGGCCCUGAAGAACCAACAGCGAUACCCAGGUAGUAUGCCAUGGGCCUUGGGGGAGACUGAGACAUGCUAAGUUUAGGUGAGACUCAGAACAUUCCCACUUAUUGUGGCUUUGGUGAAAUACUUUUGCUUAAGAAAAGCAUAGGGAAAAGUAAAGGGGACUUUGUCUUGCACCUUCAGUGCCAGCUUGGCCACAGUGAGAGCUCCAAGUGAGCUCUUGGGGUCCCCAAUUCUAAGCCUAGGUUCUUAGCAUUUUUGGACCUGCCUUGGGCUAGAGGGGAGCCCACUGCCCUGAAGGGUGAGCCUUAGACCUGCCAGCGUUCACCACAAACUGACUGAAGACUGCAGAGCACUUCGGCUUUAAGUGAACGUCAGCAGUGGCCUGGCAGAAUUCUGCAUUGGCUGGUGGUGGCGGUAGUCAUGGGAAGAAGCUCCUCUAACUACGGAAAGGGGAGGGAAGAGCCUGAAGGACUUUGUCUUGUGUUUGCGUGCCAGCUUAGCUGCAGUAGAAUAGGGCACCAGGUAGAUUUCUAAGGUUUUUAACUUCAAUCCUUGGCUCCCAGAUAGCAUCUUGGAACUUCCCUGGGGCCUGGGGGAACUAGCUGCCCUGACGGGAAAGACACAAACCUGGAUGAUUUCACCAUCUUCUGAUUGUAGAGCGCUAAAGCCUUGAUUGAACAUAGGCAAUAUCCAGGUAGUGGUUAUAGCAGGCCUUGCAUGAGAUUCAGUGUUGUGCUGGCUUCACCUCUGACUCAGCACAGUCCCAGUGGUGGUCGCCACAGAGGUGCUUGCAUCCACCCAUCCCUAGCUCCAGGCAACUCAGCAGAGAGAUACUCUGUUUAGAAGAAAGUAAGAAAAGAGAACAAGAGUACCUGACUGGUAGGCCAGAGAAUUCUUCCAUAUCUUUCCCAAGACCACAAAGGUAAUAACUCUAGGGGUCUGUAAGAACCACAGCUUUAUUGUGCUUGGGACCCAAAUCCCUUUGAAUACCUGGAAAGUCUUCCCAAGAAGGAUGAGUACAAAUGAGCCCAGACUGCAAAGACAAAAUAAGUAAUUCUUCAGUGCCCAGACACUGACCAACUUAUAUAAAAAUCAAGCCCAUCCAGGAAAACAUGGCCUCAUCAAAUAAAUAAGGCACCAGGGACACUCCUGGAGAAACAGUUAUGUGACCUUUCAAACAGAGAAUUGAAAAUAGCAGUGUUGAGGAAACUCAAAGAAAUUCAAGAUAACACAGAAAAGGAAUUCAGAAUUCUAUCAGAUAAAUGUAACAAAGAGACUGAAAUAAUUAACAAGAAUCAAGCAGAAAUUCUAGAGUUGAAAAAUAAAAUUUACAUACUGAAGAACACAUCAGAGUCUCUUAAUAGCAGAACCAAUCAAGCAGGAUAAUUAGUGAGUUUGAAGGCAGUGUAUUUGAAAAUACACAGUCAGAGGAGACAGAUGAAUAAAGAAUACAAAAGAGGAACUGCUGGCAAGAUGGCCAAAUAGGAACAGCUCUGGUCUAAAGCUCCCAGCGAGAUUGAUGCACAAGGUGGGUGAUUUCUGCAUUUUCAACUGAGGUACACAGUUCAUCUCACUGGGACUGGUUGGGCAGUGGGUGCUGCCCAAGGAGGGCUAGCUGAAGCACAGUGGGAAGUGCAAGAUGUCGGUGAACUCCCUCUCCUAGCCAAGGGAAGCCAUCAGGGAAUGUACUGUGCACUCCAGCCCAGAUACUGCACUUUUCCUGUGGUCUUUGCAACCCGCAGACCAGGAGACUCACUCCCGUGUCCACGCCACCAGGGCUCUCCGAUUCCAGCACAAAACUGGGUGGCCAUUUGGGCAGACGCCAAGCUAACCGCAGGAGUUUUUUUUUGUUUUUUUUUUUCCCCCACAUACCCCACUGGCACCCGGAACGCCAGUAACACAGAACUGUUCACUCCCCUGGAAAGGGGGCUGAAGCCAGGGAGCCAAGUGGUCUGGCUUGUUGGGGGGUCCCACCCCCAUGGAGCCCAGCAAGCUAAGAUCCACUGGCUUGAAAUACUCACUGCUAGCACAGCAGUCUGAGCUCAACCUGGGAUGCUCGAGAUUGGUGAGGGGAGGGGUGUCCACCAUUGCUGAGGCUCCAGUAGGCGGCUUUACCCUCACAGUGUAAAGAAAGCUGCCGGGUAGUUUGAAUUGGGCGGAGACAACCAUAGAUCAGCAAGGCCACUGUGGCCAGACUGACUCUCCAGAUUCCCUCCUCUCUGGGCAGGGCAUCUCAGAAAAAAAGGCAGCAGCCCCAGUCAGACAUGUAUAGAUAAAACCCCUACCUCCCUGGGAUAGAGCACCUGGGGGAAGGGGCGGUUGGGGGCACAGCUUUAGCAGACUUAAACGUCCCUGCCUGGCAGCUCUGAACAGAGCAGCAGAUCUCCCAGCACAGCAUUCAAGCUCUGAUAAGGGACAGACUGCCUCCUCAAGUGGGUCCCUGACCCCCGUGUAUCAUGACUGGGAGACACCUCCUAGUAGGGACCGACAGACACCUCAUACAGGAGAGCGCUGGCUGGCAUCUGGCAGGUGCCCCUCUGGGAUGAAGCUUCCAGAAGAAGGAACAGGCAGCAAUUUUUGCUGUUCUGCAGCCUCUGACGGUGAUACCCAGGCAAACAGGGUCUGGAGUGGACCUUCAGCAAAUUCCAGCAGACCUGCAACAGAGGGGCAUGACUGUUAGAAGGAAAACUAACAAACAGAAAGGAAUAGUAUCAACAUCAACAAAAAGGACAUCCACUCAGAGACCCCAGCCGCAGAUCACCAACUUCAAAGACCAAAGGUAGAUAAAUCCACGAAGAUGAGGAGAAACCAGUGCAAAAAGGAUGAAAAUUCCAAAAACCAGACAUUUCCUCCAAAGAAUCACAACUCCUCGCCAGCAAGGGAACAAAACUGGACAAAGAAUGAGUUUGAUGAGUUGACAGAAGUAGGCUUCAGAAGGUGGGUAAUAACAAACUCCUCCGAGCUAAAGGAGCAUGUUCUAACCCUAUGCUAGGAAGCUAAGAACCUUGAAAAAAAGUUAGACAAAUUGCUAACUAGAAUAACCGGUUUAGAGAAGAACAUAAAUGACCAGAUGGAGCUGAAAAACACAGCAAGAGAACUUUGUGAAGAGUACACAAGUAUCAAUAGCCAAAUCGAUCAAGUGGAAGAAAGGAUAUCAGAGUGAAGAUCAUCUCAAUGAAAUAAAGCAAGAAGACAAGAUUAGAGAAAACAGAGUGAAAAGAAAUGAACAAACGCUCUGAGAAAUGUGGGACUAUAUGAAAAGACCAAAUCUACAUUUGAUUGGUGUACCUGAAAGUGACAGGGAGAAUGGAACCAAGUUGGAAAACACUCCCCAGGAUAUUAUCCAGGAGAACUUCCCCCAACCUAGCAAGGAGGUCAACAUUCAAAUUCAGAAAAUAUAGAGAACACUACAAAGAUACUCCUCGAGAAGAGCAACCCCAAGACACAUAAUCAUCAGAUUCACUAAGGUUGAAAUGAAGGAAAAAAUCCUAAGGACAGCCAGAGAGAAAGGUCAGGUUACCCACAAAGGGAAGCCCAUCAGACUAACAGCAGAUCUCUCAGCAGAAACCCCACAAGCCAGAAGAGAGUGGCGGCCAAUAUUCAACAUUCUUAAAGAGAAGAAUUUUCAACCCAGAAUUUCAUAUCCAGCCGAAUAAAGCUUCAUAAGUGAAGGAGAAGUAAAAUCAUUUACAGACAAGGAAAUGCUGAGAGAUUUUGUCACUACCAGGCCUGCCUUACAAGAGCUCCUGAAGAAAGCACUAAACAUGGAAAGAAUCAAACAGUACCAGCCACUACAAAAAUAUACCAAAUUGUAAAGAUCAUUGAUGCUAUGAAGAAACUGCAUCAACUAACAGGCAAAAUAACCAGCUAGCAUCAUAAAGGCAGGAUCAAAUUCACACAUAACAAUAUUAACCUUAAAUGUCAAUGGGCUAAAUGCCACAAUUAAAAGACACAGACUGGCAAAUUGGAUAAAGAGUCAAGACCUUUGGUGUGCUGUAUUCAGGACACCCAUCUCACAUGCAAAGACACACAUAGGCUCAAAAUAAAGGUAUGGAGGAAUAUUUAUCAAGCAAAUGGAAAGCAAAGCAAGCAGGGGUUGCAAUCCUAGGCUCUGAUAAAACAUACUUUAAACCAACAAAUAUUAAAAGAGACAAGGGUAUUACAUAACGGUAAAAGGAUCAAGGCAACAAGAAGAGCUAACUAUCCUAAAUAUAUAUGCACCCAAUACAGGAGGACCCAGGUUCAUAAAGCAAGUUCUUGGAGACCUACAAAGUGACUUAGACUCCCACACUAUAAUAGUAGGAGACUUUAACACACCACUGUCAAUAUGAGACAGAUCAAUGAGACAGAAAAUUAACAAAGAUAUCCAGGACUUGAACUCAGCUCUGGACCAAGAGGACCUAGUAGACAUCUACAGAUCUCUCCACCCCAAAUCAACAGAAUAUACAUUCUUCUCAGCACUACAUCGUACUUAUUCUAAAACUGACCACGUAAUUGGAAGUAAAACACUCCUGAGCAAAUGCAAAAGAAGAGAAAUCAUAACAAACAGUACUCAGACCACAGUGCAAUCAAAUUAGAACUCAGGAUUAAGAAACUCACCCAAAACUGCACAAUUAUAUGGAAACUGAACAACCUGCUCCUGAAUGACUACUAGGUAAAUAACAAAAUGAAGGCAGAAAUAAAGAUAUUCUUUAAAAACAAUGAGAACAAAGACACAAUGUACUGGAAUCUCUGGGACACAUUUAAAGCAGUGUUUAGAGGAAAUUUAUAGCACUAGAUGCCCACAAGAGAAAGCAGAAAAGAUCUAAAGUCAAGACCCUAACAUCACAUUUAAAAGAACUAGAGAAGCAGGAGCAAACAAAUUCAAAAGCUAGCAGAAGGCAAGAAGUAACUAAGAUCCGAGAAGAACUGAAGGAGAUAGAGACAUGAAAAACCCUUCAAAAAAUCAAUGAAUCAAGGAGCUGUUUUUUUUUAAAAGAUCAACAAAAUAGACCAGUAGCCAGACUAAUAAAGAAGAAAAGAGAGAAGAAUCAAAUAGAUGCAAUAAAAAAUGAUAAAGGGGAUAUCACCACUGAUCCCACAGAAAUACAAACCACCAUCAGAGAAUACUAUUAACACCUCUAUGCAAAUAAACUAGAAAAUCUAGAAGAAAUGGUUACGUUCCUGAACAUAUACACCCUCCCAAGACCAAACCAGGAAGAAGUCAAAUUCCUGAAUAGACCAAUAACAAGUUCUGAUACUGAGACAGCUAUUAACCAACCAACCAAAAAAAGUCCAGGACCAGACGGAUUCACAGCCGAAUUCUACCAGAGGUACAAAGAGGAGCUGGUACCAUUCCUUCUGAGACUAUUCCAAACAAUAGAAAAAGAGGGACUCCUCCCUAACUCAUUUUAUGAGGCAAGGAUCAUUCUGAUACCAAAACCUGGCAGAGACAACAACAACAACAAAAAAUUCAGGUCAAUCUCCCUGGUGAACAUUGAUGUGAAAAUCCUCAAUAAAAUACUGGUAAACCAAAUCCAGCAGCACAUCAAAAAGCUUAUCCAGCACGAUCAAGUCAGCUUCAUCCCUGGAAUGCAAGCCUGGUUCAACAUACACAAAUCAAUAAACGUAAUCCAUUAUGUAAACAGAACCAAUGACAAAAACCACAUGAUUAUCUCAAUAGAUACAUAAAAGACCUUUGACAAUAUUCAACACCCCUUCAUGCUAAAAACUCUCAAUAAACUAGGUAUUGAUGGAACGUAUCUCAAAAUAAUAAGAGCUAUUUAUGACAAACCCACAGCCACUAUCAUACUGAAUGGGCAAAAACUGGAAGCAUUCCCUUUGAAAACCGGCACAAAACAAGGAUGUCUGCUCUCACCACUCCUUUUCAACACAGUAUCGGAAGUUCUGGCCAGACCAAUCAGGCAAGAGAAAGAAAUGAAGGGUAUUCAAUUAGUAAAAGAGGAAGUCAAAUUGUCUGUUUGCAGAUGACAUGAUUGUAUAUUUAGAAAACCCCAUGAUCUCAGCCCAAAAUCUCCUUAAGCUGAGAAGCAACUUCAAGAAAGUCUCAGGAUACAAAAUCAAUGUGCAAAAAUCAAAAGCAUUCCAUACACCAAUAACAGACAGACAGCCAAAUCAUGAGUGAACUCCCAUUCACAAUUGCUACAAAGAGAAUAAAACACCUAGGAAUACAACUUACAAGGGAUGUGAAGGACCUCCUCAAGAAGAACUACAAACCACUGCUCAAGGAAAUAAGAGAGGACACAAACAAAUGGAAAAACAUUCCAUGAUCAUGGAUAGGAAGAAUCAGUACUGUGAAAAUGGCCAUACUGCCAAAAGUAAUUUAUAGAUUCAAUGCUAUCCCCAUCAAGCUACCAUUGACUUUCUUCACAGAGUUGGAAAAAACUGCUUUAAAUUUCAUAUGGAACCAAAAAAGAGCCUGCAUAGCCAAGACAAUCCUAAGCAAAAGAACAAACUAGAGGCAUCAUGCUACCUGACUUCAAACUAUACUACAAGUCUACAGUAACCAAAACAGCAUGGUACUGGUAACAAAACAGACAUAUAGACCAAUGGAACAGAACAGAGGCCUCAGAAAGAACUCCACACAUCUACAACCAUCUGAUCUUCAACAAACCUGACAAAAACAAGCAACAAGGAAAGGAUUCCCUAUUUAAUAAAUGGUCUUGGGAAAACUGGCUAGCCAUAUGCAGAAAGCUGAAACUGGAUCCCUUCCUUACACCUUAUACAAAAAUGAACACAAGAUGGAUUAUAGACUUAAACAUAAGACCUAAAACCAUAAAAACCCUAGAAGAAAACCUAGGCAAUACCAUUCAGGACAUAGGCAUGGGCAAAGACUUCAUGACUAAAACACCAACAGCAAUGGCAACAAAUCCAAAAUUGACAAAUGGAAUCUAAUUAAGCUAAAGAGCUUAUGCACAGCAAAAGAAACUGUUAUCAGAGUGAACGGGCAACCUACCGAAUGGGAGAACAUUUUUGUAAUCUAUCCAUCUGACAAAGAGCUAAUAUCCAGAAUCUACAAAGAACUUAAAUUUACAAGAGAAAAACAACCCCAUCAAAAAGUCGGCAAAGGAUACGAACAGAAAGUUCUCAAAAGAACACAUUUAUGUGGCCAAUAAACAUAUGAAAAAAAGCUCAUCAUCAGUGGUCAUUAGAGAAAUGCAAAUCAAAACCACAAUGAGAUACCAUCCCAUGCCAGUUAGAAUGGUGAUCAUUAAAAGUCAGGAAACAAGAGAUGCUGGAGAGGAUAUGGAGAAAUAGGAACACUUUUACACUGUUGAUGGGAGUUUAAAUUAGUUCAACCAUUGUGGAAGACAGUGUGGCAAUUCCUUAAGGAUCUAGAACUAGAAAUACCAUUUGACCCAGCCAUCCCAUUACUGGGUAUAUACACAGAGGAUUAUAAAUCAUUCUACUAUAAAGACAUAUGCACACGUAUGUUUAUUGAAGCACUAUUCGCAAUACUAAAGACUUGGAACCAACCCAAAUGCCCAUCAGUGAUAGACUGGAUAAAGAAAAUGUGGCACAUAUACACCAUGGAAUACUAUGCAGCCAUAAAAAAGGAUGAGUUCAUAUCCUUUGCAGGGACAUGGAUGAAGCUAGAAACCAUCAUUCUCAGCAAACUAACACAGUAACAGAAAACCAACACCGCAUGUUCUCACUCACAAGUGGGAGUUGAACAAUGAGAACAGAUGGACACAGGACACAGGGAGGGGAACAUCACAUACUGGGGACUGUUUUGGGGUGGGGAGGCUAAGGGAGGGAUAACAGGAGAAAUACCUAAUGUAGAUGACAGGUUGAUGGGUGCAGCAAACCACCAUGGCACGUUUAUACCUAUGUAACUAAUCUGCAUGUUCUGCACAUGUACCCCAGAACUUAAAGUAUAAUAAAAUAUAUAAAAGAAUGAAGCAUGCUUACGAGAUCUAGAAAAUAGCCUCAAAAGCCAAAUCUAAAAGAUAUUGACCUUAAUGGGGAGAUAGUGAAAGAGAUAGUGGCAGAAAGUUUAUUUGAAGAGAUAAUAACAGAGAACUUCCCAAACCUACAGAAAAAUAUCAAUAUUCAAGUUCGAAAAGGUUAUAGAACACAAAGCAGGUUUAUGCCAAAGAAGACUACCUCAAGGCAUUUAUAAUCACACUUCCAAAAGUCAAAGAUAAUGAAAGGAUCUGAAAAGCAGCAAGAGAAAAGAAAGAACAAAUAAUAUAAUAUGGAGGUCCAAUCUGUCUUCAGCAGACUUUUCAGUAGAAUAUGACCAGCCAGGAGAGAGUGGCAUGAAAUAUUUAAAGUGACGAAGGAAAAAACUUUUACCCUAGAAUAGUAUAUCUAGUGAAAAUAUCCUUUAAGCAUGGAGGACAAAUAAAAACUUUUCUAGAAUAACAAAAGAUGAGGGGUUUCAUUAACACCAGGCCUGUCCUACAAAGAAUGCUAAAGGAAGUACUUCAAUCUGAAAGAAGGCGAUGUUAAUGAGCAAUAAGAAAUCAUCUGAAGGCACAAAACACACUGGUAACAGUAAGCACACAGAAAAACACAGAAUAUUAUAAGACUGUGAAAGUGGUGCAUAAACUAUUCAUAUCUUGAAUAGAAAGACUAAACAAUGAAACAAUAAAAAACAACUUUUUAAGACAAACAACAAAAAGUUAAAAGGGGAUGAAGUUAAAGUGUAUCAUUUUAAUUAUUUUUUUCUUUUUGUUUUUUCGACACUGUAUGCAAUCAGUGUCAAGUUGUCAUCAGUUUAAAAUAAUAGGUUGUAAGACCGUAUUUGCAAACCUCACAGUAACCUCAAAUUUGAAAACAUAAAACGGGUAUACAAAAAGUAAAAGGAAGAAGGAAGAGAGGACCACAAAAUAACCAGAAAACAAAUUAAAAAAUGGCAGGAGUAAACCCUUACUUAUCAAUAAUAAAAUUGGAAGUAAAUAGACCAAACAAUCCAAUCAGGAAAUACACUUCACCUAUAAAGAUACAAACAGAUUGAAAACAAAGUUAUAGAAAAAGAUAUUUCAUGCCAAUGGAAGCCAAAAAAGGACAAGAAUACCUGUACUUACAUCACACAAAACAGACUUCAAGACAAAGCUAUGGAGUCAAAGAAGGUCGUUGAAUAGUGAUAAAGGGGUCAAUCAGCUAAAGAAUAUAACUAUUUUAAAUAUAUUAAUAUAUGUACCCUAGACUGGAGCACCCAGAUGUACAAAGCAAAUAUUAUUAGAGCUAAUGAGGGAGAUAGACCCCAAUAUAAUAAAAGCUGGAGAAGAUUUCAACACUCCACUUUCAGCAUUGGACAGAUCUUGAAGAUGGAAAAUUAGCAAAGCAACAUUGGAAUUAAUCUGCACUAUGGAGGAAAUGGACCUAAUAGGUAUUCACAGAACAUUUCAUCCAACAGCUGCAGAAUACACAUUCUUCUCCUCAGCACAUAGAUCAUUCUCAAGGUGAGACCAUAUGUUAGGUCACAAAACAAAUCUUAUAACAUUCAAAAAACUUGAAAUACUAUCAAGCACUUUCUCUGAUCACAAUGGAAUAAAACUAUAAAUUUUUUUAAUUUAAAGAAUAUAAAAAGUUAAUAUAAAAAGAAUGAUAACAGAGAGCAGAUAUAUAUGCUUAUCUGUCUUCCUUUGUUAAGUAUAUGCCUUUUUAUAAAGUAUAGGUAUCUAUUUUUCUCUAUAGAAGUAGGGAAGAUCUCCAUAUACUACUUUUCUAUUCCAUACUCAUACAGUGAGAAAUCUGGAUCCCCAAAACUUAAAUACAUUUUCUCAUUUGCAAAAUUAUUAUCUAAUACCACCACUUAAAAUAAACCUACUAAAAGGUCCAAGAUUGGAAUAGUUUCAGAAGGAAUGGUAGCAGCUCCUCCUUGUACCUGUGGUAGAAUUCGGCUGUGAAUCCAUCUGGUCCUGGACUCUUUUUGGUUGGUAAGCUAUUGAUUAUUGCCACAAUUUCAGAUCCUGUUAUUGGUCUAUUCAGAGAUUCAACUUCUUCCUGGUUUAGUCUUGGGAGAGUGUAUGUGUCGAGGAAUUUAUCCAUUUCUUCUAGAUUUUCUAGUUUAUUUGUGUAGAUGUGUUUGUAGUAUUCUCUGAUGGUAGUUUGUAUUUCUGUGGGAUUGGUGGUGAUAUCCCCUUUAUCAUUUUUUAUUGUGUCUAUUUGAUUCUUCUCUCUUUUUUUCUUUAUUAGUCUUGCUAGCGGUCUAUCAAUUUUGUUGAUCCUUUCAAAAAACCAGCUCCUGGAUUCAUUAAUUUUUUGAAGGGUUUUUUGUGUCUCUAUUUCCUUCAGUUCUGCUCUGAUUUUAGUUAUUUCUUGCCUUCUGCUAGCUUUUGAAUGUGUUUGCUCUUGCUUUUCUAGUUCUUUUAAUUGUGAUGUUAGGGUGUCAAUUUUGGAUCUUUCCUGCUUUCUCUUGUGGGCAUUUAGUGCUAUAAAUUUCCCGCUACACACUGCUUUGAAUGUGUCCCAGAGAUUCUGGUAUGUUGUGUCUUUGUUCUCAUUGGUUUCAAAGAACAUCUUUAUUUCUGCCUUCAUUUCGUUAUGUAGCCAGUAGUCAUUCAGGAGCAGAUUGUUCAGUUUCCAUGUAGUUGAGUGGUUUUGAGUGAGAUUCUUAAUCCUGAGUUCUAGUUUGAUUGCACUGUGGUCUGAGAGAUAGUUUGUUAUAAUUAGUGUUCUUUUACAUUUGCUGAGGAGAGCUUUACUUCCAAGUAUGUGGUCAAUUUUGGAAUAGGUGUGGUGUGGUGCUGAAAAAAAUGUAUAUUCUGUUGAUUUGGGGUGGAGAGUUCUGUAGAUGUCUAUUAGGUCCAGUUGGUGCAGAGCUGAGUUCAAUUCCUGGGUAUCCUUGUUGACUUUCUGUCUCAUUGAUCUGUCUAAUGUUGACAGUGGGGUGUUAAAGUCUCCCAUUAUUAAUGUGUGGGAGUCUAAGUCUCUUUGUAGGUCACUCAGGACUUGUUUUAUGAAUCUGGGUGCUCCUGUAUUGGGUGCAUAUAUAUUUAGGAUAGUUAGCUCUUCUUGUUGAAUUGAUCCCUUUACCAUUAUGUAAUGGCCUUCUUUGUCUCUUUUGAUCUUUGUUGGUUUAAAGUCUGUUUUAUCAGAGACUAGGAUUGCAACCCCUGCCUUUUUUUGUUUUCCAUUUGCUUGGUAGAUCUUCCUCCAUCCUUUUAUUUUGAGCCUAUGUGUGUCUCUGCACGUGAGAUGGGUUUCCUGAAUACAGCACACUGAUGGGUCUUGACUCUUUAUCCAAUUUGCCAGUCUGUGUCUUUUAAUUGGAGCAUUUAGUCCAUUUACAUUUAAAGUUAAUAUUGUUAUGUGUGAAUUUGAUCCUGUCAUUAUGAUGUUAGCUGGUUAUUUUGCUCGUUAGUUGAUGCAGUUUCUUCCUAGUCUCGACGGUCUUUACAUUUUGGCAUGAUUUUGCAGCGGCUGGUACCAGUUGUUCCUUUCCAUGUUUAGCGCUUCUUUCAGGAGCUCUUUUAGGGCAGGCCUGGUGGUGACAAAAUCUCUCAGUAUUUGCUUGUCUAUAAAGUAUUUUAUUUCUCCUUCACUUAUGAAGCUUAGUUUGGCUGGAUAUGAAAUUCUGGGUUGAAAAUUCUUUUCUUUAAGAAUGUUGAAUAUUGGCCCCCACUCUCUUCUGGCUUGUAGAGUUUCUGCCGUGAGAUCUGCUGUUAGUCUGAUGGGCUUCCCUUUGAGGGUAACCCGACCUUUCUCUCUGGCUGCCCUUAACAUUUUUUCCUUCAUUUCAACUUUGGUGAAUCUGACAAUUGUGUGUCUUGGAGUUGCUCUUCUCGAGGAGUAUCUUUGUGGCGUUCUCUGUAUUUCCUGAAUCUGAAUGUUGGCCUGCCUUGCUAGAUUGGGGAAGUUCUCCUGGAUAAUAUUCUGCAGUGUUUUCCAACUUGGUUCCAUUCUCCCCGUCACUUUCAGGUACACCAAUCAGAUGUAGAUUUGGUCUUUUCACAUAGUCCCGUAUUUCUUGGAGGCUUUGCUCAUUUCUUUUUAUUCUUUUUUCUCUAAACUUCCCUUUUCGCUUCAUUUCAUUCAUUUCAUCCUCCAUUGCUGAUACCCUUUCUUCCAGUUGAUCGCAUUGGCUCCUAAGGCUUCUGCCUUCUUCAGGUAGUUCUCGAGCCUUGGUUUUCAGCUCCAUCAACUCCUUUAAGCACUUCUCUGUAUUGGUUAUUCUAGUUAUACAUUCUUCUAAAUUUUUUUCAAAGUUUUCAACUUCUUUUCCUUUGGUUUGAAUGUCCUCCCGUAGCUCGGAGUAAUUUGAUUGUCUGAAGCCUUCUUCUCUCAGCUCGUCAAAGUCAUUCUCCGUCCAGCUUUGUUCCAUUGCUGGUGAGGAACUGUGUUCCUUUGGAGGAGGAGAGGCACUCUGCUUUUUAGAGUUUCCAGUUUUUCUGCUCUGUUUUUUCCCCAUCUUUGUGGUUUUAUCUACUUUUGGUCUUUGAUGAUGGUGAUGUAGAGAUGGGUUUUUGGUGUGGAUGUCCUUUCUGUUUGUUAGUUUUCCUUCUAACAGACAGGACCCUCAGCUGCAGGUCUGUUGGAGUACCCGGCCGUGUGAGGUGUCAGUCUGCUCCUGCUGGGGGGUGCCUCCCAGUUAGGCUGCUCGGGGGUCAGGGGUCAGGGACCCACUUGAGGAGGCAGUCUGCCCGUUUUCAGAUCUCCAGCUGCGUGCUGGGAGAACCACUGCUCUCUUCAAAGCUGUCAGACAGGGACAUUUAAGUCUGCAGCAGUAACUGCUGUCUUUUUGUUUGUCUGUGAGUGACCUUCAUUCCUACCUUCUUUUUUUCUUUCAAACACAAUCAUCCUUUGGGUAACAUGGCCUAGAAUUUACACCUUUUAAAAUAAUUUUAAAAUCCACAUCUUCUUUUUAGUCUCCACUGUCACAGUGUUAGCUUAAGGACCUAUCUUCUCCAUGGACUAUUAAUUGUCAUAGAUUUGUAACUGGUCCUACUGUCACUAAGUUUUGUUCCUAUCCAUUUUGUUCUUCACACUGCUACUCUCAAAUCCUACUUCUUUUCGUCAAGGCAUAUUGUCUCUUACUAGGACUACUUCUAGAGACUACUAAUUUGUUUUUUCCUCGUACUGUUGCUCUGCUUAAAUCAGGCAAUAUUACAUUAUAACCUGCUCAUGCCUUUCAUCUGAUCAUUAUGUAAAGGUCAAACUCCUUAGCUUGGUAUUAAUGAUCUUUUGUGAUCUAUUCCCAACUUACCUUUAUAGCAUCAUUCUCAACACUCCUUCACAUUAAUCUUAUGCUCUAAUAAUCCAAGGCAUUUUUAGCUCCCAAUUCACAACAUUUUUUUACAAGUACCAUUUAUUGAUUUCCUGUAAUAUUUCAGACACUGAAGUAGGUUCUAUGUAUAAAAAGAUGGAUAAGGCUAAGCCCAUGCCCUCAAUAAUAUUCUUUAAUCGUAGUAUUUCUACUUUGUAAUACAUUUCCCAUUUUGUCAGUCUGGAAAGCUCUCUUCAUUCAUCUGGACUGAGCUUAAACAUGGCUUCUUCUGUGAAGCCUUUCCUGCUGAAACCAAUUAGAGAUAGCCACUCCCUCUUCAGCAUCCCCUAAUACUUUGUGCACAUUUUUCUUACAAUACUUAUUGCCGUACUAAUUUUAUUCACUUAUACGUCUUGCUCUCUGACUAGAGUCUAAGUUAUAUUAGCAUAUUUUGCAAGUAUUUUUAUCCGUAGUGCAUAGAAGCAAUGUCAAAAUGUUUGUUAAAUGAAAGGAUGAAUGAUGAAAUCAGUGAAUUAGGGUAAAAGAGCUAAGGCGAGAGAACAGGAAAGCAGAGAAGAGAAAAGGAAUAAUAGAAAAAGCCUCCACAACACUCAGUUUGAAAGUGUUUUGGGGCCAUAGUAUUUUCAAGUUGAGACAAAAGGCAGGAGACUAAGAAGUAUGUUUUGUAAUGUUCAAAUAAUUUGUACUGGGCAGUUAUCUUUAUAAUGGAUUUCAUUUCAAGGGCUAUAUUUUGUAGCUAUGUUUUAAUUAAUGGAAAGUGAUUCCAUGUGUCAACAGUUGGAAAGCCUACAAGGUGACCUCAUUACAGUCAAUGAGAAAGGUCAUGUACAGCACUGUUCACAUGUGCAAUCUUAUCUAGAAGCAGCCCAAGCUAUAAACCACAUUUCCCAACACUGAUUUGUAGGAAAUAGCUUAUCCAGUGCUAUUACUUAUAGUGUCUGAUAUGGUUUGGCUCUGUCCCCACCCAAAUCUCAUCUGAAAUUGUAGCUUCCAUAAUUCCCAGAUAUUGUGGGAGGAACCAGAUGGGAGAUAAUUGAAUCAUACUGGAGGUUUCCCCCAUACUGUUCUCUUGGUAGUAAAUAAGUCUCACAAAUCUGAUGGCCUUUCUAUAAGGUGAAGUCCUUUACACUUGGCUCUCAUUCUCUCUUAUCUGCCACCAUGUAAGAUGUGCCUUUCGCCUUCCACCAUGAUUGUGAGGCCUCCCCAACCACAUGGAACUAUGAGUCCAUUAAACCUCUUUUUCUAGGUAAAUUACCCAGUCUUGGGUAUGUCUUUAUCAGCAGCAUGAAAAAUGGACUAAUACGGUGUCUGUGCAAUACAUUGUGGAGAAAGAAAUUUGAGUGCUGAAAUUAAUCAGAAGGUGCUUGAUUCUCAGAUGAAUUAGUCUUUCCUUUCACAUGAGUUAGUCUGGGAAUCUCAGUUCUGUUUUGCUAAUUAUCUCAAUGUAUUAUGCCUUCCUUUCCUAUUUAUAUGAUCUUCAUUAUAAUUUUGAGAAAGAUAAAUACAACUAUAAAUAUAUUUUCAUUUAGUCAGAGGUUAAAUGUGUUUCCACUUUAAAAAUACUUUGUUUAUAUUUGGGAAAUUACUACUACUGAAAAUACAGUAAAAGAGAAAGGAAAGUCUUUGAGAGUGGUGAAAAAAGCACUGACUGGGGCUUUAUGUGACCUAGGGUCCAAUCUUUACUUUGUUAGCUAAUUAGACAGGCAGGUCUUAGACUAAGUAACUUUCCUGUGGACUCUAAUUUUCUCUUCUGGAAAAAUAUAUGCUUGACUAGAUCAGAGGUGGCAAACUAUAAUAUCACAGUUUGAAUGCCAUAUCAGAUGGAUUUUAUAAAAACAUUUUGGGUCUGAGUGGCAUUAAGAAAUGAAUUAGAAAUAUUCACGUAAGUCUGCAAUCUCAGAUUCGCCAAAGUCCCCUGACAUGUGCAGUUUGCCCUUAAAUGGCACAUGCAUGGAACACACCUGAAGAAGUAUAAUAAAGGCCUUGGGAACUAAACUUCCAUAUAAACACUGUCCAAGACCCAGACCAAACUCUGCUCUGGAAAUCACCCCCAAUCUUUCUGUUGUUAUACUUAAGUUCGAGUUCACAUCUGAUAUGUACUUGUAGAUAUAUAAGAAAUGAAUUUGUAGUCUUUACAAUGAAUGACCACUAAAUUCUCCUUCUACUUUAAAAUGUUGUGUCUUUUUUCAGAGAAGUUUAGAAAUUUUAGAAGGAAGAAUAUUUAGCCUGUGUUUGGGAAAGUCUUUCACUGCUAUGUGUUGUUUAAGUAGAGGCUAUGAGGCAGUUUUACUAUAGUCAUUGAUUUCAUGCUUAGCUAUCUGAUGUCUUCUGAAAUAUUAGUAAUUUUUGCUGUUUUCUGAAAACAGGACCCAAGAGAAUUAUAUUUUACACUCCUGAGUGUGGCAUUUAUAUUCUGAUUCCCAAAGAUACAAAUGAACAAUACUGAAUUAUAGGCAUCAUUUGGGAGCACCUUAAACACACAAGCAAACAUUUAUCUAACUUCUUCAAGUUCAAAGAUAUAUGAUAUCUAAAUAGCUAAAUUAUAAAAAAAUUAUAAAAGGAUUAAGCCAAUUGGAAGUCAAGGGAAAGAGAAAGUGUUCCGAUCAAUCAAUUUAGAUUGCUGUACAAUUAGGCAUUUCCAAUUCUUGCAUAAAUGACUCUUCUGAAUUUUAAUAAUAUUCAUCCUGCUUUAAUUUUUGGAGUAGAGGUAAAUUAAAUAAUUUUUCUUAGGGGAAAACUUUAAUAUCUUCCAAAAGACAGAGAUUGAAAGCUGCCUUUUACUUUGUCUGACAUAUUUUAUAUAUUGGCCAAUCUGUAGUUAUUCAUAGAGUUUAGUUUUAAGGAUUUGUUUUCUGUGUCUGUGAAUUUUAAACUUUCUUUUAAAUUAAAAUUUAUAAAUUACAUACGUUUUGGCAGAAGCUUGGAGUUGAAUUUAAGCCAAAUGUAACAGGAUUAAUUAGCUACUCAUUUACUUACAUAUUUUCAUCUUUUAAAUAAAGUCUAAUUUUCUUUAAAAAUGUGAAUUUUAACUCAAAAUAUUGAGUGAUCAUGACAGCAGGUAGGAGAAAUGGGACAUAAUGUUGGUUUUAUUGGUCUACUGGGUUAAGUAAAUUUAUCUACUAAAAUGAACUUCUGUCAAUUUCUAUAAACCAUUUUGUGAUGAAAAAAGCACAGGCUUAUUACUUUACAUUUUCAGGGUUAUUAAAGGAAGUGUUAUUAGUCUCUGAUGAUCAUCAAAAAGUAGCAAGCACAUAGGUUUGAGGAUGUGUCCAUUUGCAGAAACUGCCUGCAAAGAAAAAUGUGCACAGUUAUAUUUUGAAAAUCAGAAUAUGACUACCUGCUAUUUGAUUAUCUGAAAUUUCACCAUGCCUGCUGAGGUGUGUCUUUUUUAUUAUGAGAUAUCCAGCUUAAAAGAAAUUACAUCAUUUCUCUUGUCCCCUCAGAUCAUUGAGGAUACACUAUAUAAAUAAUUGUUUAUAAAAGUGUUUGUCUUUGUGAAAUUGAAGACAACAUGACAACUGAAGAGUCAUUGCUAACUUUGUUUGGAAGUAAAUUAUAAGAACUUUCUUCUUCUUCCUCUGUCUACUUUGUUGACUGUGAUUUAUCUUAAAGAUGAAAUAUUCUUAUUUUGUUUUGUAUUCAGGUUGAGAUGAAAUGAAGCCUGGUUUCCCAUUCAAAAGGAAAACCAGAGAGCAGAGGAAUUCAUGCAAUUUUUACCUCCUUCAAAUUUAGCUAAUAAUGAUUUUUUUAAACUAAUGGAUUGUUGAUGAUAAAGAGAAUUAUAUUAAUUAAAAAUAUUAAUUUAAGAAAAAAGGUCAUGUUUUAGCAUUUGCCAUGACUUCUUGGUGUUAUUUGUGGAGUUAACCUAUACAAUAACUUAAUCACUUAAAAAUAAGAAUAUAGGACAUGGUUGUAGCCGCAAUGAGUAAUCCUAUUAUAUUGCAAUAAUUAUAUCUAAAGACAUCACAAAAUACAAAACACUGACUUACUUCAGAACUCUGAAAAGUAAACAAUAAGUAUAUUGGAGCAGGAAAUCAAAACCUGGAGAAAGGCUAAUGUAGAGGAGGUUUAUUUUUUUCUUCCUUUAUCUUCCAGCAUUAACUCUAGGGCAGGCUAAACCAGUAAUUGCACGGCAGGCAGGCCAGCAAAUACUCCACAAAAAGCUCAUCUUUCAGUGCAAGAGAAAUAUUUAUUUUUUUCUUCCUUUCUAAUAUUUCCUGUCAGCCCUGCCUCAAGACCAGCUCCAUCUGAGGCACAGAGGUAUGGUAUGAUCACCUAAAACCAGGAGAGAAAGCUCAUCUCUCUGAAUAGAGAAAUUAGGAAAAGAUGUUUCUGUUAUGUAAGUGUGGAGGAAAUAUCACAUUUUCAUAUCUCUCUUUUAUCACUUGACCUCAAGUGACAAGGAUCUGCACAUCAUUGUGGGAAGAUAAAACUUUGAGAAAAUUCCAUCUUUCUAGCCAGACGAAUAGGAAGAUAGACCCCUUCUGGGUAGAGAGUGUGGGGAAAAUCCCUGAGCGAAGAAAGAAAAGAUCACUGAUUCUGAGUAUGAAGCAACAAAAGUUCAGGGCUCACCCCCCAAGCUAUGCAUGCAUUGUUUUACUCCGUUUUCACACUGCUAUAAAGAAAUACCUGAGACUGGGAAAUUUGCAAUGGAAAGAGAUUAAUUAACUCACAGUUCCACAUGGCUGAGGAGGCCUCAGGAAAUUUACAAUCAUGGCAGAAGGCAAAAGAGAAGCAAGUACCUUCUUCACAAGGUGGCAGGAAAAAGAGAGAGCAGGGGAAACCACCACUUAUUAAAAACUUCAGAUCUCAUGAGAACUCACUUACUGUUAUGAGAACAGCAUGGAGGACACUGCCCCCAUAAUCCAAUCGCUUUCCAUCAUGUCCCUCCCUCGACACGUGGGGAUUACAAUUCAAGGUGAGAUUUGGGUGGGGACACAAAGCCAAACCACAUUAUGCAUGAAAUACACAUAAAAAAUAUAAUAAACCAUUUGACACCUGAGAUGCAAUAUAAACAUUGCCCAGAUCAAACCCCAAGUGGCAUAUGCAAGAGACACACAUGAACAUUCUUGAAAAGUCUUUGAAAAAUGAACUGGCAUUGCAACCACCUCACACAGAAAGCAAGAGAGAAUGUGGAGUCUUAACAUAACUAGGUUGAUUACCUACCGCAAGAACAACAUUGAUAGCAACAGCACCAAAAACAAAUCAGCAUUCUCCAGAGGAUUUUAAAAGGAACCAAAGCCUCACAUCAAAAUAUUCAAAAUGUCCAGGAUACCAUGAAAAAUUACUCAACAUACCAUGAAACAAAAAGCCUCAUAAAAUCUUAAGAAAAAUACAAUCAAUAGCUGGAUAUCAGCUCUGAGAUAAAAGAGUUAAACAUUGUCAACAGACUUGAAAGCAGCUGUUAUUAUGCAUCGUUAAGUAAUAGCAAACAAUCUCAAAACAAAUGUAGUAAGGAGAUAAAUUCUCAAUAUAGAAAUAUAAAGCAUAAAACAAAUAGAAAGUUUGAACUUAAAAAUACGAUAUUUGAAAUUUAAUAAAUGUACUAAAUGAUCUCAGUAACAGAAUGGAAAUGGCAAAGGAAAGAACCAAUGAACUUGAAAUUAGAUCAAUAGAAAUUAUCCAAACUGAAGAGCAGACUGAAACAAAUGAAAAACUUAAAUGGAACUUCAGAGACUUCUAGAAUGACAUCAAAACAUUUAAUGCUCAUGCCCUGGAGUCUCUGAAAAAGAGGAGAUUAGCACAGAGAGAAGAAGUAUUUGAAAAGCUAGCAUUUGAAAAACUAAUGAUGAAACGUCUAAGAUUCAGUAAAAUAUAUAAAUUAACAUAUUCAUGAUGCUCUGUGAGCCACAACCAGACAUACUCAGAGAAAGCCAUGCUCAGACACAUCAUAUACUGCUCAGCACCAAAAAUAAAGAAAAAAUAUUGUUCUCUACAUAUAAGGGCACAACAAUUGGAAUAAUUGCAAUUUCUUAUCAGAAACCAUGGAAGCUGCAAUAUUUUUCAAGUGCUGAAAUAAAGGAACUGUCAUUGUAGAAUUGUAUAACCAGAGAAAAUAACCUUAAGGAAUGAAGGCAACAUAAAGGCAUUUUUAGAUAACAGAAGCCCAGAAAAUUCAUCACUAGCAGACCUACUCUGAAAGAAUGCCAACGGAUCUUCUUCUCAUUGAAAGGAAAUAAUACCAGAAGUAAACUUGGAACAUAAGUUAUUAAAGGAUGAGUAAUAGGCAUGAUAAAGAUGCAGGUAAAUCUAAUAGAUAAUAGCUCUCCUCUUAAGAUCUUUGAUGUAAGAUGUAUGACUGUUGAAGGAAAAAUUAGAACACUUUCUGGGGGGCAUUUUGAUGUAUGUAGAUGUAAUACCCGUAAUAAUUACAAAAGAAAGAAAUCAUGCCCUUUGCGGCAAUGUGGAUGGAGCUGGAGGCCAUUAUUCUAAGGGACCUAAUGCAAGAACAGAAAACCAAAUACUGCAUGUUCUCACAAGUGGGAGCUAAACACUGAAUAAACAUGAUUGUAAAGGUGGGAACAAUAGACAGUAGGAAUCACUAGAUGUGGGAGGGAGAGGGGUGUGGGUUAAAGAACCACCUGUUGGGUACUAUGUUUAUGGCCUCGGUGAUGGGAUUGUGGGGACCCCAAGUCUCAGUAUCAUAAAACCCAUGUAACAAACCUUCAUGUGUACCUUUAAUCUAUAUUAAAGGUUGAAAAAAAAACCUAUAAUAUAAAGAAAAGAGAAUAAAUAGAUCUAUAUGGUUAUAAGACACUUUGCUUACUCUAAAAAGACUGUGAGAGUAUAUAUUAAAAUUUGUAGUGCAACCACAAAACAGAUAAAUGCAUAUGAACCAAAAGAUAAAAUGGAAUAUUAAAAUAUAUUCAGAUAUCUUUUAAAAAUAAUUGAGACACUGUGGUUUUAGUGAAAGAUUAGACACAUAGAUCAAUGCCACAAAAUAAAAAGUUCAGAAAUAGACAUAUAUGUAUAUGACCUAUUGAUUUUUGACAAAGAUGCAAGGGCAAUUUCAAUGGAGAGAGGAUAGUCUUUUUAUCCAAAUACAAAAGGAAAAAAAGAAUCAUAAUCAACACUUCACCCUUUAUACAAAAACUCACUCAAAUGGACCACAGACUAAAUCAUAAAUUUAUAAAACUUUGAUGGCAUUCAUAGCAUGCCAUUCCAACAGAUGCCGCUUUGGCAUAUUUAUCAUUUUGAGUUAAGGACACUUGGAAAACAGGAGAUGCAAGAAGGGCACUCUGACCUUCCUUUUUCUUCCUGAAAACAGGUGAAGAUAAAACACUCAUGUGAAAGGUGUCCUUGCUGCACUAGGAAGAACAUUCUUAUCACCAGAGAUGAAAAGUUGAGACUGAGACAUAACUGUACAGAAAAAACAUUAGAAUCAUCUUUAUCUUCCCAGUCACCUUUCCACAAUUAACUGCCUUUGCCCAAAACCUUUUGGCUGGUCAAAUUUUCACAAUUUACUACCCUUUGUCUAACCUAGUAUAUAAUCUUUUGGUCCUAACUACUUCUUUGGAUCUUCAUUUUUCUUGUGAGAGCCCCUGUGGACAUGCAAACAUUAUGAAAUAAAAUUUGUAAUCAUUUCUCCUGCUAAUAUGUCUUAAGCCAGUUUAAUUCUUAGGCCCAGCCAGAGAUCCUAAGAGGAUAAAGGAGAAAUUUUACCUCCCUUACAACUUUUAGAAGAAACAAAAGGAGGAAAUCUUUGUGACCCUGGGUUAGAUAAACAUUUAUUGAGUAUGACAUUAAAAGCAUGACCCAUUAAAGAAAAAAAUUGAUGUAUUUAAUCAAAAUUUAAAAUUUUGCUCUGUGAAAGACAAUAUAAAGACAAGCUGUGGGCCAGGCACAGUGGCUCACACCUGUAAUCCCAGCACUUUGUGAGGUAAACGUGGGAGAACUGCCUGAGCCGAGGAGUUCAAGACCAUCUUGGGCAACAUAGUGAGACCCUGUCUCUACAAAAUUUUUAAAAAAGAUUAGCUGUGUGUGGUGGUUCCUCCUUGUAGUCCCAGCUACUCAGGAGGCUGAGAUGGGAGUAUAGUUUGAGCCUGGGAGUUUGGGGAUGCAGUGAGUGGUGAUCAUGUCACUUACUGUACUCCAGCCUGGAAGACAAAGUGAGACCCUGUCUCAAAUAAAUAAAUAAAUAAACAAAUAAAUAAAUAAAAGAAAAGCUGUAGACAGAGAAAAAUAUUUGCAAGUCACUUUUAUCCUAAUAUUUAAAGGUCACUCAAAACUUAACUAUAGAAAAAAAACCCAAUGAAAAAAUAGACAAUAUGAACUGACACUUCACAAAAGAAGAUAUUUUAAUGGCAAAUAAGCACAUGAAAAGAUGUUCAAAAUCAUUAGUCAUUUAGUUAGGUGCAAAUUAAAAUCAGAAUAAGAUAUUGCUGCAUACCUAUUGGAUUGACUGAAAUCCAAAAAUUUGACAAUGCCAAGAGCUGAGAAGGAUAUGGAACAAGCAGAACACUCAUAUUUUGCUGAUAGGAAUGCAAAAUAGUACUGCCACUAUGGAAAAUAAUUUGGCAGCUUCUCAAAAGGUUAAACUUAUUAUAUGAACGAAAAAAAAUUCCUCCUCCAAGUAUUUACCUGAGAAAAAACGGAAACCAUAUUUCACCAAAAAUCUUGGAUGCUAAUGUUCAUAGCAGCUUUAUUCAUAAUAAUCAUAAACUAGAAACAGCUCAAACAUCCCUCAAUUUGGAAGCUAAGAAACAUACUGUGCCAUAUCCAUACAACUGGAAUAUUCCUGAGCAAUAGAAAGGAGCAAAUUAUCAACACACCCAGCAACAUAGAUAAAUCCCAAGUGCCUUAUGUUCAGUAAAAGAAACCAAACUCAAAAGGUAUGAUUCCAUGUGUAUGAUAUUCUGGGAAAAGCAAACUGUAAGGACAGAACACAGUUGCCAGCAUCUGAGAGUCUGGGGAGAUUUUAAUUUCAAACGGUCAGUACAAGGAAAUUUUUUUAAUUGCAGGGUAAUAGAACUUCCCUGUGCAACAGCUGUAACAGUUACCCAAUCACAUGCAUUAGUUAUAACUCAUAGAUCGGUAUCCCCAAAAGAAUGAAUUUUACUGUAUUUAAAUGAAUAUAUAAUAUAUACUUAAACCAUAAAUACAUAAAUAAAUUAAAUCAGUAAAAUAGCUGUGAUGCUUUUUUCAAAGUCCAUGUCUUAUUGUGAGGAAGAUUUUCCAUCAUUCGAUUUUUAUUGUUUAUGUUAAAAACAUACCUCUUUAUUAAAGCAGCUGAAUUUGCAACUAUACUUACCACACCCUUGUCUUCCAAGCUGUAUCUUAAUUGUACUUUAAAGAAACAAAUACCUAGGCUGCAAUUUAGCACUUAAUUAAUUUUAACUUUUUAUUUGUGAAUUUAGCCUGAGAUUGUUAGGCUUUCAUAAAAGUUAUGUUUAGCAGUUUAUAUUAUUCUUCUGAGCAGUUGUGGUACUGAGCCGAUGCACAUAAUUUGACACUUGACUUUUUCAAGGGUGUUUCUUCAGAUACUCCAACUCUAUGGCAUGCUUCUUAAGUCUCUGGAGUUAGAUUGGGAAAUAACCUAUCUAGACCUCAUCUUAGUGCCUUCCCAAAAUUUGAAGAAGAAAAAAGAUCCCUGUAAAAUAAGGUGGGAAGACAGUUUGGUUUUCUCCUCAGGAUGUGUGCUAACAACAAUUUAAAAAAUUCCUAUGUGGGAGCUAAGCUAUGAGGAUGCAAAGGCAUAAGAAAGACACGAUGGACUUUGGGGACUCAGAGGGAAAGGGAAGGAAGGGGGUGAGGGAUAAAAGACCACAAAUUGGGUGCAGUGUAUACUGCUCGGGUGAUGGGUGCACCAAAAUCUCACAGAUCACCAGCAAAGAACUCACUCAUGUAACCAAACACCACCUGUUCGCCGGUAACCUACGGGAGUAAAAAAAAGAAUUUAAAAAAAUUCCUGGACAUCUUCCUUCUUAUUUCCUGAACGCUGUUUUCUAGCACAAUAAGAUCACUGUUCCCUAUCUUCACGUUGAGCUUUCUGCAUCAGUUUUCCAUGAUUAUCAAUUUCUUCCCAAGCAAUAUGCCUGAGAAAUAUUAUCUAAAAAAUCACUAAUAACCAUUCACUACAACAGUCAUUCACACCAAGAUAGGUGUGGGAGCAGAGACACAUAGUGGGUAUAAUUUAUCAGAGUAUGUAUAGUUUAAUAAACACUCAAUGUAUUAUAAUUUUAAUGUGUAGAAUUCUCAUCCCAGUUUAAUGUCACAUAUAUUUUAAUACUACAAUUUACUAGUAAAUAUGAUAUGAUUUGAAAGACUGUUUGAUCUGUCAAUGGUAAAUUGCAUAGUGGCAAGUAAGCUCCAAGAUGUAAUGAAGGGUGGUAAUGCUUUUUAAUUUUCUGUCUAGCGUAUUUAAUCACUCCCUCUGGUAACAACCUUCAUCUCCCCUUUCUUUAGGAAACAGCUCUUCCCCAAUUCCACAGUAGCUGCUACAUUCAGGCCAAUCAUAUAACGCAUUUCCUUGAAUUCAAUGAUUAUUCUGCAGUUUAGUUCUGAAAUGUUACAUACAGGUGCAUGUGAAAAGUUCUCUUUUACAAUUUUGUUUUGCGAUAUUCGGUCAAUGUUCAACUGAGUCCAUCAGGGGUCAACAUUGCCUGCUGCAUGGCAUGAGCCUAUCUGCAGUAAGGGAGCAUAAAACAAGCAACUAGAAGAAAGAAAAGAAGAGAGACUGGAUGUUGGAGAGACAUAAAUAAGGAGACUUGUCCUAAAAGAGCUGAUCAUAUCAUUUGAUGUAAACCAAUAACUCUCCUUUUUAACUUUUGUUCGAUUGGGUUGGGCCCUUGUAGCUUGGAAUAAACCUUAAAAUGCAAGAGCAGGAAUAAAGCCAAUAUUACAAUUAGCAAAAUUGCAAAAUGUAUAUCCUUUGAAAUGGAUCACAUCAUAUAGAGUGAGACAGAUUUAAGAAACUGAUGCAGAUAGUGACAAAGAGAAUAAUGAAAUAUGAUAUGUGGAAGAUAGAUAAGAAUGAAAUAACCUAAACAACAUAGGUGUUUCUGAAGAUGAAAGAAUAACUAGAAUAAGAGCAAAAAUAAAUGUUAUAAUUUUUAAAAAAAUGAGUUUAAUAAAAAGACAGACGGUAACUCUUCUAGUACCCAAGGGAGGCCAGAAGUGUUGGGUAAUUCCCUACCCCAGCAUUCCUAUGACUCUCAGGAGUGGUUAAAUAGCAUAGCUCUUUCACAACUCAGAUGGCAUAAUCCUGAGGUGUGUGUUUUGCACUUAGAGUUUACUGGUGGAAAUAAACUUCAGUUGCUCACUGUGGUAACUGGUUUACUAAAGCAUCUCUACUGGCUUCCUUCCCUUUCCAUGGCCACUCUCCUAUUGUUGACUCCUGCAUCUCCCAAAUAAACUACUUGUAUUCAAAUCCUUCUAUCAAGGUCUGUUUUAAGGGAUGCUUUCCCUGGUUGUCUAGUGAUUGGGGAAAAAACAUGAAGCCAAAAACAAAAAUAAGGAAGGGUACCAACUAAGACCACUAAUCCUUUUGUUUCUUAUUUCCGUAAUGAAACAGAAUCAAUCAGAAAAGAUGUUCCACAUGCUCCCUGCAUGACAUUUACCAUACCAACUGCAGACAACUUCAGUAUGGUUCUCCACCGCAUAACUAAAAGUGGAGCGCCACUCUCAGUGUAGUUGGUAAUUAAUCCUCAGAUCUUAUUUUGUUUGACAUAACAGAAGCAUUUAACAUGUUUGGUAACUUUUUCCUAUUUACAGGAAAAACGUUCUUUUUCUAUAACGUCCCAGAUAUACUCUACAAGUUUUUUUUUGUUUUUUGUUGUUGUUUGUUUUUGUUUUUUUUGGGGUUUUUUUCCCCCCCACUAGCUGCUACUUCACAGUUCCCUUUGCUCAACCCUCUUCUUGAAUUCUCACAUUGGAAUACUGCAGAGCUCAGUUGUUUGCCACCUUAUCUUCUCUGUCUAUAUUCAAGUCUCUCAGUCAUCUCACUUUAAAUGUCAUCUGUUCAGUACAUCUCCAGCUCAGAUCACUAACGCAACUUUAGGUUCUUUCAUUCAAUUAUAUUCUGGACAUCUGCCUUUUGGUAUUAAGCAGAAGAAGUGAACACCCACCCAAUCUACCCCUCAAAAGGAGCACCUUCUGUAGUGUUCCACAUCUAGGCAAAUGCUAUCCCCAUGAUUCCAGUUAGUCAGAUCUAUAUCCUGGUGUGAUUCUUUAUUUUUCUUUCUUUUACACCCCACACAUUGUCCUUCAGCACAUUCUGUUGACUCUGUUCGCCAAAUAUAUCAAAACUAUCGUUGUUUGUAGAUAUUUUGCCCUUAGUCAAAUUGUUUUCUAGUUUAUGAAAUGUAUUCUGUAUAUGUGCUGAUUUUUGAGGUGUCCUACAAAUAGUAUUAAAACUACACUGUUUGCAUUAUCAAAACUUCAAACUGGUCUAUUUUGGAAAAUGGUGCCUAUUAGAAUAUAUAUCCGAAAGAAAAGCAUAUUAUAAUUUCAAAGCUACAAAUAUCACUCACAUUCCUGGAAGGAGCCUGUAAUUUAAACGCUACUUUGUUACUUUGGAAGUAGAAUUAUUAUACUCUUAAGGAUCUAACUUUCUCAUAAGUAGAAUAACAAAGAGCCUGCUAACAAUGGUUACUGGUGAGCUGGGAGAGGAAGUUGAGCAGGAUCCUUUCUCUUUCCUCUACAUAUAGCUUUGUAAUGUUUAGAUUGCUCAUCACGUGCAUGUGUUAACUACAAGAAAUGAGUAAAAGUAUCCAAGUGAUCUUUGUAAAAGUGCUAUUGAGAAGGAGACUUGUCCUAAAAGACAUAAAUAAUUUUUACAAAGCCAAUAUAAUUAAAUAAUGUUGUUUUGGUAGAAUAAUUAUGAAAUACAAAUGUGAGAAGAAGACAUAGUAGCUAAAAUAAUUCAGAUUAUGACAAAUGAAUAGUAUGCUAAUCAAUAACACAGAUUUUAGAGCCGGAAUACUGGGUCCAAGUUCUGGAUAUACUUUUUAUUAACUAACUAUGUGAAUUAUUUAUGUCUCAGUUAAGAAACAAUGAUGCUCACUAUUGACACUUAUAUUCAACAUUGCACUAGUUGUGUUUGGCAAUGCAAAUAGGUAAUAUGAAUCACUUUAAGGCAGAGGAAUUCAUAGGGAGAAACCAAAACUAUUUCUAUUUGCAGACGAUAUGAUAGUAUACGAAAAAGAAAAUCAAUGAUGAAAGUAACUCAAACCACGAACAAUGCGCUAUUAACAGGAUAUAAAAUUAGCAUACAGAAAUCAAUAUACUUCACAUAGGUAAACAAUAAUCAGUUAUAGGAAUGAUGAUAGGAAAGUAUUCAGUUAAGACAGCAACAAAGCAGACUAAAACUUCGGAAUAAACAAUAAGAAACAAAUAUAUGUAAAGGAAAUUUUAAACAUUUAUCAAAGAUAGAAAAGUAGAGUAGAAUAAAUGACAAAACUUUUUUAUUCUUGGAUAGGGAACAAGCUGUUUUAUGGAGUUAUUCAACCUCAAUAAAAUUCAUACACAAAAGCAAACAUGCAAAAUAGGUAGGAAAUCAUUGAAGAAAAUUAAGUGGUGAAGCUAGCCUUAACAGACAUUAAAACUUAUGAAAUUUUUAUAACUAAAACAGUGUGGCAUAUUAAUAGACAAAUAGACCAAUGAGAGAGAAUACAAUGUCCAGAAGUAGAUCAAACUACAUACAGAAAUGUAUUUGAUAAAAGUAGCAUCUCACAUCAAUUGGAAAAUAUAGACUUUAAUAAAUUGCUCUAGAACAUAUUAGUAACAAUUUGCAAUAAGGUAGAAUUAGAGGCCAGGCAUGGUGGUUCACGCCUGUAAUCCCAACAUAUAGGGAGGUUGAGGUGGGCUGAUCACUUGAGGUCAGGAGUUUGAGACCAGCCUGGGCAACAUGGUGAAACCCUGUCUCUACUAAAAAUACAAAAGUUAUCUGAGUGUGAUAGUGCAGGCCUGUAAUCCCAGCUACUCGGGAGGGUGAGGCACAAGAAUCGGUUGAGCCUCGGAGGUGGAGGUUGCAGUGAGCUGAGAUCAUGUUAUUGAACUCCAUCCUGGGUGACAAAUGGGACUCUGUCUAAAAAAUAAAUAAAAAGAAGAAGAUAGAAUUAGAUUCAUACUUCUCACCAUAUCAAUAAAUUUUAAAUCGAUCAGAGGUCUAAAUAUAGAAAAUGAGACCCUACAAAUACUAAAAAAGUCAAUAAAUUCUUCUUUAACCUUGGCACAGGGAAAGUUAUUGCAAGUAUGUCUUAAAAUUCAGGGGAAGUGAAUGAAGGGAUUGAUAAAUUUGACUACAUAACAUUGAAAAAAAGCCAAGCAAAAAUCGUCAUAAAUUAUGAAGUUGUCACGUUGAGAAAGAAUAUCAACUGACAAUUUACCAAAAAUAUAUAAAACUUGCUCUAAAAUGUAUAAAAAGAUAUUCAAACUCACUAAGGAAAUGCAAAAUAAAACAGCACUAAGAUAUUAUUUUUCACCUAAAAGAUUAGUAAAAAUUAAACAGCAUGACACCGCAGUCUAUUGGUGAGCCUGUGAGAAACAGCCAAUCUCAAUGUAUUAAUAAUAGGGAUGCAAAUUGGCACAACCCUUCUGGAGGUCAAUUUAGCAACAUUAAUAAGACUACAUAUACAUUUACCUUUGACUCAGUAAUUACAAUUCUAGAUUUUACCCUGAAGAUGCACUUCUGACAAUAUGAAAAUACAUAUGUACAAAUUAUACAUUGCAGCAUUGCUUGCAGUUGCAAAAUAUUAGAAACUAAAUGUCCAUAUAUAGGAGAGUGGUUGAAUAAGCCAUGGUAUAUGCACAAACUGAAAUAUUAUGCAGGUUUAAGAAAUGAUGAGGAAAAAUAGAAAGAAUGAAUAUGACCUACUAUUUGAUAGCACCACAGGGUAACUAUAGUCAAUAAUAAUUUAAUUGUACAUUUAAAAAUAACUAAAAGAAUAUAAUUGGAUUGCUUGUAACAUAAAAGACAAAUGCUUGAGGGGAUGGAUACCCCAUUUUCCAUGAUGUGAUUAUUACACAUUGCAUGCCUCUAUCAAAGCAUCUCAGAUACCUCAUAAAUAUGUACAUUUACUCUGUACCCAGAAAAUUUACAAAUUUAAAAAUUUAAAAAUUCAGUGAUGAGAAAGAUCUGUAAACUGGUAUGGAGUGAUUUCUAGUCUAUAUUAAAUGAAAAAAAGCAAAGGUGAAAGAGUAUAUAUCUAUAGUGCACUACCUUUCAUGUUAAAAGGAAGGGACUAUAAGAUGUACAAGUUUUUUUUUUUUUUUUUUUUUUUUGCAAAAACAAAAACAAGAAGAAAGAACAAGAAACUAAUGAGAUUAGUUAUGUAUAGGAGAUGGGGGAAAAUGGGAUGGGAAAAGCAAAGUAAUGCGAAUAAAAGUGAUGAAACAAUAAAAGUGAUGAAGCUUCUAUGAGUAUUUUUAAAAAUAGUUUUGACCUUUAGAACCAUGGUAAAAUUUUAUGCAACCAAUAAAUAAAUAGGUAGGUAGAUACAUAGAUAGACAGACUAAAUGAGAAUGCAGAGGAGGGGGGAAAUAGAAUACAAACAGAAAUAAGUGAGCCUAACAUCAUUUCAAAUUAAUAACAUAGUGACAUUGACAGGGUCAAGGAAGAAAAUAAGGAAAAUGGUUUUUUGAUAUUACAUAUUAAGGCUGGGAGAAAAAAGAACUGUAAAUGAAUAUUAUAUGCUGGCUUAUAAAUUUGUUUUUCAUGAAGGUAUGAGUUAGCAAUUCUGGAACUUGCAUAUAAUAGGAUUGAGCAAAUAAGUAAAUAUAUUUUCAAUAAUGAGAGCCAGGUAUCAAUAAUAUCCUGGUAUUAUUAAUUAUACUAGUUAUAUGAGAUUUUAAUAUUUGAGAGAGGUAGGGAAUGGGUUUACAGGAACUCUGUGUUGCCAUAUGAAAAACAUGAAAUCAAAAUGGAUUAAAGAUUUAAAUGUAAGACCUGAAACUAUAAAACUACUACAAGAAAACAUUAAGGAAAAUCUUCAGGACAUUGAUCUGGACAAAAAUUUCUUGAGCAAUACCCCACAAGCACAGGCAACAAAGCAAAAUGGACAAAUGAGAUCACAUUAAGUUAAAAAGCUUCUGCACAGCAAAGAAAACUAUCAACAAAGUGAAGAGACAAAAUGGGAGAAAAUAUGUGUACGGUUUUGCAAGUGAUUUUGUAAAUAUAAAAUUAUUUCAAAAUGAAACAUUAAAAUGAUAAAUCAAUGGCAAAGAACGAUAUAACACAUAAUAAAAUGUGUUAACUAUGAGUAAAAAAACGAUUGCUCAUUACAAAAUAAAACGUAUUCCAGGUGAACAUAAGAGGUUUUAUGUAUAACUUUUAAAACAUUGGAAAAGCCUAUAUGAUAAUACCUAUGUUACUUCCAGAUUGAGAAAUGCUUUAUGUGCAUACAACCAAUAUAAGACAUCAAAAAGAAAGUAGAUAUUAAUCAUACAAAGUAAAUAUUUUAUAAAGAUAUCAUAAUACUAAUUAAAAGGCAAUGUAAAAGUUGGGGUUAAAAACCUACUAAAUGUUAGAAAAAGAAUUAAUAUUUAGGUAGCAUAUAAUGAUCUCCUAUAAAAAAAAUAAAGGAGUAUCUAUCACCCCCAUAAGAAACUUGGUGUAGCUAAAAAAUGUCUGAUGAAGUAGGCUUUAAGAUAAAAAUCAUUACUAGAAGUAAAUAGGUGAUUUUAUAAUAAUAAAUGCUUCAAUUCACUGGAAAGAUAUAAUACGGUUACAUUUGUAUAUUGCAAGUAGUAAAACUUCAAAACAUAUAAAGCAAAAAUUGACAAAAUCCAGGGAGAAAUAGAAUACUCCACAACCAUAGCAAGAAUCCUCCACAACCAUAACAGGAAAAUUCAUCAUGUCUAAGUAAUUAAUAAAACAAGUAACCAAAAAUUUGAUAGAAACUUGAAAAUUUGAAAGAAAUGAAUAAUUGACUUAACGAAUGCCUACAGAGUAUUUAGUACAACUGUGGAAUGCAUAUUUUUUCAAAUAAGUUCAUAACAUUUAUGAAAAUUGGACAUAUACAGCUUUAGAGAGCAAAUCCUACCAAAGUUCAAAGAACCAAAAUAAUAGAGCAUAUUCUAAAAUAAAAAUAUUAAGCUCCAAAUCAAUAAUAACUGAAAAACAUUUGCGAAUUAAGAAGUACACUUCUGUAUUAGUCUGCUCUCAUGCUGCUAUGAAGAACUGCCCAAGAUUGGGUAAUUUAUAAAGGAAAGAGGUUUGACUCACAAUUCCUCAGGGCUGGGGAGGCCUCAGGAAACUUACAAUCAUGGUGGAAGGGGAAGCAAACACGUCUUUCUUCACGUGGUGGCAGGAGAGGGAAGUGUCGAGCAAAAGAGGGAAAAGCCCCUUACAAAACCAUCAGAUCUUGUGAGAACUCACUAUCACAAGUACAACAUGGAGGUAACUGCCCCCGUGAUUCAUCACUUCCCACUGGGUCCCUCCCACGACGUGUGGGGAUUAUGGGAACUACAAUUCAAGAUAAGAUUUUGGUGGGGACACAACCAAACCACAUCAGCUUCUAAAUAAUUAGUUGGAUCAGGUUGAAAUAAUGAUGAAAGUCAAAAUAUUUUAGAUUGUCCACAGAAAAUGCUAAAUAUCAAAACUUGGGAUAUGCAGCUUCAGCAAUAUAUAGAGAUGGAUAUAUAAAUAUAAAAGAGAGGUUAAAAUUAUCUAAGUAUAUAAUUUAAGAAGUUAGAAAAAGAGCAAUGUAAUAGAUUCAAAUAAAACAAAAGUAGUUAAAUAACAAAGGUAAAAUCAGGAAUUAAUCAUAUAAAAAUUUAAUAAAGAUAAUCAACAAGGCCAAAUUUUUGAACAUACUAACAAUAUUAAGAAACCUCAGGCACAUUGAUGGAGGAAAAAAGAAAAUACAUGCACGCAUGCACACAUACACACAAACACAUAACUUAGUAAUUAUAUACAGGACCAAAGUAUAAGUAUAAAAUUCACAAAUAAUUACCAGUAGGUUACAUACUUAAAUCCAAUGUCAAAAAUUUUAAAAAUAGAGGAAGUUAUAUAAAAUGUUAAUAUUAUGAGCUUGGGGUAGAAAAAUAUUUCUUACAGAAGCCACAAACAAUGAAAACUAAAAUGAAAGAGAUUAUAAAAUUUAACUACAUUAAAAUUAAGAGCUACUAUUUAUUAAAAAUAGCAUAAAUGGCAAAAAAAUCUAUGAAAUAGGAGAAAAUAGUGCAGUACAUGUAACUGGAAAGCACAUUAUCAAUUAUAUAUAAAUACUUUCUACAAAUUGAUUUUUAAAAACCUAAUAGAAAAGGACAAAAGAUAUAAUUAGCUAUUUCACAGAAUGAGGAAAAAGUAAUAGCCAAUAAAAAAUCUAUGGCUAGAAGCAUACCCUUGUUAAAUAACAUGGAAAAUAUAUAUUAAAAUCAUUUCAUCUCACACCCACUAGAUAGGCAAAUAUUAUAAAUUGGACAUUGCCGAUUUGUGAGAAUGUAAGACUUCUAGAACUCCCAUGUACUCCUGGUAGGAGUAUAAAUUAUCACAAUCAUUUUGGAAAAAAAUAUUUGGUAUUAUCUAGUAAAGUUGAUGAUACACAUAUCAUUUGAUGCAGCAAUUUCAUCUAUAGAUAUAGAUGUUAGAGAAACUCACAUAAGUAGGCAACAUGACAUGUAGAAGAAUGCAGAUAGCAGUGAUGUUGGAAAACAAAACACUGGAAACCAAAUUUACAUGAGGAACAAAACUCAUAAAUCAUUUUGUAUUCAUACAAUGGAAAACCAUACAAUAAUGAAAUUGAAAGAGCUAUAGCUAUCUCAAUAUGGAUGAAUCUCACCAAGUUGAAUGAACAAAACGAUUGCAAAAUAAUAGUCUGAUGCUAUUUAUAUAAUUUGCAUACGUCCAAAAUUAAAGAGUAUAAUAUUUUGGGGCACAUACCCAAGUGGUAAUAUUUAGCAAAAAGCAAAGGAAUAAUGAACAAAAUUUAAGACAGUGGUUACCCCUGGCAGGGAGGGAAGAAGAUGAAUAAGAUCAAGGAGGGGUACACAGAAGACAUCAAAGGUAUUCAGAAUAUGAUAUUUUGUGUGCUGUGUGUUAGGUACACUGUGCUCUUUUUAGAAAUUUUUUUCACAAAUUGUAAGUAAUGUUUCAGUUAUUUCAUACCAAAAUAAAAAUAAAGCAUAAACUGUAAUAUCAGGAUUUUCCAUAGUUCACUUCAAAUUUCUUAAUGUUUGGUAGGUGCUGUUUCCUAGCAAAUACAUGUUAAAUGGAUGCUGGAAAAUUAAGAGAUUAUUGUAUGAGCUGAUUCUAAAGUGACCACCCUCCUUUUGCUAAUAAUGUGUUCAUCUGUUAGUCCUGUUCAGUAAGAUAUGUCUGCAAUUACCAUGCAUGAACUGUUGCUUCCAAGCUGAAAAGGAAGAUGACACUUAGCACACUGUGUUCCACACAAGCAGCUACCUACAUGUUUUUUCCUUUUCAUUCUGACCCAAAAUGGAAACUUUGUUUGAAAUUAAUUUCCUUUUUGAUUAAGGGUAAGACAAUAUUUUCACAGUCACUGAACCAAAAAGCUGGUAAAAACCUUGCCACAGAGAUGCUAAAUAGUGUAUUUAUUUAAUUUUCUCAUGUUUCUUCAUGUAUGUCAAGGCAUAUCCAAAUAACUGAAUUAAUAAUUACCACUCCUUACUAAGAGCUACUUCAUCUGUUCUUCCAGUGAGCGGAAAUCAGGUUUGAAAGAGAUAUUAUGCAAGCCAGCAAUUCCCUACCAACUGGUCCUGAAAAGUUAGCUUUGGUGAUUCAAAGGUCCUUUGGAAUACUAAGUUGCAACAAUAUCCCCAAAGGCAUGUCUCUAAAUUGUCCCACUAAUAUACCUGAGAGUAAAUCAAAUGAAUCAUGCUUUCUCUGAUAUUUAUAUUAGUUUUCUAAAGUUAAUCCUAAGGAGAAAAUAAGUAGUUAUUAUUGUUGCUAUUAUUUCUAGGAAAUUAUCAUUUUCAAAACUUGAAGAUGGGUCUUGUCAUUUACAAAAUCCUAUCUGAUUUAAUCAAAUGGUAUUUCUAAUGCUUGUACUUCUGUUGAUUUCCUCACAGAGCAAAAUCAAGUGCCUUUCUUUUGGAAAACUCAAAACAUCAAAUUAAACAGCACAGCAUCCAAUCUGAGUCAUACAUUUGAAAUCAAUUUACCAGGAAACAAAGAGUCAAAGAUUGCAGAACUCAGAGGGAGAGAAAAGAGGUUGCUCAUAGAAGCAAAUUAGAGAAAGAAGGUGUUCAAAUUCUUCAAGGCUCCUACCAUCUGCUUGUCAGGCUGCUGCUGAAUUUCAGAUACCUCUUUCGCAGUGCUUUCUCCUUAAUGUCCAAAAUUUUACCUCCCACCCAAUCUGCACAUUAUCAUUUUGUUCAGCUGUGUAAAAACAUGAACACAAUGUAUAUCGUGAAGGUUGUCAGCGUACCAUGUUGACAUUCGAAUUCAAUCUUUGGUGAUAGACAUUGGAAUAACAUGUCCCUGUAGGGUGGUGGAGGGUGGCGGGGUGAGGUGAUUGACUGGAUAUAGUUGUGAGGGAAAUUUCUGGGGGUAAUGGGAAUGUUAUUUAUUUUGAGCUGGGUGAUAGGUAGAUAUACAGCGGUCCCCCUUUAUCUAUAGUUUUGCUUUCCUUGGUUUCAAUUACCAGAGAUCAACCUCAGUCUUGAAAAUACUAAAUAGAAAAUCCCAGAAAUAAACAAUUCGUAAGUUUUAAAUUGUCCUCCCUUCUGUGUAGUGUGAUGAAAUCUCAUGCCAUCCUGGGAUGUGAAUCAUCCCUUUAUCCAGUAUAUGCACGCUGUAUACACUACCUGUCUAGUAGUCAGUAGCUAUCUCAGUUAUCAGAUUGAGAAAACAUAGUAUGUACUAUAUAGCAGUGGUCCCCAAACUUUUCGCCUUUUUGGCACCAGGGAUGGGUUUCAUGGAAGACAGUUUUUCCAUGGGGGUGGCGGGCAGGGAUGGUUUUGACAUGAAUCUGUUUCACCUCAAAUAAUCAGGCAUUAGCUAGAUUCUCAUAAGGAGCACCCAACCUAGAUCCUUCCCAUGCACAGUUCACAAUAGGGUUCGCACGCCUAUGAAAAUUGAAUGCCACAGCUGACCGGACAGGGAGUGGAGCUCAGGAGGUAAAGCUUGCUGGAUGCUCACUUCUUGCUCUGCGGCCUCCCUCCUACCAGGCCACAGACCUGUACUGAUUGGCAGCCCAGGGAUUGAGGGCCCCUGCAGAGUUCGGUACUAUUCAAGGUUUCAGGCAUCCACUAGGGAUCUUGGAACGUAUCCGCAAGAAUAAGGGGGGACUACUUUAGUUGUAAAAAUUCACUGAGCUAUACACUUAAGCUUUAUGCAUUUUACUCUAGGUAAUUUUUCAGUAAAGUAUUAUUUGCAAAAAAAAAAAAAAGAAUGUUAAUUAGAGAGUGUCAUUAUUUAUGGCUUGCCACUAUAUUUACAAUAAAAUCCAAGUGCCUUACCACCGCUUGUGAAACUACAUAAUCUAGUUCCCAUAUAUCUGUCUUCCUUUUCUAAUAUUCUUUCCUUUGCUUGAUUUGUUUUUCUUGGGGUCUUUGCAUUUCCUAGUUCACUCUUCCUGAAACACUCUUUCCAGAUAUUUGCAUGAUUGACUCCUUCAUUUAAUUGAGGUUUCUCAUCGAAUGCCACUUUCUCAUAGAGGUCUUUCCUAGCCACCCUCCCCUUGGUCUGCUUUAUUUUUUUGAAGCGCAUGUUGACAUUCUACAUUAUAUAUUUCCUUUUUGUUGUUUAUUGUCUCUCUCCCCAUGGUAGUUAAGAGUAGGCUAACUGAUAAAAAUAGACCCAAACUUGGGAUAGCUCAAUAGAUGGAAUUUUAUUUAUUGUUCACCUAACAGUUCCAGGUGGCUGUUUAGAUUUCACUGUUGGCUCAUCUCUAUUCAAUAGCACCUUCCAUCUUAUGGAUUUGUACUCCCGUAGAGCCUCAUUGUCUUCUGCAUCAAGCUAGCAAGAGGAGAAAGAGCAUGAGGCAAAAACACAUAUGAACGGUGUUAUGAACCAGACCUGAAAUUAUCACACUUUACUUUUAUUUAUACUUCCUUUGCUAGAACUCAGUCACAUGUUCCUAUAAAUUCAAGAGAGACUGGAAAAUGCAGUCUAGCUAUAUUACAGAAAGAAGAAAAGAUAGAUAUGGUAAUCAAUUAGCAGUUUUAGUACACUGCCUCAGCUGAAAUACAUGUUUCAUGAUGGCAGGAACCUUCCUUGUCUGUUUGCUCAUGGCAUAUGCUGAACUUCUAAAACAGUGCUGGUACAUAGUAUGCAUUUAAUAAAUAUUUUGGAGUGAAUAAAUACAUUUCAGUGAAACAUACUAUACUGAGCUUAGCUGGUUGAAGGAACACGGCUCCAAAUUUACUCAGCUCUUCUAAUUUUGGUCAUAGACAUUCUUAAGGGGAUGCCACACUCACCAAUGAAAAUCAGUGUGAGCUCUAUGCUGCUACUCUCCCUCUGUAAACAUAUCCCUCCAAAUACUGGGAAAGAAUACACAUUUCUUAAGCCACAGAGCUAAGGUAUGCAAAAAUGGAUUUAAUUUGUGGCUCACAGUGAUCUAUAUUCUGAGUUUUCAUUCUGUUGAGAAUAUAAAAUAUAAUCUCAGUCAAUUCUAGCUAAACCGAUUAAUUUAUUGCUUAACAUCAGUUAAUUCAGAACUUUUUCCGCCUCUUCCUAGUAACACCUACGUUCCAGGAAGCUUAUGUAACAUCAUGAAGUCUGGUUCCAAGAUGGCAUCUUUUCACACUGCAUCCUCAGAUCAUCCAGUCUCUAGUUCUUGGCUGUCAUUAUUGUUCCACAUUGACAUGUGUCAAGAUGUCCUCAUUCCCAUAUGCUCCACACAACUUUCCUCUGUAGCAUUCCCUAAUUACAACUGCAUGACCCCAUCAGGUCUGUCAACUUACUCUUUCUUUCUUUCAGCUAUCUUCAAGCAUGGUAAAAGCUGGCUUCUUUAUCUUUCCAAUUUGGAUCUGAAGAAAACUCAGUGGAGCUAUCCCCAGGUACUGUCUUAUCAUGCAGCUAUUUCUUAUCUGCUGUUCUCGUGCUGCUUCUCAGGGUUCCAAUAGGGAGAACACAGAAAUCGUCUACUCAUGGAUUCUUGGAUCCAGAUAUUACACAAACUUGUAAGUCUGUAGCUUGCCUUUCAACAUUCUAUUUUUCCACUCUUUCCUUUUGCAACUCUCCUCCUACCUUCAUUUCUUGUUUUUGUGGAAUCUUCAUUAAGUCUAAGGGAGUAUAGUAUUUUUUAUGCAUUGUUUGAAAAUUUUUUUAUUUGUGGUAUAAAUGUUAUUUCCAAACUCUCAUAGGUUAGAGAGUCGAACUGCAAAAAUUCUAGUAAUUAAAACUUGAAAAAAAUUUUUUUUAUAAACUAACAUACCUUUCAAGAACAUUUUUGUUGUAGCUUCAUUUUCCUGGGGCAAUGAAGGUGGAGUGCUUUAGUUUCCUUGGCUAGAAAAUACUGUAUUAAAAUCAUGUUUUGGGGCAAUAGCAUUAUAUAUUGUUUAAUACUUCAAAAUAUUAUAUAGCCAUAGAAAGAAAGAUAGAUACAUACACACAUAUAAAAUUAGCAUAACAGAAAUGGUAAUGCCUUUCUUGAAGUAGAAAAUAAGUCAUAAAAAUAGAAGAGAGCAAUCUAUGUGGGCUUCAUGUUAGGUGUGGUGGUCGUCAUGUUGGAAUGCUUAUGUGCCAAAUAUGUUUGCACAUGUGGAUAAAAGCAUGUGAAUAAAUAUAGAUUUUUUUAAACUUUUGAGUUCAGAGGUACGUGGCAAAAUGUGUAGGUUUGUUACAUAAGUAAAGUGUGUCAUGAGAGUUUGUUGUACAGAUUAUUACAUUCCCCAGGUAUUAUUCCUGGAAUCUAUUAGUUAUUUUUCCUGAUCCUCUCCCUCCUCCCACCUUCCAUCCUCCAAAAAGCCCUAGUGUGUGUUGUUCCCCUCUGUGUCCAUGUGUUUUCAUCAUUUAGCUCCCACUUAUAAGUUAGAACACGUGGUAUUUUGUUUUCUGUUCCUGUGUUAGUUUGCAAAGGAUAAUGGCCUCCAGCUCUAUCCAUGUCCCUGCAAAAGAUAUGAUCUCAUUCUUUUUUAUGGCUACAUAAUAUUCUGUGGUGUAUAUGUACCACAUUUUCAUUAUCUGGUCUAUCACUGAUGGACAUGCAGGUUGAUUCCAUAUCUUUGCUAUUGUGAAUAGUGCUGCAAUGAACAUACACGUGCAUAUGUCUUUAAAACAGAAUAAUUUAUACUCCUUUGGGUACAUACCCAGUAAUGGGAUUGCUGGGUCAAAUGGUAUUUCUGACUCUAGGUCGUUGAGGAAUUGCCACACUGUCUUCCACAAUGGUGGAACUAAUUUACAUUCCCACCAACAGUGUAAAAGUGUUCCUUUUUCUCCACAGCCUCACCAGCAUCUGAUAUUUUUUGAGUUUUUAGUAAUAGCCAUUCUGACUUGUGUGAUAUGAUAUCUCAUUGUGGUUUUGAUUUGCAUUUCCUUAAUAAUCAGUGAUGUUAAGCUUUUUUUUGUAUGUUUGUUGGCCGAAUAAACGUCUUCUUUUGAGAAGUGUCUGUUCAUAUCCUUUGCACUAUUUUUGAUGGGGUUUUUUUUUAUUGUAAAUUUAAGUUCCUUGAAGACUCUGGAUAUUAGACUUUUGUCAGAUGGAUAGGUUGCAAAAUUUUUCUCCCAUUCUGUAGGUUGUCUGUUCACUCUGGUGGUAGUUUCUUUUGCUGUGCAGAAGCUGUUUAGUUUAAUUAGGUCCCAUUUGUCAAUUUUUGCUUUGGUUGUGAUUGAUUUUGGUGUCUGUCAUUAUAUUUUUGUUUGUGCCUAUGUCCUGGAUGGUAUUACCUAGAUUAUCUUUUAGGGUUUUUAUAGUUUCAAGUUUUACAUUUAAGUCUUUAAUCCAUCUUGAGUUAAUUUUUGUAUAAGGUGUAAGGAAGGGGACCAGUUUCAAUUUUCUGCAUAUGGCUACCCAGUUUUCUCAGUACUAUUUAUUCAAUAGGGAAUCCUUUCCCCAUUACUUGGUUUUAUCAGGUUUGUCAAAGAUCAGUUGGUUGUAGAUGUGCGGUCUUAUUUCUGAGAUCUCUAUUCUGUUCCAUUGGUCUAUGUAUCUGUUUUUGUACUAGUACCAUGUUGUUUUGGUUACCAUUAACCUUGUAGUAUAGUUUGAAGUUGGGUAGUGUGAUGCCUCCAGCUUUGUUUUUUUGUUUUGUUUUGUUUUUUGCUUAGGAUUGUCUUGGCUAUACAGGCUCUUUUUUGGUUCCAUAUCAAUUUUAAAGUAGUUUUUUCUGAUUCUGUGAAAAAUGUCAAUGGUAGUUUAAUGGCAAUAGCAUUGAAUCCAUAAAUUACCUUGAGCAGUAUGACCAUUUUCACAACAGUGAUUCUUCCUAUUCAUGAGCAUGGACUGUUUUUCUAUUUGUUUGUGUCCUCUCUGUUUUCCUCGAGCAGUAGUUUGCAGUUCUCCUUGAAGAAGUCCUUCACAUCCCUUUUUAGCUGUAUUCUUAGGUAUUUUAUUCUCUUUGUAGCCAUUGUUAAUGGGAGUUGUCAUUUUGGCUCUCUGCUUGUCUAUUGUUGAUGUAUAGGAAUGCUUGUUAUUUUUGCACAUUGAUUUUGUGUCCUGAGACUUUGAUGAAGUUGCUCAUCAGCUUAAGGAGCUUUUGGGCUGAGACACUGUGGUUUUCUAGAUAUAGGAUCAUGUCGUCUGCAAAUAGUGACAGUUUGCCUUCCUCUCUUCCUAUUUGAAUUUGCUUCCUUUCUUUCUCUUGCCUGAUUGCCCUGGCCAGAACUUCCAAUACUAAGUUGAAUAGGAGUGGUGAGAGGGCAUUUGUCUUGUGCCAUUUUUCAAGGAGAGUGUUUCCAGUUUUUGCCCAUUCAGUAUGCUAUUAGCUGUGGGUUUGUCAUAAAUGUCUCUUAUUAUUUUGAGAUUUGUUCCAUCCAUACCUAAUUUAUUGAGAGUUUUUAACAUAAAGAGAUGUUGAAUUUUAUUGAAGGCUUUUUCUGCAUCUAUUGAGAUAAUCAUGUGGUAUUUGCCUUUAGUUCUGUUUAUGUGAUGAAUUAUGUUCAUUGAUUUGCAUAUGUUAAACCAGCCUUGCAUACCAGGGAUGAAGCCGACUUGACCCUGGUGGAUAAGCUUUUUGAUGUGUUGCUGGAUUUGGUUUGCCCGUAUUUUAUUGAGGAUUUUUGCAUCAAUGUUCACCAAAGAUAUUAGUCUGAAGUUUUCUUUUUUUUGUUGUAUCUCUGCCAGGUUUUGGUAUCAGGAUGAUGCUGGCCUCAUAAAAUGAGUUAGGGAGAAGUCCCUUCUUUUCAACUGUUUGAAACAAUUUCAGAAGGAAUGGUGCCAGCUCUUCUUUGUACCUCUGUUAGAAUUUAGCUGUAAAUCCGUCUAAACCUGGGCUUUUUUUGUUGUUGUUGGUAGGCUAUUUAUUACUGCCUCAAUUUCAGGACUUGUUAUUGGUCUAUUCAGGAUUCGACUUCUUCCUGGUUUAGUCUUGGGAGGGUGUAUGUGUCCAAGAAUUUAUCCAUUUCUUCUAGAUUUUCUAGUUUAUUUGUGUAUAAUUGUUUAUCGUAUUCUCUGAUGAUUUUUUGUAUUUCUGUGGGGUCAUUGCUGAUAGCCCCUUUACUAUUUUUUAUUGUGUCUUCUCUUCUUUAUUAGUCUAGCCAGUUGGUCUAUUUUAUUAAUUUCUUAAAAAAAAAACCCGCUCCUGGAUUCAUUGAUUUUUUGAAGGGGUUUUCGUGUUUUAUCUCCUUCAGUUCUACUCUGAUCUUAGUUAUUUCGUGUCUUCUGCUAGCUUUUGAAUUUGUUUGGUUUCUCUAAUUCAUUUAGUUGUGAUGUUGGGUGUUGAUUUGAGAACUUUCUAGAUUUUAUUUUUUACACUUUUUGUAACACUUAGUAGUGUUUUUCAAGGUCUAGGUACAUAGAUGGUACUUUAAAAAAUGCUUACUGAAGUAUAAUUUGUGCAUAAUAAAAUUCAAAAAUUUUAGUGUACAGCUUCAUGAGUUUUGACAAAUGCAUACUAUUGUGUAGUUGCCAUGAAGAUUAAGAUACAGAAUAUUUUCUAUCAGUUCAAAAAUUUCUCUCAUGAUCUUUGUAGUUAAACCCUUCUUCCAUACCCAGUAUCAAGCAACAACAAAUGCCAAGCCCAGUGCAACUCUUGAGAAGAUUGACUAGAUGCUACACAAUACAAGCCUAAUAGAAAUAGAGGAAAAUUCAUUUAAAAUAUAUACUCUACCAUCUGUAUUGUACACACGAUAUUAAAUAAUCAAUUAAAAAUGAUGACACCAGAAAAAACUAACAUUUUCUAAAAACAAUCAACAAAACCAGCUUCAGAGAUGAGCUACAUAUUGGUAAUAUAAAAUAGAGAUUUAAAAUUAACUAUUGUUAAAUAUAUUAAAGGCUCAAGUGGAAAAGGAGGGCAACAUAAAUGAAUAGAGGUAGAAUUUCAACAAAAAGAUUGAAACUAUAUAAAACAAUCAAAUUGAAAUACUAGACCUAAAAAAAACAUGGUAAUAGAGAUGAUGUAUGCCUUAAACAGUUUUUUAGGUAGACUUCAUCUAGCUGAGGAAUGAAUGAAUGAAUUAGAAGGUGUCAACAAAAAUUACCCAAAUUAUUAUUCAAAGAGAAAAAAAGAAUAAAAUAAUAAAAUAUCCUAUAAUUGUGGAACAGUAUCAAAUGGUCUAACAUCUGAGUAGUGAUAUCACAGAAUAAGAGAGAAAGAAAUGGGCAGAAUAAAUAUUUAAGUGGUGUCAUAGAGGUUUCUGAAAAUCAAGUCAUAAUACCCUAAAAGUCCUAGAGAACCCAAAACAAAAUAAAGAAUAACAGACUUAGAAACAUCCUAGUUAAAAGGCUUAAACCCAUGAUUAAGAGAAAAUCUUGAAGGCAGCCAGAGUUGAAAAAACACAUUAUAUACAAGAAGAAAGAAAAUAAUUAGAUUCACUAUGUCAUCAGCUGCUGUGCAACUAAGAAAACAAUGCAAUGACGUCUCUAAAGUAAUCAAAGAAAAUCACCAUCAACUCAAAUUCUAUAUCAAGUGAAAAUAUUUUUCAAAAUAAAGGGAAAACAUGCUUUUGCAAACCAGAAAAAAAAGGCUGAGAGAAUUUAUUAUAGACCAAAAGAGUGGUUAAAGGAUCAAUUCAUUACAACAAAAAAAGAGGUUAAAGCAGGUUCUCCAGGCAUAAGAAUAUGAUACCAGACAAUAACUUGGAUAUACAUACAUAGACAAAACAAUGAAAAACUGCAUAUAGUUUAAAUGAAGGUAACUAUAAUGUAUUUUUUUACUUUAGUAACUCCAAAGUGUAAUUUACUGUAUACAAGAAAAAUAGUAACAAUACAUUGUAUGUUUAUAAUAUAUGUAGAAGUAAACUAUGUAACAAUAGCACAAAAGAGGAGAGAGAAAAAUUUAAGUAUACAUUUUUAUGGCUCUUAUAGUAAAUAUGGAGCUCUGAUAUAGUUUGGAUGUUUGUCCUUUUCAAAUCCCAUGUUGCAAUGUAACCCCCAAUGUCGGAGGUAGAGCCUGGUAGGAGGUGUUUGGGUCAUAGGAGCAGAUCCCUCAUGAAUGUCUUGGUCCCCUCCCCAUGGUAAUGAAUGAGUUCUCACUCUAUUAGUUCACAUGAGAGCUGGUUGUCUUAAAGAGCUUGGCAUCUCUCUCGCUCCCCCUCUCGACAUGCCACUGCCCUUCCCCUUGCCUUUUGCUAUGAGUAAAAGCUUCCUAAAGUCCUAACCAGAAGCAGAUGCUGGUGCCAUGCUUCUUGUGCAGGCUGUAGAAUGAUUAGCCAAAUCAACCUUUUUUCUUUAUAAAUUCCCCAGCCUCAGGUAUUCCUUUACAGCGAUGCAAAAUGGACUAAUUCAGUCUCUAAAUAUUAUUUGGGUAGGCUGUGAUAAAUUAAAAAUGCAUAACGUAAAGCUGGGAGAAACAUUCCAUUUUUCUUAAAGAAUUUAAAUAAUAAGCCAAUAGUGGAAGCAAAUGAAAUAAAUAAUUCAAUAGCAGGCAGAAAGAAAAGAAACUAUAACAGAGAACAAUAAAAAACAACUCUCAAUGUGAUAGAUUUUAAUCCAGCCGUAUCAAUAAUUAAAUUAAGUGUCUAACGACACCAAUAAAAAGGUAGACAUUGGCAAACUGGGCAUAUGUGAAAACCACCUUCUAGCUAUGUAUAUUUCAAUCUAGAUUCCCCACUACCCUUAUGUUUCUGGCUGUUCACUGCAGCACACAUUCAUAACAUAACAUGACCUUACACUUUCCUGUCAUAAUGCAAGGUAAGUUAGCACAGUGAGCUGUAGGAGUAUACUUGGAAGCCAUUCUUAUGCCAGUAAUCCUAGCUAUAAUUAUAGAUGACAAUAAGUGAGAACCAAAAUUUCACACAUUACUCCACAGCCAAACUAAAUGUAUUUCUAACACAACCUCUUUUCACCAUGAUCCCCAAAGUGCCUGUGCCCUCUCCAAAACUACAUGAGAGAAAAAAUGAUGGAGAGAGAUUUGAAGUAUAAAGAACAGUUAUUUAACCAAUUGUGUUUAAAAUGUCUCAGUUUUAAAAACAUUACAAGAAUAUGAGACCAUGUAAGCAUAUUGAUUUUAGGGCCUUGGAAAGUGUGUUUGUUCAGGUGAGGGGCCGUGAAGUUUAAAUCUGGCACAGAUACAUAUAUAUGUCUCAGGUCACAUUUUUAAAAUAAACUUAAAAAAAUUUAUUUUAGAACAGCUUUAGAUUUAUAGAGCUAUUACAAAGAUAGUUCAGCGAGUUCUUGUACACCUUCACACAGUUUUUCCUAUUAUUAGCAUCUUAUUAUAGUACAUUUGCCACAAUUAAUAAAUCAAUAUUGAUAUAUUAAUGUUACUAAAGUACAUUAUUAAGAUUUUUCCAAAUUUUCCAAAGGUUAUUUUUCUGUUACAGAAUCCUAUCCAGCAGAUCCUAUUGCAUUUAGUUGUCAUGUUUCCUUAGACUUCUACUGACUCUGACAUCUCAGACUUUCCAUGUUUUUGAAGCCCUUGAGAAUUCAAGUAGUACUGGCCAGGUACUUUGUAGAAUGUCCCUCAGCUGGGAUGUAUCUGGCAUUUUUCUCAUUAUUAGAUUAAAGUUUUGGGGAAAGAAGACCACAGCAAUAAAGUACAACUCCCAUCACAUCAUUUUAAGGGUAUACACUAUCACUAUCAUUUGUUAACAUAUGUGUGCAUGUGUCUUUAUAGUAGUACUGGACUUGAAGAUUCUACGGAUUUUCAAAGAUGUUUAACGUGCUAUUGGUCACUAUAGUAUCAUAAAGAACAGUUUCACUCCUUAAAAAAAAGCCCUGUGAUUUAAUCCCCCACCUCCCUGUCUGCACAGGGAAUCACUGAAAUGGCAGGGAAUCACUGAAAUGUUUACCAUCUCAAUGGGUUUACCUUUUCCAGAAUGUCACAUAAUUGGAAUAAUACAAUAUGUAACUUUUAUAGACUAGCUUCUGUUACUUGAAAUAUAAAUUUAGGUUUAAUCCCUGACUUUUUAUACUUUGAUAGCUCAUUUAUUUUUUAUCACUGAAUGUUAAUCCAUUGUCUAUCCAUUCACCCAUUGAAAGAUAUUAUGGUUGCUUCUAGGUUUUGUUGACUUUGGUGAGUAUGAUAAUAUAAUGACUAUAAACAAAACUUCUGUAAAUAUCCACAUGAAGGUUUUUUUUGCAGACAUAAAUUAUCAGAUCAGUUGGGUAGAUACUUAGACACAUGAUUGCUAAAUUGUAUGGUAAGAUGACAUCUAAUUCUGUAAGAUAAUGGGUUGUUCUAUAAAAGUCAAUUAGAUCCAAUUCAUUGAUAGUGUUGUUCAAGUCAAAUAUAUCCUUAUUCACUUUCUGCCAGUAUAAUCUAUCAAUUACUGAUGGAGAUGUUUGUAAGUAUGCUGAUGAAAUCCCUAACUUUAAUAAAAGAUUUGUUUAUUUUUCCUUCAAUUCUAUCAGUUUUUGCCUCAGGCAUUUUGAUGCUCUGUUAUUAGGUGCAUACAUGUUUAGGAUAGUUAUAUCUUUUUAGAAAAUUGAUCCCUUCAUCAUUAUGUACUAUCCUUUUUAUCACUGAUUACUUGUUUUUGCUCUGAAUUUUGUUUUUGUGAAAUUCAUGUAGGUACUUCAAGUUUAUUUUGCUUAGUGUUAGCAUGAUAUAUCUUUCUUCAUCCCACUACUUUUAACACAUAGGGCUCACUCUAAUUAAGCAGAUUUGUUAUUGAAUUAUAUCUUACGGUCUUGUCUUUUAACCUACUCUGGUAAUCUCUGUAUUUUAAUUGGUGCACUUGAACCACUAAUAUUUAAAAUGAUUAUUGAUAUAUUUGAAAUAAUAUUGUGGAUUCACAUCAAAUGCAUUUGUAAUUGCUUUUAUUCGUGACAGAGGCUUCUUUUUCUGCUUUAUCUGGCUUUAAUUGAACAUUUUAUAUGAUUAUGUAUAAUCUCUCUUGGUGUAACAAUCAUUGUUAUUAAAAAUAGAAGUUUUCCUAAAGUUUAUAAUAUAUAUAUUUACAUAUCUAAGUCAACCUUCAAAUAAUACCAUUCUAUAUUACAUGUACUGCCAAUACAUACUAACAGAGUAUCCACAAUUUCCCCCACCUUUUCCUUAUGAUGUUGCUGUCAUUUAUUUCACUUAUUUACAUGCUAAAAUUAUUCAAUGCAUUGUUCUCUUAUUACAAUAAAGACUUAUAUUUUAAAUUAUUUAAGAAUAAGAAUAAGAAAAGAUUUUAUUUCACCUUCAUUUAUUCUUUUUCCAACACUCUUUCUCUUUGUGUUGAUCCAAGUUCCUGAACUAUAUCACUUUCCUUCUGCCUGAAGAAUAUCUUUUAACUUUUUUGCAGGGCAAGUCUGCUAGUAUACUGGUGAUGAAUUCCUUCAGUUUUUGUUUGUCUGAGAAAGUCUUUUAUUUCUUAGCUUUUGAAGAAUUAUAUUACUGUAUAUUGAAUUCUGGGUUAGUAGUUUCUUUCUUUGAACACCAAAUAUCCUACUCCACUCUUUUCUGACUUGCAUGUUUUUUUUAUGAGAAGUCUGCUAUAAUUUUUAUUCUUUUUUCUACAUAAGUAAUGUGUUUCAUGCUCCCACCUUCUUUCAAGUUGUUCUCUUUAUAUUUGGUUUUCUGCGAUUUGAGUAUGAUACUUCAGUGCCUAGUAUGUCUGAUGUUUAUUCUGCUUUGUGUUCUCUGAGCUUUCUUGAUCUUUGCUUUGGUGUCUGUCCUAUUUGGAUAGUUCUCGUAUAUAAUUAUGUUAUAUUACUUCUGCUCAAUUCUUUCUAAUUACCCAUGCAUCAUACCUUUGUAAUUGUUGCACAUGUCUUGGAUGUUCUAUUAUUUAUUCUUUUUUUCUUUGCAUUACCAUUUGAGAAGUUUCUAUUGACUUAUGUUCAAGCUCACUGAUUCUUUCCUCACUUCGUCCAAUUCACUAAUGAGCCCAUCAAAUACAUGCUUUAUUUCUUUUACAGUGUUUUUGAUGUCUAACAAUUCUGAUUUUCUCUUAGAGUUUUCAUCUCUCUGCUUACAUUAUCCAUCUGUUCUUGCAUGCUAUCUAUUCUAUUAGAGCCCUUAACAUACUAAUCAUAGCUAUCUUAAUUCUCUGUAUGAUAAGCUCAACAUUUCUGUCAUAUCUGAACCCCAUUCUAAUGCUUCACCUCUUCAGACUGUUUUCACUUGCCUUUUGGUGUACCUUGUGUUUUGUUGUUGUUGAGUUUUGUUGUUGUUGAGGACUGAGCAUGAUGUUUUAAGUAAUAGGAACUGAAGUAAAUCUGUCUCUAAUGUGAAGAUUGAUGGUAAUGUAGCUAAAAAUUGGGCUGUAUUUAAUAGUCAUUAUAUCUAUAAGUGAAAAGACUUCAAAUUCUUGUAGUGCCCUUAUUUUCACAUCCAGUCUUGCCUUGGCCUUUUCUAAGUAUUCUUCCUUAUAGAGAUUCUGUAUAUUACAACUCUUUCAACUGUAGUCAUUAUUAUUAUACUGGAUUUCUGUUGUAAUGGUGGUAAGGUAUGGAGAAGUGGAAGAAUUCUAUAAUCUUCCAAUUAAAUCUCAGUUUUUAGUGGGCCUAUGUCUUUGGCCUAUGACCUUCACAAGUGGUUUUUUAUUGUUUUUUUUUUAAAUGUUUAUCCCAUCUCCAAAUUUAAGUGAAACAGGAAGGCCAGAGAAUGACUCUACCCCCAUGGCUCUGGGAAAAUGUUCUGGUAAAGUCUUUACCUCUGGAGAGUAGGACUUUGUUAUGGAGAAUGCUCUGUAGUAUCUUAUGAGGAUUAUUCUUUUGUUCCCUUUGCUUGACCCUUGAGGAGAUCUUCCUUAAAUCUAUACUGUGAGAAUCUUGUGGGGUUGCUAGACAUAAAGCCCACAAAAGUGUAGGUGUCUCUCUUAAGACUGCUGCCGCCAGGAGUUUUUCAUUUUUACACUAUACCACAUUCAGUCUCUAGCAAUUCAUCAAAAUCACCAUUUAAGUGUUUCUAUGAGUUUAUGGCUUACAGCAGCUUUUACUCCAGGUAAGCAAAUCUCAGCUAUAACUCUCUGGGUUCAACUGUCACUCCAAGUUUUGGGCUAGUGUUUGCCCUGUAAAUUCAUCUCUCUAAUAAGUCCUUUUCAGUUUUUUCAGCUUUUUCUUAUUAUAAGAAAUGUAGUGAUGACUUCUAAGCUCUUUACACAUUAGAGCUGAAACCACAAGCCUUCCUCCAGACAAUUUUAACACCAACUGACAUGAACUAAUAUUAUAAUCUAUUAAUGGCUACCUUUAUGUUUCACUGGCUCACAUCUAUCUACUGCAGAUGGUAAAGAUUAGAAUGAUGGCCCCAAUUCAACUUUUAUUUCUUCCUCAUUUCCUCCUUUCUGGUAUAUAUAUUGAGGACUUCACCUAGUUUGCAGUUUUAAUGUCUGUUACACUGAGCCAUAUAUUCCAACUUAUAUUAAGCAAAAAAUGUAAGCACCAAUGAUUUACUCAAUUAUAUAAAUUUUAUUAAAUGUUAUUGUUUCAUUAUGAACUGUAUCCAUUAAAGCACAACAUCUAAAUUUAGCCUAGAAGGAAACUUGUAAAUUUGUAAAUAGCACAAAUUGACUCUGUUAUUUAGUAACUUUCAAGCACUGCAACAAACAUAGAGCUGAUGUUUCCUGCCCAUUUUUCUAGUUUGAAUUUUUGUAGAUUAGAUUAUGUUUACUACGUUAUUUUUGGUUUUUAUAUUUAGUCUUGCAAUUUAAAAUAUUAAUCAUGUUGUAAUUUGUCCAAUUUAAAUGAAAUAAUAUCUUUUGAAGAAAAAUACUAUUUUUUAAUACCCAUGGCAUAAAAUCAAUGAUAGUAUCUCACCUGAAAUAAGGAGAGAAUAUAACAGAUGUAAUUAUAUCCCAUUGGUUUUCUCAGGCCUUGUGCCAAGUGUUUGCAUAUAGAUAUGGAUAGAGAGUAGAAGUUUUUUCAUUUUAGUGAUGGCAAAAAGUCAAAACCAAUUAUAAUAUAUUUAGUCCCUAAGAUGUGUAAUUGAUAGUACUAAAGGAAUGCAGACUAUGUCACCCCAAAAUAUACCUCUUUGGCAUAAAAAUAUUUUUGAGGUAAAGGCAAUUAAGAAGCAGCAACCAGAGGAAAAACUCUCCCUAUCCUAAAGACAGGAUGUAAAUUCUCUUUUAUUGGGAACAAUUCUUAUCGGCCCAGAAAUGACACCCGGGGAAUCUGUAAAUGAACUUUAUUCCAUUAGUUUCUUCCCAUGUACUGCAUUUACCUUCCCACAGUUUCCUGUCUUUGGAAGCAUAAAGCUGUUUUCUUUUAUCCUGUAUUUUCUCUACAAAUUUAUUGUUCCUUAUUGGAGAUGCUAUAGAAGCCAGAGUUCUAAGCCACUGCCUUGAGUUACCUUUUAUUGAGGUUCCUCCCUUGUGAUGUACACUGCAUGCAUUAAUAAACUUGCUUGUUUUUCUCUUGUUAAUUUGUCUUUAAUUACAGGGGUUUUUCCACACUACUAAAUUAUGAGGGUUGAGGGAAAAUUAUAUCUCCUCCUCAGUAGCAUAAAAGUUCCAGGAGUAAAACAUACAUAAGAAUAAAAAAACAUAAGAAUAGCAGUAGCUGCUUCAAAUAUGAAAUUGAAGGGGUAUUUCCAAAAAGUUCCCCAAAUAUCUCUAUUUCUUCCUUACAAAUUUGCUACCAAGAGUUUUAUCUUGGAUAAUCUCUGUUUGUGAAAUAUAUGCCAUUAGGCUAUGAAAUGAAUAUCCCUGAGCCGCUCCCUUCUUGACUCCCCAGGGUAAGGUUAUACUAUUUGUUACAAUACUGAAAUACUACCCAUGGUUUAGCAAAUAACUGUUUAAGUCCCUUGGGUGUUAUAUUCCACCACAAAUUUACCCUGCCUGCUUGGCCCCUCCCAUUGGACUUCCAGACCUCCUCAUGAUCCAACAACUGAAAUGCUAAUGUGUAAUCUAACAAAGAGGCUUCCACAAGUCGGCUUUUGCAGGCACCUCAAAGUUACCUUUUAUUCUCUGCAUCUACUAUUAUGUCUCCUAAUUCUUACCCAAAUCUACUUUCAGGAAAAACUAUGAUGUCAAUUUUUGACCCUUCAGGCUGAAUGUUUUUAUCUGUUUUUCUCAUUCAAAAGUAAAAUCAGGUGAAGAGAUAUGUUCGGAGCUAGUCAUAUGCCCAAACAAGGCCAGCUCUAAGACUACCUCAAAAUAGUGAAUCUCAACAAUCAAUGUACAUAUUGAAUUACCUGUGGAUCUUGGUAAAAUACAGAUUCUGAAUUACAAGGCCUGGGACAGGGCUGAGAUUCUGCACUUCUAACAAGCUUCCAAGUUCUAUUGCUGGUCUACAGACAGCAUUUUGAAUAACAAUAUUUGAAACCAUUGUCAAAUUAAGAUAUAUUAGAUGACCAGAGAUAAUCUAAUGAAGCACCCCCUACCCCGCCUUCCCCAGGGAAGUAAAGACAGAUGUAUGUACAUGUUCAGAAGGUGGUGGAGAAGAUGAGGUGAAUUUAGAAUAUUGGACAACAAUGUUCUCCUUUUGUCAAUUGUGUAUCUCCAUAUUCAACUUUCUACAUUAAGACAGGCUCAUUUUCAAAUGUCUAUAGAACGCUUACUACCCAAAUGUCUCCCAAACAGCUCAAAUUUAGUAUGUCCACGGUUAAAAAUAUUCUUCAUGUGUUUCUGAAUAGAGGUUGAGACUUCACCAAAAAUAUAGUAAAAAAAAAAAUUUACCUUAGAUGACAGCCCCCUUUAUAUCUAAUCAGUCACUCCUGUAAUGUCUCUCAGAUUCACCACUUCUUUUUCAUUUCCAUUGGCAACACCAUAGUUCAGACUCGUAGGGUUUCACAACAGGAAUAGUGUAAAAACCUUUUAUCUGCUUGUACUCUCUCUCUUCUAUAAUUAAUAGCCAAUACCUCAGCUCAAAUUAUUCUAAAGCUACCAGUGUUUUACCCUGGGAAGAAGAAAACUGAACCCCAGAAAAAAAAAAUGAGUUGAAUGUAAGAAGCACUGGUGAAUAAAGAAAUUAGUAAAUGUGUAUGUUAACUUUGCACUGACUGUGAAAACCACUCUUAAUAAUAAUUACUUUGGUGGCUGUCUAACCAGGAGGGACUAAAAUACUAGAAAAAAAUAAGCUGGAAAGAGUAUGAUCUGGGAUAAAAUAUCCUGUUUUUUCUGUAAUGUAUAAGGUGCCUAGAUACAUAUGAAGGUGUGAGACAGACAGAACAAGAUUUGCAAAAUGUGGACAACUAUUUAAGCAUGGAGAUAAUUACAUGACAGCUUAUUAGACCUAUCUGAUUUUUGCAAGCUUGAAUGUUUUCAUAAUAAAAUUUAAAUACAAAAAUAAAAAAGUAUAGAAUAAGAAAAAAUACACUAGAUAGAUGCAAUCCAAAAAAAAAAUCGGCCCAGCAAAAAUAUCAAAAUAGACUUUUAGAUUAAAGGCAUUUUAAAAGAUAAAGAUCAUCUUUACUUAAAAAUCAUAAGGAACAUUUCACUAGGAAGUUGUAAAACUCUGGGCCUGUUCUCCUUAAACAGUAUAGCCUCAAAGUGUAUAAGGAAAAAUUAUUAUACAUAUAUGCAGAUGUUGUUAAGUCCACAGUCAUACUGGAAAAAAUUUUAACGUCUUUCUCAGACAUUGAAUGAUUAAGUACACCAAUAAUUUAUAAUAGCCUAAAAUAUUUGAAUAAUUCAAUUAAACAGUUUAGUCUAGUGUGCAUAUAUAUAUAUAUAUAUAAAACUGUGCCCCCAAUAAUUUACAAAUAUUCAUUAUUUUCAAGCACACAUAGCCUAUUCCUAAGACAGUUUUUAAUAAAUACCAAACAUAAAUACUAUGCUGACCACAUUCUAUGACCACAGUGUAUUAAAAUUUAGAAUCAGUAAUGGAAAGAUGGCUAAAAUCUCGUUUGUUUGGAAGUUUUUUAAAAGGCACUUCUCAAAUAAUUAAUGGACCACAGACAAUCAGAAAGAAAGUGGGCACAUAAUUGGGAGUAGAUGAUAAUGAAAACACUACACCUAGCUUGUAGAAUACAGUUAAAGCACUACUUAGGUGAUGAACUUUAUCAUUUCUACAUUGGUCCUACUGCUAUUGCAUGAAGUAGAUUUCCACUCUAACUUUCUGUAAAUAUUCACUUUACUGGUUCCAUCAUUCCUGUAUGAUCUGACCUCAUUUUCCUCUAUUUUCUACAUAUUUUUCAUUUACGUGACUUUUAAGAAGAUUCACAGGCCCAGAUAAACAUUAAUUUUGUAAAUUAUAGUUUACUAUGUCAUCAGCCAUGUUAUGGGCUGAAUUAUAUUUACAUAAAAUUCAUAUGUUGCAGCUCUAACACUCAGUAUCUAAGAAUGUAACUGUAUUUGAAGGUAAGGCCUUUAAAAAUGGGAUUAAGUCAAAAUGAGGCCGUUAGGGUAAGGCCCUAAUCCAAUAUGACCGGGGUCCUUAUAAGAAGAGGAAGGGACUCCAGGGGUGUGUGUCCACAGAGGAACAACCUUGUGAAGAGACAGCAAGAUGGCAGCCAUCUGCAAGCCAAAGAGAGAGACCUCUGAGGAAAUCAACCUUGCCAAUGCCUUGAUCUUGGACUUUCAGCCUCCAGAACUGUAAGAAAAGAAAUUUGUGUUGUUUAAGUCACACAUUCUGUAGUAUUUUGUUAUGGCAGCCCUACCAAACUAAUACAAUUUAUUUGGACCCACUUUUUCUUCAUUAAAUAGUGAGAAAUAGUUGUAUUUACAAUGAAGAAAAAUUUUCCCAAAUUAGAAAGUUAGUGAUUUAUUGAAUUACUUACGGGCUAUUCCAUAAUUCUUGGUAAUAAUUUUUAUUACUCGCCAAACGAAAGUUACCUUCGAUGUCAUAACUGGCUUAAGCAUCCUUCUGAGACAAGUACAAUUUUAGGUAGUUUUGGUUAUUUAUCUUUUGUUAAGCAAAAAAUGAAACUUUGUGUAUAAUUAAUCCACUUUAAUCCUUUAGUAAUUGUGGGCCUAGGGAAUCAAAAUUCAUUAAACUCCCUAGCCACCCACAUAAAAGUAUUUAUUCUUAGAGAUUUUUGAUAUUUAACUUAAAGAGUAAUUCUGGGGUUUUAAGGACAUAUUUAAAUAAUUUGCUUAUCUGUUUCAAGGGAUAAAUUUAGUUAAAUAAUACCUUAAAAUCAGUCAACUUUAUUAGUAAAGACUUUUAGGAACAGGGAGUAUUGGAAAAGGGCUUCAGAGCAAGAAUACAUAAACUUGAGUGGCCUUUUCUCAUAUAUGAGUAAGUCCCUCUGUUAGUGCCCAUUCAUCAAAUAAAGUAUUCAUAACUAUGUGUAUUUCAUACACAUGAAAUGGAUUUAUAAAAAGAGAGCCUCUACUGCAAAUUGUAUUAAUUAGAGGCUUACUUGUAAUUAUGUUAUAUUAUUUAAAAAGAACAGUUUAUUAUCUUAGAUAGGGCCCUGAGCCUUCUUGAGAUCUGUCAGUCAAGUAAGAAAAUUGAGUAAGUUUGGGUCCUUGAAAGAAAAUGUCAGUAAAGGGCAAUUCACACACACUUGGAAAAAUUCAGGCUUUCAGGUCCAUUAAUUCUUCCUCCAUGGACUAUUGACUGUAAUAAACUAGAGAUGAAUCCAUUUAAACAAAAUGGAACUUUUGUUGAUAAUAGGAGUGAAAACACAAUGCUUGAUAAUGAGCAUAUGACUAUUUUCCCCAUUUGAUGUUACUAGGGCUUGCUAUUGGAAAUCUAACAUACAGAAUCAUACAUUUAGAAAGAAUACGAGAAACCAGUUACUUCAUUUGUUCCUAAUAAUAUAAUUAUCUGCAUCAGGAUUCCUGAGGCAUUUUAAAAAACACAGACUUGCUGGUUGUACUCCAUACCCACUGAAUCAGACUUCUGAGUGUGGGGCCCUCAAAUCUGAGUUUUAAGCCAGCAUCGCAAAUGAUUUUGAUGGGAACCUAGGUUAGGAGCAACUGAACUAGUCUAACUUCCAAAACAAUAUAAAAAUGUCAUAUAAUAGAAGUUGGAAGACUUGUUCUGUAAAGGACAAGAUAGUAAAUAUUUUAGACUUUGAGGGCAUACAGUCUGUCAUGACUCUUCAGUUCUCCCAUUGUAAUGCGAAAUAAUACACAAAAUGAAUGAACACUACCGUGCCCUUGAAAAAAAGUACAUCUUGAGACCACCAAAUUACUAAAGCAAAGGGAAUCCAAGCUGGGAACGACAUCAGGCAAACCUGCCUUCCAUUUUAUUCCUAAAUAAGAUAGCUACAAAGGUGAAAAAGCUACCUACUUCCCACACAAUUUGCCCACAAAGAAAUUCCUUGUGGACAGGCCGGGCGCGGUAGCUCAUGCCUGUAAUCCCAGCACUUUGGGAGGCCAAGGGGGGCGGAUCACGAGGUCAGGAGAUCGAGACCAUCCUGGCUAACACGGUGAAACCCCGUUUCUACUAAAAAUACAAAAAAUUAGCCUGGCGUGGUGGCGGGCGCCUGUGGUUCCAGCUACUCGGGAGGCUGACGCAGGAGAAUGGCGUGAACCCGGGAGGUGGAGCUUGCAGUGAGCCGAGAUCGUACCACUCCAGCCUGGGCGACAGAGCAAGACUCUGUCUCAAAAAAAAAAAAAAAAAAAAAAAUUCCUUGUGGACAAAGGAUGGAUAAAACAGUCAUCCUUCUGCUCAUGUGAGACAAAUGCGUAUUUGCGUAUUUGAUCACUUCCUCUGCCCUAUUGUUUCCCUAAGCCAGACUAAGGCAUAAGUGACUAUGUCUUUACCCUCCUCUCACAUGCAAAUUGUGUAUUCAGUAGCAGGCUAAUCAGAGACUUAAAAAAAAAUGCAACCGUUUGUCUUUAUCUCCCUAUGACCUGGAAGCCGCCUCCUCUGCAUCGAGUUGUUCCACCUUUCUGGACAGAACCAAUGUACAUCUUACACAUAUUGAUUCAUGUCUCAUGUAUCCCUAAAAUCUAUAAAAUCAAGCUGUGCCCCAACCACAUUUGGGCACAUGUCAUCAGGCUGUGUCAUGCGCAUGUCCUUCACCUUCGCAAAAUAAACUUUCUAAAUUGAGAUCUGUCUCAGAUACUUUUGAGUUCACGGUCCCAAUAAAAUAUUAUUUAUAAAAACAGAGGGAGGUCAGUAAAAAUGAUGGAGUUAGAAUCUCUGAAAAUUUUCUCCUCCAUAAAAUCAAUGAGAAAACAGAGACAGCAGAAUCAACGUUCUCAGAACAAUGGAGAUUCACCGAAAGCUUGCAGCAAUCUGAAGAAUGGUUUUAUUUGAGAGAAAAAAAGCUGAGUCUUAGUAAGAACAGUAAGUUUGUGCCAUUUUAACUCACCCUAUUCCUAUCUUUCCCUCCUCCACCUCCACAGUAGGCUUGAAAAUCUAAGGUCCUCAAUCUUGUUGGAAACAGACAGCCUCACAGCCAGGAGGCAGAAUGGAUCUGAAGCCUCUUCAAAGUUCUAUCCCACUGUCAUUAUUUGAUCUUUCUGGUAACUGGAAGACUCUACUUGCAAAGCCUUCUUUAUUUGACUAGACAUGGAGCUUGCACAGUUUGAAAAGCCUUUUUCUUAGGGACAUUUGUUCCGAAAAAUAAAAAUGAGAGGAAAUUGAUUAACUUCAUGGCUGCCUGAGGUAAACUAUCCAAAAACCUUAAAAUCUAGGAAUUAAGAUGACCAAAGAGGCUUUGAAAGCUCAGAUGUGUUCCCGAGAAUGUAGAAGGCCACAUGCCUUUGUAAAGCUGUUUGCAUGUCCAAGAAAGAUAUGACAAGGUCUUAAGCUCUCACUUCUGGCUAAACUUAAGACAUUACACAAGCAGGCAGUGAGGGAUAAAAUGGAGUUUUCAAUUGCCUGGCUGAGUGUUGAAUUUGGGCCCAAACAUGCACAAAAGCCCUUUGGCAAGGACUAGGAAAAUUAUUGGUGCCAUAUGACCACUAUACUUAGCAAAAAUUUCAGUCGUGACACAGAAUAAACAAUAUAGGCUUAAGGAAUUAGUGUAGAAAAGUAACUGAAGAAACAAAUAACAACUAACAGCAACAGCAAGAGACCCUGGGAAAUGGAGAAAAUCUGAUUACCAAAGUUGCUACAUUAGAUUAUUUGAAAAGUCCUGUUUUCAACAAAAACUUAUGAGAUGAGCAAAUAUACAGGAAAAUAUGGCUCAUACACAAAGGAAAAAAGCAAUUAAUAUAAUGUCUCCCUGAGGAUGCUCAGACAUUGUAUGUGCUAGACAAAGACUUCAAUUGUUUUAAGUAUAUCUAAAUAACUUUUAAUAAAACAUGUUUAUAGACCUAAUAGAAAAUACAAGAAUGAUGUCCCAUCAAAUUGAGAAUAUCAAUAAAAAGAAGUUCUGAAAAAUCAGUAGAAAUUCUUCAGUUGAAAAAUAUGAUAACUGAAAUGAAAAAUUAACUAAAGGAAUUUUACCCCAGAUUUAAGCAGGCAGAGAAAAGAAUAAGAUAGUGGGAAGAAAGGUCAGUUGAGUGCAUUCAGUGUAAGGAACAGAAUGAAAAAAGAAUGGAGAAAAGUGAAUAGAGACUUACAGAGCUGUGGCACAACAUUAAGGACAACAUUUAUGUAAUGAAAAACCAUAGAGGAGAAAAAGAAACUGGGCAGAAAAAAAAUGUGAAUAAAUAAUAGUCAAACUCUUUUUAAGUUGGAUAGAAAACAUUAAUAAAUUUAUCCAAGAAGCUCCACAAAUCUCAAGUAAGAUGAAAAAAAAAAAGAAAUCUACAAAGAGACACAUCCUAGUCAAAUGGUCGAAUGCCAAAGGCAUGGAGAAUCUUGAAAACACCAAGAGAGAAGUGACUCAUGUUUAAGGGAUCCUCAAUAAAAUUAACAGCUGCUUUCUCAUCGGAAAUGAUGUGGCCAGAGGCAAUGGGAUGACAUACUUAAGGUACUGAGAAAAAAAGACUUUCAACCAAAGAUUCUAUAGCUAGCAAAACCAUACUUCAAAAAAUAAGUGAAAACUUAAGACGUUCCUAAGGAAAAUAAUUCAUUGCUAGUAGACCUGCUGUACAAGAAAUACCAGAGGUAGUUUUUCAGGUUGAGAGAAAGUGACACCAGACAGUAAUUUCAGGAUCAGAUGAAAGGACCCUAGACAAUAACUUGAAUCUGCAUGAAAUCAUGAGUAGUAUUGCUAAAGGUAGCUAUAGGUAAACAUAAGAGACAAAACGUAUUCUUGCUUGUUAUAUUUUUCUUCUUUUAUCUCAUAUAAAAGACAACCACAUAAACCAAUAAUUAUAAAUCCAUGUUGAUGGAUACAGAAUUAUAAAAAUUAAUUUCUGUGUAAUAGCACAAUGAAAGGCAGUGGGAAUAGAGAGGUAUAGGAUAAAAGUUCUGAUAUAUUAUUAAAAUUGGUAUUAAUUUGACUAGACUGUUAUGGGUUAAGAUGUUCAUUGCAAUCCCCAGGGCAAUUAGUAAAAUAACUUUUAAAAACAUAUUAAAACAAAUGACAAGGGAAUUAAAAUGAUGCAAUAAAAAAUAUCUAUUUAACAGGAGACAGCAAUGGAAGAAUAGAGGGACGAAAAAAGACAUAAGACAUGAAAAUAUAUCAAAAUGGAAGAUGUAAAUUCUAUCAGUAAUUAUACUAAAUUUAAAUGAAUUCAACACUUCAAUCAAAAGCCAGAGGUUGAAAGAGUUAAUUUAGAAACAUGAUAUGCUUUCCAUAAGAGACAUAAUUUAGACUCAAGGUACAAAUAAGUUGAAUGUAAAAGGAAGAAAAAUUAUACGCCAAGAAGAUAGUAGUCAAAAGAGAGCUGGAAUGGCAAUACUGGUAUCAAACAAAACAGACUUUAAGACAAAAAUUGUUACUAAGACAAUAAGGAACAUUUUAUAAUGAUAAAAAGUUUAGCCCACAAAGAAGUUGUAAUAAUUAUAAACAUGUAGUAAGUUUUUACAUGAAGUAAAAACUUCAUUCUUUGAAGGGGGAAAUAGACAAUUUAAUAUAAUAGUUGGAGGCUUCAAUAUCUCACUUAUAAUGAUGGAUAGAACAAUUAGACAGAAUAGCAAUAAAGAAAAACAUAUUUAAACAAGACAACAAAGCAACUAGGCCUAAUAGAAACCUGUGGAACACUCUAAAAACAGCAAAACGGACAUCCUUCUCUAGUGCACAUGGAACAUUCUUAAGAAUAGACCAUAAAACAAUAGUCAAUAAAUUUAAAAUAAUUGAAGUCAGACAAAGCAUAUUCUCUGACCAAAAUGAAAUAAAAAUAAGGAAAUUUGAUAAAUUCACAAAUAUGCAGAAAUUUAAUGAUGCACUCUCAUAUAACCAAUGGGUCAAAUUAAAAUUACAAUAGAAAUUAGGAAAUAUUUUGAGAUAAAUAAAAACUAAAACUAUAGCAGGGUUUUAUAACAGUGCUUAGAGGGAAAUUUAUAGCUGAAAACAAUAUUUAAAAAGAAGAACAAUCUCUAAUCAAUAACCUCACUUCCCAUCUUACAACACUAGAAAACAAAGAGCUAAUUAAACACAAAAGAAGCAGAAUGAAGGUAAUAAUAAAUGUUAGAGAGAAGAUAAAUGUGAUACAGAAGAAAAAAACCAAUAGAGAAAAGAAAUGACUCAAAACAUGUUUUUUUAAACAGAUCAACAAAUUUGACAAAGCUAUAGCUAAGAGUGACCAAGAAAAGAGAGAGAGAAGACUCACAUUAUUAGAAUAAGGAAUGAAAGCAGAGAUGUUACUUGCAACCUUACAAAAAUAGAAAGGAUUAUAAGAAAAUACUAUGAACAAUUUUAUAUCUACAAAUUGUACAACUUAGAUAAAAUGAAAAAAUUCCUAGAAAUGCAAAACUACUGAAACUGAAUCAAGAAGAACCUAAAUAGAACUAUAUCAAGCAAAGAGAUUAAAUUAGAAAUGUAAAAACUUCCUACUAAAGAAAAGCCCAGAACCAGAUGGCUUUCCAUGGUUAAUUCUACCAAACAUUUAAAGAAGUUAAUAAAAAUAAGCAAUGGGGAAAGUACUCCCUAUUUAAUGAAUAGUGCUAGAAUAGCUGACUAGCCAUAUGCAAAAGAAUGAAACUGCACCCCUACCUUUCACUAUUUCCAAAAAUUAACUCAAGAUGGAUUAAAGAUUUAAAUGUAAGACCUGAAACUAUAAGAAUUCUAGAAGAAAACUGAAGAAACACCAUUCUGGACAUUGUUCUUGGGAAAGAAUUGAUGACUAAAUCCUCAAAAGCAAUUGCAACAAACAUGAAAAUUGACCAAUGGAACCUAAUUAAGCUAAAGAGCUUCUGCACAGCAAAAUAAAGUAUAAACUGAGUAAAUAAACAACCUAUAGAAUGGGAGAAAAUAUUCACAAACUAUGCAGCCAACAAAAGUCUAAUAUCCAGAAUUUUUAACAAACAAUUGAACAAGCAAAAAACAACCCCAUUAAAAAUGGGCAAAAUACAUGAACAAACACUUCUCAAAAGAAGACACGCAAGUGGCCAACAAACAUAUGCAAAGGGCCUCAACAUCGCUAAUCGUUAGAGAAAUGCAAAUCCAAACCACAAUGAGAUACCAUCUCACACCAGUCAGAAUGGCUAUUAUUAAAGUCAAAAAAUAACAGAUGCCGGUGAGGCUGCAGAGAAAAGGGAACACUUACACACAGUUGGUGGGAAUGUAAAUUAGUUCAGCCACUGUGAAAAGCAGUUUGGACAUUUCUCAAAGAACUAACAACAGAACUAUUAAUCGAUCCAGCAAUCCUAUUACUGGAUAUUUAUCCAAAAGAAAAUAAAUUAUUCUACCAAAAAGACACCUUCACUUGUAUGUUCAUCACACCUACAUUCACAAUAGCAAAGACAUGGAAUCAAACUAGGCACAGACCAAAAGUGGAUUGGAUAAAGAAAAUGUGGUACAUGUACACCGUGGGAUACUAUGCAGUCAUAAAAAUGAAUGAAAUCUUGUUUUUUUCAGCAACAUGGAUGCAGCUGGAGGCAAUUAUCCUAAGCAAAUUAACACAUGAACAGAAAAUCAAAUAAUAUUGUCAUUUAUAAGUGGGAGCUGAACAGUGGGUACUCAUGGACAUAAAGAUGGAAACAAUAGACACUCAGGGGUACCAUAUGGGGGAGAGGCAGGCAAGUUUUGAAAAACUAACUACUGGGUGCGAUGCUCGCUACCUGGGUGACAGCAUCAUUCAUAUCCCAAACCUCAGCAUCAUGCAAUACAUCCAUUUCACAAACUUGCACAUGUACCCCCAGAGUCUAAAAUAAAAGUUGUAAUUAUUUUUAAAAAAUCUAUUUCUAUUGCAGAUGACAUAAUCUUGUAUAUAGAAAAUCCUAAGGAAUCUAUAAAACAAAGGAUUAGAGCUCAUAAAUGACUUCUGCAAGAUUUAAGGAUACAAAAUCAAUAUACCUGUCAGUUGAAUUUCUGUACACUAGCAACGAAAUAUCAGAAAAUUAAGUCAUUUACAACAGUAUGAAAGAGUCAAAUGUUAAGAAUCACUCUAACUAAAAGAAAUGCAAGACUUGUACAAUGAAAACUAAAAGACAUCAUUGAAAGAAAUUAAAGAGAAACUAAAUAGAUGGUAAACAUCUUGUGUUUAUGAAUAAGAAGGCUUAAUAUUACUAAGAUACCAAUAACCCUCAAAGUGAUCUGUAGAUUGAAUGCAAUUCUUAUCGAAAUUACAGCUGGCUUUUUGCAGAAGUUGACAAGCUGAUUCUAAAAGUCAAAAAAUUCAAGUGAUCCAGAAUACCAAAGACAACCUUGAAAAGACAUAACAAAAUUGAAAAACUCACACUUCCUGAUUUCAAAACUUACUACAAAGUCACAGUAAUCAACACUGUGCUACUGGCAUAAAGAUAGACCCAUAGACCAAUGGAAUAGAGUCUAGAAAUGGACAUUUAUGUUUUUCUACCAGGGUAUCAAGAAAAUACAAUGAAUAAAGAAUAGUCUUUUUAAAGAACGGAGCUGGGAAACGAUCUCCACAUACAAACAAAGGAAGUUGGAUACCUCCACCUACCAUAUCCAAAAAUUAACUCAAACUAGAUUGAAGACUUAAAUGUAAAAGCUAAAUUUAUAAGCUUCUUAGAAGAAAAUAUAGGUGUAAAUGUUUGUGACCUUAGAUUAGGCAAUGAUUUCUUACAUAUGACACCUAAAAACAUACAAUCAAAAAAUAAUAAAUUGGACGGUAGUAAAAUUAAAAGUGUUUGUGCAUCAAAGGACAUUCUCAAAGAAGUGAAAAGACAAACUACUGAAUUAUAGAAAACAUUUGCAAAUUAUAUGUUUAAUAAGGGUCAAAUAUUCAGAAUCUAUAAAGAAUUCUUACAAAUCAAUAAAAGCAAAUAACCAACUCAAAAUAAUAAUAUAUUUGAAUAAACAUUUAUACAAAUAAAAUGGUCCAUAUGUACAUGAAAAGAUGCUCGACAUAAUUAUAAAUUAGGGUAGUGCAAACUAAAAUCACAAUGAGAUAUCACUUCACAUCCACUAGGACAGCUAUAAGCAAAACGAUAGACAAUAACAAAUGUUAGAUCUGUAGGCAUUGGACCCCUAACAUAUUGCCCAGAGUUAUACAAAAUAGUGCAGUAGUUUUGGAAAACAGUGCGGCAGUUCCUCAUUUGUUAAACUGCCAGUAUCACACAUAAGGGUUACCUUAUGAUCCAACAAUUCCACUCCUAGACUAUACCCAAGAGAAUUGAAAACACAGGUUCAAGCACGAUUUUGUACAUGAAUGUUCAUAGCUUUAAUUUUCAUAACACCAAAAAUAUAAGCAACCCAAAUGUCCAUUAACUGAUAAAUGGAUAAACAAAAUGUAUAUACAAGCAAUGGAAUAUUAUGCAGCCAUAUAAAAGAAUACAAUACUGAUGCUACAACAUGGAUGAACAUUAAAAACAUUAUGCCAAGUGAAAAAAGCCAGUCACAAAAAGUCAUUUAUUGUGUGCUUUCAUUUUUUUUUUUUUUUUGAGAUGGCGUUUUGCUCUUGUUGCCUACGUUGGAGGGCAAUGGUGUGAUCUUGGCUGACCGCAACCUCCACCUCCCAGGUUCAAGCGAUUCUCCUGCCUCAGCCUCCUGGGUAGCUGGGAUUACAGGCACAUGCCACCACGCCCAGCUAAUUUUGUAUUUUUAGUAGAGAUGGGGUUUCUCCAUGUUGGUCAGGCUGGUCUCGAACUCUCGACCUCAGGUGAUCCGCCUGCCUUGGCCUCCCAAAGGGCUGAGAUUACAGGUGUGAGCCACCACACCCGGCACUUAUAAUAAUUUUUUAUAUAUUCAAAAAGACAGGUGUUAAGUAGAGUCAUGGAAGAUAUUAGAAUACCCAAAUAAAACUUUUAAAGAAGAAAACUACAAUAUUUAAGACAAAAAAUACACUGGGUAGGAUUCACGGCAGACUCAAAGCCAGAAAAGAAAAUAUUAGUGAACUUAAAGACAUAGCAUAUGUCAUUUUUAUGACAUUUUCAGAAUAGGCAAAAAGACAGAAAGUGGAUUAAUUGUUGCUAGGAGGUAAGGCAAGAGGAUAGUGAAGAGUGAGUACUAGUGAAUAUAGCGUUUCGUUUUGGAUGUCAUGAAAAGAUUCGGGAACUAUAUAGUGGUGAUAUUUGCACAACCUUGUGAAUAUACUAAAAACCACUAAAUAUAACAUCAUUUUAAAAGGCUACAUUUUAUGGCAUGUUAAUUACAUCACAAUUAAAAAACAACAACAAAAACUGGCGGGACCUGAUUUCAUAGCUGGCCUUAGUUUGCUGAUGCCUGCUCUAUAAUUUCUUUGACUGAUAGCUCCUCAAUAGCUGCCCAGAUACUUCCAGGAAUUGGAGGCAAUUCGUUGGCAUGGCAGUUAUAUUUACGAAAAUCUCUAUUUAGCACUGUAGUAUACUGAUUAAUAACUUUUGCUCUCAAAAUGGAAUAUAUACAUUAGAAUCCACUACUUAUCUAUAUAAGGCAUUAGGGAAACUGUUGAAACUAAGCUUUGGUUUCCUCAUCUUAAAAAUGAGGGCAAUAAUAGUACCUAACAUUAGAGCUAUUUUGUGAGUAUUAGUUUAGAUAAUAUAUAAAAUGGUUUAGAACAAUGCUUGGUUUGUAGCAAGAACUCAAUUACAUUGUUAGAUGAUUGUAUUAACAAACCUACUGUGCUUCCAGUCAUAUAAAAGUAUAGCACAUACAAUUACGUAUAGCACAUAAUACUUGAUGAGGAAAAUAAAUGAUUAUACUACUGGUUUAGGUAUUUACUAUGCUGUACUUCUUAUCAUUUUAGAGUGUACUCUUUCUACUUAUUAAAAAAAUUAACUGUAAAACAGCCUCAGGUACAGACUUUCAGGAGUUAUUCCAGAAAAAGUCAUUGUUACAGGACCUGACAGCUCCGUGUGUGUUAUUGCCCCUGAAGACCUUCCAGUGUGACAAGAUGUGGAGGUGGAAGAGAGUGACAUUGAUUAUCCUGAUCCCAUAUAGGCCUAGGCUAAUGUGUGUGUGUGUCUUAGUUUUUAGCAAAAUGUUUAAAAAGUUUUAAAAAAUUAAAAAUUGUGUAGAAUAAGGAUAUAAAAAAAAUAUUUUUGUACAGCUGUAAAAUAUGAUUGUGUUUUAAGGUAAGAGUUUUUACAAGACAGUCAAAAAGUAAAAAAAAAAAUUAAAAGUUUAUCAAGUAUAAAAGUUACAGUAGGCUAAGGGCAAUUUAGUAUUGAAGAAAGAAAAGUUUUGUUAUUAAUUUAGUGUAACCUAAGUGUCUAGUGUUGAUAAAUUCUACAGUAGAGUACAGUAAUGUCCAAGGCCUUCACAUUCACUCACCACUCACUCACUGACUCACCCAGAACAACUUCCAAUCCUGAUAGCACCAUUCACAGUAAGUGCCUUAUACAAGUGUACCAUUUUUUAUCUUUCAUAACAUAUUUUUAAUGUACCUUCUCUAUGUUUAGUUAUGUUUAGAUGCACAAAUACCAUUGUGUUACAAUGGCCUGCAAUAUUCAGUACAGUAACAUACUGUACAUGUUUGUAGUCUAGAAGCGACAGGCUAUACUAUCUAAGAUUGUGUUGAGUGCACUCUGUGAUGUUCCCACAAUGAUGAUAUCUCCUAACAAUGCUCCAUUAUUAAGCAAUGCAUCCUGUAUAUAGAGAAGACAUAUGCCUCUCUGUAGCCUCUGUCCACUUCUGUUCUCAACUCCUAUCCUGAUUCAGUCUAAUCCUUUUUUUAAAUUUAAAGGCAAGUGAUAUUUUUAAGAAUUUUUUGAAUCAACUUUACUCAGGUAUAAUUUGCAUACAAUAAAAUUAAACCAGAUAAAAUGUACUCAAUGAAUACAUAAAAGCAUACACCCUCAACUACCACUGCAGUAAACAUGUAGAACAUUUUUAUCACUACUAAAACUUUCCUAAUGGCACCUUUCGGUCAAUCUUUUCUCUACCCUCAGUCUCCACUGAAUUUUUUGCAUUGUAGUGAAACAUACAUAACAUUUACCAUUUUAAACAUUGAUAAGUAUAUAGUUCAGUGGCAAUAACUACAUUCACAUUGCUGUGCAACCACCACCAUCAUCUGUAUCCAGAAAAGUUUCAUCUUUCCAAAUUUUUGAAACUCUUCCCAUUGCCAUCUCCCCCUAAUCCCUAGCAAUCACCAUUCUACUUUCUGCCUGUAUAAAUUUGACUGCUGUGAAUAGCUCAUGUACGUGGAAUCACAUAAUAUUUGCCCUUUUGCGUCUGGCUUAUUUCACUAAACAUAAUGUCUUCAAGGUUCACCCAGGUUUUUGCAUGUGCUGGAAUUUCAUUCCUUUUUAAGGCUGAAUAAUAUUCUUUUGUACAUAUGUACUGCAUUUUGCUUAUUCAGUCAUCUGUCAAUCAACAUGUGUGUUCUUUCCACUUUUUGGCUAUUGUGUAUGAUGAUGCUAUGAACAUUGGUGUACAAAUAUCUCUUCAAAUCCUUUCUUUCAAUUCUUUUGGGUAUAUACACAAAAAUAGAAUUGCCAGAUCAUAUGGUAAUUCUAUGGUUAAUAUUUUGAGGAACUGCCACACUCCUGACCACAGGUGAUCCACCCGCCUCGGCCUCCCAAAGUGCUGGGAUUACAGGCAUAGGCCACUGCACCUGGCCACUCAUUGUGUUUUUUAUUUGCCUUUCCCUAAUGAUAAAUGAUACCCACUAUCUUUUAAUGUGUUUACUGGCCAUUGUAUAUCUUCUUUGGGGGAAUAUCUAUUUGAGUUCUUGGUCUAUUUUUUAAAUUGCAUUGAUUGUUUUUUUGUGUUGAGUUGUAGGAGUUCUUGGUAUACUCUGGAUAUUUAUCUCUUGUUAGAGACCUGAUUUGAAAAUAUGUUCUCCUAUUCUGUGAGUUGCCUUUUCACUCUGUUAAUAGUUUCCUUUGAUGACAAAAGUUUUAAAUUUGAUGAAAUCCAAUUUAUCUAUUUUCCUUUUGUUGCCUGUGCUUUUGGGGGCUAUAACUAAGAAAUUGUUGCUGUAUUCGAUGUCAUGGAGCUUUUUGCAUAUGUUUUCUUCUAAGGCUUUUACAUUUUCAGCUCAUACAUUGAGGUCUUUAUUUGAAUUAAUUUUGUAUAUGAUAUAAAGUAAAAGUCCAAAUUCAUCUUCAUGCAUGUGGAUAUGGUUUUCCCAGCAUCAUUUGUUGAAAAGAUCCUCCUUUCCCCAUUCUUAAAGGUGAAAAACACUUUUCCCAAAGGUGCAAAACACCUUUUUUGCAAGGUGUUGCAAGGUGCAAAAAAGAUGUUUUGCACCUUGAAGAAAAUCUUUUGACCAUAUAUGCAGGGUUUAUUUAUGAAAUAUCUACCUUAUUCCAUUAGCCUAUGUGUCCGUCUUGAUGCCAGUAUCACACUUUUGAUUACUAUGUGGCUUUGUAUUAAGUUUUGAAAUCAGAAAAUCUGACACCUUCAACUUUGUUCUCCUUUUUCAAGAUUGUCUUGAAUACUCAGCAUCCCUUGAGAGUCCAUAUGAAUUUUAGCAUGGAUUUUUCUAUUUCUGCAAAAAAUGUCAUCAGAAAUUUGAAUUUGAUAGGAAUUGUACUGAAGCUGUUGAUCACUUUGGGUAGUAUUGACAUCAUAACAAUAGAAAUUGUAUUCUAAUCCAUAAACAUGAGAGAUCUCUCUAUUUAUUUUUCUUUUUCCUUCAGCAGAAUUUUAUAGUUUUCAGUGUACAAGUCUUACCUCUUAGGUUGUUUACUCCAAAGCAUUUUAUGUUUUUGAUGCUCUUAUAACUGGGAUUGUUUGCUUGAUUUCCUUUGUAGAAUGUCAAUUAUCGAUGUACAGAAAGAGAUCUGAUUUUUGCGCAUUGAUUUUGUGUCCUGCAAUCAGUCUUUCAGGCCACCCCCAGACAAGUUAGAACAAUGAAAAAAUGUCUGCUCUGCUCCCUCUAUUUUGAGGGAAGGAAUUGGGAACUGGGUUGUUGCUUUUUCACUGCUGCAUUAUGCCACGUUGGGAAAUGGGUGAGGCAAAAGUGAGUAAAAACAUCACAUUUCCUAAUGUUUUGAAUGUGGCUUUUUCUUGAUUAGGCAUUCAUUUGACCACUAUAGACCUUUGACUAUUUUCGGAGCUCCGAAAAAAAUUAUUUUAGCCAAUAUUUGUCUAUCUAUGUAUCUGUCUAUGUAUCUGUCUGUCUAUCUAUCUGUCUGUCUGUCUGUCUGUCUAUCUGCCUAUCUGCCUGUCUGUCUAUCUAUCUGUCUGUCUGUCUGUCUAUCUAUCUAUAUCUAUCUAUCAUCUAUCUGCCUAUCUGUCUGUCUGUCCGUCUAUCUGUCUGUCUGUCUAUCUAUCUACCUACAUACCUUCCUGUGGGGGAACAAGUGCAUGGAGUUUCCUUUUAUGCCAUGUUUCUGACGUCACUCCAAAUUCCAAGGCAGUGAUUUUGAAAACUAUUUUGUCACCUUCUAUUUCCUAGGUUAGAUAUCACCACCUUCUUCAAUUAUUCUCUAAAAUUUGGCAACAUCCAUAUAGUUCCCUAUGAUUCCUCAUACAUGAAUAGUAAAGUUUGGUGAUUCCAUUGACAGAUUUCUUCAGGGCAGGUCAAUCCUCUUUGCCACCUUAUACACCCAUGUUUUUUUUUCAGUUAUUUUAAAUAAUAUUUUUAAUGCUCUGCAAUUAUGACAUAUGUUGAAAAAACGCAACUUAAGAAUGAGAUUUUCUGCUUUUUCUUGUCACUUAUGAAAAUUCUACCAUCUCUUUAAGAGUUUAAUUCACUUUGACCAUUACCCGCCUACACAUUCUUCUCAUACUUACCUUGGACACAAUCAUAAAACUUUAUAAUUCUAGGUUCAACAAAAAGCUUAAUUUUCAGUUUCACUGGUUGCUUUGGGUACUUUCCUCUUUUUCUUCUCUACAUUAUUCAUAUUAUCAUCGACAUAAUUCUAUUUGUGAGAACAUUCAACACUCUUUAAUCAUUAUCUUGUAUUCUAGAAUCUCGUAUAAUGGGAUCAAGCAUACCUUUCUGCUUAACCCGUUGAUCUCUCUCUUUCUGAAGUUCAGAGAAAUAUAGCAAUAUCCAAAUAGUUCAAUUGCGGGUGGAACUACAAAUAUGUCAAAAUGAAGUUUACUUUUUUUUUUUUUUUUUUUUUUUCUUUUUUUUUUUUUUUUGAGACGGAGUCUCGCUCUGUCGCCCAGGCUGGAGUGCAGUGGCGGGAUCUCGGCUCACUGCAAGCUCCGCCUCCCGGGUUCACGCCAUUCUCCUGCCUCAGCCUCCCAAGUAGCUGGGACUACAGGCGCCCGCCACUACGCCCGGCUAAUUUUUUGUAUUUUUAGUAGAGACGGGGUUUCACCGUUUUAGCCGGGAUGGUCUCGAUCUCCUGACCUCGUGAUCCGCCCGCCUCGGCCUCCCAAAGUGCUGGGAUUACAGGCGUGAGCCACCGCGCCCGGCCUGAAGUUUACUUUUAAAAACAAGUGAGUCAGAAAAAUUUAAGGAGCAGCCGUCUCCUGGCAGCUAAUUAAAAAAUAGCAACCAUUCUUCCAUCUGAACGAGUCUGUGUCUUAGAAGCAUGGAGUUACUGACUUGUAUUACAUGCCUGCAUGUUUUUCAUUCUCUUGAAAAAAGUAUUGUUUACAUUCUGUAUUAGUUUGCUAGGGCUGCUGUAACAAAGUGCCACAAACUGAGUGACUAGAAACAACAGAAAUCUAUCUUGUCACUGUUCUGGAGGCUGAAAGUCUGAAAUCAAGGUGUCAACAGGGCCAUACUCCCCCUGAGAUUCUGGGCAGAAAAUGCUUCCUUGCCUCUUUCUGAUUUCUGGUAGUGGCUGGCAAUCCUUAGUAUUCCUUGGCUUUCAGCUGCAGGCAUUUCAAUUUCUGCUUCUGUCAUCACAUAAUGGCCUCAUGGUGUGUCUCUGUCGGUGUCUCUUCUCUUCUUAUAAAUACAUCAGUCAUACUGGAUGAAGGCCCCCUGUAAUGACCUCUAUCUGCAAAGACUAUUUCCAAAUAAGUUAACAUUUACAGGUACCAGGGGCGAGAACUUUAACAUAUCUUUUUGUGGGACACAAUUCAAUUCGUAACACACUACAAACUUGAGAUGAUUUUUGCACUUUUUUAGUGAUUAAUUCUGAAACACCCCCACCCUCCUUUUUCAAUUACUUUGAUAAGCAUCACUGCAGACACUCUCUCUUAAGUGCAUCUUCCAGUGGUACAUAGAAUUGCUGUUGAUGAUGAGACAUUUUAGGAGAACUAAAUUCUAAUUAACUUUGUCACUGAUUAACUUUGCCUGUGUUUUUUAGGGAACAGGGAAAGGAUCUAAAGAUUAAUGCAGAUCGUCACAGGUGGCAGCAGACUAGGACCCAGAUGUUCACAAAUCUUUUCACCUCUCAGUGAAAUAUACUUAGUUUAAAGAAAAAAUCGAAGGAAAAAUUUAGGAAGGCAUUCAAUACAAUUGACUUCUUACAACUUUUCUCUGCGUUGUUAGCCAUCUACUUGUAGAAAUAAUAAGAAAUAGGAAUAUGGACAAAAUCAAGGAAUUGAAAGUUCAAAAGAAAAUCCUACCUGAUUAAUCAGUUCCUGAACAAACUAAGAUUUGUCUGUCAUAUGAGACUUAACAUUUCCACUCAGUAUAACAAUAAGUAACUAUUUUAGAAAUAAAAAACAUUGUCAUGUACACUGUAACGUAGGAAAAUCUUGUCUUGUCAAUUUUAUACAUUAACAUUAAAGCAAUUCCUUUAAAUUUUGAGAGAGUCUUUCCCCCUAGGAAUUGCUUAGAAAUGAAAAUCUAUAAUGCAAAUCUCGACUUCUUUGUGACUCAGAAUCCCAGACUUAAUAAAAAGUGUGUCUCUGUAUACUCAGGCUAUUUUCUUGCUAAUAGUAAAUGAUACAUUUUAUUUAACAAUUUGUCCCUGGCCAGUGGGAAAGAUGGAAUUGUUAGACAAUCAAGGGAGGGACUUUAUGCAAACCAUUACUAUUUGUCAGUGCAUUGAGAAUAAUCUUGAGAAUAAUCAUGAACACACAGUAGGUAUUCAGCUAAUGUCUUCCUAAUCCCUGCACACAUUACAGGAUCCUGGAGAUAAUGAGUGUUAGUUCCACAUUAAGAUCCAUGCAGCCUGUUACAAACUAAAAUUUUUACAAUUAUUUUUAUUGUAAUUAAAAUUGAAUAAUAAAUGUGAAAGAAUUUUAAAGUACCUUACAAAUGCAAGCUAUUAAUAUAAUUAAUGAGUUGACAAAUGACAUUUUUAAGAAAUGUGAGCUUUUCUCGGUCAUGUAUUUCUUCCCUUCUAAGGGCAGUACAGUGUUUCACAUUUUUUCAUUAAAUUCACUUAUUCCUCUGGUUCAUAUUAUCAAAUAACUUUGAAAUGUCUUUCAUGUGAAAUAUAUGUGUGGCUGAGAGAGAACAAAACUCUAAUUGUGCUCAUACUGCAGAACUUAAAAUAGAUUAAUAAAAUUAAGCCUCAUCAUAGUUUGAAAAUAUUUAUGAGGCAUCCAUUUUGUACAACACUUUAUAAAAUCUGUACUGUUGAAAUGUGAGUUAACAUAUUUAAAGUCAUGAUCAAUUUAAAAUUUGGUGAAAUUUAAAUAAGAAACUUUCAGUGAAAUCUAGGAAAUUUGAAAAGAAAUGGUGUCCUGAUAGGAAUGAAUUUGAGAGAACAAUAGAGAAAUAUGGUUGCCAGUUAAAUACUGUUUUUGUUGGAAAGAGGGUAGCCUCAAAUUCUGGUUAUGUAUGGAAAAAGAAAAAGAACUAUGGGUAGAAGUGGAGGUUAUAUAGAACAAAGAUAGCAGUGAUCUCAUCAUCUCCCCUCUCCAUUCCUUAUUCCAUGCUCAAAACCUGUGUCAGCUAGAUCAUUGCAACAGUCUCCUCUCUGGCUUCCCUGCCUCCAGUCUUCCAUCUAUCCAAACCAUUCUCUGUGAUGCAACCAGAAUUAUACUCCUCUGUUGAAAAUCUUUUAAUGACAAUCCAUUUCUUUCAAAAUGAAUGCCAAGCUUGUUACAAUGCCCUUUAAGUUUCAUCACACUUAUGUUUUUCUCUCUAGCCUCAUUUCUCCUCCUCUUUUUGCUCACUGCUGUCACUGUCUUAUCCUCAAGAGCCAGUAAUGCUGAAAUAAUCAGAAUUCCUCAGUGUCAUUGUAUUUUCUCAUUAGCUUUGGGCUCUUUUCACAUGCUAAGUCUCUAAUAAUCUUUAUUUUUUAGAACAGUUUUAGGGUCACAGAAAAAUAGAGCAGAAAAUAUGGAAAGUUCUCAUUUUCCCAUAUACCCCCAUUUUCCUCACAUGUACAGACUCCCCCAUUAUCAACAUGCCCCACCAGAGGGACACAUUUGUUACAAUUGAUGGAUGUAUUUUGACACACAUUAUUUUCAAAGACCAUAGUUUAUUUUAGGGUUAUUUCUUGGUGUUGUACCUUCUAUGGAUUUGGACAUACUCUUACCAGAUGAUACAGCAGUGACGCUCCUAAAUAUCUACCCAAAGCAGUUGUGGACACAUUCUCAACUUCUUUAGGUAGAUAUUUAAGAGCGUCACUGCUGUAUCAUCUGGUAAGAGUAUGAUUAGUUUUGUAAGAAACUCCCAACUAUCUUCCAAAGUGGCUAUAUUAUUUUGCAUUCCCACCAGAAAUGUAUGAAAGGUCCUGUUUUUCCACAUGUUCACCAGUAGUCAGUGUUGUCAGUGUUACGGAUUUUGGCCAUUUUAAUAGGUAUGUCAGGUAUCUCAUUAUUGUUUCAAUUUGCAUUUCACUUAUGACAUAUGAUGUGGACCACGGCUUCAUAUACUUUUUUGUCAUGUGUGCAUCUACUUUAUCUACUUUGGUGAGAUGUCUGUUAAGGCCUUUGGCUCAUUGCUUAAUUGAGCUGUUUGUUUUAUCAUUGUUUUAAGAGUAUUUUGUAUAUUUUGGAUAACAACACUUUGUCAGAUAUCUCUUUUGCAAAUAUUUUCUCUCAGUCUGCAUUUUGUCCCUUGACAGGGUCAUUUGCAGAAAAGAAUUUUUGAAAAUUGAAUAAAAUCCAGCUGUCAGUUCUUUUUUUAUUGAUUGUAAUGGGUGCCAUAUCUAAAAUGUCAUCUCAAAACCCAAGAUCAUGUAGAUUUUCUCCUAUGUUAUUUUCUAGGAGUUUUGUACUUUGUGAUUUACAUUUAGGUCUGUGAUCCAUUUUGAGUUCAUUUGUUUUUAAGUUUUAAUUUUUAUGGGUACACAGUAGGUGUAAAUAUUUAUGGGGUACAUGAGAUAUUUUGAUACAGGCAUACAAUGCAUAAUAAUCCCAUCAGGGUAAAUGGGGUAUUCAUCACUUCAGUAAUUUAUCCUUUGUGUUGCAAACAACUGAAUUAUACUUUUUUAGUUAUUGUAAAAUGUACAAUAAAAUUAUUAUUGGCUAUAGUCGCCCUGUUGUGCUAUCAAAUACUAGAUAUUAUUUAUUCUAUUUUUUUGUACCCAUUAACCAUCCUCACUCUUCUCCACCCCACCGCCUCCCGGCAACUACCCUUCCCAGCCUCUGGUAACUAUCAUUCUACUCUCUAUCUCCAUGAGGAUUUUGAGUUAAAUUUUUGCGAAGUAUUUUGUAAUUUUUGUGAAGGGUGUAAGCUCUUUGUCUUGAUUCAUUUUCUUUUAUGUGCAUGACCAGUUAUUCUGGCACCAUUUGCUGAAAACUAAUAAUCUUUUCAAGACUUCUCAAGGCCGGAUUUGGUAACCACUUUAUAUGAUCCCAUAGGACUUAUCAGACUUGAAAACUGCUAAAAAUAUUUCACGGAUCAGUUAAAAGGUUAACUACUCUGUGACUCCUUCCUUGACUUCUCCAGGCAGAAUUAUGCUCCUUUUGUGCUAUGUACAUUUCUCAAUUGUGGCUAUUACAUUAUUGCAUUUUAGUCCUUUGUCUGCCCAUCUCACUCUUUUCUGUACACACAUUAUCUCAGAAAUGUGACUAAUACAAAGUGGAUGCUCAAAAAAUAUUUGUUGAAUGGCUAAAUCUAUCAAUAAAUCAACCAGUCAGUCCAUAACAGUAGGUAUUUAAAUAAUGAUAGCCAAGCAAGAGAUCUUAAUUUAAGGAAGCAUACACUACUAAAGCAAUUUCAAUUGAUUCUCAGAAUAGCAGAAGAAAUCAAAGGAAAAAGUAUUGCUUUCAGUGGCCAUAAUUUAUAAACAAGAACUGUUAUUUAUAGUAUCAUAGCUAAAAAUAAAUUAAUGUUUGUGUCGACAGCACAGAUUUCUGAGGAUAUCUAGGUUGAACUAAUCUACAAUAGAUAAUUAUGGGAAUUAAUUUUGAAAGGAAUUUCAUACGCCAAAGUGAUUGUGCACCUAUAAAUAUUUAAAUAGAUUGUUUUUAAAAUGUGUUAUGCAGAUAUUUAUAAUUCGUGCCAAGACAAAUUUUAAUUAUAAAAUCAACUGGAAUAUUAGAGGUAAAAGAUUUAUAGCACUCUACCACUUCCAGCAGUCGUGGAGUAGUUUGUUUGGACCAAUUAUACUUCUGAGAAACCUAGAAAAUCUGGAUAACAUAUAAAAUAACAUCUAUUUGAGCGCAAAGCAACCUACCAAGACAGUUCGCAUUUGUAGAGACAUGAUAUCUCAGAGAAGGGAAACCUAGAAGGUGAGACCAAUUUGGCACCUCUAAGUCCCUUAAAGGAUUUAUGCAGACAUAGCCAAAUGCAGUGACUGAAGACCGAAAACAUAAGAGAGCUGUUUUCAGGAUCUCAGAUCUACAGGAGAAAAAUUGGAGUUUAAAACUUGACAAGAAGGAGAAGACUUGGUAAACACUUGAGGCUUUAAGUUAGGACCUGGAAGGGUUAUAUUCUAAGGGUAAGGGUGAAUGAGAAAUAGAAUAGCCCUCACCAAAACUAAAGGCCAACUUUAAAUCAGUUAAAUCCUUGAUUGGAAUAAUACAAUCUGUCCUUAGCCUAACUGCUUGCCAGAAGCAAAAUUAAAUUAUCCCAGAAGUAUUACAAUAUCCAGAGCUUCAAAUAAUCUCAACUAUUUUUCAUAUACAAUAAUCGGCAGCAAAUAAAAAAACCAUCAGGCAUGGAAAAAGUCAAAAAUUAACUGAAAACCAAGAAAAAUAAGCAGACGAUAUAAACAAACUCAUGUAGAAUCUAGCUAUUUAGUUUUUAGACAUGAACCUUUAAAAAUGAUUAACAAGUUUAAGAAAUUCAGUGAUAAGGUGAAGUAUUCAGCAGAGGGCUGGUAACUAAAACAACCAAAUAGGAAGUCUAGAAUCAGAAAAUAUAAUUAUUGAAACUAAGAAUAGAUGGAUGAGUUUAAUAGCAUAUUAGAGAUGAAGGAAAAAAAAAGAAAACAGACCGAAGUAUGGGUGAGGACUGAGGAGAAACUGUCUAGACUGACGCACUGAGACAAAAAGGUUCAAGAAACAUAUGGGACGUGGGAAAAAUUCUGAUAUAUGUGUAGUUGGCAUCAUGGAAGGGGAGAGAAAUCAGAAAAUCGGGCAGAUACAAUAAUUACAGAGAAAUGGCUGAGAAUUUUUCAAAACUGAUAGGUAAUAUCAAGCUACAGAUUCAAGAUGUACUACACACCCCAAGUAGGAUAAAUGCAAAGAAAAAUGCAGGUAGGCUCCUCAUAAUAAAACUCAUUAAAUUGAAUUUUUUAUUUUAAAAGCAGUCAGAGGGAGGAAAAAUACAUAUCACUGUUAAAUUUGUGGUUACUUUGCUUCUACAGGCAUUUCCCUGAAGACAACACAAAUUGAACUUUUUUUUAUAUGGGAUUCACAUCCAGUCCAUGGAAAACAUUGGAAGCAUACACCUAUAUACAUAAGCCAAUCUCUGAAGGUGAAGACUAUUUCCAAAUAGCAGUGUCUUUCUGUUCUACUACUUAAAUGCGUGAUCCAGUCUUUCACCUUUAGAUUUCGCAGACAUGAAUCAGUUACCAGCACCUUUGUCCUCAAGAUAUCCCCCCAAAGCAACACAUAUUAAUCUCCUCUGAAACCCCAUUAUUUGGUUUAGUGAAGUAAGUAUACCCCAUUGGCAUGGAGUUGGAGAGUCAGAUAAAGACAAAAUUACUUAUUUCCCUGUAGGUUAUGGUAAAAAUAUGUGUGUGAGUGCAUACAUUUUCAUAUAUACAUGUUUGGGUCUUUUCUAAGUGCCAUUGGAAGCCUUGACGUGUGUUAAGGACUGAUAAAAUGAGGUUUGCAUUUUUUAAAAUACCAGUAUGUUUGCAGUUUGGUAAUAAGAGUAGUUGGGGUAGUAAAAGAGAAACCAGGAAGACCAAUUAAGAGACUACUGAAGUACUUCAAACUAGAGAUUACUGUGGCUUGGACUUGAAAGGUAACAAUAAAUAUAAAAAUAAGUACAUAGAUUAUAAAAAUACUUUGAUAGUUUCCAUUGAGGUGGCCCGGGUUAUAUUUUUUUCUGCUACUCUGACAUUAUCUGUUGUGUUUUAUGUCACUAUAGAGGGGAGUUGGGUGGGGAGUGGUUAAUGUAUUUUUCCUCUUUUUCGAUACUUAAAAGAGGCAAUAUUUGGGAGCUGGAGCAAGACGACUGAAUAUAGCCCUUCAGUGAUCAUUUCCCCUCAGGAUGACCAAAUUGAGCAACUAUUCAUGCAAGAAAGCACCUUCAUAGAAACCAAAAUAGGUGACAACCACAGUACUUGGUUUGACUAUAUUAUCAAGGAAAGAGUCAUUGAAGAGGGUAGAAAAGACAGUCUUGCAUUGCCUACAGCACCCCUCCCUGAACCCCAUGUAGUAUAGCAUGAAGACAGAAUCUGUGUACUUAGGCAAGAAAGACCAAAGUGAGAGUGGACCUUUGGAACUCAGUGCUGUCCUGUCACAGUGUAACACAAUACAGAGAAGAAUUCUGCUCGCACCCAUGAAGGGAGCAUUUAGACCAGCCCUGGGCUAGAAAUUCCCAGCCCCAGCAGGAGGAAACAGUUCUGGCUGGCUUCACCACCAGCUGACUAAAGUGACCUGGGGCUUGGAAUAAAUUUGAGUGGCAGUCAGGUUAGAAGGACUGCAGUCCUAGGGCAAGCCCUGAUGCUACAACAGUCUUGGAGGCAGUGGACUUGGUGCAUGACCCAGAGUGACACCAGCUGUGUCAGGCAAAGGAGUGCCUGCAUCGCCCCUCCACCAACUCCAGGCAGUACAGCUCUGAGAGAGACUCCUUCCACUUGGGGAAAGGAGAAGGAAGAAUACAGAUAACUUUGUCUUGCAACCUGGGUACCAUAGUAAUAGUAAUAAAAAGCAGCAGGCAUAUUCCUGAAGCUCCAGAGUCCAGAUCUUUGCUCCUGGACAGCAUUUUCAGACCCACUGUGGCCAGAAAGGAAUCCAUUGCCUUGAUGAGAUGCACCCAGUUUCAGAAGAAUUUACCAUCCACUGACUAAAGUGGUCUUGGACUUUGAAUAAACAGCAGCAGCAGCCAGGCAGCAGUGGCCACAGGCCAGUAUUGUGCUGGUCUGCAAAGCUUCAGGUGCAGCAAUGUGGAGUGCCAGCUGUGUUGGCCACAGGAGUGUCCAUACCAGCGUUUCACCAACUCCACUGCUGAAUUAUACCAAACAUUUAAAGAUGAACUAAUACCAAUCCAGUUUAAACUAUUCCAAAAAAUUGAGGCAAAGGAAAUGCUUCCAAUCUUAUUCUACAAGACAGAUGUAAUACCCAGAUAACAAAACCAGAUGAAGACACAACAACAACAAAACUACAGGCCAACAUCUCUGAUGAACAUAGAUGUAAAAAUCCUCAACAACAUACUAGUAAAUAGAACUCAACAACACAUUUAAAAGAUCAUUCAUCUUGAUCAAGUGAGAUUCACCCCAGAGGUGCAAGCAUGGUUUAAAAUACAUAAAUUAAUAAAUGUGAUUCAUCAUAUCAACAGAAUGAAGGACAAACCUAUAUGAUCAUUUCAUUAGAUGUAGAAAAAGUAUUCAAUAAAACUUAACAUCCCUUCAUGAUAAAAACUCUCAAAAAACUGGGUAUAGAAGGAACAUACCUGAACAUCAUAAAAACCAUAUAAGAAAAAUCCACAGAAAGUAUCACACUGCAUAGGAAAAAAAAACUGAAAGCAUUUUCUCUAAGAUCUGGAACAAGACCAGGAUGCCCACUUUCAUCACUUUUAUUCAACAUAGUACUAGAAGUCCUAGCUAGAGAAAUUAGAAAAGAGAAAGAAAUAAAGGACGUCCAAAUUAGAAAUGAAGUCAAAUUAGCCUUGUUGGCAGAUGAUCUGAUUUCAUAUUUAGAAAAACCUAAAGAUUCCACCACACAACUGUUAGAACUGAUAAACAAAUUCAGUAGAGUUUCAGGAUAAAAAAUCCACACAAAAAAAACAGUAGCAUUUCUGUAUGCCAUAAACAAACCAUCUGAAAAAGAAACCAAGAAAGUAAUCCCAUUCACAAUAGCUGCAAAUGAAAUUAAAUACUUAGGAAUUAACCGAAGAAGUGAAAUAUCUCUACAAUGAAAACUAUAAAAUGUUGAUGAAAGAAAUUAAAGACAUAACAACAAAAUGGAAAGAUAUUCCAUGUUCAUGGGUUAGAAGAAUCAAUGUUGUUAAAAUGUUUAUACAGCCCAAAAGAAUCUACAGAUCCAAUGCAAUCUCUAUCAAAAUAAUGUUCUUCACAAAAAUAGAAAAAGCAAUCCUAUAAUUUAUGUGGAGCCACAAAAGACCCAAAAUAGCCAAAGCUAUCCUAAGCAAGAAGAACUAAACUGGAGGAAUCACAUUACCUGGCUUCAAAUUAUAUUAUAAAGCUACAGUAACCGAAACAACAUGGUACUGGCAUAAAAACAGACACAGGGACCAAGGAAAUAGAACAGAGAACUCCAAAAUAGAUUCAUGCAUUUAUAGUCAGCUCAUUUUUCACAAAAGCGCCAAAAACAUACACUGAGGAAAGAACAGCAUCUUCAAUAAAUUGUGUAGAAAAAACUGGAUAUCCACAUGCAGAAGGAUGAAGCUGAAUCCCAUCUCUCAUCAUAUACAAAAAUCAAAUAAAAAAUAAAGACUGAAAUGUAAGACCCCAAAUUAUAAAACUAUUAGAAGAAAACAUUGAACAAACACUCCUGCACAUUGGCCUGGGCAAAGAUUUCUUGAGUAAGACAUUAAAAGCACAGGCAAUCAAAGCACAAAUGGAUAAAUGAUAUCACACCAAGAUAAAAAGCUACUUCACAGCAAAGGAAACAAUUAACAAAGUGAAAAGAGAAUCUACAGAAUGGGAGAAAACAUUUGCUAACUACUAAUCUGAGACGGGAUUAAUAACUAGAAUAUAUAAGGAGCUCAAACAACACAAUAAGAAUAAAACCAAAUAAUCCAACUUAAAAAUUUGCAAAAAAUAUGAAUAAACAUUUCUCAAAAGGAGACAUGCAAAUGCCCAACAGGUAUAUAAAAAACCUCAACAUCACUAAUCCCCAGAGAAAUGCAAAUCAAAACUACAAUGAGCUAUAAUCUCAUUCCAGUUAAAUAGCUUUUUAGGCGAGGCACUGUCCUAGCUACUCUGGAGGUGAAGGUGAGAGGAUCACUUGAAUCCACGAGUUUGAAUUCAGUCGAGGCAACACAGGAAGACCCUGUCUCUAAAGAAAUAAAAGGCUUUUAUCCAAAAAACAGGCAACAACAAAUGCUGUGGGGAAUGUGGAGAAAGGGGAACCCCUUACAUACUGUUGGUGGGAAUGUAAAUUAGUACAGCCACUAUGGAAAACAGUAUGGAGAUUCCUCAAAAUUUUUUUAAAAAGUAAAAAUAGAGCUACUAUAUGAUCCAGCAAUCCCACUGAGAAAGGAAAUUAGUAUAUCAAAGUAAUAUCUGCAUUUCCAUGUUUAUUGCAGCACUAUUCACAAUAGCCGAGAUAUGGAAUCAAACAUCAACGGAUGAAUGGUUAAAGUAAAUGUGGUACAAAUACACAAUGGAGUACUAUUCAGCCAUAAAAAAGAAUGAAAUCCUGUCAUUUUUAAUAACAUGGAUGGAACUGGAGGUCAUUACGUUAAGUGAAAUAAGCCAGGCACAGAAAGAGAAACUUUGCACUUUCUCCAUAAUAUGUGGGAGUUAAAAAAAAAAAAUGAACUUAUGGACUUAUGCUGUAGAAUGUUGGUUACCAGAAGCUGGGAAGGGUAGUGGGGAGAGGGAGAUAAAGAGGAGAUGGUUAAUGGACACAAAAAUACAGAUAGAAGAAAUAAGAUCCAGUGUUCAGUAGCAUAAUAGGGCAAGUACAGUUAACAAUAAUUUACUGUAAUUUUCAAAAUAACUAAAAGAAUGGAAUUGGAAUGUUCCUAAUACAAAGAAAUGAUAAAUGCUUGAGGUAGUAGAUACUUCAAUUAUUCUGAUUUGAUCAUUAUACAUUGUAUGCUUGUAUUGAAAUAUCUAGUACCUCAUAAAUAUGUACAGCUACUAUGUAUCCAUAACAAUUUUAAAUAAAAAAUUUAAAAGGCAAUAUUCAUGCAGAUAUGAUAUAUGGCAAUAAACCACAGUCAUUCAAUUUUUGUUUGUACUUACUGUUUGCUUUUAUGAAACCCUUUCAAAGGCACAGAGAAUGCAGAAAAGUUGAGUCUGCUGUAUUAAAGGAGGAUCUAUUUCCAUAUCCUAUAAUUGGCUUUCUGCUAUUUGGACUCAAAGUCAUUUCACAAAUGAAUGACAAUUGGAGACUCUGGUUGCUUGUAGAGCUGUUCACAAAUCUGGUUUCCGUAUGGGAAUGUGGUAGGAUGGCACUCGCAGCUGUUGAAGUUAAGCGAUGUGUUUUUAUUUGUUUGUCUUUUUUAAAAUAAAUUUUACUGUGCAUAUUUAAGGUAUACAAUAUGAUGUUAUGAAACAUAUGUGUACAGUAAAAUGGUUACUGUAGUGGAACUAAUUAACAUAUCCAUCAUCUCCCAUAGUUACCCAUCCACCCCCAUGGCAUGAGCAGCUAUAAUCUAUUCAUUUAGAAAAAAAUCUUGAAUAUAAUACACUACUAUUAGAUAUAGUUAGUACAUUAGAUCUUUCAACUUGUUUCCCCUACAUAUUUGCCAGUUUGUAUCCUUUGAUCUACAUCUCCCCAUUCUCAUCCUUCCACCCCCUCCCUGACCCUACUAACCACUAUUUUAUUUUCUAUCUAUAUAUUUGACCUUUUUUGAGAUCAUGCCAUCUUUUUCUUUCUGGCUUAUUUCACUUAACAUAAUGUUCUCCAGGUCCAUCCAUGUUGUGGCAAAUGAAAGGAUCUCCUCCUUUUUCAAGGCUGAAUAAUAUUUGGCCAAAAAAAUAGAGUGUCAUUUACGGGAGAAACCUUUAAGAGCCAUUAUUUUGUUCACCACCUUUCUUUUUCUAUACACUAGUAAGAACAGAAGCUCAUUUCAAGAUGAAGCCUCUGUCAAACUGAGUCCUGAAGCAAGGGGAAUGAGCAGAGCCAGCUGUGCUCCACCUCUCAACUUCUUUGGAUUUUAGCAUAUGAGAAAAUGUGGUUGUUCUAAACCUCCUUUAGGGUUAUUUGUUAAUGUGGCUGAACCUAGACCAUCCUUAUACAGACACCAGUGAGUCAGUCAAUCCUCACUCCUAGCAGGGUCUCCCUCUAAAACAAUUGAGUCUCUGGACAUUUAACACUGAUAAUGACUAAGAACUCACUAUCUUGAAAUAAUGUUCUCCAAUUUUAAGCAGUAAAAAUUAUUAAAUAUUCUUUGUUUUGAACCAAAACUUGCCUUUCUGUAACCUCCACUCAAAAGCUAAUUUACAUAAUGAGCUUAGUUAAUGAACAGGCACUUGUAUAAAUUUCUUCAGUGACAUUCUGCAACUUAGAAUUUAUUACCUGCCUCAGGAAGUGUUCUGCUAAAACUAUUUUCUGAAAAAGCCUAAAUCUCAAACAACAGAACACACUGAAUGUAAAUUAAACAGCGCUCUUGAGUAGAAAAUUAAAUUGGUUCCAUGACAUGAGUUUUAAAGAAGCCAACAUAAUAUAAACAGUGCUGCAGGUGACUGAUAAACCUGCAAACUCAAUUGAUACCCUACCUUGGUAAUAACCAAUUGGGAAAAUUAGAGUAAUGGGCAUGAGCAUAUCUCAUUCACACACUAUUAUCUAAACAGAGCUAGAAAAUAUGUUCAAAUAAUUAAUGACACCUGAAUCCAGAAAUAUCAAUAUAGCAUACACUUUAAAAGUACCCUUCUUUUAAUUUUUGUAGGCAGAAUGACCUACUCACCAUAAUCCCAGGUUAAAGCUCAAGUUUAGUGAUUCAAACUGGUUCAUUAUAUCAGUCUAUUUUACAAUUAGUGCAGAGGAAUAAGUAACAACCUAUUCAGUACAAUUUAAAAGCCAAUAUGAAACUGCCAUUGCCCCACAUCUGUUUCCCAAGAGUGAUUCACAUUUUCCAGACUUACAGUAUAACUUAGUACCUGAGCUUUUAAAAAUCAACACAAUUUACAGAAAGGUUCAACAGAAAAAUAAGAAAAAAAAGAAUAUAUUCCUCAAAAAUGAAGAAAUGUAAAAGGACACUGUAAAAUAUGCUUAAAUUCAAUGUAAAUCAAGCAACAAAAUUAAAGGAACAAGAUUCAAUUUUUCAUCUGAUAUUGUAACUUUUGUUUUUACUAGCAAUAUCUAUUAUUGGUAAGAGUUUGGAAAAUGCACCCUCUUAUUUACUGUUAAUCACCAUGUAAAGUGACAUGCUGAAGGAUGGGGAUGAAUAUCAAUUAUGCCUCCAAAUCAGUAAUAGCAAGCAGAUACUAACCUUCUUCCACUAACCUUUCUGUAUUAAGACUAUCAUAAAGAUUGUGACUGGCCAUCAACUUCAAGAUUUAUUCCACUUAAUGGAGGGCAUGGUAGUGUCAGUCAUCUCUUUUGUGUCACCUCACAUAAUCUCAACUUGAACUCUGAUUCCAGCCAUGGCUAUAGUGAACAGUAUUGUGCAGGUUUCAUUCUACCUUAUACCAACUGCCCAUAUCAGCCUCUGAUAUGAGCUCUUCUACAAUGUGCUACUCAUUUUAUAACCUUUUCUGAAGAAUUAGGUAGGACAGUGUAGGUUUACACAUUAUUAGUUGAACUAAAAAAUAAGAGAUAAACAUUCAGCUUCAGGAAUAGGGAGCCCUUAGAGUUAAUUAAGUUCCUAUACUGACCAAUUUCUGAAACUCUGGAGGACACUCAGCUAGAAUGUCUAUUGUACUGGUCCAAGAAGGAUCAACAGGAACUGUGGAAAAUGAGACGAACCUAUCAGAUACAGUAGGAUUUCUAUAUUUUAUCCAUUUUCUCCAGGGAAGAACAAUCAUCUCACAGGGCUUUCCUGUUAAUCUUGAUGGCUUAAACAAAAAAGUGGGAGAACCAGGGAAGAGGAAAGCUUUAUUUCUCACAGUUCUGGAGGCUGGGAACUCCAUGAUAAAGGUAUCAGCUUAUUUGGCUCCUAGUGAGAGUCCUCUUCCUGGUUUGCAGAUGGCCAUCAUCUUGCCAUGUCCUCACAUGGCAAAAAGAGAGGGAGAGGUUUGGAGAGAGAAGGAGAGAGGGAAAGAGUGCUGUCUUGUCUCUUCUUAUAAGGGCACUAAUCCCAUUAUGAGGACCCCAUCCUAGUGAUUUCCUUUUGACCUAAUUACUUCUCAAAAACCCCAUCUCCAAAUACCAUCACAUUGUAGGUUAGGACUUCAACAUAUAAAUUUUCGGGGAGCAAAAUUCAGUCCAUAGCCAGAAAAGUAAGAGAUCUCAUAGUACUUGAAUUGAUUCUGGAAUAACAUAUUUAUUUUUAAAAAGUACUAUGGGCCAGGUGCGGUGGCUCAUGCCUGUAAUCCCAGGAGGCUGAGGCAGGUGGAUCACCUGAGGUCAGGAGUUCGAGACCAGCCUGGCCAACAUGGUGAAACCCUGUCUCUACUAAAAAUACAAAAAUUAGCCAGGCGUGGUCACAGGUGCCUGUAAUCCCAGCUACUCAAGAGGCUGAGGCAGGAGAAUCACUUGAACCCAGGAGGUGGAGGUUGCAGUGAGCCGAGAUCACACUACUGCACUCCAGCCUGGGGGGCAAGAGCGAGACUUCAUCUCAAACAAAAAAAAAAAAAAAAAAAAAAAAAGCACUGUGAGUCUGAGGGAUGACAAGUUUUUGAUUUGUACAAAGACUGGUAAAAUUAUUUUAUAUAACUCAAUCAUGAAAGUAAUCACUCUUUGUCAACCUAUAAAUUCUGAGGAAGAUGAAAGAAGAUAAUUCCCUAAACUGCAUUGUUUUGUCAAUUUGUUAAAAAUUAUUUUCCAUUUGCAAUCAAUCAUUCAUGCUAUGUUUAUUUGCUUUUAGUUUGUUUAUUUAUUUAGAGUUUGAGACAUUACCAUAACAGUCAGUUGGCUGUAAAGAGAUUAUCAUAACAGUUGGCUAUAAAGGGAUAUUAUUUGAUUUUACAUUUAGUCCUACAUACAUUUUAAAAUACUACACCAUUUUCCCUGCUUUACACAGGCUGACAGAUGCUUAAAAAAACAGGAUAAUAUAAUGAAGGAAAUGAAAAUCUUAACUCCGUUUUUAAAAACCUUGCUUUAACAUAGAUGAUAAUACAUAUUCUGUAAAUUCAGGAGAAAUUACUUCUUAGAGAUUUUAGUCAUAUGAGUCAAGCAAUAGAGAAAUAGGACCUUGCUGAGAUAGCUUGGGUAUCAGCCCAGGCGGGCACCUCUAAAAGUAUUAAAUGUUCGUUUACACCACAGUAAGCAAACUCCCUUUAAGUGAUUCCUCAAACUGAGCUGAGUACCUUUAUUUGACCCAAAUAAAUCUUCAUUUGUCCGGGUGGUUAAUUGGAUGAUUCAGUUCAUUUGUUCUUCUAUUUCACUGACAAUUAACAUAUAUACUUUAUAUGAAUUACCCCUUUUCAACAAAAUGACAUUUCACUGUAGGCAACACUGAACACAAUUUAUAUUCUUUAAUUACUGAGAAGGCACCUUGUGAUCUAGUUACAGGACCUCAGGGAUAUCAUAGUAAAUCUCGAACAUCACAGUGAUGUAUAAGUGAUGUGUAAGAAACUGAUUGAACCUAAGUUCUUUCGAUUUCAGAAAAAAUCAUCAAUUUGUUUAUAUUUUAUUAGGUCAUAAUUUUCACAAUAUAGUAUGUAAAAUUAUUUAUAAACACUUUAAAUAUGGCAAUGUCAGUAGCUCAUCCAUUUCAAUCAUUAGCGUUUUUUUAACUGUAGAAAUUGACAUUAUUUAAAUCCUUACUGUUUUCUCUCCUUUCUUUCUCAGUGUCAAAGCACUUCAAUUAAAACACAGAAACUAUAGAAAAUCAUCUGGUAAACAUGCUGAUGAUGUCCUAAACCUGAUCACUUGUCUCAAAAUUUAGUACGUGUAAGUUUAAACCCAUAAUUACAGUUUUAUUUAAAGUAGCAUCACAUAGAAAAUUAGAAAAACAUUCAGGUAUUGAACCUAUCAAGUGAGUUCUUAUUUUAGGAAUUUGCUAUAUAGUUACUUUUCAAAAAUUUGUGGAGGAAUUGACCAAUUUUAGACUAAUGUUUCUACUAUUGGAAACAGAACUGUGAUGCCUUCACCUCUUUAGCUGAAUUUAACAAUUAGAUAACGGCCUAGUGGUGAUGUCUCACCCCACUUUGUUGAUAAAAAAGAAAUGUUAUCUUUGUAACUUCUGUAGUUGAAUCAAACAUAAAAAGCACAAUGCUCAGGCUGAAAUAGCUGUUUCUUAUUUCUUUGAUUCCCCCAACCCAACUUUCCCUCUCAGUAAACUGGCGGUCCCACAUGGCACUUCUUCUCUUCUUCCAAAAAUCCAACAAUUGUGUUCAUCAGUUGUUGCCUAAUAAUCAAGCCAGUAUGUGAAAGUGAACCAUCAUAGGAAUAUAUUUAUUCCAUCUCCAGAAACACAAAGCAAGAUCUGAUUAGAAAUUUGUUUUAAACAGUGAUUUGUUUUACUCAUUGAAGUCCCCCUCCCUCUGUCUCUUAAUGGGGGAGCUUUUUCCUUCUUUCUUGCCUAUUAAACUCUCCGCUUGUUAAAACCACUCCACGUGUGUCUGUGUCGUUUUAUCUUUUUUGUUUGUUCGUUUGUUUGAGGCAGAGUCUCGCUCUGUCACCCAGGCUGGAGUGCGGUAGCACAAUCUCCGCUCACUGCAAGCUCCGCCUCCCAGGUUCACGCCAUUCUCCUGCCUCAGCCUCCCGAGUAGCUGGGACUACAGACACCCGCCACCACGCCCGGCUAAUUUUUUGUAUUUUUAGUAGAGACGGGGUUUCAUCGUGUUAGCCAGGAUGGUCUCGUUUUAUCUUAGUCGGUGCAAAACCAAGGACCCUGGCGUUCCGCCAGUCAUCAAAGCCGUAUCAUCGUGAAUUUUUACUCCAUCAGCCAAUGAAAACAAGGUCAAAUGUAGUUGUUGUGUGUGUGUGUGUUCACUUUAAUUUUGGUUUUAGAAAGAUAACUUGGAGUCAAAUUGCUAUUAGCUUUCAAUUUCUAUUGAUUUUGAAUCUUGUUGACAGGGUCUAUUAUUUGUCAACUCAAUAUGCAUUAUUACUCUUUGCUUAGUGUCUUAACUAUUGUUUUAAUUGGGAUUCCAAUGCACUCAGCAAAAAAGAUUUCAUUUCCCAGGUUCUCUUACAGUUAGGUGUGGUAUUAAGACUAAGAUGUAUGUAGAAGUUAUAGGAUGAAAGUAUUUUGAAAGUUUCUAAAAGAUGGGCAGAUGCAUGCCCUUGUUUUCCCUUAACCUCCUGUCUUCUUUCUCCUGACAGGAAAGUUAAUGGCUGAAGAUUCAGCAGCCAUUCUGAACUGGAAAUUACAUGUUAAGGCUGUUAUAGAAGAAAUAAAGAAAUUAAAUCUCUAUGUCCCCAAGGUAUCUCUAUACCGGCCUGGAAUGCCUAUCUCCAAACCUCCUUUACAUGAGACAGAAACAGCUUCUAUCACCUUAAAAUCUGUUACUUUAGGUUUUUUUCAUUAUGAGCAGCUAAAAUGAAUCUUACUUGAUACAGUGUGAGUGUUCAUGGAUUAGGGCAUUGUUUGAUAAGAGGAGUAAGAAAAGAAUAUAAAUUGUAUUGGCCCUGAUAUGCCACAAACAAUGAGGGCUGAAGCCAAAUUAAUCAAAGAAUAAACUCAAAUACAAAGAACAA